ACAGCCUUCUUUUGCCGAGCUGGCAUGAAAUAAAGAACAUCAGAAUGCUCUGAUAAUAAAAAUGGAAACCAAUGAUUUCACUUCAAUAACUAGGUAAGUAGUUCAACUACCUAGGCGUCUUCUAGCCUUUCUCGCAGGCUGGUUAAACCAGGUCUUGACGUAAUUUUGCCAGUGCUUUCUGAAGUGCCCACUUGGCACGACAUUGUUAUGUUUAACCAUGACUUACCUAAAAAGGGAAAAAAAGACAAAGCUUGUUAAGGUUAAGAUGGCUCUGAGAUGUGGAUAUAUAUUAUCAGCAAAAGCUAUCGGACAGUCAAUACUUGGCAGAUUAUGAUCCAAACUCAUUAAUGAAAAGUACAGAAAAUUUGUUAUUUCACUCUGAAAUUUUAAAAGUGGUUUUCAGUGCCUAGAUAGAAAUUCAGAAAACUAAAUAUCAGGGGCACACAAUCUGCCACAUUGCCGACGUGAUAAUUUCAAUCCGGAAUAACCAUUUUCGCAAAAGAGAAAGAAUGACAUAAUAAGGGAGUAAACCAAACAAUAUCGUGUUAGAUGACAUCACUUUUAAGUUUUGUCGACCAACGGCUUAAACAAGCUGAAACAUACUGAGCUCAAAUCAGGAUAUAUUCCUAGACUGCAGAAAUCCAAGUAAAUCUCAUUCACAGUACAAGAACCAUGUCUGAAUUUAGAAUUAAAAUCCCCAUUCAGGGCAUUGACAUUCUUGAACCUCCACACUCCCACUGCACACUAGACAACAAAAUGCUACGUUGCAAAAAAUCUCGACAAGCAGAACCAUCGAGACUCGAUUCCUACCUCCUCAGCCCAGAAAUAGGAAACAGCUACUUCGCACAAUGCAUCACCAGACACCUUUCACCAACCCACAUUAAAAAAUAAUCCAAUCGAGAGAAAACAAAGCACAGCAUUUUCAACACAAUACAUUCGGCAGGAAAACAAACACCCGCGAAUCAACAACAUCUAAUGGCCCGAUUAGAUUGGGCGAAGACCAUCUACAGAUUAAGCUCGAGGUCGGCAAAUCCGGAACGGACUAGUUGCGAAUGAUGCGGAAACUUUCAACCGACUAAGCGGAUAGAAACAGAGCGAAAGCAAACAUAUUCGAACCCGACAUGAAUCGAAGCAAAUCCAACGGGAAUCAACCGGAGAAAGGGAGCGGCUAAGAGGCCGAAGAUCGACGCGGAAGCGAAACACACACGAUCACACAACAAUCAGCACCCAAAAUUUCAGAGAAUCGAGCUCAAACGGUACCUGCCUCAGGCCCUGGGAACCGAGCGGUGCUAUAGUCCGACGGAGGGAAGCUGGUUUGACUGAGAGAGCUUUAUAGCGCUUCGUACACAAAACCCUAGGGCUUACAUCUUGGAUCCAAAGAAGUACAAGAAAAUGGGCCUUGGGCCUGACCCGAUUCUUUUUAGCUCUUUUUGGACUCGCGUCAUGGACCAAAAGCCCAAGGCCCGAUAAGGUGGUGCGGCUGAGAUUUUUCCUUUAUUAGUACAUUCGAGAGAGAGAGAGAGGGAGAGAGAGAGAGAGAGAGGGAGAGAACUAAAUAUGUUUAAGAAAAGAUGAUUGGUCAAAGAUUUGGUGAUUGGGAAUGAUUCACACUUAGCAUCCCCUAAUAUCUUCUUCUAGCGUUGAAUUUGAAUUACAGAUUAGAUUUAUCAAAGGGAAAAUAUCACAAAAAACCCUAAAUUUUGCCAAAAGUGACAGAUUUACUCAAUUUUUUUUUUUGUGAUGUGAAAAACUUGAAUUUUGCUAACUGUGACACAUUUACCUAAUUUUUUUUUUUUGUGAUAUAAAAAAUCUUGAACUUCUGUCAUGUGACACAUUUACCUUAAGCUAAAGGGCAUUUUAGUCUUUUGCUUUUGCUUUUAAUUUUUUUUUCUUUUUUGUUUCUUCUCUCUUCCCUCCGCCGGCCAUGGUGGAGGGAAGCCGGCAUUCGGCAAGGGCCGCCCUCGCUUGACGCUAACGAGGGUGAGGGCGACCCUCGGCUAGGUCGGGCGAGGACCUCCCUCACGCCCUCCCCCGACGUCGACGAGGGCCUCCCUCGCCAAAUCUAGCGAGGGUACCCCUCCCUUGAGUCGAGCGAGGGCAUCCCUCACUAGGCCCUCACCGGCGUCGGGAGAGGGCCGUCUUCGCCCGAUGCAAGUAAGGGCGGCCUUUGCUCGACACAGGGCGAGGGGUGCCCUCGUGUGCGUCGAGCGAGGGAGGCCCUUGCCGGCAUUGGGCUAGCCCAGUUGAGGGCUGCCCUUGCCUGACGCCGGCGAGGGCAGCCCUUGUUGAACGUCGGCGUCCCUCCGUCGACUCCGCCAUGGUUGGCGGAGGGAAGAAGAAGAAAAAAAAGAAAAAAAAGAAAAAGAAAAAACAGAAAAAAUAAGACAAAAAUGCCUUUGAUGGGGUAAAUGGGUCACAGUUUAAAAAGUUUGGGAUUUUUCACAUUAUAAAAUAAAGUUUGAGGUAAAUUUAUCACUUUGGGCAAAGUUUGGGGUUUUUGGUGGUAUUUUCCCUUUAUGAAAAGACUAGUAUUGUAUGGUUUCGGAGGGACAAGUGUUGCUGAGGUCGAGGUUGGCAAUGUGAUCAUUGAAUUUGUUGCACUCCACCGCCUUCCCAUGAGUAUAAUUUCUGUUUUCACCUAAUAUGUACCUUGUAGAUGUGUGACCAUUUUUCCCCUUUCGAAAAGGAAAAUGCCUAUUUGCUUAUAACCCGUACCAUUAUAUUCAAAUAAAAAAUAUAAAAAUAGCAAUGAGACAUACGCAAUGUUUUGACAAUGCAAAACAUUUAAGGCAAGACAAAUACACAUACUAUGGUCGAUCUUAAUCAUCACUUUGUCAAUACCUCAAUGUCUUAUGUGGUUUGUCAAUUCAUUCUUUGCAAAAACAAUAACCCACCAAGUAAAUAAGUGGCCAGACUAAUUGAAUGUGCCCAUUAUUUACAUUGAAAAUAUCUACAUUUUUCACUUGCUUGUAUUAGGUGAUAUUUUGAGUCCGACUUCUCAAACAGAUCAAAUUUGCCUCUUUGGUCCCAUUUUAGGUAGGCCAUUGACAGUGAAACCGAAGGUGAUGGACCAUCCAAAGUAAAACAUUGAGCCCGAAAGACUUUUAACAUUUUUCCUUCAGUCACCCCAAGUAUCCUUCCACAUCAAACUAUGGAGUGGCUAAGGAGACGCCCUAGAAUUCCGAUCCAUAAAAUUGCUUACCGUGAAGGCUACGGCAUUACGGUCUCCUUUGUCUCUUCUAUGACAUACGUGCUGAAAUAACAAAUGCGAAAAUUAUAUUAAGAUAGAAAGACCAUAUUAUGUCACCCUCAUUAGUGUACAUCGUUCAGCCUUUGGUCAUUUUGAUCUUGAUGUUCCAUACAUGCUGUUUCACUCAAAAAGUGAAAAUAGUUCACCGAAUAUGUUGAUGUUAGUUUUUUUUUUUUUUUUUUAAUUUUUUAUAAGGAAAGGAUUAUGUAUUGAUCUUGUACAAAAAGUUACUUAGCUACUCAUAUAUUAUUAUUUUUUUCUGAGUGCGGCUUAGCUGACUAUCCUUCAUCCAGUGACGGAGUGAUGGUCAACUAAUGACCGCUGAUUUUGUGGCAAAAUCGGUUGACUUUUUCAACCGGCUUCAUCUCACCCAUUUUUUUUUUAAUUGUAAGCUUAAAUUGAAAGAUAAAAUCUUAAGAUGGCCCACACAAUCAAUUUUCAUGAAUAUGAUAAAAAAUAGAUUCUAAAAUAUAAAUAAUUACAAGUAUAAAAUAUUAUCACAUCCUAAAAAGAAAUCAUUAAUGUCAUUAUAUCGAUCUAGUAAAUUUAAAAGAUAAAAAAACACUUAAGACGUUGGCUUUGCAAUUAAUAACAAUUCAUUGCUGGCUUUUUAGUCCUUUCGCCAAAAUCAAAUUACUUUAAAAGGACUUUUUGGUGAUCUAAAAUUAAGACCAGUGAUAUUGCUUAUGCAUAAAACGAAUGAACUAAAGAAAAAAACAAAAUAAGAAUAAUGAAUUAGUAGAGAAAAAAAUUUACCCGGUUGAUCCAAAUCUCGUAGAUGAAGAUGUGUUUGGCCUAAAACGAGACACGAAAACUUAGAGUGCCAAAACUUAACAUGAGGGAAUAUUUAAGUACCAAAAGUUAAGAAAGUUACACUUAAGUGCUAAAAUUGAAGCAAGAUAGAUCAAUUAAGUGCCAAUAGUAGAAAAUCCGACCAAAAUGUUGACAUGACAUUUUUUUCUGACGAGACAAAUACAAAACGAUGUCAUUUUGCAUGCUGACAUGGCUACAUAACUUGAAAACGACGUUGUAUUACAUGCUGACAUGGCUAGAUAAGCAAAAAAACGAUGUCAUUUUGUUUUGGAUUUGAAUUUUAAUAUAAAUAUUAAUUAAAUUAAAUUUACAACUAAAUUAUUAUUUUUUUUAAAGGAAGAAGAAGAAGUUGUAGAAGGUGUUGGUCAAGCACUAUGCAAGCCCUUGUCGUUGCCUCCCCACUAUUGUUGGGAAGGGUUGGUGAUAGUGGGCGGAGGGGUCAAUUGAGUUCGCUAGCCUAACGAUGGUGGGGAGGUGGUGACGAGGGCUUGCACAUCCCUCGUCCAAUGCCUUCUGCAACUUUUUUUUUUUAAAGUUUUAAAUUUAAUUUAUUUAAUAUGUAUAUUAAAAUUCAAACAAGAGGCGACGUUGUUUUGGCUCUUUUUUGCUAACUCAACUCUGAGUUAUAUUACUAAAAAAAAAUGCCACAUAGGAUUUUGGGAGCCUUCGUUAGACUUGGCACUCGGAUGUCUCAAUUCACUUAUGUGUACCUUUAAUAACUUUUGGCAUUUAAUUAUCCCCUCAUGCCAAGUUUUAGUACUUUUGAUGUACUUCUACCGACCUAAAACAUUACAAAAUCAAUCUUAGUCUCAAGUAUUUUUUUUUUCAUCUUUUAAAUUUAAUAGAUCUAUAUAGUGACAUUAACGAUUUCUUUUUAGUAGGUGAUAAUAUUUUUUUACUUGUAAUAUUUAUAUUUUAGUAUCUAAUUUAUUUUUUCAUCAUAUUCAAGAAAAUUGAUUGUAUAGGCUCUCUUAGGAUUUUAUUUCUUAAUUUUCGUUUGCAAUAUUAAAAUAAAUAAGUAAAUUGUGUGAGAGGAAACCGGUUGAAAAUGUCAACCGAUUUCCUCACAAAAUGAGCGGUGCUAAUGUUGAUCGUCACUCCGUCACUUGAUGGAGGAUGGUCAGCCUAGCAUUUUUCGUUUUCUUUUUUUCCACAUAAAAGACCAAGAUGAGACACUUGCAAAAGACCGUUGCUCAUCUUUUAGAUUGAUGAGUAAGAGUCACUAAAUUAAAAUAUCGUUGUCUCCGAUUGAAAAUAUUUUCAGAUUUCGUAUCUUCACCUUGUUUUACCUAAAAAUAAUGACAAAAAUAUCUUUGAAAAUCACGAAUAAUUAUUCAUUUUUGCAUGGAGUCCAUAUAGUACUGUUCAAUAGGAAAUGUAAAUUGUAUAGUAUGAUAUUCAAUGGGCAUGGUAUUAAGUUAGCUCAAGUCAUUUGUAAUCAAUGGAGUUCAAUCUAGACAAUUAAAAUGAUCGUUUCAUCUAACUGAUUAAUUGAUCAAUGUUAUAUUAAAAAUGGCUAAGUAACAAUGAAAGCUUACAUGAAUACAUACAUAAACAUAUUAUAAUUAUCCAUUCAUUCAUAACAUUUGGGUAUAAGUUAUCCGGGCCAACCACUUCUAUGCAACUUUUUAUUUAUUUUAAAUUUAGCAAUGAAGUGGUAUAUGGGAGGGGGCACUUUUUGCACAACUCGAUUGGUUGACUUUCCUGGGUGAUCACAAGGGUGCCCUAUCUUAUAUUGACUCAGUGCAUUCGGCAUUUUAAUUUAGAGUGCUCCUAGCAAGGCUUGAUACCCAUCUCAAGGAGACGAGCAAACCCUCUUACCAUCUAAACCAACGGCUUGUUGUUUUUGUGUAACAAUUACGAGUGCAUGAUUUAACUAGAAAAGUAGACAAGGAGGAUGUAUUGGAUAUUUGAUUGGAUAAUGUGUGAUUUUGCUUCUUCAAGAUCCAUGUCCGGGUCGUGCUAUUUUUUAGUACACGAUUUCUAUCAAAGAAGAGAUGUUAUCAAAGUUCUAUGUAAGAAUGCCUCUUUUCACAUAUAACAAGCGCUGCAAGUAGCGCUAACUUUCCGACCAAAAAAAAGGUAGCGCUAACUUCCAUAGAAUGGGACCGGUUAUUGCUGUCCAUAAAAAGCUUCUUAAUCACACUUUACCUGGGACCGGUAACUAUCAUAUCUAGAGCUACACGUCAAUAAUUUCAGCGGUGAUAUUUGGCAUUGGCUUGUCAACUUGACAAAACUUACCUCUUUGUACCUUUCAGGUAACAUUCAGCUAGCAAAGCUUUUUUUUUUUUUUUUUCAGAGAGAGAGAGAGAGAGAGAGAGAGAGAGAGAGAGAGAGAGAGAGAGAUAUGAUGAUGAUGAUGAGAUUCAAUCAAUGGCCAAAUUAACGAGUCUUGGUUGUUUACAUUUCCCAGAUGUUUAACUAAGUGGUCCAAUUCCGUCUUCAUUUGAGAACUUGACUCGAUUGAUUGCACUUGACAUUUCAUCCAACAAUUUGAAAGGUGAAAUUCCAAACUCAUCAGGGGAACUUAAGCAUCUUAAAUAUCUCGUCUUAGUAGGAAUAAUUUGAGCAGCAUAGUGGAUUUACACAAAUUCGAGGAUAUUGAGUAUCUUGAUCUUAGUUGGAAUAAAUUGAGCAGUAUGGUGAAUUUACAUGAGCUCAAGAACUUGACAACAUUAUAUUUGGACUUCAACAACAUAUCUUUUGUUAGCAAGAUCGAGAUCAAUGCCACUCUUUCAAUUUUUUCCACUUUAGCUUUAGAUUCCUCCAAUUUACAUGAAUUCCCGAAGUUUUUAGGCUACCUAAGUGGAUUGGAAAGUGUAAGUCUUUCACAAAUAAAAUUGGAGGGAGUACUCCUACGUGGAUGUGGAAUGGUAGUAGAGAGACCUUGGAGUAUAUUGAUCUUUCUCACAAUUUUCUAACUGGCUUUGUGAACAACCAAUUUAAUCUGCCACUUCCCAAGUUGAUGUAUUUUGGCAUUAGUUCAAACUUGCUCAAAACUGCUCUCUCUAGUCCACUUCCAUUAGUGAUUUAUUACAAUUUCUCCAAGAACUUCCUCUUUGGAGAAAUACAAUCUAUUUUCAAAGCAAGAUUCCUUGUAGUUCUUGUUGUCAAUCAAUAGUCUGAAUGAGACAAUUCCUUCAUGUCUUGGAAACAUUGGUUCUUUGUCAAUUUUGAGUCUUGGGAAAUAUAAACUUGAGGGCAUGAUUCCUAAUGGUUACCCAAAAGGUUGUGCGUUGAAGAUUAUUGACCUCACAGAAAAUCGAUUGCAUGGUUAUGUCCCAAGAUCUUUGGCAUUGUGCAAAGCUAGAGUAUUUGAACCUUGGGUAUAGUCAAAUUCUUGAUGAGUUCCCAUGGUGGCUAUCAAUAUUGACCGAGCUCAAAGCUAUGAUCUUGAAAUCUAAUAUGUUCCAUGGUUCAAUAGAAAUAUAUCAAAGUCAGUUUAACUUUAGCACUUUGCAUAUCAUGAACCUUUCCAACAAUAGUUUCAAUGGCGAACUUCCUUUCAAGUUGUUGCAGAGUUUCCAUGCCAUGAAAGUAAUUUUUGGUCAAGAUCGGUUGGAUAUAUAUAUAUAUAUAUAUAUAUAUAUAUAUAUAUAUAUAUAUAUAUAUAUGCUUUUUUUAGGGCUCUCUCCGUCCUUCUAUAUAUAUGCAAUAGUUACCAUUUAUGUGGAUAUUCGGCAAGUGGUUGAUAGGUAUAAAAUGACUUAUGGAAUGAAACUAAUGAAUAAAGGCACAAAAAUGGAAUACUUAAAGGUUCCUUGUGCCCUUAUGGGAAUUGACCUCUCCAAUAACAAAUUCGAAGGAUGCUUACCCGAUCUUGUUGGAGAUUUGAAGUCACUUCUCAUGCUUAACCUUUUGAAUAACAUUCUCAUUGGUUUCAUCCCACCAUCCUUAGUAAACUUGACAAAGCUAGAAUCUCUAGACCUUUCUUGGAACAAUCUCUCAAGAGAGAUACCUCAACAACUAGCCCAACUUACAUUUCUUUCGUCUUUUGAUGUCUCUCAUAAUCAACUAUUGGGACCAAUACCAUGGAGGAGUCAAUUUGACACAUUUGGGACACGUUCAUUUGCCAUGAAUAAGGGAUUAUGUGGAAGUUCUUUACCAAAUAAAUGCACAAAGGUUGGGAGUAAAUUAUCUACAAUUUAAUCGUUAAAGAUUGCUAGUGAAAGUGAUGGAUUGUAAUCAUUAAUUACUAAUUUAUUUCAUGAAUAGAUUCCUAAAAUUUGGAUUAAGAAGAAUGAAUGCUACUUUUCACAAGCUUAGUCACUGAAAAAUAACAAAAACUUCACAAAACUACUGUUGUGAUAAAAUUCAUGGGAAAAUGACAUGAAUAAUCCCUAAGUUAUGGACCAAUGUACGAUGCUAUCAUUGGACUUUCAAUUUGUUCAAUGCAGUACUUGUACUAUCACUAAAUAUUCAAUAUAGUCACUAGUGACACGGCCCACAGAUGAAGCAUGUCCUAAGAUAGUCCAAGCCAUGUCAUGCACGAAGGGUUGCCCAUGAAUGGCCCACGAUCGAUCCAUGAUCUACGAACAACCAGCUCGUGCAUGACCAGUGUGGCAUCCAGAAAUUUCGAUGACCCUCAAGUAUGCAAUGGCCGUGAGUAAUCGACGAGAGUAUUGUCGGUACCACAUUUGGCCUAGUCUCAUCGCCACUCGACGUACCUAAAUAUUUACUUUUGGAGGAAAAGAUACUUGUCUUUGAAUGGCCAUAUGGACAAUCACACCAAUGACCAUGUUUUCUUUUACCUAUUGGACUCGAGCCUUCUCGCCAAUUAGCUAAGUUGAAGACCUCGAUGUUAUACGCGACGUCACUACCACUCUCCCCUUCAACGGCCACACGAAUGGCCCAUGCAAUUCAUAUACAUGUAGAAAUUAUGGUCAGCUUUUGGGAGAAGUUGGGCCACGCACGGAGACCAUGUGGCCACGAAUUGUUGGCCCAAGCUGCCCGAGUUUCCCUUUCAUUCGGUCGGCAAAUGAGUCAACAAAAGGAAAAUUCAUUGACUCAGCAGCCACGUGAACUUACCGAUUGGUGGACAACGCAUGAGGAAGGAUCGAGCAAGAGAGGACACAUCACUUGCAUGGACGUGUGAGGUGUCACCAUUUCCUGCUACCACCGAAUCUCAUUUGUAUUGACUCUCAAAGUCAACAAAUGAAGAAACAAAAUGCUCGUGCAGGUGAGGAAGAGAGAGAAGAAACCGAAACCAGUGAGUGAGAGAGGGAGGUACCGAGCGAAACUUGAGAGAGAAAGAGAGAGUUUGAGCGAGAGAAAUUGUGAGUGAACAGCAGAGGGGUAAACGGCUAGGGGAAGAGGAGACCGCCCUCUGCCGUGCGUGUGAGCUGCCGCCGUCGACGCCGCUUGUCUUCGCCGCCGUCAGGCCGCAUCGCCAAACCGAACUCUCUAGCUGUUGAACCCUAGGACUUGAGGCAAGUGAAUGAAAGUCCAUGAAUCUAUAUAAUGUGGUACUGUUAUUGUCUAGUAUGGUGCAAUACACUUGGAAACAAUUGAGUUCUGAAAUUAGAAUGUUAAAUUGUGAGUAAUCAAAGUAAAGCGGGAUCAUGAGAUUGAGGAAUUACGUUGGUUUUGUGUGUAUCUUGAUCCUGUUGAUUUAUUGAUGAAAGACUGACUUUUAGUAGACUUGUGGAAGUAAGAUAGUUACGGUAGAAAUGGAAAUUUAUGGGAUUCGCUUUAUCCAGUGCAGUUUCAUAUGUAAUCCUGUAACUUUGUGAAAUUUUCUGAAGAGUUCUAAUAUGAAUUUGAUCUCGAUUUCUUCACAGAAGUUGUGAGGAAUUGCGUGAACUAGAGUAUAUAAUUUUAUCAGAACUUCUCGGAAUCAAUACAAUGGCUUAAAUCUUUGUUAAUAUGCAGUGCUUGCUGUUGAAUUUUAUUCUGUGAUAAAAGAAUCCUGAACUGAAUUGUGUGAACUACUACUCAUUAUACAUAACGAAUCUGGCUUAGUGUUCUUAACGAAAUAUUUCCGUCUAGCUCUCAAUUAUAACGUGUUAAAAUUCAGAAUUUUUCAUGGUUAUUUGCUGGUUAUUUCGAAAUCUCUAUUGAAGGCAUGCAUUCUGGCCUUUACACUGUGUUACUAUGAAACUGUUCAUUUUGUUUAAGAGUCAUUGUAUCUUGAGUUGUUAAUUGUUAUUCACUUGAUAGAUGCAUUGGUAUUCAGCAUAUCACAUGACAUUGGAAAGUUUGAUAAAAUCUUAUAGAUCUGUGGAAUCCAUGACGUCAUUGCAUCAAAAUGUAUUUUUGUAAUGAGAUGUAUAUUAAGAUGUGAAUGUUACCGUCGGAGGUGUGAGCCGACGAUGCCCCGGGAGUGUCGGGAUGCCCAAGGGUCGAGUGAGUCGAUGCCGUUGGAUGCCCGGAGGUUUGUGCCGGAGGGUCCUCGGGAGUUUCGGGAUGCCCGGUUGUAGGGAUUGUACGUAAAUCCGGAGGGAAGGGGCAACCAUUUUCAUGGCGAGCCCUGGAUAUACCUCGUGAUGCCAGGUGGGGUGCGAGAUGCCCAGGGGUGUGACGGAACACGCUCUGGAUGCCCGGAGGUUUGUGCCGGAGGGUCUCGCGAUGCCAGGUUGGGUGCGAAAGCCCGGAGGGAUGCAAACACUAGUCCCCAGGGAAUGAAACCUUUCUUUGAAUGCUAAAAUCUGGUACAUUAAAGGAGUGCAUAUGUGUGCAUGUGGCAUGAUAUGAGAAUUUAUCUAUGAAAUUGAGUUGGCUUCAUCCGGUACUGAAAAUGCGUUUGUUAUGGCAUUGAAUUGUUUUUAUGAAUGUGGUGCAGAUAAAAUAAACCCUUGAUGGCAUGCCUAUACAUAUAAAUGAUAAGUGUGUUUGCAUGCAUCUGGAUGAUUAGAGUUUCUACAUAAUAUAGUGUAAUGGAUCUUUUUACUGCUGAGUGGUUGUACUCACCCCUCUUGGGGACUAACAUUUCAGACUAAAAGAAAAAUUCCGCUGCUGCCUGCGACUCCUGGUAUAUUUUAUGGACUACUGAUUGACCUACAGUGGGAGUGGUCAGAGCACCGUCAUCUUGGGGUGCACGGGUUGGUAUUCGAACGCGUGAGGAUCUUUUUGACUUUUGAGGUAGGCCUCUCUGUCGGGCCUAUUCACCAGGAGUACACAUCAGUUUUUGUCCGUAUGGAUGGCCGCCUUCUAAGGGUGCUACCACCACCACCGGCUAACGGACCUGACUGGAUAUGAUCUGGAGUCGAGGGUAGCAGGAGAUGCAUUUUUGGAUGCCGACACAUGGGUGAUGGACGGAUGCAGAUGAUAUCCAAGGAUAGAAGUUGGUUUUCUUUUGGGUAAUCGCCAGGCACGAAAAGACCUCGGCGUUUUGUUGUACCAACUAUCAUAGUCCAUCCCUUAUAUAAAUAAAAGUGUUCGGCCUAAAUUAUCAAAGUUUUAGUAUGGUGUGUAUCACUUUAUAUUUUGAUGAAGGGUAGUUGAAUUAUGCUUCCGCCAUAUUAUUUGCGCAGGGACCGGUAAAGAAAACAAAUGAAAACCCCCAGGUAUUAUAAGUUAUGUUAAAAUUUCUUUGGUCUCAGAGUAGUAUGCUAUAAGAGAAUGUAACUAUGGCGACCCUAACGGAUCGGGGGCCGUUUCGGGGGUGCCACAGCGGUUGGUAUCAGAGCAAUGGUUUAUAUGGAGUGAUAAGGAGCCUCAUAUAGAAAUGAGGAAUAUGAGGAUGAUGCACACCUUAGGAUACUAACCAAUAAUGGUUGACUAACUUUGAAUAACGGGUGGUUGAGUUCACUCGUAGAAUACUGAUAACGAUUGUGAGUUGCUUUUAUGUGCCAGUAACAUUUUUAUGUUACUUAUAUAGUAGUAGUUGCGUUUAAAUGGAGACAGUGAGUCUCAAAUUAUUCCUGAGGCAAAUGCUUGGAAACUGCAGGAAAACCAUGGUACGAACUGGGAGUUCUCAUCCAUUGAGGGCUGAAGCCUCUGCUGCAAGGGCUGAACCCCGAAUGGAAGAUAUCCUGCAUACAUUGGCCAAUAUAGGGAAUCUGAUGGAAAGACAAGCACAACAACAACCCGGAGUGGAACGUCGCCCUCAAGGACUGGUGGAACAAUUUUUGAAGCUGAAGCCACCUAAGUUUAGUGGAAUAGGAAGUUCUGAGGAGGCGGAACAAUGGAUAGAUGGAAUGGAACGAAUUUUCCGAUUGUUGGAUUGCAAUGAUGCUGAGAAAAUAACUUUGGCAGAGUACCAGCUGGAGGGAAAUGCAAAGUUUUGGUGGAGAGCUUCAAGAGAUACGAUCUUUCCACCAGGUACUGAUAUAAAUUGGGGCGAAUUUGUUAGAGCUUUCAAUAGAAAGCAUUUUUCUGACUGUGCCAGGGACAAGAAGAUCGCUGAAUUUGUUCAGCUGGAACAAAGGGAGCUGACAGUGGACUAGUAUGAGGCAAAAUUUUCGGAAUUGUCCAGAUAUGCUCCUAGAUUAAUCGAGGAUCGUGAGGAAAAAGCUAAGAGAUUCUUGAAAGGGCUGAGGACUGAUAUUAGGAAACAACUGGUGCCUUUGAAUAUAAGAGAUUAUAAUGAGAUUUAUGAAAGAGCACAGUUGGUGGAGCAGGAAUUGGUAAGGGAGCAAUCAGAGGCUAAGAGACAGUUGACCUUUAGUGAUAUCCGACGGGGUAAGAGACCCAAUACAGGUCAAGGUCAGACCUGGGAAUCUAAGAAAAGGGGGAAUUUUGAAAAAGCUAGGGAUGGCCUGAAUCUGGGAAAAGCACCUUAUCGGAGUGAUGAUUGUCGAAGGUGUGAUGGGCAACAUGGGUCAGGGCCUUGCAAUGGACGACGGAAAUGUUAUGGUUGUGGACAGAUAGGACACCUUAAGAGGGAUUGCCCACAAGUUGGGUCGCAGCCGAAUGUCAACUUGGUGCGAUGAGUGCAACAGCGUACUGCUGGACCGGAUCCACAAAGGAAUCCACAAAGGCCACCAGUGCAAGGAAGGGUAUAUGCUGUCACCCAAGAGGAAGCAGAAGCUUCCAAAAACGUUAUCUCAGGUACGAUUUUUAUAAACGGCAAGAAGGCAUAUGCUUUGUUUGAUACGGGUGCUACGCAUUCGUUUGUUUCUGAAAGAUAUAGACAGUUGAGUAAAAUAGAAACAACAUCUCUUGAGAUGCCUCUUUGUGUUUCUACGCCUUUAAAGAAUAUGGUAUUGUCUACAUUGGUGUGUAGAAAAUGUAAGAUAACAAUAGGAGGAAGAGAUAUGGAAAUUGACCUAGUGGUGAUGGCUAUGUAUGACUUUGACGUAAUUAUAGGUAUGGAUUGGCUCCAUAAAUAUCAGGCUAAAGUAGAUUGCUACAGGAAAGUGAUUCAGUUCAUGUUUCCGGAUCAGUCUAGUUUUGAAUUUCUAGGAGGUCGAAUAGACCCCUCUAUGGCCAUUAUCUCGGUGGUAGAAGCUCAUAAAUUACUUGACGAAGGAUGUCUAGGAUACCUCGCAAUAGUAAGGAAUCUUACUAAGGAAGAGACUAAACUUGACGAAAUUCAAGUGGUUGGGGAAUUCCAAGAUGUAUUUCCUGAAGAAUUGCCUAGGUUACCACCGGAACGAGAAAUUGAGUUUGAGAUCGAGUUAAUGCCUGGAACAGGACCAAUAUCGAAAGCCCUGUAUAGGAUGGCCUUAAUGGAACUGAAGGAGUUGAAGGUGCAACUACAAGAGUUGCUUGAUAAGGGAUUUAUUAGGUCAAGUGCUUCACCUUGGGGUGCACCAGUUCUCUUUGUGAAAAAGAAGGAUGGGUCGAUGUGUUUAUGUAUUGACUAUAGACAGCUGAACCAGGUGACUGUAAAGAAUAAGUAUCCCUUGCUAGAAUUGAUGACUUAUUUGACCAACUGCAAGGAAGUUCAGUCUUUUCUAAAAUUGACUUAAGGUCAGGAUACCAUCAGUUAAGGAUAAGGAAAGAAGACAUUCCUAAAACUGCAUUUAGGACUCGUUAUGGACACUAUGAGUUCCUAGUUAUGCCAUUUGGAUUGACGAAUGCACCAGCAGCAUUCAUGGAUUUAAUGAAUAGGAUAUUUAAGCCAUAUUUGGAUCAAUUUGUGAUUGUCUUCAUUGAUGAUAUCUUGAUAUAUUCUAAAGGACCUGAAGAGCAUGAGCGACACCUAAGGAUAGUAUUGCAAAUCUUGAGAGAUCAUAAGUUGUAUGCCAAAUUCAGCAAGUGUGAAUUUUGGUUGGACCAAAUAACAUUUUUGGGACAUGUGGUAUCAGGAAGUGGAAUUGCAGUAGACCCUACAAAAGUUGAGAUGGUAAUAAAUUGGCCGAGGCCGACAACGCCAACUGAAAUACGGAGUUUCUUAGGAUUGGCUGGCUAUUAUAGGAGAUUUAUUGGAGGAUUCUCGCGACUUGCAGGCCCAUUGACGAAAUUAACUAGGAAAAAUGUCAGGUUUGAAUGGAAUGGAGAAUGUGAAAAGAGCUUUCAGGAACUUAAAAAGAAGUUAACCACAGCUCCAAUCCUAACUAUACCAUCUGGAUCUGGUGGAUUCACGGUAUAUAGUGAUGCGUCUCACAAGGGACUGGGAUGUGUUCUGAUGCAGUAUGGCAAGGUCAUAGCCUACGCAUCAAGGCAGUUGAAACCCCAUGAAUUAAACUACCCAACCCAUGAUUUAGAAUUGGCAGCUAUAAUUUUUGCUUUGAAAAUAUGGAGACACUAUCUGUAUGGGGAAAAGUUCGAAAUCUAUACAGAUAAUAAGAGCUUAAAGUAUUUGUUUUCACAAAAGGAAUUGAACAUGAGACAAAGGAGGUGGAUGGAAUUGUUGAAAGAUUUUGAUUGUGAGAUACGGUACCAUCCAGGAAAGGCGAAUAAGGUGGCGGAUGCUCUUAGUCGUAAGUCAGCUAUGGAUAUGGCCAGUCUAAGAAUGACAGAAUGGAAUCUGUUAAAGUCUGUAGCAGACUCGGAAUUUCAAUUGAAAGUAGAUCACCUUAUCGGUAUGCUUACUGCAUUAAGGAUUGAACCCGAAAUUAUUCAGAAAGUUAAGAUGCUGCAAGAGUCUGACCCGGAAAUUGUGGAAAUAAGGAAUGCUGUGUCUUUAAGGAAAAGACCAGAAUUUCAAAUCUCUAAGGAUGGAGUAGUAAGAUGCCAGGGACGACUCUGUGUUCCCGACAAUGAAGAAGUGAAGAGAGAAAUCCUGUCGGAAGCACAUAGGAGUAAUUAUAGUAUUCAUCCGGGUAGUACAAAGAUGUACAGAAAUUUACGCCAACAAUUUUGGUGGAAUGGCAUGAAGACGGAUGUAGCUAAACACGUUUCCCAGUGUUUAACAUGCCAGCAAGUGAAAGUAGAACAUCGCAAACCCGCAGGAUUAUUAAGACCAUUGGAAGUACCCGAGUGGAAAUGGGAACAUGUGACGAUGGACUUUGUACAAGGACUACCAAGGACCUCAAGUGGUCAUGACUCUAUCUGGGUGAUAGUAGAUCGCUUGACUAAGUCUGCCCAUUUUCUAGCCGUUCGCAUGGACUACUCGAUGGAUAAACUUGCUGAGAUAUAUGUAAAUCAGGUGGUACGCUUACACGGUGUACCUGUAACGAUUACAUCCGAUCGAGACCCAAGAUUUACUUCAAAUUUUUGGCGAAGUUUUCAAAUCGCCUUAGGGACUAAACUCCAAUUUAGUAUCGCUUUUCAUCCACAGACGGAUGGACAAACAGAAAGAGUAAUUCAGACACUAGAGGACAUGUUGAGAGCUUGUGUCAUUGAUUUUAGAGGAAACUGGGAUGAAAAGUUGCAUCUAGUAGAAUUUGCCUACAAUAAUAGCUUUCAGAAGAGUAUAGACAUGGCUCCUUAUGAAGCAUUAUAUGGGAGAAGAUGUAGGACCCCUGUCUGUUGGAGUGAAGUAGGUGAAAGGAAAUUGACAGGACCUGAGCUAGUACAAGUAACUACUAAGGCUUUUGAAAGUAUCAAGAAAAGACUUAAAACUGCCCAGAGUCGACAGAAGAACUACGCAGAUAAGCGUAGAAGACCUCUGGAAUUUAAUGUGGGAGAUCAUGUAUUUCUUAAAGUAUCCCCUAUGAAAGGAAUAUCACGGUUUGGAGUGAAAGGCAAGCUGAGCCCUAGAUUUGUUAGACCUUUUGAGAUACUUGAAAGGAUAGGAGAUGUGGCCUAUCAACUAGCGUUACCCCCUAAGUUGGAAAACCUACAUGAUGUAUUCCAUGUGUCGAUGUUGAGGAAGUAUCAACCCGAUCCAGGACAUAUACUUGAUCAUGAAGACAUCAAAGUGGAUGAGAAAGUGAGGUACAUUGAAGAACCUGUACGAGUAUUGGAUCGAAAGGAGCAAAUUCUCAGGACCAAGAAAAUUCCACUGGUUAAGAUACUAUGGCGACAUCACGAUGUGGAGGAAGCCACAUGGGAGAGUGAGAUCGAGAUAAAGGAGAAAUACCCUCACCUAUUUGAAAACAUGUGAGUAAUGCCUAAUUUCGAGGACGAAAUCCUCUAAGGAGGGGAGAAUUGUGGCAUCCAGAAAUUCCGACGACCCUCAAGUAUGCAAUGGCCGUGAGUAAUCGACGAGAGUAUUGUCGGUACCACAUUUGGCCUAGUCUCAUCGCCACUCGACGUACCUAAAUAUUUACUUUUGGAGGAAAAGAUACUUGUCUUUGAAUGGCCAUAUGGACAAUCACACCAAUGACCAUGUUUUCUUUUACCUAUUGGACUCGAGCCUUCUCGCCAAUUAGCUAAGUUGAAGACCUCGAUGUUAUACACAACGUCACCACCACUCUCCCCUUCAAUGGCCACACGAAUGGCCCAUGCAAUUCAUAUACAUGUAGAAAUUAUGGUCAGCUUUUGGGAGAAGUUGGGCCACGCACGGAGACCAUGCGGCCACGAAUUGUUGGCCCAAGUUGCUUGAGUUUCCCUUUCAUUCGGUCAGCAAAUGAGUCAACAAAAGGAAAAUUCAUUGACUCAGCAGCCACGUGAACUUACCGAUUGGUGGACAACGCAUGAGGAAGGAUCGAGCAAGAGAGGACACAUCACUUGCAUGGACGUGUGAGGUGUCACCAUUUCCUGCUACCACCGAAUCUCAUUUGUAUUGACUCUCAAAGUCAACAAAUGAAGAAACAAAAUGCUCGUGCAAGUGAGGAAGAGAGAGAAGAAACCGAAACCAGUGAGUGAGAGAGGGAGGUACCGAGCGAAACUUGAGAGAGAAAGAGAGAGUUUGAGCAAGAGAAAUUGUGAGUGAACAGCAGAGGGGUAAACAGCUAGGGGAAGAGGAGACCGCCCUCUGCCGUGCGUGUGAGCUGCCGCCGUCGACGCCGCUUGUCUUCGCCGCCGUCAGGCCGCAUCGCCAAACCGAACUCUCUAGCUAUUGAACCCUAGGACUUGAGGCAAGUGAAUGAAAGUCCAUGAAUCUAUAUAAUGUGGUGCUGUUAUUGUCUAGUAUGGUGCAAUACACUUGGAAACAAUUGAGUUCUGAAAUUAGAAUGUUAAAUUGUGAGUAAUCAAAGUAAAGCGGGAUCAUGAGAUUGAGGAAUUACGUUGGUUUUGUGUGUAUCUUGAUCCUGUUGAUUUAUUGAUGAAAGACUGACUUUUAGUAGACUUGUGGAAGUAAGAUAGUUACGGUAGAAAUGGAAAUUUAUGGGAUUCGCUUUAUCCAGUGCAGUUUCAUAUGUAAUCCUGUAACUUUGUGAAAUUUUCUGAAGAGUUCUAAUAUGAAUUUGAUCUCGAUUUCUUCACAGAAGUUGUGAGGAAUUGCGUGAACUAGAGUAUAUAAUUUUAUCAGAACUUCUCGGAAUCAAUACAAUGGCUUAAAUCUUUGUUAAUAUGCAGUGCUUGCUGUUGAAUUUUAUUCUGUGAUAAAAGAAUCCUGAACUGAAUUGUGUGAACUACUACUCAUUAUACAUAACGAAUCUGGCUUAGUGUUCUUAACGAAAUAUUUUCGUCUAGCUCUCAAUUAUAACGUGUUAAAAUUUCAGAAUUUUUCAUGGUUAUUUGCUGGUUAUUUCGAAAUCUCUAUUGAAGGCAUGCAUUCUGGCCUUUACACUGUGUUACUAUGAAACUGUUCAUUUUGUUUAAGAGUCAUUGUAUCUUGAGUUGUUAAUUGUUAUUCACUUGAUAGAUGCAUUGGUAUUCAGCAUAUCACAUGACAUUGGAAAGUUUGAUAAAAUCUUAUAGAUCUGUGGAAUCCAUGACGUCAUUGCAUCAAAAUGUAUUUUUGUAAUGAGAUGUAUAUUAAGAUGUGAAUGUUACCGUCGGAGGUGUGAGCCGACGAUGCCCCGGGAGUGUCGGGAUGCCCAAGGGUCGAGUGAGUCAAUGCCGUUGGAUGCCCGGAGGUUUGUGCCGGAGGGUCCUCGGGAGUUUCGGGAUGCCCGGUUGUAGGGAUUGUACGUAAAUCCGGAGGGAAGGGGCAACCAUUUUCAUGGCGAGCCCUGGAUAUACCUCGUGAUGCCAGGUGGGGUGCGAGAUGCCCAGGGGUGUGACGGAACACGCUCUGGAUGCCCGGAGGUUUGUGCCGGAGAGUCUCGCGAUGCCAGGUUGGGUGCAAAAGCCCGGAGGGAUGCAAACACUGGUCCCCAGGGAAUGAAACCUUUCUUUGAAUGCUAAAAUCUGGUACAUUAAAGGAGUGCAUAUGUGUGCAUGUGGCAUGAUAUGAGAAUUUAUCUAUGAAAUUGAGUUGGCUUCAUCCGGUACUGAAAAUGCGUUUGUUAUGGCAUUGAAUUGUUUUUAUGAAUGUGGUGCAGAUAAAAUAAACCCUUGAUGGCAUGCCUAUACAUAUAAAUGAUAAGUGUGUUUGCAUGCAUCUGGAUGAUUAGAGUUUCUACAUAAUAUAGUGUAAUGGAUCUUUUUACUGCUGAGUGGUUGUACUCACCCCUCUUGGGGACUAACAUUUCAGACUAAAAGAAAAAUGCCGCUGCUGCCUGUGACUCCUGGUAUAUUUUAUGGACUACUGAUUGACCUACAGUGGGAGUGGUCAGAGCACCGUCAUCCUGGGGUGCACGGGUUGGUAUUCGAACGCGUGAGGAUCUUUCUGACUUUUGAGGUAGGCCUCUCUGUCGGGCCUAUUCACCAGGAGUACACAUCAGUUCUUGUCCGUAUGGAUGGCCGCCUUCUAAGGGUGCUACCACCACCACCGGCUAACGGACCUGACUGGAUAUGAUCUGGAGUCGAGGGUAGCAGGAGAUGCAUUUUUGGAUGCCGACACAUGGGUGAUGGACGGAUGCAGAUGAUAUCCAAGGAUAGAAGUUGGUUUUCUUUUGGGUAAUCGCCAGGCACGAAAAGACCUCGGCGUUUUGUUGUACCAACUAUCAUAGUCCAUCCCUUAUAUAAAUAAAAGUGUUCGGCCUAAAGUAUCAAAGUUUUAGUAUGGUGUGUAUCACUUUAUAUUUUGAUGAAGGGUAGUUGAAUUAUGCUUCUGCCAUAUUAUUUGCGCAGGGACCGGUAAAGAAAACAAAUGAAAACCCCCAGGUAUUAUAAGUUAUGUUAAAAUUUCUUUGGUCUCAGAGUAGUAUGCUAUAAGAGAAUGUAACUGUGGCGACCCUAACGGAUCGGGGGCCGUUUCAGGGGUGCCACAACAAGUGAGUAAUGUUUGGCCAGCCCACGUGCAACCUGCAACUGCUCACCUACUCCCAUGUUAGCGACCCUGCUGUCCUGAUCUUGCUUCUGACACACUCCCAUGGGCUUUCCCAAGGGCUAUGGCCAUUAAGUGGCCUGUUGUAUAGCCUUCUAAUGAUGAUACUCAUUUGAAUACCACCGUUGGAUCGGAGGGACGAUCAACGGUUGAGAUACGACUCGAACUUGUAUAAAUAGGGGUCCCUCCUUCUCAUUGUAUUAAGCUCAUUCAUAGUGAAAAACACUUGCUCCUUUAUGCAGCUGACCAUUGUGUUGUGCAUGUGCGUGAGAAGGCUAACUUGGGAUCACAAAUCUUAAGGCCACACAGUGUUUAAUCAAUCGAAAUCGACUGACCGGUGACAAGUGGUAUCAGAGCCUUCGUUCUAGGCGCGAUGGCUGAUCAACGUCCCAAUGUUAUGAUCGCUCAGGUUAAGGAUCGCGAAGAGCGCGGUAAGGCCAACGAGAAGGCUCCUACCAAGCUAAAGAAAACCCGUGGUGCCUCGAGUUUGAGGGAUCAGAUGGGUGACCUAGAACGUCAAGUGACAGUCAUGGAGGAAACCGUCUCGGACGUCUAAGGACAAGUCGAAGACUUGUGCCAGACCGUUGAGGGAGCGGAAGCCGGAAAGGAGAGCUCUGGGUUGAGAUGCAAGAGCUGAAAGCCGACAUGGGAGAGCUUUGAGGCAAGUUGCUGGGGUUCCUGAUCCAUGAGAUAUGACAAUGGGAUGAGACAUGGGAAGCGGUAAUGGUGGCCAUGUGCGAUGAAGUUGUUGAGCUCAAAGGGAAGCUUAUAGAGGUCGAAGCAGCACGCGUGAACAGGGUGAUCACAGUGCAACCACAUGCCGAUGCACCCAAGCCGAAAGAGUUCAAGGGCUCUGAGGUGGCAAAGGACGUGGACAACUCAUGUGGUACAUGGAACGAUACUUCCAGACCAUGGGAAUGACCGACGAUGUGAUUCAGGUAAACACUGCAGUCAUGUAUUUAGUUGAUGAUGUGUUACCGUGGUGGCGUCGCAGGUUAGAUGAUAGGAGUGGUGACCCUAUCACAACAUGGGCUCGAUUUGUCGAAGAAUUUUGGCGAACCUAUUAUCUUGCUUAUGCGGAGGAAGAAGCUCGCGGAAAACUCAAGCGCCUAGAGCAAAAAGGCGGAGCCCGCGAAUACAUGAAAUGGUUCUUGGAGCUGUUGCUCCAAAUCCCAUCCAUGACCGAGACGGAGGCAUUCCAUUAGUUCAUGAGUUGACUCAAACCAUGGGUCAAGCAAGAGCUUAAACGAUGCAAUGCAAUAGAUCUUAUAAUGGCUACUUUCGUGGCCGAGUCUCUUGUGGAAUACAAACCAUCAUCCUCAACUAAGCCAGACCCUUAACUGAGAGAAAAGGCCAAUGGUGGGGGAGAUCGGAGUCAGUACAGCCAUUCGAAUGGAGGCAAACCACCAUCUUUCCCUCCUAGGACUCAACCCGCAUCGAGUAAUAGAGGAUACCAUCGCAAGGUACUCACCUAUAAGUGCUUCUUUUGGGAUGGUCCCCAUAUGAUCCGAAAUUGUUCGAAAAGAGGGAAGUUGGCGGCCUUGUGCAAAGAGGAUGUACUGCGAGAGGAGGCACGGUUGGGAUCAUUAAGGAUCUAUUGGUCGAUCAAGGCCAAGAAGGCUAAGGAGCCUAAAGGGAUGGUGUUCGUGGAUGUGAAGAUCGGUGGUAUCACAAUGAGUGCGCUCGUGGAUACUGGGGCAUCCGACUUCUUCAUAUCCAAUGAGGUCGUGAAGAAGCUGAAUCUUCCGGUUGAGACAAGUGACGUUGGUUGGCUUAAAACGGUGAACUCCAAGGAAGUCCCGACCAGUGGCAUGGCUAGGGACGUGGAGAUGCACCUUGGUCCAUGGACCAGCAAAGAGGAUAUCGAGAUAAUUCUCCUUGACGACUAUGACUUCAUACUCGGUUUAGGAUUCCUCGAUUGGAUCAAUGCAGGUGUCAUGCCAUUCGCGGAUUGUAUUUGCAUCCUAGAUAAAUGAUGCUAAUGCAUGGUCUUGAUCUACCGCAAGUCAGGACGCGAUAGGAAGAUGCAACUGAGAAAGGGGUUACGAAAAGGCAAGGUGACCUUCUUGGCAGCAUUUUAGGAGGAGGCCGUGGAAGAAAGUGAGGUACCGAGAGAGGUGGCCCGAGUCAUCGAUGCCUUCCAAUAUGUCAUGCCGCUUGAGCUGCCCAAGAAGAUGCCUCCUUAGAGAGAAGUGGACCAUCGAAUCGAGCUUGUGCCCGAUGCUCAACCACCGGCCAUGGCACCCUAUCGCAUGGCCCCACCCGAGUUGGAAGAACUAAGGAAACAGCUCAAAGAGCUACUCAAUGCAGGGUACAUUCGGCCAUCCAAAGCCCCGUUCGGUGCCCCGAUCUUAUUCCAAAAGAAACAUGACAAAUCCCUCUGCAUGUGCAUAGACUACUAAGCAUUGAACAAGCUCACCGUCAAGAACAAGUACUCGAUCCCUCUCAUUGCAGACUUGUUCAAUCAACUUUGGGAAGCCCGAUGGUUUUCCAAACUUGUUCUUCGAUCGGGAUACUACCAAGUUCAGAUUGCCAAAGGGGAUGAACCGAAGACCGCGUGCAUGACCCACUAUGGAUCAUACAAGUUCCUCGUCAUGCCUUUCGACUUAACAAAUGCACCGGCUACAUUAUGCACUCUCAUGAAUAAGUUACUCUAUCUGUUCCUUGAUUGGUUCAUUGUGGUUUACCUUGAUGACAUCGUUGUAUAUAGUUGGACACUCAAGGAACAUGUCAAGCACUUGAGACGAGUCUUCCAGCUCUUAUGGGAAAAUGACUUGUACGUGAAGUGUGAGAAAUGCGUUUUCGCGCAAAAGGAAGUCCAUUUCCUUGGGCACAUCAUCGAGGGUGGAUGAGUGCGGAUGGACGCAGUCAAGAUCCAUGCCAUCAUUGAAUGGGAACCACCGACCAAGGUGACAGAGUUGAGAUCCUUCCUUGGUUUCAUGAAUUACUAUCGGCGCUUCAUCUGGGGAUAUUCAAACUUCACCAUGCCACUCAUGGAUAUGCUGAAGAAAGAAAGGCCAUGAGAGUGGACGGAUUGGUGUCAAGAGGUGAUUGAUCGGUUGAAGUGGGCCAUGACGGAAGAGCCGGUGCUUGUGCUACAUGACUACACCAACCCAUACGAGGUAGAAACUGAUGCCUCUGAUUUUGUUAUUAGUGGUGUCUUAAUGCAGGAAGGGCAACUAGUUGCCUUCGAGUUACGAAAAUUGAAUGAUAUCAAGCAAGGAUAUACGGUCUAAAAGAAGGAAAUGACUGUGGUGGUGCAUUGCCUUCGUACGUGGAGGCACUAUUUCUGGGGAUCGUGGUUCGUCGUGAGGAUCGACAACGUGGUCAUGAGCUACUUCCAAACCCAGAAGAAGCUCAGCCCGAAGCAAGCUCGGUGGCAAGACUUCCUGGCCGAGCUUGAUUAUGUGUUGGAAUACAAGCCCUAAAAAUCCAAUUCUAUGGCUGAUGCCUUAAGUAAGAAGAUGGAGCAAGCCAACGUGAUGAGUCAAGUCGAUUGUCCAUGGAUCGACUGUACCAAGGAAGGGCUGAAGCACAAUCAAACAACCCAAGCCCUCAUUUGGUACGCGCAAGAGGGCAAGACAAGGCGCUUCUGGUGCAAGGAUGACCUCCUCUACACCAAAGGAUGACAACUCUAUGUGCCGCUCCACAAGAAACUCCAGAAGGAAGUCCUACACGAGUGCCAUGAUUCUAAAUGGGUGAGUCAUUUAGGAAUCCACCGCACCAUGGCCCUCGUGGAGAAUCAAUACUAUUGGCCGUAUAUGCGGGAUGACAUCGAAGCCUAUGUGUGGACAUGUCUUGUGUCCCAACAAGAUAAGAUAGAGCAACGGUCACCGGCGGGGCUCCUUGAACCGUUGCCUAUCUUGGAACGUCCAUGGGAGAGCGUCUCCACGGAUUUAAUUGUGAACUUGCCGAAGUCCAAAGGAUGUCAGACCCUUAUGGUCGUGGUGGAUCGCUUCUCUAAGUACGUGACAUUCGUGCCAGCCAUAAAGGAUUGCCUAGCCAAGGAAGCAGCCAAGCUAUUCCUCAAGUAUGUUGUCAAAUAUUGGGGCAUCCCACACACGAUCAUGAGCGAUUGGAUCCUUGAUUCACUAGGCGGUUCUGGACCGAGCUUUUCAAGUUGCUAGGGACGAACCUCAACUUCUCCAUGAGCAUGCAUAUCCAAACUGACGGACAGACGGAGCGGGUGAAUGAACUCCUAGAAAUCUACCUCUGGCAUUAUGUGAGCAACACGCAAGUGAACUGGUUACAGCUGAUCAACGUGGCCCAAUUCUCAUACAACUUACAGCUGAGUGAGUCCACAAACCAGAGUCCAUUCAAGAUCGUGAUUGGGCAAAAACUACUCACAUCGAGUGUGAUUGCCUCGGGAUAUCAAGGAAGCAGCCCCUUCGCAUACAAGUUCACUAAGGAAUGGGAUGAGCAUGCGGACUUGGCGUGGGCGUGCCUAAAUAGGGUUGCGAAGCGCACGAAGAAGUGGGCCGACAAGAAGUGAUGGCACGUGGAAUUUCAGGUCGAGGACUUGGUGUUGGCCAAGCUACACCUGGUCCUUCAGUACCAAGACGUGCACAAAGGGCUGAUCCGUUGCUAUGAAGGCCCCUUUCGAGUGUUGCAGCGAAUUGGGAAGGUAGCAUACAAUUUGGACUUGCUGGCCAAACUCAAGGUACACCUCAUGUUCCAUGUGAGUAUGCUGAAAUCUUUCCAUGCAGAUGAGGAUGAUUCGGAUCGAGGCGAAUCACAACAAGCGCCCCUUGGAGUGAAAACCUCCUAUGAUCAGGAUGUUGAAUGUAUCAUGGCAAAUCGGAUCAUAUGGAAGAGAUAUUGUGCACCAAGGAAGGAGUACCUCGUCCGAUGGAAGGGCUUUCUUGAGAUUGAAGCGAGUUGGGAACCCUCCGAGGGCUUGUGGCAGUUCAAGAAACACAUCAAUGCCUUCCAUGCCACAGACGCGAUGAGGGUGUCGCCCGAUUAGGUGGGGGAGAAUGACACGGCUCACGGAUGAAGCACGUCCUAAGACCGUCUGGGUCAUGUCACGCAUGAAGGGCUGCCCAUGAACGGCCCACGAUCGAUCCACUAUCAACGCACGACCAGCCCGUGCAUAAUUGGUGAGUAAUGUUCGACCAGCCCACAUCAACCUGCAGCCGCUCACCUGCUCCCAUGUCAGGCGGCCCUGCUGCCUUGAUCUUGCUUCUGACACACGCCCAUAGGCUUUUCCAAGGGCUAUGGCUAUUAAGUGGCCUGCUGUGUAGUUUGAAUACCAACGUUGGAUCGGAGGGACGAUCAACGGCUGAGAUACGAUCCGAACUUGUAUAAAUAGGGAUCCUUCCCCCUCAUUGUAUUAAGCUCAUUCAUAGUGAAAAACACUUGCUCCUUUGUGCGGCCGACCCUUGUGUUGUGCGUGUGCGUGAGAAUGCUGACUUGGGAUCACAAAUCCUACGGCCGCAUGGUGUUUGAUCGAUCAAAAUCGACUGACCCGUAACACUAGACUAUAAGAAGAUGUUCAAUAUCAUCCUUUAAUUAAUUGAUGAAGUAGAACCCAUUGAUGUGGCCUUUAACAUGCCAAGUUUGAAUGGUGGACAAGAAAAAAAGUUGUGCCUAGAUUUUCUACGUAUCAAGUAUUCACAUUAUAUAGGGAAAGAUGAUCAACAUAAGAUAUUUAUUUCAAGACAACUCAAACCUGAGGCACUCUAAAAGACGCCAAUUACUUUUCUUCCUUCCUCAGCCUUUAUGAUGCUCUCAUCAAUUCUUUGGUUAUAGGGUCGCUAGUCCCUCGAAAAGCUGUAAAAGGACAAUAAGAAAAAGUGAAAGAAUUUUCAUACUAAAACACAAUUUCUCAUUCCAAAACACCAGUAAUUUCAUACCCAUCACACUAGAUAGAUUGAAGAUCCUGAUCCUCCGACUAUUCAACAGUUCUAGCAGUGGAGCAUUGCUUUCAUCAAAGUAAAAACCAAAAUGAUAAUUCACAUUGCUCCUUAAAUAACUUACCAAUUGUUUUUCCAUUCCAAUUUCGCCUUUUUAAGACCACAAUGUGAUCUCUACACCCACAAUGCCAGCUUCUUUACGACAAAUAUGAGCAUGGUGGUAUGAGCAAGCUCAUAACUAUCGAUCCCUUUCUCUUUGGAGAACUCUUCGAUCUGAAGUGCCUUAACAAGGUAGAAUUCUCCGGCUCGUGUAACCUCAUAUUCAAUUUGGUCAAAUUCAACGUCUUCACCUACAUGCACAUAUUUAGGUGGUGCUCUCUCCACGACUCCAAGAGCUACAACGUCACUGGCAUCGACCUCAACCCAUCAAACCAUUUCUGUUUAUGAGGCUCCAAGCACAUUGCGCCAGAAGUUUGAUUACGAGGAAGAAGAUGAAACGUUUAUGUCAAGGAAGAGGUUCAUUUGAUUCCCUAUAUUUUUUUUUCCCAAAUAAAUAAUAAAAGUAAAUGGAUUAAAAAAUGAAACUCAUAAUUACAUGUUCUUGUAGCGUGCCAACUCAUCAUUUUAAAAGUCCUAUGUUACAUAUCAUAUUUCAUGUCAUCAAAUAAUGUCUGAUUCGUUUUUUGAUCAAAUAGAAAAUUUACAUAUCUUCUAAUAAUUCAAGAACCACAUUGAAAGAAUUAAAAGAGCUCAAAGGUGAAAUUGCACAUUGGACCGAACUUUAUGGGCUAUUUGUGUUAGUAUCCUAAAACUCAUCAUUUUUAAUAGUACGAAUAAAAGUUAAACCAUAAAGAAUAUAAACUGCUCAUAAAAGUUUUUUUUUUCCUUGAAAAGAAAUCAUUCGGAAAUGUCUAAGUUUAUUUACAUAUGGAUAUCAUAAGAUCUUCCACGAUGUAAUGAAAAAUAUUUACCAUGCUUUUUCAACAAUUCAUCAAAUCAUCUAAACAUGAUAGAUGCGAUUGCCAUACUCGCUUUAAAAAUACUAUUCACCCCAUAGAAAAUCAAAAAUCUAAUAAUUUAAGAUUGUUAAAUGUUUUUUUUUUCCCGGUUCUCAAUAUCUAGAGUAAUAAUUUAGGCGCCCUCUAUGCACACAUCAACGGUGACUUGUGUUUGUACCCUUUCUCUUUCUUAACAAAACCAUAGCUUAAAGCAAAAUCAUUAUAUAUAAUACUAUGAAAAACUCUAAACCAGUACACCUGAAACAAAUUUACCUUAAACUGAUUUUUUGACUACCAAAAACCUCAAACAAAUAUGUCUGUGAUAAAUUUAUCCUUCAUUAAUUUCCGUUAAAUUUUACUGUCAAAUUGCCGAGCUUAAUGACCGUGACAAUUAAUGAGUGUAUCAAUUUGAGGUUUUACCAAUUUGUGAUGUUCGUGGUAUUAAUCCAAUUUAAUGGGAACUAAUGGAGAAUAAAUUUAUUACAAAUGUACUAGUUUUGAGAUUUUUUUUAUGAUAAAAAAAUUAGUUUAUGAUAAAUUUGUUACAAGUAUAUCAAUUUAAGAUCUUUCGUGAUAUUAAUUCUAUAAUAUAUAUAUAUAUAUAUAUAUAUAAAUAUAUGUCCACUGGCUGAGAAAGUCCCGUGCUAGUCAGUCAAAAAAGUCUACGCCGAGUCAAAAUAGGCAAGUGGUAUUUUUCUUUCUUGCGCCACUCCAAUUUGAUAUUACUGAGUAGGAAAUCUUGAUUUCUAAAGCGCAAAACUGGACGUCCACAAAAUCCAACUUUUGGAUUUUUCUAUAAUUAUAGGCUUAAACUCGAGACUUAUUAUAACGAAUGAUUCUUGAACUUUGUAGUUUAUUGUUGCUCUCCGUUUAAUCUCUGAUGUCUUGUUUUUUUUUUUUUUUUUGUUUCUUUCUUUCUUUUUAUUAAGCCUUAGCGGUAUGUUUUCUUCUAGGCUUUGCUGCCAUUAUUUCUCUGAUUUGAUACUACGGCUUGCAGUGGAUGUGCUCUUCCACUUUGCUUUGUUUUAAGGAAUGCAAGCUAAGUUACUUACCCAAACAAAAAGAAACGGAAGCCGAGCUAGUUGUUGAGGGAUCUUUCUGAAGAGCAUGUUUUAAGAAAGGUGUGGAGAUUCCAGCAUAGUCAUUAGCUCUGCUGAGGAAGGUGGGAUCGGACCGGUGAAAAUUUUUGUUUGAAAGGAUAAGCAUAUGAAUGAAGUGGCUUCAAAUCCUAAAUUUAUGCGGGUAUCCAUUUCUCGAACUUCUUAUUGGAUAGAUCAAUUUCUGUAAGGGCAUAUUGAAUUUUCGAGUAUUCCCUUUCCGUCCCAUUAUUCAUAAGUUUCAUUCCACAUGUCACCCUUUCCCAAUCUAGGGAAGAAAUUUCUUGCUGAAUAUCCAUGAACUCAUAUUGAUCAACAAUAAAUUCAUCUGUAACAACUUGGAUGAUAGCUCGCCAUUGAAACCAUUGUUAGAAAGGUCUGCGAUUUGCAAAUUCGUGAAGUUAAAUUGGCCCUGAUAAUUAGUUCCUAUUAGACCAUGGAACUUACUAGAAUGCCAGUCAGUAAAUUUUAGCUUAGUCAAAUCUGGUAGCCAAAAGGUUAAGUGAUCACCAUUUUGAUUGUUACCAAGAUUCACUAUCCUAGCACUCUACAAUUGACCAAAGAUCUAGGAACAGACCCUUUGCAAUCAAUUCUUCCUAUGGUCUACCAUUCUCAAUGCAGAACCAUCUGUAUAACUAUGAAAAAAUAUACCCUCAAGCUCAUUUUUCCCAGGAUUCAAAUCUAGCAAAGACUCGGUAUUUGCUAAACAUGAAGAAGCGUGCCGUUUAGACUAUUGUUGAACAAAUCAAGCAUGGUGACAAAAAGAUGGAAUUUGGACAUAUGUUGGAAAAAAUUUAUAAAGUCAUAUAUAGGCAACAAUAAAAUAUAUUUGGGCAUAUGUUGAAAGAAAAAUUGGGUAGAUAGAGUGGAAAUCGGAGCUCGAAUUCUACCGCCGGGCUUGACCAUUAAUUUCCGGUCAUAUUAUAUUCGUUUAACAUCUUUGCACAGAAUAAAGAAAAUCAAACUUGAGAGAGACCCGCCCCCAAUUCUCUUAGGAAAGAAGUCAAUAGAUUGAUCAUUAACGGCAUUUACUAAUAGGGCGCAUCAAGAUUUGACAUUAGGGUUCAUACCUGUCGACUUUGAUUAUGGACAAGUUUGUCAAGAUCGAGGAUUCUGUUGUUAAGUUCACAUUUUUUCUAGAUGGAUCUGCGGUUUUCAAAAGAAGUAACAGGACAAGGGUCAAUGAUAUUCAUACGAGUUACUUUUUCCUCACUCUAUCUUAAGGUCAAGAUUUGAACCAUGGAUCCCUUGUGCUUUUUUUUUUUUUUGGUAAAAAAAAUUCCAUUUAUCAUCAAAAUGAUACAUAAUAGAAGAUCUCAAAAGUCAUAAUAACAAGACAAACCCAUAAAAUUCCAAAACAAACCAAAAAUCAGAAAUCAAUGCAUAUCAUUAGAGCAUGGUUGGCACAAAUAAUCACAGGCUCAUGGUUUGUUACUACAUCCAAGCGAAAGGAUUGUUGGUCAAUCAUAAAAUUACACAAUGUCAUUAGUAAUAAGCACAUGCCAAGAUCUCCAUUUAUAGUUACGACUUUGCCUUUCAACGGCGUGCACCUAGAUUCAACGAUGUACACCUAGAUUCCUCAUCCCCAACGCCAUCACUGUAUAAAAACAAAACAUGUUGAAGAAGAUCAUAUUUGACACUUGUCAGAGCAAGUUUUGUAGCCAACGUGAAGCACCAUAACUUAAAUAAGUGUAGAUUUGACACUAAAACCAUUGUGAACACCAUUAAAAGUGGAGGCAGAGUAUUUAUUCAUUAAAACUGCCGAAUAUAAUAUCGGGAGAGCAAAGCUCUCAAAUCUAAGACUAAAUUUGGGAGAGUAAGGAAAGAAAAAAAAAAGCAACUAGGAGAGGAGGGAGAGAUCUAGGUCAAAUCCCUCCCUUCCAUAAGUGUAAGAGCGAAGAAAGGUAGGGAGGGAGGGGGGAGGGGGUUGGGAGAGGAAAACACGUUAGUGUCAAUUUUGAUCUCUUCAGUUUUAAAGAGGGAAAACUGAUGGUUAGAAUAUAUAUAUUAUUGAUAGAUUGUGUCGCGACCAAAAUUUCGGGUGCACCACCUAAAAUUAGGCCAAUGAACUACUAAGUCUAACUUAGCUCGGGCUCUCUCAAGCCCAUACCAAUUCAUGACUUAGGUUCAAAUUUCUUAACAUGCAAAUAUAUUUUAUCUAAGAGUCGCCACUAAUUAGUUUAUGGUAGGUCGAUUAGACACCUAAGUAAAAUAAUGGGAGGAUUAUUUUACUCCUAUGAACUAGAGACUUUGGAUACGGGGACUUGGUUACACUAGACUUCUCUAAUGCCCUUUCGGUACCAUUUCUUUUUAUUUUCAAAAAAUGUUUUGCAGACACCUUGAAUUGAUUUUAAAUUAUCUCCCUAACAUGUACGGUGAUCAUGCGGAUGUGCAAAUUACCAAUUUAACACCUAGAUAAAACAGUGAAUAAAUUGCAAAACUUAACUCAAAGCAACGAAAGCAUCUGCGUUGUUAGAUUAGAAUUCACAUCAACAACCCUAGAUAUGAUUUCUAAUUAACCUGUAAUUUCCCUUCUUUUUGUUUUCACUUAUUUAAUGAGAAUCAUGCAAUGCAUGCUGCUAAUCUAACAUGAAAAGACAUGACAUGGUAAUAUGACCUAACUAUAUGACAUAAUAAGAUGCAAUCUAUGUUAAAAAUGGAAUUAAUCUAUUCUAAGGCAUUUUUUGGUAUUUUGCAUGAAAUUCGAAAUUAUAAAAAUGCGAAAAUUAUCUAUCUAAAUUAAAAUAUCAUCUAAUUUGUAUUAGGAAUGAGGUUAAGCCAAAUCCUAAUUUAAACUAGAAUGUUAUCCUAACUUAGAAAUCCCUAACUAAAAUGCAAUCUAUCUAAAAAAUUAUCUAAACUUAUAAUAAAGUAAAAAACUAUUAUCUAAACUUAAACUAUAUGAAAUUUUACCCUAAAAUGCAAUGACAUGCAAAGAAUGCCCUAAUUCUAUUUUUUUUUUAUGAAAUUCGAAAUUAAAAUUGCCAAAUAAUUAAACGUGCAAUUCAAUUUUAAAAAAACUAACAUCCUAAAUGAAUGCAUUUUUUGGAUUUUUUUUUUAAAUUCGGAAUAAAGCUCCUAUUCUAAAUAUGCAAGAUAACUCUAAGACGGGGAAUAUUCUAAAACAAACCUAAUCCUAAUUCAAAUAUUUUUUUGAUUUUCUUUUUUACGAAAACAAAAUCGACUCAAACCACAUGACGGCAAAUUAGAGCAAGAUAAGAUUGAUAUCCAAAAAUUGACGAACCAUAUCUCGCGUAUGAGAUCGGGUUGAUCAAUUUUAAAUAAAUCACGAAUCGAAUCUCAGGCGUGAGAUUGGAUUGGUGAUUUUCGAAGUGAUUGUCAGUCGGAUUUUAGGCGCAAAAAUCGGACUAUCAAUGCUAAUAUGAAUUUUGGGCUCCUAAACUAGGGUUAGCCGUGAUGGUGGGUUGCCGGAGCUCCGGUGAGGAUUGGCGGCAGCAGCGACCAGUAGGCCAAGGGGGUGGAACAUCUUGGAAAGGAGCGGCAGCUGGCAGAGCUAGGCGGGCUCGGGGCUGGAGUGGAUAUGAUGAGCAGUGAAUAGGAAUGUUCGACUUCACAAGGGCCAUAGCAAGGUGCGACGGGGCAGCUUCCAGCGUGGCGAGCUGCUGUGGCGGCGGGCGGAGGUUCGGAGUUGCAGGGAACGGGCGCCAGGUGGUCACUGAUGGGCGAGCGGUGACGCGUUUGCAAGCGUCGGACUCGCGGGUGACUGUGGUGGUGGUAGACGUCCGGCCUGGAUCUGCUAGCGUCAAGGCGCUACUAUGGUGUAGCGACAAGCGAGCGAGCGAGCAGAGCAGGAGCAGCAGCGGCCAAUGCGGAGGGUAGCAAGCGAAGGCGUGGCAAAGAGGGCUCAGGAUCUACUGUAGAGGCGGGUAGCAACGACGGUGCUGUGGGAAACGAAUGGUGGGAUGGCUCGGUGGUCAGCACGAGGCGGUGAUGAUGCGACGUCGUGUUGCAGGCGAAGGCACCGGUGGCCAGCGAGGCAGCCGCAUGGAGAAGACCUGUUCGUCUCUUCUUCUUUUUUUACCUUUUGGUUUUUCUCUCUCCUAUUGCUGCACGUUCUUUGCUGCACUUUUCUAUAGAAGGGAAGAGGUUCUUGCUGGUUUUUACCUUUCAUCCGGAAAGCUUUUCUCUUUUGUUGUUGUUGUUGUUUUUUUUAGCAGAAGGUCUACUGACCUUUUUUCCUUCUAAAGCUUUUUCCUUUUGUGUUGCUCUCUCGAGAAGAACAAAGGAAAAGCGAAAUCAUCCACCGAGAAGCUCCCUUUCGUAUUGACUUUGAACUUUGAAAAAAAUGAAGGAAGAGACUCGAAAAAUAGAACCCUCUUUUGUGCGGCCAUGUAUUCAAUGUGUGGCCCCCCUAAAACCCUACACAUUUUAACCUAUUUAUAGGCCAUGAAUUAGGGUUUUAAUUUUUCCAAAUCCAUAUCCAUGAGGAUUAUUUUUCCAGACGCAAUAUUCGUUUUGCUAAACACAAUAUUUGCUUUUCCACUUGCCCUAUCCGAAAAAAAAAAAUUCAAUCAUAUCUUGGAAAAUUUCAAAUUCCUAUUUUCACAAGAUAAUUUCUGAUCAUUAAAAAAUGGGCUUUGGCCAAUUUGCUCGCUUUGUGGGCUUAAUCCGGCCUACCAAGUUAAAGUUCAGAACCACUAAUUCAAACCAAUCCACCACCGGUCCAAUGCAAAAAAUGCAAAUAAAUGCACCUAAAUCUAUAUGCAAUUAAUAUUUCUUUUAGGGAUAAAAUUGACCCAUAAUUUUCUAUGCAAUAAAUAAAUGACCGGAUCACUAAAAUUUAGAUGUCAACAGCUGGCCCUCUUUAAAGGUGAGUUCAUAGAGGUUGCCUUUAAAGACAAAUUUAGACCUAAAUUUUGACCUUGCACAGGUACUGAAUGAUUUUUUUUUUUUUUGGUUGGAAAAUGAAUCCCGUUUUAAAAUGCAAUUUAUAUGAUGUAUGGAAAUGCUAAUGCAAAUGCAUGAUGCGAAAGAAAGGAACGUACCUACAGUUACUAACCAAUCAGUGUGGUAGAGCAUCUUGAGGUACAUGAUAAAUUCCUAUUUACUCCACAAGUACCCAACUCUCACUUAGGUUCCUUAAGGAGUCUAAUAGGUAAUAAAUUGAUACAUCGAGACUGAGAAGAACAUUCACAUCUAAAGUGAAAUGUUCAACAAAAAGAAUUGAGACAUCCAGAUCCAAACUGAGAUGUCAAGAUUUUUAAACUCGAAAUACCUAGAUCUAAACUAAGGUACAACAAGAAGGAUCGAAAAACAUUCACAUCCAGAGUGAAACAGUCAACGAAAAUAAUUAAGACAUCUAGAUCCAUAUUGAUAUGUUAGAAGUUUUGAAUUUGAAAUACCUAGAUCCAGACUAAGGUAUAACGAGAAAGGUCGAAAAAACAUUCACAUCCAGAGUGAUGUUUAGAUGAAAAUAAUUAAGACAUCCAGAUUUAGACUGAGAUGUCAGAAUUUUUGAACUCGGAAUACCUAGAUGCAAACUAAGAUAUAAUGAUAAGGAUGGAAAAACAUUCACAUCCAGAGUGAAAUGUUUGAAGGAAAAUAAUUAAGACAUCUGGGCCCAGACUGAGAUGUCAUGAUUUUUUAAACUCGAAAUACCUAGAUCCAGACUAAGGUAUAAUGAGGAAGAUUGAAGAACAUUCACAUCUAGAGUGAAAUGUUCAACGAAAAUAAUCAAGACAUUCGAGUUUAGACUAAGAUGUCAUGAUUUUGGAAGCUCGAAAUACCUUAAUCCAGACUAAAGUAUAACGAGGAAAAUCGAAGAACAUUCACAUCCAGAGUGAAAUGUUCAACGAAAAGAAUUAAGACAUCCAAAUCCAGACUGAGAUGUCGAAAUUUUGAAAUGCAAUUUGUAUGGAAACACUGGUAAAGGAACCUACCUGGAAUAUCUUACCUUUAAAGAGGGUAGAGUGAUUCAAGGUAGUUGGUGUUACACGUCCAUGACCCGUACCUUUCUACGGUUGCCUAGCGUUGCAACAUAGACUAUCUGAUCAGAAUUCGAACUUUUCUUUAGUCGCCUUAAUCAGACUAAAUCUGGAGAAAAAUCUCUAAGGAAUAGCUUGAUCGAGUCGAGUGUUGGUGCACUUGAACGGAAUACUUGUGCAAUGACAAGUAUUUAAAGUAAAGUAUGGAUAGAGAUAUACUUACCUGGUGAUAUCUCCGAUUCUAGGGAUAUGUCUUCUGGAAUUUAGAUAUCCUGUGAAGGUCUCUCACCUCCUAGUAGAAAUAAAUUUUGGAAUACCAAGGAUGCACCUUGAAUGUUCGUGAAGGCUUCACGAGGCAUUCUGAAAGGAACCUAAAUGUCAUAAGCUCUUGGGUCUUUAGAGCAAAAAUGCAUUUACCAAAGAAAUAAGCAAUGCGCACUUCAAAAUCCACUGAAGUUUUUAUUAAUUCAAUCAGGGUUCAUGCAUAAUGACCUUUGCAUCACCCAAAUUUCCACUGGAGAGAAUCAUCGUUCAAGACAAUUUUCAUGAUGUGGCACCCCUCGACAGCCCUCGAACCGUUAGGGUCGUCAUAGUUCGCUUACCUUUCACUUGGCCUGAUAAUAUAAUACUUUGAUACCAAGGAAUUUCAUGUCAAUUCAUAAAUCCUGGAGGUUUACAUCUUUUAGAUCGGUCCCUGCGCAAUUUAUAUGGCGGAAGCACAUCCAUCAACUCCCUUCCCUAUAUUCAGAAAACGAUGCACACCAACUAAACAUUUAUAGGUAAAAGUCGAACACUUUUAUUUGCUUAAACCAGAUGGACAUCAUUCAUCGGUACAUCAAAAUGUCGUAGUCUUCUAUACUCGACUAUACUUCAAAAGAUGACCGACAUAUUUUCCAAUAGUCGUAUACUUAAGGUCCAUCGACCAGUGUCGGCGUCCAAAAGUUCCUUCCUUUGUUAUCCUUCUCCUCGCGGUCAUAUCCAACCACUCAAUCCAUCUACUAGUGGCAGUGGUAGUAGAGGUAUCUUAUAUAAUUUGAAAUGUUAGUCCCCAAACGGGGCGAGUACAACCACUCAGUAGUAAAGAUCCAUCAAACUACACAAUGCAACAAGCAAGACAACCACAAUUUCAUGUGAAAUGCACAUAUCAUCCAUGCAAUCAUGCUUAUAUCUUCAUGAGAUGCAUUCAUUAAGGCAAUUCAUGUUCCAUACCAUAUGCACAUACAUGCGCAUGAUCCAUAUCACCCAUAUAUAUAUAUAUAUAUAUAUAUAUAUUCUCCUGAGAUCCAUUCAAUGCCUUCAUGAUCGCAUUCUCAAUGCCAUAUAGUGUCAACUCAAUUUCAUAGGUAAUUGUGGAUCUAUUAAGUGACCGAACUCUAAAGAAAAAUCAUUAUUAAUGGUCCAAGACCAUACAUAUUGAUAGAUAAAACUUCUAUUUAUUUGCUGAAUAGAUAGAUAGACCGAAAGUAUCAUAACUAUACUUAACUUCCAUACCAAGGUUAGCACGAUUAAUAAUAUCAGCCCAGGUAUUAAUUACACGACCUUGACUAUCAACUAGGGAUUGGUUGAAAUUGAAACCAUUUAGGUUGAAAGCCAUAGUGCUGAUACCUAAAGCAGUGAACCAGAUACCUACUACAGGCCAAGCAGCUAGGAAUUAUAUCUCAUGCCAUAUGCACAUACAUGCGGAUGAUCCAUAUCACCCAUACAAUCAUAUAUAUAUAUUCUCAUGAGAUCCAUUCAAUGCCUUCAUGAUCGCAUUCUUAAUGCCAUAUAGUAUUAACUCAAUUUCAUAGGCAAUUAUAUCCCAUGUCAUAUGCACACACACGUGCAUGAUUCAAUUCCCAUUUUGAUAUUCAAAAGGAUCUCAUCUUUCUCCCAGGGACCAGUGUUUGCAUCCCUCAUAUAUUGCUCGCACCCAACCCGGCAUCGCGAGGAACCUCCGACACACACCUCCGGGCAUCCGGCACACACACUCUGGGUAUCUCGCAUCCCACCUGGCAUUACGAGGAAUCACAGGGGCUCGCCAUGAAAAUGGUUACCCUUGCCUUCCGGAAUUACGUACCGACAUACCACCAGGCAUUUCCUAGAAUUACGUACUGAUAUACCACCAAGCAUCCCGAAACUCUCGAGGACAUCUGGCACACACCUCCGGGCAUCUGGCACACAUACUCUGGUCAUCCCGACACUCCCGGGGCAUCGUCGACUCACACCUCUGACGGUAUUAUCAUCAUCACAAUGCAUAUUCCCAUAUAUAUCUCAUUUUCAAUUUAACAUUUGAUGCAACAAUGUCCGAGGUUUAAACUAGACUUUUUGAUGUCAUGUGAUAUGCCAAAUGUCACCAUAUAUGCAAUACAAAUAACACCCAAGAUAUCACACUUCAUAAAGCAAUUCAUUUGUUCUUGAAAAUAGAACAAAUUUUCGGACAAAGCAGAAUGCACUCCUUAAAUAAAAAUUCUGGAAAAAUUAGUAAAAAAUUUCAAUAAAUUCUGAAAAUUUAACAUGUUAUAAAAAAGAUCUAGAGAAAAAGGUUUCAUGAAGAACACCAUGUCAAAAGAGCUUUGUAUGGGUCACUACAGUCCAUGCAUCACAACUUAAAGUUUCGGAACAUCACCAUUGCACAGUUUUAUUCAUAAAUUCGAUAUAAACCCUAAACCAACUCAGAAAAUUAUGAAAAUUUUGAUAUGUCAUAGCCAAUACCUAGAGGUAAAAGUUUUGUGAAGAACUCAAAGUCAUAUUCGUUAUAGAUCAUGAGUUACAUUCACCAAAACUCCCCCUAACCCUCGGUAACGAUUUCCAGAUUUAACACUUCAAAGAAAAAUCAUUUCCCUGAUCAAUACUAGUCCGUUUAUUCUCAAAUUUCAAUAUAUUUCUCCUCAAGAUGUCUUCUACAACUAUUAUCAAGGACACGAGAUCAAAUUCUGACUGGAUAAUUUCACAAAAUUCACAAAACCGCAAGGGAUCAACAUAUCAGUUUUCCAGAUCUAAUAUCUUUGAAGAAAAAUGGUUUCACCAUCCAAUACUUGUUCGUUUCAUUUAAAAUUUUAUUAUGUUAAUUUUCAAGAAGUCCUCUACAACUUUUAUCAAGAAGUCGAAGUGAGAUUCCAACUAUAAAAUUGCAUGCAGCUCACGAAAUCACCAAAGGUCGGAUUGUUUUUCCAGAAAACAGAUUACUAGACUAAGGCACUACUCCCAUAACGUCGAAAAUUCUCACUUCCACCACCUCCGAAAUUCACCAUACAUCACACACAAUCACAGCAAGCGAAGUGUAGAUCAAUGGACUCUACUUGCCUUAGAUCCGAUGAAAUCAAGCAAGCAACGGCGACUCAGCGACUUCGAACACAGCACGGUCGACGGCAAAGCUAGGCGCAUGCACGGCGGGGCUUGGUCUUCCUCUUCCCUUGCCGAAGCACCCACGAACCAUCUCUCUCUCCCUCGGCUUUCUCUCUCUCUCUUUCCCUCCUUCUCUCUUGAAUUCUCCCUCUCUCGCAUGAUCACUCCCCUCGUGCAAUCUGCCCCUUCUCUCCCCCUUUUUCUUCCUUUCACCCUCAUGAUUAACUAGUAAUCAUGAGGUUUGCAUGGCAAUGGACACUUGGUAAGUUCCUCUCGCCACUUGUAGCAUCGUUCACGCCACUUGUUAAUCUUCAUGCAAGGCUAAUGGGCCUCAUUUGGGCCGGGCUUGGUCGACCAAAUGGGGGGAAACGGUGGGCUUUGGGCUGGUUUUUGGGCUGGUUUGGCCUUAAGAAAAUCAGCCCAAACCUUCUCCUUUUUUUUUUUCCAUUUAAUCCUCAUUUAUAUAAAUACCUAAUUACAAAUUAAUAUGGCCAUAAAACUUUGUAACAUAAAUCAAUAAAAAUCCAACUUAUAAAAUGUACGGCCAAGAAUAAAAAUUUUCCCUAUCAAUUUGUCCUUUAAUACAAAUCCUUAAUCACACAUGGACAUAGGAUAUAUUUCCAAUACAACAAUAGUCUAUUCAUUGCUCGACCUUGUUAAAUUGUAAUCUAUUAGCCAAUGACCAUAACAUAGUCUGAUGGCGCUUCCAUCACCUAUUCAUGGUUCAUGGUAUAUCCAGGAGUUGUCAUGAAAUUUUAGGAUGCCACACAUGACAUGGAUUUUGUAAAAAUACUAAAUGAGAGACUUUCAAUUAGAAAGGACUUUCACUCACUUUAAUUCAAAAUGGCUAUUUUAGGAGAAUCACUCCAUCUCACUAUCAGCAUACCAACAGGGGUCCGAGUAUUCUCACAAGCAGUACAACCUUACCAAUCUGAGAAGUUUUUAAUAGGGACCAUAAUGUGGGCUUGGUCAAUGGCUUAACAAAGAAACUCAUUGAGUCAAGGCAAUUGAAAGAAUAAUUCUGUAAUCAUUUUUGGGUUUACAAGUCAAGAACCCUGCAAAAUGAGAAAGAAAUAAUCUUGCCCGCACUUCUUCGAGCGAUACUUAUAAACAUAUGAAUUCCUACAUUAAUUCAAGUGUCAUAAUCAGAAGAGACUUUGCAAGGGACGUAACGUAGGCUGGGUUCAUGGGUUGAGAAAUGAAAUGAUCAUUAGGCUCAAAGAUGUGUAAAUGGUGAGAGCUGAUGAUCAUCUUGGCAUUGCCACCAAUUUUCUUUUUUACCAGGGAUUGUCUUGGCAAUGUGCUCCACUAACUGUAAAAGCUCAGCAUUUGUGUUCUUUGAAUGCUGCUCCAUGAGGGAUGCAACUUUUUACAAUUGAUAGCCACCUAUCUUGACUUUUUUUUUCAUUUUCAUCUAUCGGCAUUGGCCUUGCUUUUACUAAGCACAUUGCUUUUUCAUGCCCCUAAUUUUCAUACAUUUUUUCUUCACUUCUUUUCAUGGGCAUUGGCCUUGCUUUUACCAGGCAAACUGCUUUUCAUGCCCCUUAGUUCUAUUUUAAUUUCAAUUCUUGUGCACAAUGCAUGUGUCAAGGAAUUAUACUUUGAAUGACCCUCGAACUUUCAAGGGUCUUAAUCUACCUUUUGCCUAGGAUAUAAGUGUUUAGGAUAUAGAAAGAAAUGCUCUUCGUCAUCCUAAGGCACUUAAAUUACCACAUGAAUUCAAUGUAAUAGCAUGACUAGAAGAUUGAUGCAAGUGAGAGCAAAAAAAUUUCAAUCCAUUUUCUUCACCUUAUGGUGCUGUCUUACCCUCCAAUUUGCCCCGAUGUGGGGUGAUUCUUGACAGGGGUAAUUUGAAAAAAAUCUUCACAAGUGCAUAAGGCUUAAAGUGGUUAAGCAAUGGAUCACCUGUUGUGUUUGGGAUAGAGAAAUGAAUGUCCUCUCAUCAUUUUGGUCAUUGUACCUUUUGCGAGAGAACUCCUUACCUUGUGGAAAUAGAAUUUUUUACACUCAUCUCACAAGUGUAUAACUAAGAGACUACGUAUAGGAUACGGCUUGCCUUUCAUCAUCCUGAUACAUCUCAUUCAGCAUUCUUAAACAUUAAUGUCACUCCAUUGAGUUGUCUAUCUUGACAAAUCUCCACAUGAAAUUAGUGAGCUAAAUCAAUAUGAAAAUUCUCUUUUCAAAAGAGUCCAGCAACUUUAAGCAUGAAAAGUGUUUGUGACUUCAAAACAAACAAUUUAUUGCACUCAAAACAUGGUUUUAAGCAUUAAUUCAGGGAAUUGCUCCACAAAGGGAUUGUCUAAGCAAUUGAUGUCCUUGGAUUGUCUCUAUCAAUCAAAAGUGAAAAUCCGCUUUUGCCCCUGCACAAGAGAACGCACAUGAAUAGGAUACUAUGCAACAUCAAAGUAAAUUCAAGUUGCACAUCCAUUUUAGCUUGGAUCAAGAUUUUAUCUCAGUCGAGUCACUACCAAAAUCUGCCAUGCCCCCAAUCUGUCAUCUAAUGCACCAUUUUCAGUUUAUGACAAGAAAGUAAUGCUCUGAAACAUGAAGUAAAUAAGUUAGAAAAUAAAACAAGGCUAACUUAAUGCAUGCUUUUGGAAAUGACUUGAAAAAUGAUUUUUUUAUUCUCCUUUUUUUUGGGAUUUUUUUUUAUGAGGAAGCAUGAAGAAACCGAGUCCUCAAAAUUUCUUCAUGGAUGAUAUUUUCUUUUUAUUGUUGGAUAUUGUCACUGGGCUAAUUUGGUGUACCCCAUCAUGUCCUCGAAACAAAACUUAUAAUUUUAUUGAUAUUCACCAAUCGAAUUACAUUUAUUGGAAUGUGAUGUUCAAGCACAAAUGAAAUUAAAAUCAAUCCCUAAAAAGCGAUAAAAAUUCCCACGCAGGGGAAGGUGCAUGCCCGUAGUUAAAUGAGGAAAUCGAACUACUUAGAUCAUGAAUCAUGUGUACUUGAAUUCUUCACCCUCCUUGUGAUGCAAAUCCUUAAGGUAAGAUAUUCUUCCCUCUAGAUAUGUCACUAGUCUCUUUAUGGUGGCAUCAAAUUCAGCUACCUCAGGAAAAUGAGGAGAUUCAAAAGUCCUCUUGGCUCUCUUCUUCGAGUUGUAGUUUCUCACUGAAGAUAGAGUACCUAUGUCAUCACGGCACUUUUGCUUGACGAGACAAGCCGCAGUAGAGACAAUUCAUUGACUUGAAUUUGGAGGUGUGCAAUUCGCUUGUUCAUGUCAUUGUCAAUAUCAAUGAUACGGUUCAACACCUCAUUUUGAUAUGCCAUUUUAGCUUUCAACUGUGUAUGGAUGGGUGAGCGGGAUCGCUCCAUAAUCACCUAAUUCAAAUAAAUGGGAACAUGUAAGCAUGAGGUGUAAAUAGAGAGUCAAUCCAUGACAAUGAUCUAAUCGAUUUUUUCAAUUUUAUUUUCAUUUAUUCAUGAAAAGUUUGUGCAAGAAGGGAAUUUCCUAAAAAUAAUUAGAAAAAUAAAAAUAGGACACCCUAGCAAGAACCAAAUUUCCUAAACAUGAAUUAGGAAAGGUAAAAAUUUGAAACUCCCUAAUGAGAACAAGACAUGAAUUGAAAACAAAUUCUCUAAAGUUUUUGUUAUUCUCCAAAUGAUUCAUUGCAUGCAAUUUCCUCAUUUCAUUUCCAACUGACAAAGGAAUUAAAUCAAUGAUUAACCUAGAUUGUCAUGGACUGAUCCAAAAGUACGACUAAAUAAAUUACAUGGUAUAGAAAUAGAAGACUUACUUCACCAAGGAAAAUCGAUGGCAACCACAUAGACACACUUGUGAAAUGUGAGGCUCGAUUUCUACCUAGACAGCUUAACAAAGUGGAGCUAAGAGGAUAAUCUGACUGUUGCAAUCUCGCAUUAACCUGUCAGGUCCCCUUAACACUGGCUCAAUUGAAUGGAAUGCCCAAUAGUCACGCAGUCUUGUGGAUAUGGACAAACACAUUUGACACCAUGAAAAAAAUUUCGGGGAAGAGAAGGUCAACCUCUACAUAGCAGUCUCGCUUUGGAGGAAAUAUAAUUCUCAACACCAUCCUAUCGCAACCCAGGUCCGGCGGCAGGUUGUGUGUGCAAAAGUGUAAUGAAAAUGUAAAGCAUGCAUAAUAGUUUAUACCAAGCAACACUUCAUAUGUGCAAGUAAGCCAUGCAUUCCUACACCUCCCUACAAAACAAGGGUUAGCAAUCACUACUCCCCUUAUACCUCCCAAUCUGCAAGAACAUUUAACACCUUAAGCAUUAGGGACGUACUUGGGAUCAUCGCUGCCAAACAAAAAUAUUUUUUAAAAAAAAGAAGAAAACUUGGCUUAAGUCGACUAAGAGUUUUAACUCAAGCCCCCAACAGAGUCGCCAAGCUAUUGCGACCAAACUUUUGGGUGCACCACCUAAAAUUAGGCUAAUGGACUACUAAGUCUAACUUAGCUCGGGCUCUCCCAAACCCAUACCAAUUCGCAACUUAGGUUCAAAUUUCUUAACAUACAAAUGGAUUUUAUCUAAGAGUUGCCACUAAUUAGUUUAUGGUAGGUCGAUUAGAUACCUAAGUAAAAUGAUAGGAGGAUUAUUUUACUCCUACGAACCAGAGACUUUGGGUACAGAGACUUAGUUACACAAGACUUCUCCAAUGCCCUUUCGGUACCAUUUCUUUUUAUUUUCAAAAAAUGUUUUGCAGGCACAUUGAAUUGAUUUUAAAUUAUCUCCCCAACAUGUGCGGUGAUCAUGCAGAUGCGCAAAUCACUAAUUUAUCACCUAGAUAAAAUAGUGAAUAAAUUACAAAACUUACCUCAAAGCAACGAAAGCAUCUGCGUUGUUAGAUCAGAAUUCACAUCAACAACCCUAGAUAUGAUUUCUAAUUAACUCGCAAUUUUCCUUCUUUUUGUUUUCACUUAUUUAAUGAGAAUCAUGCAAUGCAUGCUACUAAUCUAACAUGAAAAGAUAUGACACGGCAAUAUGACCUAACUAUAUGACAUAAUAAGAUGCAAUCUAUGCUAAAAAUGGAAUCAAUCUAUUCUAAGGCAUUUUUUGGUAUUUUGCAUGAAAUUCGAAAUUAUAAAAAUGCGAAAAUUAUCUAUCUAAAUUAAAAUAUCAUCUAAUUUGUAUUAGGAAUGAGGUUAAGCCAAAUCCUAAUUUAAACUAGAAUGUUAUCCUAACUUAGAAAUCCCUAACUAAAAUGCAAUCUAUCUAAAAAAUUAUCUAAUCUUAUAAUAAAGUAAAAAACUAUUAUCUAGACUUAAACUAUAUGAAAUUUUACCCUAAAAUGCAAUGACAUGCAAAGAAUGCCAUAAUUCUUAUUUUUUCUUUUUAUUUUUUAUGAAAUUCAAAAUUAAAAUUGUAAAAUAAUUAAACAUGCAAUUCAAAUUUAAGAAAACUAACAUCUUAAAUGAAUGUAUUUUUUGGAUUUUUAUUUUUAAAAAAAAAUUAGAAUAAAGCUCAUAUUCUAAAUAUGCAAGAUAACCCUAAGACGAGGAAUAUUCUAAAACAAACCUAAUCCUAAUUCAAAUAUUUUUUAGAUUUUCUUUUUUACGAAAAUGAAAUCAACUCAAACCACACGAUGGCAAAUUAGAGGAAGAUAAGAUUGAUAUCCAAAAAUUAACGAACCAUAUCUCGCGCAUGAGAUCGGGUUGAUCAAUUUUAAAUAAACCGCGAAUCAAAUCUCAGGCGUGAGAUCGAAUUGGCGAUUUUCCAAGCAAUUGUAAGCCGGAUUUAGGGCGUGAAAAAUGAACUGUCAAUGCUAAUUUGAAUUUUGGGCUCCUAAACUAGGGUUAGCCGUGAUGGUGGGUUGCCAGAGCUCUGGUGAGGACUGGAAAAAGGCGGAGGCAGCAGUAGCGACCAGUAGGCCAAGGGGGCGGAACAGCUCGAAAAGGAGCGACAGUUGGCAGAGCUAGGUGAGCUCGGGGCCGGAGUGGAUAUGAUGAGUAGUGAACAGGAAAGUCCCGCUUCGCAAGGGCCGUAGCAAGGUGUGACGGGGCAACUUCCGGCGCGGCAAGCUGCUGUGGUUGUCACACCCCGAACCUCGAGCGCGCGCACAACCCUCGGUGGUCGAUAAAAUUUCGCGACGUUCCCAGGACUCGUCGCCGACCCUUUCAUUUUUAUUUGCACAUGCGGAAGCAGUUAUAAUUCCCCAGACAAUAAAGCAAUGGGAUAGAAAAGCAGGCCAUAUAUUUUUCAUACUGAAAAUUUACAACCACACCUUUUUACAUGCAUCUCAUAGUAUUCUACAAUACUAUAUAUACGCAACUCUGAUCUAACGUCUAUUCACAUGCAAACAAGGUCUGACAAGACAGGACGGGAUCUCAGUCCUCAUCCGGGUCGUACUCGGGGUCCUCCUCCACGUACUCCUCUUCAAGCUCCUCAACAGGGAUCUCCUCAUCAGAUUCAUGCUCCUUAUGCUCCUCAUCCAGGUCCUGAAAUGGUUAUUCAAUAACCACUGAGACAACGUCUCAGCAAGUUCUACCCCUAAGCCCCGGUUAGUACACCAACUCAACCCAGGGUAUCUAUCCAGAACUACCCCACCACAAGCAACAACCAACAGUCGAUUCGCAUACAACCUUACCUGGUAUGCCAUACCCUGCACGUUAUAAUUCAGCAUAAUACACGCAAUGCACAUGGCCAUUAGAUGAUACAUUUCAUCAAUCACAUAUGAGUCGCAUCACAAGCGAUCUCACCUGGCCAUUGCCACACCCUGCAUGUUAUCGGUUCAUGCACGCGUGCCAUAAACAAUGUGCUUAACUCACGUAUGACCGAAAUCGCAGAUGCCAUGAUUCUCAUGCAUUCUUGCACAUUAUCACAGUUCAACAAUAUCAUGCAUAUAUUCAAUGCAUACAACAAUUGAAACGUCUUAUCCACUCAAUUAAUCACAGGGGUCCGGAUUAUAAGACCGAAUCAUUAUGACACGUCCCAUACCAUGCCACACAAUUCCGUCCCAUAAUCCAGCGCGUCAAUCAACACCCAACAUGCGUUCCAAUUGUUAUUCACUGCCACUCAAGGGCAUAGCCUACUCACAGUUCGGCUAUCUACUGACAUUAAUGCCAGGCAUCGUCUCCCCCCAUGGAGCACGGCUUCGUCACUACGUCGACGGCAUUCCCGAAGGAGCAUCGUCUCCCCCCUUGGAGCACGGCUUCGUCACUACGUCGACGGCAUUCCCGAAGGAGCAUCGGUCCAUUCGGCACAGCCUCUACUGCGACCGGCAUCCAUUGCGCGGGCAUCCCAUAUAGGGGCACGUCCAGCUCAACAGCUCGGGACGGUUUCCUCUUAACCAACACACGAAAAUUCAAUAUCGGCCCAGGACACUUUGCAUUUCACUCAAAUGCCCCGAUUAAAAUAGUAAUCCUGGCCUCUUUCCUUCGUAUUAAAAACAUCUGAGAAAGUAGUCGUGCGUGGGCACACGUUAAUUCGAACCAGAAAACUGAUACUUUCCUUUUUCAAACCCCACUGUUCGAUAUAAUACUUAAAAUCCAUUUUCGGUGUCAAAACCCGACACCCGGGAUUUUCUGAAUAAAUACCAAAUUUCCAAUCACCACACAAUUGCACAAUCAUCACUCAAUUCAUGCAGAUGCCCAUGCAUUUUCACAUCCAUUUACUUCAUAGACUCAACACAUAUGAAUUUUAGACACUUUUUGCAUUCUGGAUGAACAGUGCACGUGAACAGUAACUCGUGAACAGUAAAUCGUGAAUAGUGUCGCAUGAACAGUAAAUUUCCAGAAUUUAAUAAACUAUAAAUUAAAUUCAGAAAUCAUUAAAAGCAUUAAUUAAAGCAACCAUCAAUUAAUUAAAGCCAAUCAUACUUAAUUAACCACAAAAACCACAUUAAGCAAAUAAAGUAAGAUUAGGCUAGACUAAUUUAAUUCAUCCAUCUAACCACCUAUCUUAGGGCUAAUACAACUUAAUUAAAUCACUUAAACUAGAAUUAAAUCUAACUAAACCAACCCUAAGCAAGUUUAGGCACUAAUCGAAGGAUUAGGAGCUAAACUCACCCGUUAAGCGGGCCGGAAACACCGACGCGGCGGCGACGACGGAGGCGACGCUCCGGGACCUCUACCACGACGAUCAAAGGUGGUCCCAAGCUCAACACAGCAACCACAGCUCGGACUCCCACUGAAACUUCUGAAAAACAGCCCUGCCGGAGAAGAAAACAAGUUGAACGGCUUGGCCGGAGCUCCGGCGAGGAGGGUGGCUGGCAACCGGUGACACUUGGGGGUCUUGGGGAUCUUGAUGGAGGUUGGGAUGGGCGGAGGAAGGACCGGAAUGGGAGAAAAAUGGCCGAAAACGCGAAACAGUGCAGGCUGCAGGCGGACCGACGGACCGGCGACUGGUUCCUUCCCGGCGGCGCCCAGGCCGGCCGGCAGCUCCGUUCGGGAUGAAAUCAGGUUCGUUGGAACGGUCUGUCUCUCCCGGUCACAGUGAUAUGUGGAUCGUUGGCUGAUUCAUCUGGGAAGACCACUUUUGACUCGAUUCUUUGACGAAGGGUCAGCUGGAGCAGAAACUGAAGGAGAGGGAAAACGAGGAAGAGAGGAGCUCGUCCGCUUGGAGGCCGAAUGGGGGAGAGAGAGAGUGAUGGGAGGGCUGAGAGCACUCCUCAUUAAGGCCAUUUAAUGGCCACUUCAAGUCCCCAUGCAUGACAUCAUCAAUUUCUCUCUCCUCCUUUGCCCUUAUCCACUUGCUUUUAGGGGCAAAAUAGUCAUUUCACUUUGCACCAAUUUACCAAUCUGACCUUGGGCUGAAAUUGGUGGAUGGGCCUAGGAAUUGGGCUUGGCCAUGAAUAGAAGUGGGCUUGGGAAUUGAUUGGGCUUUGAAAUGGUUAAGGCUUGGCUCAUGGGCUUAGAAGAUGAAUAGUUGGUUUGGCCCAAUGGGCUCAUUGCUUGACUUAGGCCCAUUUGGUGGCUGUCCCAACUUGGGCUUAAGGCCCACACUGGCUUGGCCCGGCCCACGUCCUCACGGGCUCGCUUCCUCGGUCCGAAAAUCCCUUUUUUUUUUCCAAUUGCUCGGCUUAACUGGCUCUGUCGACUGUCUGAAGUAGCUUCAUCCAAAGUCCGUCCCGGACAUUCCUGAUAAUUCGAAGUCCAAUCCUAAGUUCUCUUGCCAUGUCAAUUUUGCCCAAUGCCAUUUUGGUAACAACUCAGACUGACGGGUGGCUUUGAGGAUUCACGCGUGACCGACUCGUGCCAAACCACGUUCAAGACAUCUCGACGUAUGGACGUCCUUGACUGCAUGAAAUUACGGAGGAUAGAUUCUUAUUUCAAAGUACACGAUUACUGAGGAUUGACAUAGGGUCGUUCGUGGAUUCGAUAACAGUAAACGGAAUCACCCGUCGUUCCAUUAUGUUCUGUCCGCAAAUCGACUUUUAGUCGUCCUUAGAAUUGGCCUGCCUAUCUACAGGAUCGUCCUCACGUAAAUCUAACGGUCAAGUCGUUUUCCCAGGUCGAGUCCUUUAGUCGUACGAGUUCUGUCCUCAUUAGCCUUUCCCCUCAAGGUCAGUAUCUCAGGAGUGAUCAAUUCCGAGUGAGAUCAACCAACAAUGCAUUGACGAAAUUCACAUCCAUUCAUUCUUCAGAGGACUCGAAUUUCGGGAUGUCACAGUGGUGGAGGGCGGUGGUUUGGAGCUGCAAGGAACGGGUGCCAGGCGGUCACGGAUGGGUGAGUAGUGACGCGUCUACAAGCGCCGGACUCGCGGGUCACUGUGGUGGUGGUAGACAUGGUGACUGGCUUGGAUUUGCUGGCGUUGAGGUGCUACUGUGGUGGGGCGGCGAGUGAGCAAGCAAAGCGGCCAAUGAGGAGGGUAGCAAGCAGAGGCGUGGUAGAGAGGGCUCAGGAUCUGCUGUAGAGGUGGGUAGCAGUGACAGUGCUGCGGGAAACGAAUGGCGGGACGGCUUGGUGGCCAGCACGAGGCGGUGAUGGUGCGAUGUCAUGUUGCAGGCAGAGGCACCGGUGGCCGGCGAGGCAGCCGCACGGAGAAGACCUGUUCCUCUUUUCUUCUUUUUUUACCUUUUGGUUUUUCUCUCUCCUCUUACUGCACAUUCUCUGCUACACUUUUCUACAGAAGGGAAAAGGUUCCUGCUGGUUUUUACCUUUCCUCCGAAAAGCUUUUCUCUUUUGUUGUUGUUUUUUUUUUUUAGCAGAAGGUCUGCUGACCUUUUUUUCCUUUUAAAGCUUUUUCUUUUUGUGUUGCUCUCUCGAGAAGAACGAAGGAAAAGAGAAAUCAUCCACCGAGAAGCUCCCUUUCGUAUUGACUUUGAACUCUGAAAAAAACGAAGGAAAAGACUCGACAAAUAGAACCCUCUUUUGUGCGGCCGUGUAUUCAAUGUGUGGCCCCCCUAAAACCCUACACGUUUUAACCUAUUUAUAGGCCAUGAAUUAGGGUUUUAAUUUUUCCAAAUCCAUAUCCACGAGGAUUCUUUUUCCAAACGCAAUAUUUGUUUCGCUAAACACAAUAUUUGCUUGUCCACUUGCCUUAUCUGCGAAAGAAAUUCAAUCAUAUCUUGGAAAAUUUCAAAUUCCUAUUUUCACAAGAUAAUUUCCAAUCAUAAAAAAAUGAGCUUUGGCCAAUUUGCUCGUUUUGUGGGCUUAAUCCGACCUGCCAAGUUAAAGUUCAAAACCACUAAUUCAAACCCAUCCACCACUGGUCCAAUACAAAAAAUGCAAAUAAAUGCAUCUAAAUCUAUAUGCAAUUAAUUUUUUUUUUAGGGAUAAAAUUGACCCCUAAUUUUCAAUAGAAGGACUCCUGAAGUGCCAUAACUUGGCAGAAAGGGACACUUAAAUGCCAUAACUUACGAAAGGUACACUUAAAUGCCAAAAUCGGAGCAAAAUGGAUCACUUGAGUGCUACUCCGGCCAAAAUCCGGCCAAAAUGCUGAAGUGUCAAUUUACCGACGAAGUGAGUGCGAAAUGGUGUCGUUUUGGUGCCGACACGGUAAAAAAUUUAAUAUAAAAAUUAAUUAAAUUAAAUUUAAAACUAAAUUUAUUUAAAACUUUGAAAAAUUAAAAUUAAAAUAUUAAAAAUAAUAAAUAAGUAAAAAUGGGGGGCAGGCAACUGAGGGAUCAUCCCUCAACCCUUAGCCCCUUGCCCCCCCCCCCCUUUUGUUAAUUUUUUUAAUAUUAAAAAUUAUUGUUUUUAAAUAUUUUAAAUAAAUUUAAUUUAAUUAAUUUUUCUAUUUUUUUUUACCACGUUAGGUGCAAAACGAUGCCGUUUUUGCAUUAUUUGGUCAUGUUAGCAUGCAAAACGGCAUCGUUUUGCACUCACUUCGUUAGAAAUUGCACACGUCAGCAUUUUGGUCGGAUUCUGGCUAGAGUGACACUUAAGUGAUCCAUUUUUCUUCGAAUGUACAACUUAAGUGUACAUUUCAUAAGUUAUGGCACUUAAGUGUCCCUUUGUGCCAAGUUAUGGCACUUCAGGGGUCCUUCUGCCCCUAAUUUUCUAUGCAAUAAAUAAGUGACCGGAUUGCCAAAAUUUAGGUGUCAACAGAUUGGAAACCCAACAAAGAGCAAAGUCGAAGCUUUGCAUUGAGUAGCACUUCUGUUUGAAGGGUUUCUAGUUGAGUUGGUGAGAGAUUGUAUUCGGUAUAUAAACUUCGUGAAGCUAAACAUUCUUCGAAAUAUUUGCAAGAAUUGAUAAUAUCUACAAGUAACCAAAUCGAGUAAUGCCAAACCUUGAAAUCCUCAUUUUCCAGUUGAUGGUGAAUAUCUCACCUAUGCAUGCAAUGCUAACCCGGUAGGUGAAGUACCAAAAUGCUCACAUGUUGUUAGUGAAGACAAUGUCUAGCUCCAAGCAGGAAUUUCAAAAAAGAUGAGAUUAGUAAUGAGUGGAUUCAAGACAAAACUAUAGUGAUGUCAAUCUGGGAUGAGACCGAGACUAAUGUGAUGUAUGUAAUGAUGAUUGUAGAUGAUCUAAUGAGAAGAUAUUGACUGCUCUAUGAUGGGCCAACGAGGAAAAGAGGAGUAAAAUAGAAAAGGUGGAUACAUAUUUUAUGACAAAUGUUGAGUUUGUAAAUCUUUUCAAGACUCCAUACUAGAAGAGGGUAAAAAGUUGUUAUCCUUCACUUUCAUUUGCCAUUGUUGAGAGACACUAGACAAAUCUCUAAAGCAAGCACUCACUUAAUUUCGAAGGUGAAAUAAUUUCUCUUAUUUUGAGGUAACUUAUCAACAAAUCAAAUUCUAAUUGGCAUAAGAUAUGCUAAAAGAGUGACGUGUUGACUGUAUGGAAAGAAAAAUUAGCAUAUUCAUAUGACAUGAACUAUGCAACCUCAAAAAGCUAGAAAUACCAUAAAAUCAACAAUCACAAAAUGAAUUGAGUUUUAGAGAGUAUUGGUUAUAUAUCCACGUUGCCAAAACUUAAAAAAUAAUAGAAUUGCACCAUAAUUAGAAAUGUCAACUAUUUAUGUAUGUGAAAUACUAACUCCACCGGUAGCCCACUUUGUAAUUAGAAAUCAAAUUGCAGCUUUACUCUCCACACAUUCUGCAAUGAAAGGACUCUAAACUUAGUUGUUCUUUUCCUUUCGUCUAGUGACAUAAUAAUUUUAGCUAGGACAAUAAGAGAUAUACUCAAUACACAUAUUGCAUUACAAAUUCAGUAUGAUUAAUAGAUAAACAACUGCAUUUUGAAUUGCCUCUUGCUUUAACUUUGCCUUCACUACCUACAUUACGCUAUUCCACACAAAAACCAAACUUUUAGCCCCUCCCAUUUUACACUGCUGAAAGAACGUCUCUCUCUUUUAUGCUAAGUACAAUAUUCAACGAGAUCCUACAAUUACAUUAGUAGCAGAAUCUUUAAUGCCAAUGUGACAAAAAACGGCUUUUAUCAAACUGUCUCUAAACAUAAAUCAUAGUCAAGCCUAGCCUUUUCCCAUAUUAACUGAUUCUAGUAACAAAAAUAGAGAUCAUGGUGUCUUUACUCUAUGCACUUCUUAAUCAUUCAUCCUUCUCAUUUUGAUUUGUACUUCACUUGCUAAGCCACCAUACCAUCUGGAUGAGAGCUUUGCCUUGAUGGAAUUCAACCAAGUUUCAGAACCUACAUAACAGAUUCUCAAUGUGCUUAUGCGAAGGUUUAUCGGGGUCCAUGGAGAUUGCUACUCAUGGGAUGGUGUACAGUGCCACAAUGCCACUACAAUUGGACAAUACUUUACAAACUUCCAUGCUUAAAAUAUAUAAAUAUUCAUGACUUCUUAAAGAUGUUAUUUCAAGUAUUGCAGCAUUGUACGGGCUAAAAUGCUAGUGUGUUAUACAAUAGGAGUGAAGAACGGAAAUAAAAUAUUCUUACAUAGAAAUUAACAUUUGAAGUGAUAAUAAUCUAAAAAAGGAAAAAAGAAUGAAACAGAAUGAUGAAUGCCUAUACACAUGAGAUGAAGCUUUUCUUCUCCCUUUCUUUCGAGGAAAACUAGAAUGACAUUAAACAAAACAAAUCAAGCUACAUUGUCUAUUUGAUAUAAGUGUACUCCAACCCCUUUAAAAACAUUUGUAACAUACGAUAAAUAACAAAUUGCAAAUGUUGUUCCAUUCCAAGUAGGGGUAAAGCAACCGGCCAACCAGGCUUGUGAGAUUCUUUGCGGCCAUUAAGCUAUAAAGCCCAUUCGAAGAGGACUAAAACGACUUGAACGAGUUGUUAGUCUUUCAAUUUAGUCUCAGUCCAACUCACUCAUUCUUAUAGAGAAGAAUGAAUUAACUAGCAUUGCCUUAGUACUCCCUUUUCCAUGACAAUGACGUACGUUGUAGAUAAUUAACUUGUAGAUGCAUGGAACUCACAUGUAUGGACUAAGUAAUAAAAUGAUUCAACACUAACGUGGAUAACCCGAAGAUGGAAACUGUUUAUACCAGAUGUUCAUUUUUAACUGUUGAGUUAAUCUUAUUGGAUCAUGCCCCGAUACUUGGUAUUUGUUUAUCCUAUGUGUAAAAUAAGUGAUUCCACUUCUUUGAUUGCAAAUUGAUUCCUUCCUCAUAAGAAACCACUAAAGGUUGAGAAAAUAAAAGGUGUAUCAGAAUGAUUAAUGAUAUUUAAAGCAAUGAAUGGAAUAAUCACGGAAAUACUUUGGAAAAUUUGAGGCACUUGAUGUACCUAUUGAUCAGAAUGCGUGCCGUGUAAGUGAAGUCGACAUUGCAUUUCAUCAUUGAGUCCGCGUUCAGCGUAAGACGUCAACCUUACCUUGGCUCGAAAGUCGUCUCCCAAGUCUUUCACUAAGUUGAGAAUCUGAGACGGCCACUUCAACUUGCAAGUCACGCAUAUCUUGUCAACAUAAUCUCGCACAAGAUUUGCUAGAACCUUAGUUGUGCACGUAUAUCUAAGGGUUAAAACAAAAGGUAGGGUAUAAUAAUAUUUUUGUACUUGGCUUCUUAAUCUUAGUUCGGCAUUGCAAUUUGACUUUUGAGUUCAACCGACAAACCACAGAAAAAAAAAAUCAACUUCUAUGUAACAUUUUAUUUUAUUUUAUUUUAUUUUUUGUAAUUUGGCAGUGAAGUAUCAUACAUAUUUUUCUAGAUGAUCUUGAGGAUGCACUUCCUUAUAUCGAUUUGGUACGAUUGAGAUUUUACUCCUAGGGUGCUCCCAAUAAAACUUGAAUUCAAGAUCAUAAGGAGAAGAGAAAACUUCUGGCAAAAUUUUUCCAACACCUUGGUGGUUUUGUGUAGCAAUUUCAAGUUUACCAACUAGGUUGAAAAUAAGACAAAGAUCAAAUAUGUAUUGUAUUGAAUAAGGAUAAUGCAUGACUAGGACAAUCAUAUGUAAAGCUGUUAGCUUUUUGAAAAAAAAAAUGUAAAAUGACUUUUGUUUGUCAAUCUAAAAGUGGUAAAAGUCUUUGUGCGGGUCUCUCAAUUUUGGUCUAUUUGUGGAAAAGGAAAUGAGAUGCCAUUUUAAUGGACUAACCAUGCAAUCAUGAUUGCACAUGAUCCAUCUUCGGGUUAUCCACGCUAGUGUUGAAUCAUUUUAUUACUUAGUCCAUACAUGUGAGUUCCAUGCAUCUACAAGUUAAUUAUCUACAACGUAUGUCAUUGUCAUGGAAAAGGGAGUACUAAGGCAAUGCUAGUUAAUUCAUUCUUCUCUAUAAGAAUUCGACUUGAAAUUUCCACCUUGUGGAUGUGUGACCAUUUUUUCUCUUUUUGCAAUAAUAAUAAUAACGAUGAUGAUGCCUCAAUAUGCUUAUACAUAUCGACAUUAUUAUUAUUAUUUAUUUAUUUAAGGAAAGGUAGUGAGAGGCAAUAUGUGGAGCAUUUUGUGAUUAGCCCAAGAGUAACAUAGGAAUUCUCUUGAUAAACCCAUCUCCUAAUAAUAAGAUCCUUUAGUAUAUGAUAUCAUGGUUGGUACCAUGUAUGCGCGUGUGGCUAAGGAGCACCAAAUUCCUAUUCACAAAAAUUGCCUAGUAUAAAAGCAGUGGCAUUGCAAUCUCUUCUUGCUAAAAAAGCACAAAGAGAACAACAUAAUCAUGUCAACCUCAAUGCUGCACAUGCUUUCUACGUGGGUUGUUUUCAUCGCUGUGUUCCAAUUUCAUACUCGCUUUGCUAAGCUAGCAUGCCAUGUUGGAGAGAGCUUAGUCUUGAUGCUACUCAAGAGGCAGAUCAGGACCAACACAAUCGAUUGCAACGUUGGCCUCAACCUUAAGAGCAAUUGGCUCUCUAGUAAGGGUGAUUAGUUGCUAGUCUAGUCUGGUUCCAAGGUGAAACGGGAACCAAAUCGAGAAAAUCGGUUCCCAAAAUUGGGAAUCAGGGACCAGACCGUUUGGUCCUAGGAUCGGGAACUGGACCCAACCAUUGGUUCCAGUUCGGUCCUAUCUAAUGAAACUAGUCUUCCACCUUCUUCUUCUUCUUCUUCUUUUUCACAAAAGAGUGACCAUACUCCGAACCGAUUGAUCCAGUUCGGCUCUUGGCAGUCCAAAAGAACCGAUUGCACUUGUUCCCACAUACAAAAAAUUCAAACUCCACUUGUGUGAGCAUCGAUCGCAUUUCAUGUAUUUCAUGCUCAAUCUUAAUCAAAAAGGCCGUGAAUGAUAUGACUAAAGGUCAUGCUUGGUUUGGGUUUUAUAGACAAUCUCCCUUAUACUCUUUGAGUAUUUGCUUGAUGUGGGACUCUUGGAAUACCUUGUCUCUUGCAAGUGAGGGGAGCUAGAAAGAGAGAGAGAGAGAGAGAGAGAGAGAGAGAGAGAGAGAGAGAGUGAGGAAUGCGAGUGUGGCUCUUGGAGUCUUAGUCCCACAUUAGGUAGAAGAAGAAACUAACAAGUGGGCUUCUUAUUUAAGUAGAAAGGAACAAGAAAAGUUUUGUUGGUCUCUUGGGCACAUGUAAAGUUGCUAUCUCCAUUACAAUAGCGAUUGCAAUGAGGUGUGUGUGUGUGAGGAAUGAGAGUGUGGCUCUUGGAGUCUUAGUCCCACAUCAAGUAGAAGAAGAAACUAACAAGUGGGCUUCUUAUUUAAGUAGAGAGGAACAAGAAAAGUUUUGUUGGUCUCUUGGGCACAUGUAAAGUUGCUAUCUCCAUUACAAUAGCGAUUGCAAUGAGGUGUGUGUGUGUGUGGAAUGAGAGUGUGGCUCUUGGAGUCUUGAAAGUAUGGCUCUUGGAGUCUUAGUCCCACAUCAGGUAGAAGAAGAAAUUAACAAGUGGGCUUCUUAUUUAAGUAGAGAGGAACCAUAAAAGUUUUGUUGGUCUCUUGGGCACUUGUAAAGUUGCUAUCUCCAAUACAAUAGCGAUUGCAAUGAGGUGUGUGUGUGUGUAUGCGCGCGCGCGCGUGCUUGUGUGCGUGUAAUAAUCAGUCUGGUUGGACUGGUUUUCAUCUUGGAAUUGCACUGCUGAUCAAGGGCAUUUUCAUCAUUUUUUUUCUUAUUUUCUUUCCUUUUUCUUUUUUCCUUUUUUCAAGAAAAGCUCUAAAAAACGAAAAGACAAAGGCUAAAAUUGGAAAAAAAAAAAUACAGGAAGUAGAGCUGCUAGCCCACCCUCGCCUCUAGUCGCUGCCUCAUCGCCCAUGGGUCAUCCGCCAUGGCUAGUGUGGUCACUAGUGCCUUAGUGAGGGUUGGGGACCCUUGUUGACCAGAGGCAUGAGCUUGCCAAGAAAGAGUCGCAACCCUCUCCCAAAUUUAGGUGAGCCGGCCCUCCCCCUAGUCUGGGCAAGGCUUGCCAACCCUCGCCAAGGCACUGGUGACCUUGCUAGCCAUGGUUGACGACCUAUCAACAAUGGGGCGACAGCCAUAGGCGAUAGGGUUGCCUUUUUUCUUUUUUUCUUUUUUUCUUUUUUCAAAUUUGUGUUUUCUCUUCUUCUUUUUUUCUUUUUCUUUAAAGUCUUAAUCUUUUUUUAGUUUGUCUUUUUUAUGGCAAGAAUAGAAAAAAGAAAAAAGAAAAAAAAAGGGGAAGAUAAUAAGCAAACAUAGAGGAUAGAAAUGCCCUAGAACUACCGGUGAGGUUAGGUUUUUCUUUGAAACUGAUAUGGUUUUUUUAGAUCCUUAUUUGAGAAAAUAAGAGUACUUCAAACUCUAAACAAUGUUCACUUUAGGAUCAUAUUUGAGAAAGUAAUGGUAUUUCGAAUUCUUUUGGAAUUUUCCCUUAUUUCAAUUAGUUCAUUUCUGUCUUUUGAAAGAGGUGAAAAUAUAGGAGGGACAUUUUGGCACAAAUUCUCGGGUCAACUAAACAUCUUGUAAUGACCCAAUUUUGCGUGGACUUGGCCGCAAAGGCAAUUUUUUUCCACAUCUUGCCGUGACGUAAUCCAGCAACCACUUUAGUUCAAAAUUAUCAAAAUUGGUAUCGAAGGUUAAAUUUGACUAAAAAAAUUAUGAAAAUUAAAGGAUCUGAAUAGAGAUGUUAAAGUUCAAUCACUCAACUAAAAAAGUACGUAUAUUAAGGGAAGAAAAGUAGAAUCACCUUUAACGGGCUGCUCCUUUUGAAACUGCAAGCAGGUUUUCUAGUCUUCUUUCUUGUCUCUCUUUUUUUUCCCCUUUAAAAGGAGGAGAUAAAGCUUGCUAGACAAAACUUUCUACUAGUUCUUUCAAUUGGUUCCACAAACCUUUAUGUCUUUUGACGGUGGAAAAUAAAGAUGCGCACUUUGGCACUUUAUAUAAGUUUCGUGUGGAUUGAAUUAUUACACGCAACCUAAAUAUUUGUGAAGGAAAGAAAUUUUGGCACUAACUUGUCCCCAAGAGCAAGUCCUCUUUUCCCACUUCGUACUGUCGAACUGUUCGACGGACAUGUCAGCUCAAAUUUAUUAGGAUCGGUGGCAGGGGUUGUACUAGAUUAGAUUAAUAGAAAGUUCAAGACCUUAACCCAAAAAAAGCACAUAAAUUAAGAGAUGAAAAGUCAAAUUUUCCGUCGAAGAGAUAGUGGAUUCACACUGCUCGUCUUGGAAUUCCAGGCAAGUUUUCAAAUCAAUUACUUUUUCCUUUCCUUUCUUUUUUCCCUAGUAUAACGUGAAGCCAACGUUUACUAGCCAAAGUUUCUUGGGGAUGGAGUAGUCCAUUACUUUACAAUUUUCAUUAAUUUAUGUUCUACGACAUGCCCUUCAUUAAGCAUGGAAAGACCCGUGACAUGCUCUUUAUGAAUCGAUAGGUCAUGGAAAAAUUUGUCCAUGACCACACUAGCCAUGCCAUAUAGGACAGCCAACGUCCACAUGAGUGAUAUCUGGCUAAAAUUAACCAGAUGAAUUUAAUUGGCAAAUUAUGAAAAACGUUUAGAACUCAAUUAGCAUGAGUCUAAAAAUUCACAACCAAAUUAUAAAAAGCAUAAUAAGUUUAGGACUUUUCGAACCAUUUUUCCCUAUAUUGAUAAAUAACAUGAAAUGGCAUAAUAUUCUUUUCAAGAAAUUGUCGAACCUUUUAUAACACCAACUUGACAUGUCGCAUUUGAAUUUUCCAAUUCAUUUGUGUAAUAGAUUAUCCUAUAUCGUUAUGACAUAUCAGAGUCAUAUGAAUUUUCCCAUAAUUUUGUAAAGGAUGAUUCAAUAAAAACAUAUUCUAACAUCACAAAAUUCUAUAGAAAAAAAAAAAAGAAAAGAACCUUUCCAAUGAUUUGAAAUAAAGUUAAAGAGUUCAUAUGUGUAGGUUUUUAAACAUUCAGACUGAUCGGUAUUAAAUAAUAGUUAUAUUUUAAAAAAAUUAAGCACAAAGGUCCUACUUCUAAAUACAAGUUUGUGAGUCAGUUUCAAUCUAUCACUAUUGUCAUUAAUUUAGUACAAGCUUUAAUAAAUUACAAACUUGUCUCUCCUCUUUUGCCAUAUUUUUCGUCAUUUCUUAUUAAAUGAAUCGGCAAAAAUAUAAUCCUUUUUUCUCAUCAUUCUAAUAACCAAUCUUGCCCUGCACUUCGCAGGGUGAGACGAGGAUAGAGAUGGGGACUUCCUCAGCCCCUGCUCAUUCAGAUUCUAUAAAUUGGAUUUUAUGUUCAAUUCAAGAAAGUUUUGUUAAAAUCGUUGAUUUUUUUAGAUUUCGUAUUUAUGUUUAUACUCAUAAAACUAAAUCACUUGUUAAAUUAUAUGCUCCUUAAGCGAAGAAUUUUACAUUUAACUUAAGAUGAUCUCUACGAAAAUAUCUUUCAUGUAGGAUACCAUAUUAGUUUGAAAAAAAAAAUAGUUUCAAAAGCUCUUGGUAACUCACUUAAAUUGCAAGCUAAUGUCUGGAAGAGCAUAGGGAAGUGGCAAUUCCUUGGUGACUAGAACACAAAUACAAAUUUUCCAAGAAAAGCAUGAACUUGAUACAAUUACACUCAAAAUUGACAUGUUUUCAUUCAUUUUAAAUAAGAAACAAUUUGUAAUCAAUCACAUCAUAACAUUGGUCUACCGAUACAAAAUGACAUAAAUAACUGACACGAAUAUCUUGACACGACACGGAUUGCUAAUGCUCUGUUAUGAAAGUUCGACCAAAUAUACGCCCUUUCUACCUGUGAACAAAGAGAACCUUUACUCCAAUCUCCAUGGUUUCCAUGGACAACAAAAUUUUUUACGUCGUCCACCAUGUCUAUUAAUUGGCUGUUCAAUAGUAUCUACUCAUCUCAAUUACGUUCUGUAUAUUACAACAGAAUAUUCAUUCAUUGCUAAUGCAUAUAUGGAUAGACAUAGGUUAGAAUCUUCAGAAGAAUUAUAAUUUUCAUGAGCAAGAAAACAACAUCUCCAUAUUACUAUAGCAAAUAAACAUAGAUCAGAAUCUUCACAUAUGCAUGUAUAACUUUUCUCAACAAGCUACUUAAAAGAUAGGGCAUUAAAUAUCUAGCUGCAUAUUUUCUUGUCUGCAAGGGCUUUCCCCAUCUUUUUCCAUCCUUUUGCCAUUUUCUUGGAGUAGCACAAGAACCACAUACUCUUCUCAUCAAUGAUCAAGUUCUCUAUCACAACACCAACCAAAAACCCGACUCCGGCGCCAACCAGCACGAUUCUCCAAUCCAGGUUGAAGAGACACUCUUCUUCAUUAUCCACUUUGAAAUAUGAUGGUGGUGGGAGAGCGUUCUCACCAUUUGUGCAUUUAUUUGGCAAGGGACUUCCACACAAACCAUCAUUCAUCGCAAAUGAACUACUCCCGAACGUAUCAAAUUGCGUUCCAUGUGGUAUUGGUCCUGAUAGACGAUUGUGAGAGACAUCGAAAACCGAAAGAAAUGUGAGGUGGGCUAGUUGUUGAGGAAUCUCUCCCACAAGAUUGUUCCAAGAAAGAUCCAGUGAUUCAAGCACUGUCAUGUUGGCCAAGGAAGGAGGGAUGCUACCAUUGAGGAGGUUGUUUGAAAGGUUGAGCAUGCGAAGUGAUUUUAGAUCUCCAAUGAGUUCAGGAAUGAACCCUUCAAACUCGUUGUUGGAGAGGUCAACUGCCAUGAAGACAUCUGGAAUCUUCGCAUAUUCCCUUUCCAUGCCCUUACUCAUCAAUUUCAUUGCAUAAACAGUACUUAUGCUGAAUGAAACAUUAGGAACCAUUUUAUAAACAUCCAAAUAUGCCAACGCAUCUUGACCAACCAUGACCUUCAUGGCGUGGCAACUCUUCAACAAGUUGGAAGGAAAUUUUCCAUUGAAGCCGUUGUUGGAAAUGUCCAGGAUGUGUAAACGGGUGAAGUUGAGCUCGCUUAGACCGGAUUCUAUGGGACCAUGAAAAUUAUUGGACCGCAAGCCAAUUACUUCUAAGUAGGCCAGUUCCGAUAGCCAAAAUGGGAAUGUGUCAUUAAUUUGGUUGUCACCAAGAUUCAAAUACUCCAGCAAACUGCAAUUUCCUAAAGAUCUCGGAACAAUCCCACUUAGUCGGUUUUCUCUGAGGUCAAUCAUCCUCAAUGCACAAUCAUCUAAGAAAACGUGAGGAAUCAUGCCAUCAAAUUUAUUUCUCGCAAGGUUCAAUGAAAUCAAAGGAUGAAUGCUUCCCAAACAAGGAGGAAGUGUGCCAUUCAAAGCAUUGUUGGACAAAUCGAGCACAAUAAGAGAGCUCACUUCACAUAUGGAUGUUGGAACUUCCCCAAAUAGGAUAUUGCUGGAGAUGUUGUAUACCAUGACUGAGGGAGGUGGGACAGGGAGGGUUGUUUUUAGCAAGUUAGAACUAAUGUCGAGAUAGUUCAAGUUCGGCAAAGGAAGAUAGGUUUGGUUUUUUUCGAAGCCGGUUAAUAGAUUGUGAGAAAGAUCUAUAUACAUGAGAGAUUCUUUGCUAUUGUUCCACAUCCAUCUAGGAAUAAUCCCUUGAAUUCUAUUGUAUUGUAGGCACAAUACCUUCAAUUCGCUUAAGUAGCCUAUAAACCGUGGGAACUCAGUCAAGUUGCAUGAAUUCAAGUAUAAGUAGGCAAGCUUCGAUGUAGUGGCAUUGACGAAUGACUUGGUGAAAGAUAUAUUGCUAUAGGACAAAACUAAUUCUCUCAAGUUCUUGAGUGUGAAUAGAUCAUUUACAUCAAGAACACCAUUGAGAUUAACCGACUUCAGGUAAAGCACUUUAAGAUCCUUCAGAUUUUGCAACGUGCUCAGAAUAUCACCGUGCAAGUCAUUGUAAGAAAGGUCGAGAAAAGUCAACUGCUUCAGGUUCUCAAAUGAAGAUGGAAAUCUGCUACUUAACCAAUUCCCUCGAAUUUUGUUGUGUUGUAGGGAUAACUCCUCCAAUUCGCUUAAGUAGCCUAUAAACCGUGGGAACUCAGUCAAGUUGCAUGAAUCCAAGUAUAAGUAGGUGAGCUUCGAUGUAGUGGCAUUGAUGAAUGACUUGGUGAAAGAUAUGUUGUUGUUGGACAAAUCUAAGAUUCUCAGGUUCUUGAGUGUGAAUAGAUCAUUCACAUCGAGAAUGCCAUUGAGAUUAAGCGACUCCAUGUUAAGGUAUUUAAGAUCCUUCAGAUUCCGCAAUACCCCUAAAAUAUCACCGUGCAAGUCAUUGCCAGAAAGGUCAAGAUAAGUCAACUGCUUCAGGUUCUCAAAUGAAGAUGGAAAUCCACCGCUUAACCGAUUGCCUACCAAACAAAAAGAUAAAAAGACACAAGACAAAGGAGCAUUAGUUACCCCCAUCAAUUUCAAUUUCUUUUUUCUCUUUGGCUAAAUAAUCUCCUCGCCUGAAAAUAUUAGGUCCAAGUCAUUAUGCACUAGCCCACUCAAACAAUUAGACAUUGGAGGGGCCCACCGUCAAAAAUUGGAAAGUCUCUCUCGCUCUCCUCCUCUUUGCACCGAUCUUUCGAGCUCCACUACUGCUUUCUCCCUCCCGGACCACCACCAAAACCCUUGCUACAAUGGCCACAGGAAAAACCAAAGAUAAGGACUUCCUCCUCCACCUUGAGGCCUACCUCAACAAUGCUCUCAAGAUCUCUAGGUACGCCACAAAAAUCACCCUAUCCUCCUCCCUCCUUCCCAAAACCCUACCCCUCCAUCGCUGCCUUAGGAGCUUCAAGUCUAGCGUUGGCCUGAGCUGAAAGGUCUUCUAGUUGGGCUAGUUGUCGAGGACGUGAAUGCUCUUUGGGCCUCACACCUCGACUCUGGGUAGGACCUGAUCCUCUCCUUCAUCGCCUAUGGCGGCGAGGGGACAUACUACGCCGUCGAGUAGUUCAUCUGAUUGGUGAAAUCAGGCUUCAUCAAUGGCCACCGCUCGCGUGUUCGAUCAGUGCGUAGGUCGAGUUCUUCGGGUACAGUGGGAGCAUCAAUAUGAAAAUUAGGGAUUUGAGGAGGUUGAGGGAGGAACGUCGAUUCGACCAUCAAGAUCACGACGUCCAGAGGGAUUAAUUGAGGAAGUUUUUUUUUUUUUUCCUUUCGGUCAAAAAAUUGAGGAAGUUGAGGGAAAAGGAAGUUGAUGAAGAAGCUGUUCAUGGUUCAGGACCUGGCUGAACUUGUCGAGCUAGAAGGCCUUCCGGCUCAGGCCCUUGACGGAAUUGAAGCUCUUGAGGCGGCAAUGGUAGUUUUGCUUGUGGCUGUUAGUAACGGGGGUUUUGGUCGUGGUCGAGGUGGGAGCAAGCAGUGAUGGAGCUCGAGAGAUUGGGUUCCAUGGAGUUGUAGAUGGAGGAGGAAAGAGAUCCAUCUGAACCAGCAAAGAGAGACUUCUGAUGGUGGGCCCCCAUAAUGCCACUUGUCGUCCACUGAGUGGGUUAGUGCAUAGAUGACGUGACAUCACAAUUGCGCUUAAUAUAAUCAAAAGGAAACUAUUACCUGAAAUGUCCAAGAUGGUAAGUUUGGUCAAGUUGACCACCCACUCCAAAGAAUCAUCACUCAAGUUAUUGGAAGAGAGCUGUAGCAUUGAUAGCUGGGUAAGAUUAGCAAAGGAAAUAGGGAUUUGACCUUGCAAGUUAUUGUAAGAGAGAUCUAGCACCGAUAGCUGGGUAAGAUCAGCGAAGGAAAUAGGGAUUUGACCUUGCAAGUUAUUUUUGUGAAGGUUCAGUGCAGUGAGAUGAGAAAGAUUACCCAUUGAAGAGGGAAGCGAUCCUGAAAAAUAGCAACCCCAGGCUACUAACUCAUUCAAGAGACUAAGAUUUCCAAUUGAAGUGGGUAUUUCUCCUGAGAAGUUGGUCAAGGAAAGGUCUAAGGAUUUUAAUGGAGAACCCCAAUGCGGUUUGGGAAAAAACCCAUAAAGGUUGGAAUUGCCUGCAACGGAAAGGACUUCCAAGUUUGGCAGCUGAAAAAUGCUGACUGGAAAGUUUCCACUCAAUUCACAAUAUUCUAGCCUGAGCAAUGUCAAGGAAGAGAAAUUUGCUAGCAUAGGUAGGAAAGGUGAUAACGAACUUACCCAAGAAAGAUCAAGUUCUUUUAGCCCAGUCAAGUUAUGAAAGAAGUCGCCCAUGUUGGGCAUAUGAAGUGUCUCAUCCCUUGACAAAUCGAGAGAAACUAACUUGGAGAGUUGCGAGAUAUCGCGAGGGAUUUCACCAUAAAAGUUGGAGGAGGAGAGAUUAAGGUAUUGUAACUUUGAAAGAUUGCCGAAGCCGUACGGAAUUGAGGAGAAGUUGAAGUUGUUGAAAGCGAGAUUGAGCGACUCCAUGUGAACGAGUCGAAAGAGAGUGGUGUUAGGACUCAUGGUGCCUGAGAGACAACUGCUACUAAGGUUGAGGGCGAUCACUCGGCUGGUGACUUCAUCACAUUUGACGCCGUCCCAUGAACAACAAUCUCCACUUCCAUCCAGCGACCAAGAAUCGAGUUUUGAAUAAAUGCAUGGCCAAUCUGUCGUGUUGGUUCUGAAACUUCUCUUGAAUUCCAUUAAGGCAGAAUUCUCGUCCGCAUGACAAAGUACCUCAGCAAACCUAGUACAAAAAAGAGAAAGGAAGAAUAUCCAAGUAAGCAGCAGAUAUAAUGAUAAGGCUGCCAUAUUUUCUACUUUUGUUUCUAUUCUUUUGGUUACUAAAGUGAGUUUUCGAGGGAGAGUGCGACAUUGAAGGUUUUUAUAGGCAGCAACAAUUGGUUAUGGCAAUGGAAUUAUCUUGCUACUUGGCCAUUCAUAGUACUUGACCUCAGAACUUUAAAUGAUUUUACGUAUGCCUUCUGUAUGGGUUUGAAAACUGCAGGAUCUUAGACGUAUAAACAUUUCUUUUAUUAUAUAGGGCACAAGCGCAGUGGCUUGGCAUUCUCCUUUUAUCCAUAUUUCUCAGUCAUACUUUUAAUAUAGAAUCCAUCCGUUUCUUUUGGUGACAUAUUGGAAAUUGGCAACAAGCUCCCAUGUAAAUUGUUCAUGUCGUUUGACUUGUCUCAUAGCUUCAUGGCUAAAUUUCAAGUACAGAUGUUGUUCAUAGUUUUUGUUCAACAACAUGGGUUGCUUGUGCGACUUCCAUCAAUAAGCCAUUUAUAGGUGGGCUCAUGUGUUUCUCUAAUUUUAAACUCACCUAUACAUCUGUUUUAAGUGUGAAAUGAGAAACACCCAAUUUAACAUAAAAGUAUCGAAAAAAAAUCAACACAAUCAGAACAUAAAAAGAUGAAAGAUCAAAUUAUAUUAUUGACAUAGAUGGAUGUGCACUCAGAAUAAUCAAAUAAAGACUUUGAAAUAAGUGGGUACUGCACCUUUAUUAGAUAAAAGCAGGGCAUGGAAGAAAAAAAAAGUCGUAUGUGCGCAUGUGCACGAAUGAACAGAAACAGAGAGAGUUAUGUGCGUGUGCGUGUAUGUGAACAAAAUAUAUAUGAGCCAUGAUUAAAUUUCUUAACAACCUAAUGUAUUUUUGCUAUCUAUAAUCCAUAUUGUUUUUGGAUUAACUUUUCUGCAAAAAGGUUGGCUUAGUUUUAUUUUUAUGCUGCAUUAGUGUUAUCUUUGUUCAUCUUUUCAUUUCGUAAAUCUUUCUAUUUGAUUCAAAUUUAUAAGAGCAGAUACGGCUCUAGAAGGGGGCAACAUGAAGACAUUGAUUUUAUGGAAAAAUCUUAAGUCGUACACCUCAUUCAAGACUGCAACACUAAACUGAGGGCUACGAAGAGGGUAAAAACUUGCUAUUCUUCAAGCUUUCAUUAGCCAUUAUUAAGAGACAUUAGACAGCGAAAGAAAUCACAGUAAAAACAGUACAUUAAGCUCUUCUUUGACCGGACAAAACUCAAAAGCAAGCGUCCACGUAAUUUCGGAGGGUGAAAUAAUUUCUCUUAUUUUGAGGUAACUUCUAUCUACAAUUCAUGUUCUAAUUGGUUCUGGCAAUGGAAUUAUCUUGCUACUUGGCCAUUCAUAGUGCUUGACCCCAAUACUUUAAACUGAUUUUAGGUAUUCCUUCUGUAUAGGUUUGAAAGACUGCAGGAUGUUAGGCGCAUGAACAUUUCUUUCAUUAUAUAGGGCCCGAGAGCAGCAGGGGCUUGGCAUUCUCUUUUUUUAUCUAUAUUUCAUACUUUAUUAAAAGUAUCCAUUCUUUUCUUUCAGCGACGUAUUGGAAAUUGGCGACAAGCUUCCAGGUAAUUGUUCACGUCCUUUGAUUUGACUCAUAACUUCAAGGGUAAAUUUCAAUUACAAAAGUUCUUCAUAGUUGUUUGUUCAUCCAUAUGGAUAGCCUAUGCGUACCUCCAUCUAUAAGCCCAUUUGUGGACUCAUGUCUCUCUAACUUUUAUCUUUGCUUGGAUGGACGUUCACCGAUAAACUCACUUGUACAUCUGUCCCCUCCCUACACUUACCAAAAAAAAAAAAAAAACCGAUUUUGUUUUGGGAUUCAUCAAGUUUAACACAGAUUUUCUCAGUCAUGGUUUCAUUUUUAAUUUUUAAGUAGCGACGUUUCUCUCUUAAUUAUAUCAUGUGUGCUUACACUUGUCUAACACAAUUUGUGCAAAUGCUAGGUAAUAAAUGUAAAUCCAUUUAGAAUUUUUAUAAUUUUGCAUAAUAUAACAAUAACUUGACCGAAAAAUAUUGAUAAAUAUUAUCUCAAUCAUUAAUUAGGUGAAUUUUACUGUGGGGCUGAUGUGAUCCACGAUGGGAAUGACUUUGAUCUACCGAUGCAAAGGCCAGACGAUACUUUCUCGGAAAUGACGGGGAGACUCCAGAGUCCAAGCAUAGAUGAGGCAUCAUUUUUCAAAAAAGCUAUAAUUGAAAAUUCACGUGGAAACUGAAAAUUUUGUCGUGCUGUGCUCGCCAUUCAUUGCCAGUAUUAUUGGUACGGUCCCCUUCCCAUUUAUUUUUCACGUAGAAAAGAAAUGAAAAAGACAAACUUGACAAACCUCAAGAAAGAAUUUUCUUCCUUAUGAAAAACCAGUUGUACCAACCUAACCAAUGGCAUUGAUGUAACACUUCCCCAUCAAGUGUUGAGCUGCCCAAAGACGCGGGCUCUUUUUUAGGUUCUUUGAACCUUCAGUCAAUGAAAUCAAUUUUACGUCCUGUCGUUUAGUGAUCAAGAAGGUCUUAAAGGAGGAUUGUAGCCUUCUAGCAUUUACCCAAGUCAAGAAGAAUUUUCGAACAUUAGUCGAUGGAUCUCCAGGGGAAUUUGGCCACCAGAGAAGAGUAGAGUACUUAGAGCUUUCCUUCAAUAAAUCCAAGGGGGUCAUUCCUAGAUGAAUGAAGAACAUUAGCGAAACAAAAGGCCUCUCUCAUCACAUAAUUCGUGCCACCGCCAUUGAACCUUCCAUUAUUCAUUGUGUCUCCAAAUAAGUAAAGCUGAAAAAAUUACCCAAUGAUGUAUUAGGAAAUGAACCUGAGAAAUGACAUCUACCGACUAAUGACUUAUUUAGGAAACCGAGGUUUUCCUAAAGAUAAUAGUUCCAAGAGAUUACCCCAAUAUAUUUCCGGAAAAAACCAAAAAGGAAAACACAAGAGACUAGUAUGCAACCUCAUGUCCUAAAGAGAAUAAUUUUUUCAGGAAAUUACACCAAUUGUAAUCAUUUCACAUUGACACAACCCUCGGAUAAGGUCGGAGGAUGACUUAAAAUAAGAAGCUUUUCUUUAUCUUAACGACUUGUACGUGGAGGCAAACAAUUUAACUGUGGCAUUUCCAUAAAGGAAAACAUUUGCAGUAUUUUUCAUGGUGAUUUGUUUGUGGAGGUUAAUUUUUUUUCCACGUCAAACUCUAAAAUGAUUUGAUUGCCGCAUUCAAUUAAAAAAAUUUAUGCAAGUUUAAGGAAUUGAUUCAUUGAAUUAAAAGUUCAAGAACUCGAUUGAAAAAAGAAAGUGUAAAUUAAGGGAGGAAAAGUAAAACUUUAGCGCUCGCUCAUGGUGGACCAAAACAACGGUGCGCUGCUCAUUCUGAUGUACUUUUCUAGUCAAAAGUUGUUUAUUUUUUAUUUUUUCAUACAUCUCUUUUUACCCCUUGUACGACGGGAGAAGAAAAAGCUUCCUAGACAAAACUUUCUUUCGAUUUUUUAAAGUGUCUUUUGAACAAGGCGGAGGAAACGCGUUUUGGUAUUUCAUGUAGUUUCGCCUGUGGAUUAAAUAAUUACACUCAAACUUAAUAUUCUUUAAGGACUCAUAUUUUGGCAUUGACUUGUGUGCUCGGACAUUGGCAUGGUUGAUUAGAAAAAUUAUGCAAAUUUAAAGACUUGAUUAGAUAAAUUCUAAGAACAUGGACUUGACUGUAAAAGAAAAAAAAAAUACUAUAUUUGAACUUAUCAAAAUUUGUAUCUUUUGAAGGUUGAAAAUAAGGACACGCAUUUUGGCACUUCAUAAAAGCUUGGUGUGGACUGAAUUAUUAUACUCAACCUAUAUAUUCAUUUGAGGAAAUGCUUUUUGACACUAGUCCACAAAAGCAAGUUUGUCUUUCCCACUUCGUACUCUAAAAUGGUCCAACAGACAUGUCAAUUCAAAUUUAUUAGAAUCAGUUCUAGGGGCUAAAUUUGAUUAGAUAAAUUGAAAGUUGAAAAGACCUUAACCAAAGAAAGCACAAAAAUUAAGGGUAAAACUUUCCCUUCAAGAGAUAGUGGACGGAUGUUCACACCGCUUAUCAUGGAAUUCCAGGCAAGUUUUUUAAAUCCACCUUUUUUUUUUCUUUUUCCUUUCUUUUUUUUUUCACUGGUACAACGUGGAUCCAACGCUUCCUAGCCAAAGUUUCACGUGGAUGGGCUAGCCUAUAACUUUACAAUUUCAUUAAUUUGUGUUCUAAGACACGCCCUUUAUUAAGCAUGGAGAAGCCCGUGACAUGCUCUUUAUGAAUCAAUAGGUCACGGAGGAUCACCCUUACUUGAUAAGCAAUGCAUUUAUCAAACUCAAAAACGAAUAGGAAAGAGCAGAUUUUAUUCCGCUCUAUACUGAAAAUCAAUGUGCAAUAGCAUAACAAUUUUUUUUCAAAGAAAUCAUCAAACCUUUCAUAACACCAACUUAGCAAGUCGUGUUUGGACUUUCCAUUUCAUGCGCAUAACAGAUUAUUCUAUAUCUUUGUGACAUGUUGAGUCAUAUGGACUUUUAUUUCUCAUAAUUGAUAAUUUGGUAAAAAUCUGUUUCGACAUCACAAAAUUCUAUAAAAAAAAAAAUUCAGUGAUUUGAAAUGAAGUUAAAAUUUUGUAUAUGUAGGUUUUUAAAAAAAAUUCACUGUUCAGUAUUAAAUAAUUGUUAUAUUUAAAAAACGCAAAGGUCAUUUCGAAAUUCUUAUAAAUCAUUGACUUUUCCUUAGUAAUAAUUCCUACUUCUAAUUACAAGUUUGUGAAUCAUUUUCAAUCUAUCACUAAUGUCAUUUAUUGGUACCAACUUAGUAAAUUGCAAAUGUAUCUCUCCUCGUUUGCCAUAUCUAUUCGUUGUUCUUAUUAAAUGAACUAGCAAAAAUAUAAUCCGUUUCCUCAUCAUUCUAAUAGCCAACCUUGCCCCGCACUUCGCAAGGUGGGACGAGGAUGAAGGUGGAGAAUAACAUAAUUACAUUAAACAAAUCAAAUCAAGUUACAUUUGGAAAAUAGGAAUAUUAUUCCAUUCCAAGUGGGGCCAAAGCCCAGUGGCCAUCCUUCCAAAAUGGAAGGGGGUGGGGGGUUCGAAUCCCCACAUUCUCAGGGAAAGUUGGGGUGAUAACGAUUUAGUUUCAAGUGUGGGUUUCAACUCCCACGCCGUGCAAGGAGGUAAGGCAAAAGUCUAAGAAUGAGAGUUAGCAUAGAAGUAAAGUAGGAUCGACAAAAAAAAAAAAAAUUGGGCCAAAGUGACUGCCCAACUAGGCUCAUGACAACACUCGUGCCUAUUAAGUAGUAAAAGCCCAUUCAAAGAGGACUAAGAUGAUAUGAACGAGUAAUUAGGACACGUUUGGUAACGAUUCUGUUCCCGGGAGCUGAUUCUGAUCAGAACUGAUUCUUUUUUAUUCUGUUCCCGGGAACUGAUUCUAAGCAUUUUAAGCCGUUUGGUAACUGUCCAAAAUUUUUGAUUCUGGAAUAGAAUUGCGUUUGGUACCGUGUUCAUUAAUUCUGUUCCAAAUCAAUUUCUUUUAAUUUUUAAAUAAUUUUUUUACUUUUUUCCUUUGUUUUCUUUUCUUUUUUUCAUUUUUUCAUUUUUUUCUUUUCAUUUUCCUUUUUUUUCUUUUCAUUUUCUUUUUUUUUUCCUUUUUUCUUUUCUUUUUCUCAUCAUCUUCUUCUUCUUCUUCUUGCCGGUUGCCGGACCGGCGACCGGUUAGACGAGGGCCAGCGACCUCACCGGAGCGUCGCCGGCCCUCGGCGAGGCCAGCCCUCGUCGGCCGAGCCUCGCCGGCAGCCAGGCGAGGCUCGCCUAGCCCCGCCGAGGCUCGGCCGAGCCAGAUCUGGCGGGGCCGAGCCCCGCCGGUGGCCAGGCCGACCUCGUCGGGGUUGGGCGAGGCCUGCCAGGCCACCGACGGGGCUGGGCGAGCCUCGCCAGUGGCCAGGCAAGCCUCGCUUAGCCACCGGUGGGGCUGGGCGUUGCGAGCCUCGCCCAGCCCUUGCCCAGUCCCGGCGAGGCGGGCCUCGCCCGGCCCCAGCGAGGCCUCGCCCAGCCCCGGCGAGGCCCGCCUGGCCACCGGCGAGGCUCGGCCCGACAGAUCUGGCUCGGUCUCCCACCGACGGUUCGGCGAGCUCAGCAGAGGCACGCCCGGCCACCGGCGAGGCUCGGCCUUGCCAGAUCUGGGGAGGCCGAGCCUCGCCGGUGGCUGGGCUUGCCUCUGGUGAGCUCGCCGGACCGGCGGCCGGAGACCGGCGGCGGCGGCAGCAGUGGCGGCAGCGGCAGCGGACGGCGACGGCGGUGGACGGCGGUGGCGGAUGGCGGAUGGUGGCGGGCGGUGGUGGACGGCGGUCGCGAGAUGGCCGAAGGGAAGAAGAAAAUUUAUUGAUUUUGAUUCUCAAAUUCGUUCCCGGAACAAGAAUCAAUUUUUUUUUUUGGUUCUUGAUUCUGUUCCCAAUCUGUUCCCGGGAACAAAAAUUUUACCAAAUGCGAUUCUAGGCCGAAACUGAUUCCGGGAACAAAGAAUCAGAAUUUGGCCCUGUUUGGAUGGUUACCAAACAGGGCCUCAGUCAUUCAUUCUUACAGAGCAAAAUGAAUGAACUAGUAGUACUCCUUUUUUCCACGACAACGAAGUCAAUCUUAGAUAGGUGAAUUGCAAACGCGAGAAAUUCUCAUGUACAGACAAAUUGAGUCAAAUACCAAGGUGGAUGACCCUAAAAUGAAUUAUGUAUUCCAAUUGUUAUUGUGUUAAACUCUUGGGUCAUGCCUCAAUACUUGGUAUUUGUUUAUGCUGUGCAUAAAUUAUGUGAUUCAACUUCUUCAGUUGCAUCAAAUCCUCCCCCUUAAGAAAGGCUAAGAAAAUAAGAGGUGUAUCGCCAAUCGUCAACGAUAACAUAAGCAAUUAGAGCAAUACUCGUAGAAUUACGACGGAGAAUUUGAGGCACUUGUCAUGCCUAUGAUCAAAAUCCUUGCCGUGUAGGUGAAGUCGAUGUUUGUAUUUCAUCGACUUCGUGUUCAGCGUAAGUCAUCAACCACACCUUGACUCGAAAGUCAUCUUCCAAGUCUUCCUCUAGUUGAGAAUUUGGGGCGGCCACAUCGAUUUGCACGUCACACACAUCUUCUCAAUGUAAUCUUGUACAAAAUUGCCUGUACCCUACUUGUUUAUGGAUAUCUAUUUGUUAAAAAGAAAAGUUAAAAAAAAAAAAGUUUAAAGUAUAGCAAUUCUUUUGUACCACGCCUCUUAAUGUAAGUUUCGGCUUUGCAACUUGAAUUUUGAGUUCUACCAACAAAACCCAUUAUUGUAACUUUCCUUUUUUGUAAUUUAGCGGUGAAGUGGUAUCAGAGGUGCUUUCGUGCACUUCAAUUAGUUCAUUUUGUUGGGAGAUCUUAAGGGUGCAUUACAUCAUAUACACUUCCUAGAAUUGGGAUUUUAUUUCUAGAGUGCUCCCAAUAAGGUUUAAGGAGAAAAUUACCAAAAAAAGUCCUAAACCUAUUGCAAUUGUGCCAAUUCUAACUUAUUUUUUUUUAUCAAUUGAGUCAUAAACCUUUUACAAUUAUUCAUGAUCAGUCUAUCUGGCCAAAAUUGGCCAGCCGACGCUGAUGUGGUAGCUAGCCGGCGCCGGCGAGCUUUUUCUAAUAAUAUUUUAUUUUUUGAAAUAUUUUAUUUAUUUACUUUUCCUUUUUCCUUUUUCCUUUUUUUUUUUCCCUCCUCCCUCCUCCUUCCUUUCGUCGGACUGAGGUGAUCCGACAAGCUCGCCUCGCCAAUUAGCGAGCUACCCAGCGACCGCAAGGCGAGCCCUCGCCAGAUCUGGUGGGGGCUCGCCCCGCCGUUGCUAGGUGGGAGCUUGCCAACUGGCGAGGCGACUCGGUCGAUUGCUGGAGCCAAAGGAAGGAGGUGGGAGGAGGGAGGAGGGAGAAGGGAAAAAAAUUAAUAAAAUAUUUCAAAAUAUAAAAUAUUAUUUAAAAAAAAGUCCAUCAGCGUUGGCUGGCUGCCAUGUCAGCGCCAGCUGGCCAAUUUUAGCCGGAUGGAUUGAUCGAGAAUAAUUGUAAAAGGUUUAGGACUUAAUUGGUAAAAAAAACAAAGUUUAUGACUGAAUUGGCACAAUUGCAAUAAGUUUAUGACUUUUUUGGUAAUUUUCCCAAGUAAAAGCCCAAGUCUACAAGAAAAGUAGAAAAUUACUGGCCAUCUGAACCAACUAAAUAGAGAUAAGACAAAGAUCAAAUACAUAUUGUAUUCAAUAAUUUUAUGGAUUGUGCAUGAUCUGUACAAUCAUGUGUUAAAACAUUAGCUUUUUCAAAAAAAAAAAAAAACUAUAGAAUGACCCUUGUUUGUCAAUUCAAAGUGGCAAAAGUCUUUUUGUGGGUCUUUCAAUUUUGGCCUAUAUGUGGGAAAAUAAAUGAGAUGCCAUUUUAAUGGACCAAUUAUGCAAUCAUGAUUGCACCCGAACCAUUAGUCACGGCAUGAGAACGUUAGGUUAUUCUUGUAUUAUCUAAACGUGGGUUGGACAACAUUGUGUGAACACAAAUGAUUUAGUUCACCAUUCUGUCAUAUCAACAGAUCAAAUAUUACUUCUAGAAUAAUGAUUUCAAUAUCAAUCCACAUCUCAAGACUUUGGCCAUGCAAAGCACGAGUCUAUAGACGAAAUUUAGUGCCAUUGCCUUUUCAGAUGUGUCUAGUGCAUGAAUCACCCAAACAGAAUGAAAUUUCAAUGCUCGGAUUGCUUAUCGUUGCCCACAAAAGCUUCUCCAUUGAAAACGAAAUCUACCAAAAAGCAGUAAGAACAAAACAAAAAUAUGGCCCCCUCAUUAUUUUCCCUGUUUUGUACUAUGAUUGUUUUCCUCCCCUCAUUUCCUACUUCCGCCGCUAAUUAUCUUGUAUGGCAUUGACUCCUCAUUAUAGGGCCGAUUACUCAUCAAAUAUAAAAUAUAUUAGAUUAUUUUUUUUUGUUGUAAAUAUAAUUAAUUUAUCCACCCAUAAUUUGACACACGAGUAAAUCAACUAAACAAAUAUCUCGGGAAAAGCUAAAGUACAACAAUCCCAACUCUCAGAUGCUUUCUACGGCAGUCCAUCACCAUAUAUUUACGAGUAUAUGUGACUGUUGUUUCACAUGCUCAUAAACGCCGAACACCCUUUAUCUUCCAAGUCGUUCCUUGACUUAGUUUUAGCCACAUCAUAAUAAAUAAAAUCGAUCAAUUCCAGUUGUUUUUCAUUUGGGCAGCCCCGCCGACAGAUGUAAAGGGACAAUUGCCAGUUUCCCAUUACGAGACCGGGCCUGGGAUUCGAUUAGGCGGCCCAAUCGCGGGCUGAAGGCCCAUUACGUAGCGGGCCCAUUUCUCUCCGGAUUCCAGCCCCUCCCCUCGCCCAAGAAAGCACGUCGACCUUCGUCUUGGCGUCGCUUGCUCAUCGUGCUCGUGGCUCGUGCUGACGUGUAUUUUCUCUUAAAAAGGGAAAAAUGCGGGUUGAGUUUCCGGUAGAAUUCCAACCUGUCUGGAAGUUCACCUGAGCUGAGCGCACACCUUCUCUUCCGCUCCUUCAAUUCCCCCCACCUUCUCUUCUUCUGUUCGAUCUUAUCCGUCUCUCUCGGCGAUGGCAGCUUCCAGCUCCAGCGGUUCAAUCCCGGUGUCCGGCAAUGCUCAUAGCUCCCGCUUGCAUGAUGCGAUUUCUCCGAAUCUCUGUCUCCUCUCCCGUCCGUGUCAUUUCGCGCCUCUUGAAUUUCUCUUGCUUUGUGAUUUGCAGAGGCCGUUCAGCUCCAGUCCAGGUCACUUUUCAUUGAUGUUGUAUGGUGUAAUAUACUAAAUUAAGAACACUACAAACGCUAUAAUUUUCGUACAGUACUCACCUGCGUGUCAUUUUUUUUUUUUUUAUCACUUGAGUGCCAUAAUUUUAGUACAGCACUUACUUGUGUGCGGUUACUUUUUUUUCUAAUCACUUGAAUAUCAUAUAACAUUUUAAUUAAUCACUUGAAUGCCAUAAUUUUUUUAAAACGUUUACCAAGUGUCAUGCCAUUUCAGAUUUUCGACAAUUAGGUAAAUGUUUUUUAAAAGUUUUGGCAAGUGAUCGAUUGAAAGUUAUGGCAUUUAAAGUGAUUUUUUUUUUUUAGAAAUAGUAACACUGAAAAUAAAAUGUUAGGGGACUCAAGUGAAAACAAUACACAAAUUAUGACACUUGUAAUGUUCUUAAUUCCAAGCUUGUGAGUUUAGAUUCAAUCUAUCUCACUCUCGUCAUUAAAUAAUACUUAAAUUUCAAAAAAAAAAAAUUGAAAGCAAAGGUCUUUUCUAAUCAUUGCCUAUUUCCUUAAUAAUUCCUACUUCUAAAUAUAUUUCGUGAGUUCAGAUUUAAUCCAUCUCACUUAUGUCAUUAAUCGGUAUGAAUAGUACCCUUUUGUCUCUCCUCUUUUUACUUAUUUUUUCGCCAUUCUUAUUAAAAAGAUCUAAAAACUGUUCUCUCCCCUCUUUAAGUCAGAAGUAAUCAUACUUUUUUGCCUGAGUCAAGCUUCAAGUCAUUAGUACAUAGACCAAUAAAGAAACUUUGAAAGUGUGGAAAUAAAUGCAAACAUAAAUAAUGGGUUGAGUCCAUAGAUACUUCUCAAGUUAGGGCUAAAAAUAUAUCCACUUAGUCACAUAAAGUUUUUAUAUAUUUUGUUGACACCUGAACUUUAACUACCCUACUCAAUUCUUUGCUGCAUUGAAAAUAAGAUGUUGACCCUAAUUCCAAAAUAAAAAUACUACUUGCAUAAUUCACAUUUACCAUUUAUUUAUGUCAUGAACCAUAAAGCUUUUAUAUAUUUCGUGAGUUCAGAUUCAAUCCAUCUCACUUUUUGUCUAAUUUCUCUAAACAAUUCCAAUGUCUUGAAUCCUCAUUUUGCAGUUGAUGGUGAGUAUCUCACCUACAUGAAUUACAUAGUGCAUGCAAUGGUAUCAAGGUAGGUGAAGUACCAACAUACGCGCAUGAUGUUAGGGAAGAAAAUGUCCAGUUCCAUGUAGCAAUUUCAAGAAAGACAAAAUUAGUAAUAAGUGGAUUCAAGAAAAAACUACAAACUAUAUGUGAUACGGUUAGGAUAUGUCGUACUAUGACUAUAGACGAUAUAAUGAGAAGAUAUUUCUCUAUAAUGGAGCAGCGAAUAAAAGAGGAGUAAAAAGGAAAUAUGGACACAGAUUUAUGAAAAAUCUUAGGUUUUUACAUCUUGUUCAAGACUACAAUACUAAAUUCAGGGAUAUGAAGAGGGUAAAAACUUGUUAACCUUCAAACUUUCAUUAGCCAUUGUUUAGAGAAAUUAGACAAAAAGUAUUAGUUGUCUAUUGACACUGCAAUACAUCAGUUGUAGAGAGUAUUAGUCUUUUAUCCAUGUUAAAAGCAACAAUCACAAGGCGGAUUGAGUUGUGUAGAGUAUUAGUUAUAUAUACUCACUGCAAAACUCAAACAAAUUAAAUUUCCAACACAAUGAAAAAGGUAAUCUAUGCAUGUGAAAUGCUACGUCUACUGGGAGCCUACGCCGUAAUUGGAAAUCAAACUGCAGCUUCACUCUCCACAUGUUCUACUAACAAAGGACUCUAAAUUAGUUCUAUUGUUCUAUACCUCUCGUCUAGUUACAUAAAAGUUUUAGACAGGACAAUUAAAAGAUAUACUGAAAACGCUUAUGGAAUUAGAAAUUCGGGAUUAUUGAGAGAUCAACAGCAGUAUUUUGAAUUGCCUCUUGCUUUAACUUCUCCUUCACUACCUACAUUCCGCUAUUCUCCUUCCACUUUCCAUUGCAGAGGAAAAGUUUGUCUCUUUUCUGCUAAGUACAAUAUUUAACAUUAUCCUGCAAUUGCAUCAGUAACAGAAUCCUAAAUGCUGAAGUAACAAAAAAAUGGCAUUUCCAAACUACCUAUAAACAUAAAUCACAGUCAGGCCCGGGCUUUUCCCAUGCUAGACAGCAAGCCAACCAGUAACAGGUACGCAUGCCACAAACAAACAAGCACGGUUCAAGGAUAACGGAAACUCAUUGAUAUUAACGAGGUUGAAAAACCAGUAACCACCACAGCAACUGUUUCCUAUUUCCGAUGUUUAGCUCUACUCUGGCCGGUUAACCAGGAUUUGCAAACAUCUGAGAACCUGACGAUGCACAGGCCAUAUUAACUAAGAGACACAAAAAAACAAGUACACGUUUAACGUGAUUGAAAGGUAACUUGAAAGAGAGAUGGCAAUGCAGCAUUUGGAAGGUGAGAUGAUGGCAAAUAUGUUCUUGUAUGGCAUCAAAAAAUCAGAUAUUAUAUCGUGGAAGUUCAAUAACAACUUAUCCUUGAGACUGAUUUCUGUACUACUGACCAUUUUUUGACAUUGGGCCAUGCCUUGGUAUUUCGUAUUUAUUUGUAGUGUAAGUAGAUUAGGCAAGUAUAUUUCUUGAAUUGCAUCUAUUCCUUCCGCUUAGGAAACCAUUGAAGGUUAAGAAAAUAAAACGUGUAUCUCAAUCAUUAAUGAUACUAUAAGCAAUAGAUGGAAUAAUCAUAAAAGUAUUAUGGAAAAUUCGAGGCACUUGUUAUGAUGAAAAUGCAUUCCGUGAUAGUGGAGUCGAUGUUGCGUUUCAUCAUUGAGUCCAUGUUCAGCAAAAGACGCCAACCACUCCAUGACUCGAAAGAAAUCUCCCAAGUCUUCCACAAAGUUGAGAAUCAGAGAUGGCGACUUCAACUUUGACAACAUGAAAAAUGAGUAAUAAUCAAUCUGACCAUGAUCAAAAGCGUGCUCUUAAUGGUCAAUGCACUCGACCCAGUUUUUGAGCUAUGGUUGAAAAAUCUAUAUUAUUUUGACAAGAAAGUGGGGGAGAAUCUGAAGUUGGGCAAGUAAUCUUCUGCCAACGACAGGAAAUUGCAUGAUUUAUCAAGACUUUCGCCCAAUCUUUUAGAAUGACGAACAUGAGCCAUCCUAUGGUUCAUAGGAGUACUCCUAGUCGUCGAAUCACAAAAAGAGAAGACUGCAAUCAUUCACUGAAUAUAUUUUCAAAUUUUAUAUAUCAUUGCUUCAUUUUUAUAUAAAAUUAAUGAUAAAGUAUACGUGACUGUGAUGAAUUACAAACAGGCAUGAUUCUCUCGGGAACUAUAGAAGCUCCGACAAACGGUAAACAUAUCUCGGCAGAAAUAUGGCACACAGACAUUGCCUUAGAUUAGAAUUAGCUGAUAAUGUUACCCAUUUACCCAUUGAAAUGGAUGCCAUGUUUGUUAGUCAAGCAAUUACAGGCAAUCAAAGGCAUAAUUUGCUACUAGACCCUCUUUUGGCUGAAUGUUAGGGACUUGCUCGCGGAGCUGCUGGGAUUUGAAACUGAGCACAUAUUCUGAGGAGCAGAUGGUUGCCCGGAUGGUUUAACCCUGCAUGCAACGGAACAUGAUCUGCAAUUUGUUAUUUAUUCCUCUCUGUUCUAGAUGUUAUUAAAGACCUAUCGUGCAAUAACGCCGGGAGCAUAUAAAUUUCAGAAUAUGUAACUUGACGUGCUUUUUUUUAAUGUAAUAAUAUUAUUUAUCGCCCGGGGGUUUGGGGGAGGGGUGGGGAAGGAGAAAUAAAGCCUUAUUCAUCAGUCUUUUUAAUUAUUAGUUGACCAUUACCUCGUCAAAUGUAAUUUCGAGAUGAAAAUAUUCUAGUCCUGUUCUUCACACUUAUUACUGUAUAAUGACGCUAGAAUUGAGUUUCAAUCUAGACAAUUAAUAUGAAUGCUUCAAUCUAAUUUGUACCUUGUGGAUGUGUGAAACUUUUUCCCCUUUUAGAAAAAAAAAUGUCUGUUUGCUUAUAACUCUCAACAUAAUUAAAAAAAAAAAAAAAACCAUGAGAAUUAGGCAAUAUGAUGAAAUUGCAAACCCACUUGACUCCUUGAUGGGUCAUUAUUUCCCUAGUUUCUUGUAAAUGAAUCAACAAACUACAUAAGAGGCUAAAGUAAUGACAAAAUGACGAUUAAGAUCGGACAUACUUAGUAUGUAUAUCUCGCCUUAAAAUUCUCAUGCAUGUCGUGAUGAGUUUCAUGUGCAAUCAUAGUUGAACCGUUGGUCCACAAAAAUGUCAUCCCAUAUCUUUCUUUAUGCAAAGAUCCAAAUUAAGAGACCGCACAAGUGUGACAGCCCAAGUGCGGGGGCGUGUCUUCUGUCCCACAUUGCUUAGGGGGGAGUUAUGAGGCUAGUUUAUAAGACUUAGGUCCUUUUAAUCUGUGUAACCCGUUUUAAAGCCGUAAGGACUUAAUGUUAAAAGCGGACAAUAUUACACAGUGGGGCCUGGGUCGUGUGGGGCCACAAUGAGGACCCUGUGCUCCCAAGGGGGGGAGAGUGUGAUGGCGUGUGACAAGCCCAAGCGUGGGGGCGUGUCUCCUGUCCCACAUCCCUUAGGGAGGGUGCUCCCAAGGGGGGGAGAGUGUGAUGGCAUGUGACAAGCCCAAGCGCGGGGGUGUGUCUCAUGUCCCACAUCGCUUAGGGAGGGUGCUCCCAUGGGGGGGAGAGUGUGAUGGCGUGUGACAAGCCCAAGCGCGAGGGCGUGUCUCCUAUUCCACAUCGCUUAGGGGGGAGUCCUGAGCCUAGUUUAUAAGACUUUAAUUUGUGUAACGCGUUUUGGGGGGAAGAGUGUGAUGGCGUGUGACAAGCCCAAGCGUGGGGGCGUGUCUCCUGUCCCACAUCGCUUAGGGAGGGUGCUCCCAAGGGGGGGAGAGUGUGAUGGCAUGUGACAAGCCCAAGCGCGGGGGUGUGUCUCAUGUCCCACAUCGCUUAGGGAGGGUGCUCCCAAGGGGGGGAGAGUGUGGUGGCGUGUGACAAGCCCAAGCGCGGGGGCGUGUCUCCUAUUCCACAUCGCUUAGGGGGGAGUCCUGGGCCUAGUUUAUAAGACUUUAAUCUGUGUAACGCGUUUUAAAUCUGUGAGGACUCAAUAUUCAAAGUGGACAAUAUUACACAGUGGGGCAUGGGUUGUUACAACAAGACUUUCGCCCAUCUUUUAGAUCGGCUAACAUAAGUUGUUCUACAUUUCCUAGGAUUACUCCAAGUACCCCAAUCGCAAAAAGAAAUAAUGAUAAAAAAAAGUGAUUACAAACAUAGUUGCAUUAUUGGUUAACAAAAAUGUCAUCCCAUAUCCUUUUACACGCAAAUACCAAAAUUAAGAGACCCGCCAAAAAUUUUCCCCACUUUUUAGAUUGACCAACGUAAGUCAUUCUACAUUUCCUAGUAGCAUUCCAAGUAAGCCAAUCACAAAAAAUAAAUUAAUGAUAAAAAAAAAAGGUGAUUACAAUCAUAGUUGCAUUGUUGGUCAACAAAAAUGUCAUUCCAUAUCUUUUUACACACAAAGACCAAAAUUAAGAGACCUGCCAAAAGACUUUUACCCGUCUUCUAGAUUGACUAACAUAAAUCGUCCUACAUUUCCUAGGAGUACUCCGAGUACCCUAAUCACAAAAAGAAAAUAAUAACAAUAAAAAGUUAUUACAAUGAGCUACGAAUGAGCAUAAAUCUCUCAAAACUACAGAAGCUCCGACAAACGGUGAACAUAUUGCUGCAGAAAAUCGUGCUAAGAGAUGGCCUUAGUAUAGAGUAACCCAAAUAAUGUUAUCCAUUCACCCAUCGAAAUGGAUGCCAUGUCUAUGAUUCAAGCAAUUAUAAGCACUUAUGGGAAUAAUUUACUGAUGAAACCUGUUUUUGGCUGAAUGCGGGAAUUUGCACACGAAGCUGCGGGAAUACAAAGUUGAGCACAUAUUCAGAGAAGCAGAUGGUUGCUCGGAUGCUCUGGCCCUGCUUGGACAGAAAUAACAUCUGCAAUUUUUAUUUUUUUUAUACCUGUUUUCCACAUGUUAAAAACCUCUUGAAUUCACUAACAACACAUACAUUUCAGAUAAUGUAGACUUGACUGAUUUUGUUUAAUUAUUGAAAGAAGGGAUUCCUUAAGAUACCAAAAGAGACAUUAUGUAGAUAAAAGGUUAUUGUCCCUUACUCAUAACAAUAUGGGGUAUUCAGCUUACUUAGCCAUGCUCGAACUAGAGACCCUCUAGAGUUGGGACUGGGAUGAGAGUGGGGAUUGGAUUUCUUUGGUUGCUUUUAUAUAUGCGUCGUGGUGCGCUUUGCCUUCGCUCUCGUCUCUCUGCCUUUCUCGCUCAUUUAAUUGGGAUGUACCGCAUGAACCUGGUGAACUCGCGUACCAUGGGCUGGUUUGGCUUUAACGGCGCAGCAGGAGAUGGAGGCUUGCGUUAUUUUUUAAGGGUAACAUCUGCUGUGAUCUUGGGAUUCGGAACAGUCAACAAGAGGACGAAUACAGAUAAUAUUUAUUUAUGGUCGCGUGACAUUCCCGCGUCCGCCGUCGGGUUGGUCACUAUCCGGAUCAGCAAAGUGUCUUUUCGAAGCCCCUCUGCAAUAUUCAACGUCGUUCUGCGUUAAUCACGCGCUGUGAUGUGAUGAACGUGAAUUCACACACUAUUGACACUGUUUCAGGAAACAUAAACGUGUAAGGCUCUCCUCGAAUGUUAUACCAUAAUUCAGGGAUUAUAUCUUCAUCCAGUAAUUCAUUCUGGUAAACAGCAAUUUAUGAUGCGAGAGAGGGAGCCUUGUGUGAUUUUCAGAACUGAGUCCAAACGUGUUAGCAUGCGGCAGAUUUUAGGAGCGGGAUAGAAAGGUUGGGAAGAUAUUGUUGUGAACUAACCUCAAAAAUUGAGUUGGGAUGCAGUUAGGAUAUGAUAUAUGUAUGAGAUUCGCCAACAAUCGGCUUGGGGCAACUACCUGUCACCUGUUGCACGUCGCCCAAAUCACGCUCUGCUACCUAUACCUCCCCUUACCUCGCUGGUCAAAGAUAUGAGGUCUUCUUUUUCCAGUGGCUUCCGACGAGGCAGAGAGCUUCUUUUGGCCGGUUAUUGUUGUCUACAAAAGUUUAUCCACCGCACUUUACCUCGCACCUUUCGCACAUGUUACCCAACUCCAGUAACAAAAGGAAAAUUCAUGGCGUCCCUACUCUAUGCGCUUCUAACUUUGAUUGUCCUUCUCCUAAUGAUUCAUACUUCAUUUGCCAAGCCAUUUUGAUAAGAGCUCUGCCUUGAUGGAAUUCAAGAGAAGUUUUCGAAUCAACAGAGUUGAUUUUCCUCAUUUUUAUCUGAAGAUUAAUCAUGGUCACUACAUGGACAUGGAGAUUGCUGCUCAUGGAAUGGGAUAGUGUGAUGAGGCCACUGGUCAUGUGAUAGGCCUCGACCUCAGAAAUAAUUGUCUCUUUGAUGACUUCCAACACCAGCCUCUUUUGCCUUCUAUGUAUGUAUGUCUUGCCAUGGGUAUUUCGCAAUCUCAACAUAUUUCCUGAAUCUCAUUGUUCUUUUAUUUUGUAAACUAAUGUCAAAGAGUUAUAAGCAAAUAGGCUCUUUCAUUUUCAAAAUGGGAGAAACAUGGUCAUACAUCUACAAGGUACAAAUCAGAUAGAAUUCUCGUGCCUGCCGUAACUAAUGGUUCAUGUGCAAUCAUAGGUGCAAAGUCGGUCCACUAAAAUGGAAUUUCAUGCUUUUUCCACAAAAAGACUAAAAUUGUGAGACUCGCCAUUGACUUUUUCCCAUUUUUUAGAUUGUCCAGCGGAAGUUGUCUUUGAAUCACAAAAAAAAAAAAAAAAAAAAAAAAAAAAAAAAAAAAAAAAAAUUUGAAAUCAUCUAUUGAAAAUGUUUUCAUAUUUUAUAUAUCACCAACUUGUUUUAUAUAAAAAUAAUGACAAAAUAUACGUGAUUGUGAUGACUAACAAGGAUAAAUCUCUAAAAUUAUAUAAGCUCCAGAGGAUGGAGAACAUAUCGCGGCAAAAUUGUGGCACUAUGAGAUGGCCUUAGACUAAAAUUAGCAAAUAAUGUUACCCAUUUACACCUUGAAAUGAAUACCGUGUCCGUUAUUGAAGCAAUUACAGGCACUCAGGCAUUAUUUCAGUGCCUGUAAUUGCUGAUAAACGUCAUCUGGUUGAAUGCAGGAAUUUGCUCAGGAAGCUGUAGCAAAUACAAAAUUGAGCACACAUUCAGAGAAGCAGAUGGUUGCGUGGAUGCUUUGUCCCUGCUUGCAAAGGAACAACAUCUGCAGUUUGGUAUUUAUUCCUCUGUUUUAGAUGUUAUUAAAGACCUUUUGCAUGACAACUCCGUUGGUAGCACAUAUAUUCCAGACAAUACAACUUGACUAAUUUUGUGUAAUGAUCGACAGUUGAGAUUUGUUACGACACCAAAUGAGAUAUUGUGUAGAUAGAGCAUCAUUGUCCCUUUCCAUAUUCACAUGGUGCAUUCGGGAUUUUACUUAGCCAUGCCUGCUGUCAGGACCGUUAGAGUUAGGACUGGGAUGAGUGGGGAAGGUUGUAUUUCUUCAAUUCCUGCUAUUCGGGUAGUCAUUAGACGAUUUCCCUUCACUACUGCUGUCAUCUCUCUCUGCUUUUUUCUUUCAUUUAAUUACGAUGGAUUGCAUGGACCUGGCCUCCUCGCAUUACCAUGGCUAGUUUAGAUUCAACAGCUCCGCAGGAGGCGGAGGCUUGUGCUCUUUUGAAGUGUAACCUUUGCUGUGAUCUUGGGAUUCAGGACAGUCAACAAGAAGACAUGAAAAAAUGAUAUUUAAUUAUGAUGGGAUAAGUGCAUUGGAAAUUUUAAAUCUUGUCAAAAAGGUGCAAUUUAAUACCAAGACUUGUAAAAAGUACAAUAUAAUAUCAAAAUUUGUCAAAUUUGUGUAAUCAAGUUUUUCCGUUAAUUAUAUCCAACUUGACUAACGAAAAAUGCCGACAUGACUUUUUUAAAAGUCAGCGCAUUUUUUGCACUAAUAUAUGUCGGCCUAAUAUUCAAGAUAGGCUUGUCGAGUAAUUCACUUGCGGGUACUCCUAAAUAUGACGAUCUCAACGUGUUUAGCAAAUAUAUGUAAUUCACAACACGAGUUGUUUAAGCAUGCGAGAUUCGUGCGGCUUCCUUCACUUUUUAUAACAGACUUGGGUUUCUUGUGACCAUGGUAAAUUGCGGUGCGGCCUUUUCUUGUACCUCUUUUCUUCCUUUCGAAUGUCGUCAGAAUCCAAUGUGGAUCACAAUCCACUGAAAGGAAAGGUCUUUUCUGACUAGAUCCUUGACUAUUUCCUGAGUAAUUCAUGCUUCUAGAUACAAGUUUGUGAGUUCAGAUUCAAUCUAUCACUUAUAUCAUUAAAUAAUGCUUAAAUUUCAAAAAAAAAAUUUGAAAGAAAUGGUCUUUUCUGAAUUCUUAUAGAUCUUGACCUAUUUCUCUUAUGUGAGUUCAGAUUCAAUCUAUGUCACUCAUGUCAUUAAUUGAUAUGAACAGUGCCAUUUUAUCCCUCCUCAUUUCACUUAUUUUUUGUCACUCUUAUUAAAAUAAUUGAAAUUUGUUCAAUGAUCCAUUCCUUUAAAUCGCUCUGAUCACCAACCUUGCCCCGCAUUCCGCAGACGUGGGACGAUAAUGGAGAUGGGGACUUUCAUGGCCCUUGCUCGCUAGUCUGCUUAUUCCAAAUUUUUUUUAAUCAAGUACUUAUUCCAGUAUCAAAUCCUUAUUAUCAUGUUCAAUUCCAGAAAGUUUUGUUAAAAUCGUUAUUUUGUUAAAUUUCAUGUUUACAUUUACACUAAUAAAAGUAAAUCACUCAUUAAAUUAUUUUAUCUUUAAGCUAACAAUUACAUUCAACUUAACGUAAUCUCGGUAGAAUACCGCAUUAGGUUAAAACAAAGUUUCCAAAACUCUUGGUAAUUAAAAUGUGAAUUUUUUUAGAAAAAGACGAAUUGAUACGAUUUGAAUGCAAUUGACAAGGCAUGACAAGUUUUUUUUUUUUUUUUGGUCGAAAGAGAACUUAUAUUAUAUUAAGGAACAUUACAAGCUAGAUCCGAAGCAUCAGAAGAUAGAAUAGAUAGGAAAAUAUCAGGAGGGAAAAGAAGCCAGUUGAUGGGUGGGCCUUGAUCUCUGUGGGCUUUAGCAGCCCAGUCGGCUGCUAGGUUAGCCUGACGCCGGAUAUGCUGUAUCGAGAGAUUAGGGCAUUGUAGCAGAAGAUCACUGAGGAUCGCGAAGAGGUGUUGGUCCUUCCAUGGCGGCUGCUGUUUCGUACGAAUGAUCUCCACCAACUUAAGGCAAUCAGAUUCGAUCACCGAACGAUGAAGCUGGAGUCCCUUCUGGAUCAUCCGUUGAAGAGCAAAUAUGAGGGCAUAGAUCUCGGCUUGGAAUGCAGACUGGGCAGGCACGGAUCUGGUAAGCACAUCCUGUAAUAUGCCUUGACUAUCCCGGUAAAUACAAGCGAUGGAUCCUUGCUCUGAUUCUUGUUGAAAAGCCCCAUCAAUAUUGCACUUUAUAUAGCCUUCAACAGGUGGUUUCCAUACAUUAUCGAGACUGACCAGAGUGUUUUGGGUGUUCUGUGGCGAGGGCUGUAAAUUCUUGAAGAUGGUGCUUUGGGUAAGAGCAUCAUUGACGACUUGAAGCGGAUCAAGUGGAAUCUGACGGAAGACAGCAUUAUUUUGAUGGCGCCAAAUUUCCCACAGAACGUGAGCGAUCCCUUCAAAAUCUGGAGCCGCUUGUGGGAGGGAAGCUCUGUCAACAACCCAGGCAUCAAAUCUGCUAACUGAGGUAGGUGAUAUCCUGAUUCGAAUUUCUUCAUGAUUCCAAAUAUCAUUGGUCCAAGGGCAGAAGAAAAAGAGGUGCUCUAUGGAUUCUGGGACAGAAUUAUUGCAGAGAGAACAGUAGGGAUUCGAAAUGAUAUGGCGUUGAUAGAGGUUUGAUUUUGUAGCAAGUGCAUUUUUGCAUGCUAACCAGAGAAAAACCUUAAGCUUCGGAGCCGUACGCAUGUGCCAAAUUUUCCUCCACAACUGGGGCGAGUUAGUGUAAGAGGAGGAGGGUUUAUGUAUUGGUUGCUAAGAGUUUGUUGACAGAAAAUGAUAACAACUUUUAACUGUGUAGGUACCCGAAGGUGUUUCUGUCCAAAUAAGUUGAUCAUGAAGGAGGGACGCAUUGAUGGGAGUAUUGAGGAUUGUUGUACUGACCUGGACAUCGAAGAAUGCAGUAACAAGGGAUGACUUCCAUUUAGAGUGCGUGGAAUCAAUGAGAUUAGCAACUAGUUCAGGUUCCCCUUCCACUGGUACGCCUCCUAUCGGACCUGUUGCUAACCAAUUAGCUUCUCUGAUGUGUAUCUAUGAUCCAUCGCUUACUAACCAGCGUAGUUUAGGAGAAAUUGCUGCACAACCUUUUAAUAAACUCUGCCAUCCCCAAGAAGGACGAUGUCCUGAGGGAGCAGUUUGAAAGGAUGAGUUUCUAAAAUAUAAGCCUUUAAAAAGCUGGCUCCAGAUAGCUUGAGGUUGCUGUAAAAGACGCCACGCUUGCUUUCCAAGCAUGGCUUUGUUAAAAUUAAUUAAAUCUCUAAAGCCCAUCCCCCCUGAAACCUUUGAAAGCUUUAAUUCUGCCCAAUUUUUCCAAUGAAUUCCAAAUUGGCUGUUAUGUUUACUCCACCAGAAUGCUGAGAUCUUCUUUUCUAUCAAUCUGCAGAGAGACAAUGGAAGCUUGAAGAUAGACAUGGCAUACUGCGGUAAGGCCUGGAUAACUGAUUUCAGUAAAAUUUCCUUGCCACUUUUCGAUAAAAACUGUUCUUGCCAACCUGCUAACUUAGCAUUAACUCUUGCCAGGAUCCAGGAGAACAUCUCCCUUUUGGAUCGGCCCCAAUCCGAGGGGAUACCCAGGUACUUUCCAUACUUACUGAGAAUAGGUACUCUGAGUUCUUGUGCUAGAUUCUGUUGUAAAGAAAUAGGACAGUAUUUGCUAAAGAACACACCUGAUUUGUUUCUAUUAAUGAGCUGGCCUGUAGCAAAACAAUACUGGUUGAGUAGAUUGGCAAGGUUUUGACAUUCAGACAGUGUUGCUUUAAGGAAAAAGACUGAAUCAUCAGCAAAGAAGAGGUGAGAUAACUUAGGACAGUCUCGAUUGAAUUGGAUCCCCUUUAUAUGACCCAUUUCCACAGCUUGAGUGAUUGUAGUGGAGAGAGCGUUGGCGAGUAAAAUAAAGAGAUAUGGAGAUAGGGGAUCACCUUGGCGCAGGCCUCUAGUAGGCUUAAAGUAAGGGAGUUGGUCGCCAUUAAAACGAAUGCUGAAAGAGACUGUAGUAACACAGGCCAUAACCCGAGUAACCCAACUGUCAUGAAAACCCAAAUGCUUCAAAUAAGCUUCCAGGAAGUCCCAUUCAACCCUAUCAUAGGCUUUUUGCAUGUCUGUUUUGAGAAUAAGGUUGAAUCGUUUCUUACAUGCUCGCACUUUAAAUUGAUGCAUGACUUCUUGAACCACCAUAAUGUUGUCCUGUAUCUGUCAGUCACUAAUAAAAGCUGCUUGCUCGUUGGAAAUCAAAGUAGAUAGCCAAGGUUUUAGUCUGUUGGCCAUAAUUUUGGAAAUAAUCUUGUAAGAAUAAUUGCAAAGACUUAUCGGUCGAUACUGUUCAAUGCUUUCUGGAUGCUGCACUUUAGGUACUAAGGCAAUGAUCGUUCUAUUUAGUUGAGUAGGCAUACAUCCUGUGGUGAAGAACUCUUGAAUUGUUUGAAUAAUUGUGGCUUUGAUGACCUUCCAGUGAUGUCGAUAGAAGAGGCCAGGAAGACCAUCAGGGCCAGGAGCCUUCGAAGCUCCCAACUGGAAGGUAGCUUGAUAAAUUUCCUCCUCUGUCACCUUACUCAUUAAAUGGUCAUUCAUUUAAGGUGUAACCACUGAUGGACAUUGCUCGAGGAAGGGACGAAAAUCCCGGUCACCAACAUAUCGAUACAGCUGAGAGAAAAAUCCCUGUGUGAGAUCUUUGAGCUGUUCUGGUUCUCUAAUCCAUUGCUGGUGAGUAUCCAGGAGCAUUGUUAUCCUAUUACGUUGUCUUCUUUGCAUAGUGUAGGCAUGAAAAUACUUUGAAUUGUGAUCUCCCCAUUUCAACCAUUGAAUGCGCAAGCGCAUAGCCCAGAAUUGUUCAUCUUGAGUCCAUAGUUGCUGGAUUUCACAUCUGAUAGCAUGGGCUUGCUCUUUAUCCCCUUCCUGAUAGGUUGUUCGAUUUAUAAUUGUCUGUAGUUGAGAUUGCAGGUAAGAUAUGCGUUGAUGACAGUUGCCAAAACGUGCUCUGCUCCAGCGAGUUAGUCGAGUAGCAACUGCCUGUAAUUUGGAGAUCAACGAGGUACUACUGUUUUCCUAUGCCUGUUGAACCAUAUUGUGACACUCUUCAUCUUGAUUCCAGAAAGCUUCAUAAUGAAAAAUCUUUGCAUGCUUGACAGAUGGUGGAUGAGCUUGCAUCAAUAUAAGACAAUGAUCCGAGCCAACAGGUGGUAGGGCUAAAACUUCUGCAGAAGGAUAAGACAUCAGCCAAUCCAGUGAACAAAACACACGAUCAAGCUUCUCCUUGACCAGAGCAUCCCCUUCUCAGUUAUUUGACCAGGUGAAUUCGCAACCUUUAGUUUGUAAUUCAAGUAAGGCACAAUCAUUAAUAACAUUGCGAAAUGAUGUCAUUCGCGAAGUGAUUGCAGGUCGCGAGCCCAUUUUCUCCCAGGGAGAGAGGAAAUCAUUGAAAUCACCAAUACAUAGCCAAGGUAAAUGAUUUGCAGCAUGUAUGGUUCUGAUGGUAUCCCAGAAAUCCUGACGGAGCUGAUAUGUUGGAGGUGCAUGCAAACAGGUGAUAUGCAUGGAGGCUGUUGUCUUAGGAUCAAGAGCAAGGAAAUCAAUAAUCUGAGCAUCCGUAUAUACAACAGUGACUUGAAAGGUGUCAUUCCAAAACAGAGCAAGACCACCCUUGACGCCAACUGGGUCCUUCACAAAGGAGUGAGUAUAUUUAAACUUACGUUACAACCUAUUAAGAAAAUGUUGAUCAUGCUUGGUUUCCAUUAAAAACACAAAAUCGGGCUUAUCACAGGCUAACAUCGCCUUUAAUGGUUGAAUUGUCAGGGGAUUGCCCAACCCCUGAUAAUUCCAACUGAGGAUCUUCAUUGGGGACCCGGUGGCUGUUUAGGGCCAGCUGCCAAAGCCCAAAGAUCAGGAGUAGGUGCCUCCAUAACCGGAGUAUCCAGAAGGAGGGACUCAUCCAAAGCUGCAGAUGAUGGAGGUUUAACAUCAUAGGGUGAAUAGCGUUUUGUUUUUUUAUUGGAACCCCCAAGUGGCAUUGGGCGAGGAAUCUUAGGUCUCUUCUACUGUUGCUUGUCCACUGGUAUGGCCUGAGUGUUUUUCAUCUUUACUGCUGCAGGAACUAAAUCCGUAGUGAUAGCAGUUAAAGUUGCAGGUUUCAGAUACUUGGAUGACCCCGAAGGUAUGAUAGGGACAGAAGGAGCAGCCUCUGUUUCAGGCACAGGUGGAAGAGCUGGAAGGGCAGGCUGUAUAUGAGGUGGAGUUUCAGGUACCGUCUCUUCCAUUGACUCAACUGGUACUUUAGGGUUAUAAAAUGCUUCCCAAUAAGGACUGAACUGUUUAAUCUCUGCUCUGAGCCAAGGUCCAAAGAUCAUCGUGUCUCGGCCCUCAAAUUGUGAUUCAUCAUAAGGGUACUCUGGACAUGAAGCUGCAUAAUGUCCAAGCCUUCCACAGGAGUAGCAGUAAUGGGAAAGUCUCUCAUACCGAAAAUCAAGCUAGAGGGUUUUGCCUUCUAUACUGAUAAGUUUGCCAGUUUUCAAAGGUUCUUUCAAAUCUAAUUCAAUUCUUAUUCUUGCAGAGAUGUCCGUUUUGACUUCCUGAACUUUUCCUAUCUAGGAUACAACUCUACGCAGGAUGGGAGGAGAAGUCCAUUCCAAAGGUAAGCCUAUAACAUGAACCUAGAAGAGACAUUUUCCGAAAUCAUAGUGUUGUAGGGGAGUAUUAGGUUGCCAGGGUCAUAGGUUAACUAAUUGACCUGAAAAUAACCAAGGGCUACCAUCCAGAACGCGACGUUUUUCCAUUUCAGUUCUAAAUUUGAUUAUAUACAGCCCUGUAUCUGCCGAAGUAAUCUAUAAAUGAUUAACUCUCCAGGCUUUCUUCAUCGCAACUUGAAAGGCGGAUAAAUUCACAGUAGGAUUGGUAAAGAUAUUACCCACCAGAAUAAGGCGACAAUCCUUCAGUUUAGCCGACUCAGGGAUGUCAUCCCAAACCUCCAACUCUUGUUCUGAGCAUAAUCGCCCCAGCCGAUGGCACAAGGAAGCAAUUCUGGAGGUAUUUUCACUUUCAUCCAUUGUUAAGGUUACUGAAGUACUCUAGGAUGAUUAAUUUGAAGAACAGAUGGCUGAAACUGAGAUUUGUAAGGGUUGCAUGUUACAGAUCGGGAACAUGCAAACUAGGAAUGAUGGUAAUUGAGAGAGAUAGAAGAAACCAGUGGAACCGGGGAACGAGAUAAUGAAAGGGGAUGGAAGAAAUUGAGCAUGCAGAGGACGGGAUAGAAAGAGAAGCAGUUAGGGAGGAUUUUGCGAGGAACAUCGGUGGUUCAAGUGAAAGGCGGAGAUUCGACAAAGAGCUGAGGAAGAUGAAGACAUGGUGAGAAACUCAAGCAUCACGCGAGAGAAAACAACAAGAUAACCGAAACGUAUGUCGUCACACCACAAAUUUUUAAUCCUAUGUUAUUAAGUUAUACAUUCAAAUUCUUAAGAAUAUCUCUCAAGCUUGAGCUCGUGAAAAACAACAAGAUUCAGGGUGAAAUUUCAAAUCCAAAUAGUUCGGCCAAACAAUGAAGAAAUUAUUGAACCAAAUGAAGGCCCUUUCUACUCAUGAAUAAUGAAGAUUUUUGGACCAAAUCCACUCGGUUUCCAUGGACGAUAAAACAUUCUGCAUCAUCCUUGACCACGUAUAAUAAUUGGCUUCUCAUUACUAUGCACUUAUCUCAAUUGCGUCUAUAAACCAUAAUAUCUACAGAUUCUAAACAAAAAUGGAUAGAUAAACCAGGUCGCAGGUUAGAUUUGUUGCAACCCUAUUCCACCUGGAAUCCCUCAAUCUCUCUUGGAAUGACUUCAACUUGUCUUCAAUCCCAUAUGGCUUCAGCAAUCUUUCUAGGUUACAAUACCUUAAUCUCUCCAAUUCGCACUUUUCUAGAAAAGUCCCUUUGGAUAUCCCACGGCUAUCUAGAUUAAUUUCUAUUGAUUUGUCUUUCAGGUGGGAUUCCGUCAUACCUCUUGAUUUGUUUUCUGAGUGGCGUCUUGAGAUGCCUAAUGUAGACAAAUUUGUUUGGAACUUAACUAUGCUCAAAGAUCUUGAUCUCUCUUUUAUAAGCAUGCCAUCACCAUUCCCUCAUGUGCUUGGAAACUUCUCCUCUUUGAAGUUGCUUAAACUUAGCGAUUGUGGAUUGCAUAGCGAAUUUAUGGUGGGCAUCUUUCAAUUACCAAACCUUGAAGUCCUUGACAUUAGUUUGAAUGACAACCUUUCUGGUUCGAUUCUAGAACAACAGUGGGGUUUUCCUUAAAAUCAUUGAUUCUUUGGGGCACGAAUUUCUCAGGAGAAUUAAAUGUUUCCAUCGGAAACCUUAUUUUCUUGAAUGUAUUAUCAAUUGGGUACUGUGCUUUCUCGAGUUCACUUCCAACUUCACUUGGUAAUCUUUCUCAGCUCACUUUUUUUGGAUAUAUCGCUUAGUAAAUUUUAUGGUCAAAUCCCUGCUUCCUUCACUAACCUCACGUAACUAUCAUAUCUAGAGCUACAUGUCAAUAAUUUCAGCGGUGAUAUUUGGCAUUGGCUUGUCAACUUGACAAAACUUACCUCGUUGUACCUUUUAGGUAACAUUCAGCUAGCAAAGCUUUUUUUAUUUGAGAGAGAGAGAGAGAGAGAGAGAGAUGAUGUUGAUGAUGAUGAUGAUGAGAUUCAAUCAAUGGCCAAAUUAACGAGUCUUGUUUGUUUACAUUUCCCAGAUGUUCAACUAAGUGGUCCGAUUCCGUCUUCAUUUGAGAACUUGACUCGAUUUAUUGCACUUGACAUUUCAUCCAACAAUUUGCAAGGUGAAAAUCCAAACUCAUUAGGGGAACUUAAGCAUCUAAAAUAUCUCAUCUUAGUGGGAAUAAUUUGAGUGGCAUAGUGGAUUUACACAAAUUCGAGGAUAUUGAGUAUCUUGAUCUUAGUUGGAAUAAAUUGAGUAGUAUGGUGAAUUUACAUGAGCUCAAGAACUUGACAACAUUAUAUUUGGACUUCAACAACAUAUCUUUUGUCAGCAAGAUCGAGGUCAAUGCCACUCUUUCAAAAGUUUCCACUUUAGCUUUAGAUUCCUGCAAUUUACAUGAAUUCCUGAAGUUUUUAGGCUACCUAAGUAGAUUGGAAAGUGUAAGUCUUUCACACAUAAAAUUGGAGGGAGUACUCCUACGUGGAUGUGGAAUGGUAGUAGAGAGACCUUGGAGUAUAUUGAUCUUUCUCACAAUUUUCUAACUGGCUUUGGGAACAACCAAUUCAAUCUGGCACUUCCUAAGUUGAUGUAUUUUGGCAUUAGUUGAAACUUGCUCAAAACUGCUCUCUCUAGUCCACUUCCAUUAGUGAUUUAUUACAAUUUCUCCAAGAACUUACUUUCAAGUUAUUGCAAAGUUUCCAUGCCAUGAAAGUAAUUGUUGGUCAAGAUUGGUUGGAAUAUAUAUAUAUAUAUAUAUAUAUAUAUAUAUAUAUAUAUAUACUUUUUUCAGGUCUCUCUCCAUCCUUCUAUAUAUAUAUAUAUAUAUAUAUAUAUAUAUGCAAUAGUUACCAUUUAUGUGGAUAUUCGGCAAGUGGUCGAUAGGUAUUAAAUGACUUAUUCAAAAGGUUAAGCAUGAGAAGUGACUUCAAAUCUCCAACAAGAUCAGGUAAGCAUUAUGCCCUUAUGGGAAUUGACCUCUCAAUUCCCAUAAGGGCAUAAGGUUACCUGAUCUUGUUGGAGAUUUGAAGUCACUUCUCAUGCUUAACCUUUUGAAUAACAUUCUCACUGGUUUCAUCCCACCUUCCUAAGUAAACUUGACAAAGCUAGAAUCUCUAAACCUUUCUUGGAACAAUCUCACAGGAGAGAUACCUCAACAACUAGCCCAACUUACAUUUCUUUCAUCUUUUGAUGUCUCUCAUAAUCAACUAUGGGGACCAAUACCACGAAGGAGUCAAUUCGACACAUUUGGGACACGUUCAUUUGCGAUGAAUAAGGGAUUAUGUGGAAGUUCUUUACCAAAUAAAUGCACAAAGGUUGGGAAUAAAUUACCAUUACCACCAUCUUUGUUCGAGGAAAAAAAUGAAGAUUCUCCAUUUGAUUUUUAUUGUAAAGUUGUGCUAAUUGGCGUUAGAGGCUGGUUUUCGAUUUGGCAUUGUGCUAGGGAACUUGAUCAUUGAUGAGAAGAGUUGGUGGUUCUUGUACUACUCCAAAAAAAUGGCAAAAAAAAAGUGGAAAACAUCAAGAAGGCACUGAGCAAUAAGGAAGUGUGCAUGCAGUUGGAUACUUAUGUAACAUUUAUUAGUAAUGCAAAUUGUCAUGUAUCUAAUUUGUAUAAAAAGUACUUACAAAUUCCCAUGAUUUCAAUCUAUGUUUGCUUCAUGUGAACAAGUGUGAUUCGUAGGUUAUUGUAUGUAGACGUCGUUUUCUUGUAGAUUGUUACUAUCUUUCUGACUAUUUUUCCUAGAACAUCAUAUUAUAUCAUUAUGCAUUGUAACAUGUAUGGUGGUAAUCUACGUGCUAAUGUACGUUGUGAUUAUAUGCCAAUCAGCACUCAUUUUCACUUCUGAGUUGUGAUAGAGAAUCUAAUUCUGAACAUUCGCUACUUCCAAAAUCUAAAUGCGGUAAGCUAUUAAAUAUUGGAACCCAUAGAUACGGUAGAGACAGGAAGACAAAUAUGUAACUAAAUUAUCUACAAUUUAAUCGUUAAAGACUGCUAGAGAAAGUGAUGGAUUGUUAUCAUUAAUUACCAAUUUAUGAAUAGAUUCCUAAAAUUUGGAUUGAGAAGAAUGAAUGCUACUUUUCACAAGCUUAGUCACUGAAAAAUAACAAAAACUUCACAAAACUAUUGCUGUGAUAAAAUUCAUGGAAAAUGACAUGAAUAAUCUCUAAAUUAUGGACCAAUGUACGAUGUUAUCAUUGGACUUUCAAUUUGUUCAACGCAGUCCUUGUACUAUCACUAAAUAUUCAAUAUAGUCGCUAGUGACAUGGCCCACGGAUGAAGCAUGUCUUAAGACCGUCCGGGUCAUGUCAUGCACGAAGGGCUGCCCAUGAACGGCCCAUGACUGAUCCACAAUCAGCGCACGACUAGCCCGUGCACGACUGGUGAGUAAUGUUCGGCCAGCCCAUGUGCAACCUGCAAUCACUCACCUGCUCCCGUGUCAGGCAGCCCUGUUGCCCUGAUCUUGCUGCUGACACACGCCCAUGGGUUUUCCCAAGGGCUAUGGUCACUGAGUGGCCUGCUAUGUAGCCUUGUAAUGAUGAUACUCAUUUAAAUACCACCGUUGGAUCGGAGGAACGAUUAACGGCCAAGAUAUGACUUGAACUUGUAUAAAUAGGGGUCCCUCCUUCUCAUUGUAUCCAACUCAUUCAUAAUGAAAAACACUUGCUCCUUUGUGCGGCCGACCCUUGUGUUGUGCGUGUGCGUGAGAAGGCUAACUUGGGAUCACAAAUCCUAAGGCCGCAUGGUGUUUGAUCGAUUGAAAUCGAUCGACCUGUGACAAGUGGUAUCAGAGCCUUCGUUCCAAGCGUGAUGGCUAAUCAGCGUCCCGAUGUUACGAUCGCUCAGGUUGAGGAUCACAAAGAGCGCGGUAGAGCCAAUGAGAAGGCUCUUGCCAAGCCAAAGAAAACUCAUGGUGCCUCGAGUUUGAGGGAUCAGAUGGGCGACCUGGAAUGCCGAGUGAUGGUCAUGGUGGAAACUGUCUUGGACGUCCAAGGACAAGUCGAGGACUUAUGCCAGACCGUUGAGGGAGCGGAAGCCGGAAACUGAAAGCCAACAUGGGAGAGCUCUGAGGCGAGUUGCUGGGGUCCCUAAUCCACGAGAUAAGAUAGUGGGACGAGACAUGGGAAGCUGCAAUGGCAACCAUGUGCGCCGAAGUCGUCGAGCUCAAAGGGAAGCUCGUGGAGGUCGAAGCAACACGCAUGAACGAGGUGAUCACCGUGCAACCACGUGCCGAUGCACCUAAGCCGAAAGAGUUCAAGGGCUCCCAGGUGGCAAAUGACGUGAACAACUUCCUAUGGUACAUGGAAUGAUACUUUCAGACCAUGGGAAUUACCGACAACGUGAUUCGAGUAAACACUGCAGUCAUGUAUUUAGCUAAUGAUGUGUUACUGUGGUGGCGUCACAGGUCGGAUGAUAGGAGUGGCGACCCUAUCACAACAUGGGCUCAGUUUGUUGAAGAAUUUCGGUGAACCUACUAUUCUACUUAUGCGGAGGAAGAAGCUCGCGGAGAACUCAAGUGCCUAGAGCAAAAACGCAGAGUCCGCGAGUACGUGAAACGAUUCUUGGAGUUGUUGCUCCAAAUCCCAUCCAUGACCAAGACGGAGGCAUUCCAUCAGUUCAUGAACAGACUCAAACCAUGAGUCAAGCAAGAGCUUAAACGAUGCAAUGCAACAGAUCUCACAACGGCUACUUCCGUGGCCGAGUCUCUCGUGGAAUACAAAUCAUCAUCAUCGGCUAAGCUAGACCCUCAAUUGAGAGAAAAGGCCAAUGGUGGGGGAGAUCAGAGUCAGUACAACCAUUCGAAUGGAGGCAAACCACCAUCUUUCCUCCUAGGACUCAACCCGAGUCGAGUAGCGGAGGAUAUCAUCGCAAGGUAUGCACCUACAAGUGCUUCUUUUGCGACGGUCCCCAUAUGGCCCAAGAUUGUCCGAAAAGAGGGAAGCUAGCGGCCUUGUGCAAAGAGGAUGUACCGCGAGAGGAGGCACGGUUGGGAUCGUUGAGGAUCCUUAGGUCGAUCAAGGCCAAGGAACCUAAAGGGAAGAUAUUUGUGGAUGUGAAGAUCGGUGGUACCACGAUGAGUACGCUUGUGGAUACUGAGGCAUUCGACCUCUUCAUAUUCAAUGAGGCCAUGAAGAAGCUGAAUCUUCCAGUCGAGACGAGUGACGUCGGUUGGCUAAGGACGUGGAGUUGCACCUUGGUCCAUGGACCAGCAAAGAGGAUAUCGAGAUAAUCCUCCUUGACAACUAUGGCUUCAUACUCGGUUUAGGAUUCCUCGAUCGGGUCAAUGCGGGUGUUAUGCUCUUCGCGGAUUGUAUUUGCAUCCUAGAUAAGCGAUGCCAAUGCAUGGUCCCGAUCUACCGCGAGUUGGGAUGCAAUAGGAAGAUGCAGCUAACAAAGGGGUUACGGAAGGGUGAAGUGACCUUCUUGGCAGCAUUGGCAGCAUUUAAGGAGGAGGGCGUGGAAGAAAGUGAGGUACCAGGAGAGGUGGCCCGAGUCAUUGAUGCCUUCCAAGAUGUGAUGCCGCUCGAGCUGCCCAAGAAGCUGCCUCCUUGGAGAGAAGUGGAUCAUCGGAUCAAGCUUGUGCUCGAUGCUCAACCACCAGCCAUGGCACCUUAUUGCAUGGCCCCACCUGAGUUGGAGGAACUAAGGAAAUAGCUCAAAGAGUUGCUCGACGCAGGGUAUAUUCAGCCAUCCAAAGCCCCGUUCGGUGCCCUGGUCUUAUUCCAAAAGAAACAUGACGGAUCCCUCCGCAUGUGCAUAGACUACUAAGCAUUGAACAAGCUCACCGUCAAGAACAAGUACCCGAUCUCUCUCAUUGCAGACUUGUUCGAUCAGCUUGGGGAAGCCCGAUGGUUCUCCAAGCUUGAUCUUCGAUCGGUAUACUACCAAGUUCGGAUUGCUAAAGGGGAUGAACCGAAGACCGCGUGUGUGACCCGCUAUGGAUCAUACGAGUUCCUCAUCAUGCCUUUCGACUUGACCAAUGUACCGGCUACAUUCUGCACUCUCAUGAAUAAGGUACUCCAUCCGUUCCUUGAUCGGUUCGUUGUGGUUUACCUUGAUGACAUCGUUGUAUAUAGUUGAACACUCAAGGAACACGUCGAGCAUUUAAGACGAGUCUUCCAGCUCCUACGGGAAAAUGACUUGUACGUGAAGUGUGAGAAAUGCACUUUUGAGCAAAAGGAAGUCUCUUUCCUUGGGCACAUCGUCGGGGGCGGAUGAGUGCAAAUAGACGCAGCCAAGAUUCGUGCCAUCAUUGAAUGGGAACCACCAACCAAGGUGAUGGAGUUGAGAUCCUUCCUUGGUCUCACGAAUUACUAUUGGCACUUCAUCCAGGGAUAUUCGAACUUCACCGUGCCACUCACGGAUAUGCUGAAGAAAGAAAGGCCGUGAGAGUGGAUGGAUCGGUGUUAAGAAGCAUUCGAUCAAUUGAAGCGGGCCAUGACCGAAGAGCCGAUGCCCGUGAUGCCUGACUACACCAAGCCAUACGAGGUAGAAACUAAUGCCUCUGAUUUUGCUAUCGGUGGUGUCUUAAUGCAGGAAAGGCACCCGGUUGCCUUCGAGUCGCGAAAAUUGAACGAUACCGAGUAACGAUACACGGUUCAAGAGAAGGAAAUGACUGCGGUGGUGCAUUGCCUUCGUACCUAGAGGCACUAUCUCUUGGGAUCGCAAUUCGUCAUGAGGAUCGACAACGUGGCCACGAGCUACUUCCAAACCCAGAAGAAGCUCAGCCCAAAGCAAGCUCGGUAGCAAGACUUCCUGGCCGAGUUUGAUUAUGUGUUGGAAUACAAGCCUUGAAAAUCCAAUUCCGUGGCUGACGCCUUAAGUAGGAAGAUGGAGCUGGCCAACGUGAUGAGUCAAGUUGAUUGUCCAUGGAUUGAUCGUAUCAAGGAAGGGCUGAAGCACGAUCAAACAACCCAAGCCCUCCUUCGAUAUGCGCAAGAGGGCAAAACAAGACGCUUUUGGUGCGAGGAUGACCUCCUCUACACCAAAGGAUGGUGACUCCAUGUGCCACUCCACGGGAAACUCCAAAAGGAAGUCCUACACGAGUACCACGAUUCUAAAUGGGUGGGUCAUCCGGGAAUCCACCGCACCAUGGCACUCAUCGAGGAUCAAUACUAUUGGACACAUAUGCGGGACGACAUUAAAGCCUAUGUGCGGACAUGUCUUGCGUGCCAACAAGACAAGAUAGAGUAACGGUCACCGGCGGGGCUCCUUGAAUCGUUGCCUAUCCUGGAAUGUCCAUGGGAAAGCGUCUCCAAGGAUUUCAUUGUGAACUUGCCGAAGUCCGAAGGAUGUCGGAUCCUUAUGGUUGUGAUGGAUCGCUUUUCUAAAUAUGCGACAUUCAUGCCGGCCACAAAGGAUUGCCUAGCCGAGGAAGCAACCAAGCUAUUUCUCAAGCACGUUGUCAAAUAUUGGGGCAUCUCACGCAUGAUCAUGAGCGAUCGCGAUCCUCGAUUUACCGGGCGGUUCUGGACCGAGCUCUUUAAGUUGCUGGGGACGAACCUCAACUUCACCAUGAGCAUGCAUCCCCAAAUUGACGGACAAACGGAGCAGGUGAAUGAACUCUUAGAAAUCUACCUCCGACACUAUGUGAGCAACACACAAGUGAACUGGGCACGGCUGAUCGACGUGGGCCAAUUCUCAUACAACUUGUAGCAGAGUGAGUCCAUGAACCAGAGUCCGUUCAAGAUCAUGAUCGGGCAACAACUGCUCACAUCAAGCAUGAUUGCCUCAGGAUAUCGAGGAGGUAGCCCCUCCGCAUACAAGUUCGUUAAGGAAUGGGAUGAGCAUGCGGACUUGGCGCGGGUGUGCCUAAAUAGGGCUGUGAAGCGCACGAAGAAGUGGGCUGACAAGAAGCGACGGCACAUGGAAUUUCAGGUCGGGGACUUGGUGUUGGCCAAGCUACACCUGGUCCUUCAGUACCGGGACGUGCACAAAGGGCUGAUCCGUUGCUAUUAAGGCCCCUUGCGAGUGUUGCAGCGGAUUGGGAAGGUAGUAUACAAGCUGGACUUGUCACGCCCUGAUCCUCGGGCACGCGCACAUCCCUUAUUUUGGUCGAUUUUUAGAAAGCGAUAUCCCAUGACGUAUCGCCAACCCGCUCAUUUUAAUAAGCACACGCGGAAGUAAUUAUAAAAUCCCCAGACAAUAAUUCAAUGGGAUAGAAAAGCAGGACCGCAACUCACAGAAACUAGGACAUACCUUUAUACAUACCGGGCUAAUUUAUUUACAUCGCUAGCCGAUAUUUAUGAGGUCUAACGAAAAGAUUGGUUGACAAAAUUUGCUGUCCUAGGACAAACUAUUCAGACUCGACUUAUGGACCCUCAAAGUCUACUUGAUCCGGGCGAGACGACGGGUCUUCCACAUCACCGUCAGGUAGGUCCGCUUGUUCCACAUCCUUGGCCGCAUCAAUCACUUCGGCAGGGACAUCGAAGCUUAAAAGGGGGCCUAUCCUUAAACCGUAUGGAGUAGUUCGGAACCAGGCUCUAAAAAGAUCGGGCACUUCCUGAUUUGGGGCCUCUUCUACCCAGACUGAAGUUAUCACCAACUCAUAUGUCCAAACACUCCUUGGAUCAGGAAAAGCAUAGACCCGAUCGGUUGUUCUCAUAGGAUGACCAUACCGACUAGGGGGAUUGCCAUCUCCAAACCUGAAAAUGAUGUCCCACAACUGGGAUGAGACUACGUCUCAGCGAGUUCUACCCCACUAAGGCCCGAUUAGUAAACCAUUAUGCUAUAGGCUGCCUAAACACGCACAGGUCAGAAGACUUACCUUGGCAUCAGAUCCCACAUGCAAGUCAGUACAAUUCAUAAUAGGCACCCAUUUACUCCAAACAAAUCGAACCGGUCGAUUACAUGUCACACAAAUCAAUUUCCACUGAGGAGUAUCUAAAAGCUAGGCCACGUGCAUUCUCCAAGAUGACCUUCCAAGUCUCCGAGCCACGUGCCUCAAACCUUGGGCCCACGUGCAUUCUCUAAGGCGACCUCUUCGCCAAGGUGGUACAUCAAGUCACUGAGCCAUGUGCCCUUUUAGAUGUCAUUCUCAAAUACCGGACCCAUGUGCAUUCUCUAAGGCACUCAUUUGCCAAGGUGACGCAUCAGAUCACCGAGCCAUGUGUCCUUUUUACGAUGCCUGGGCCCACGUGCCUUCUCUUAGGUGCUAUUUCACCAAAGUGAUGCAUCAAUUCACCGAGCCACGUGCCCUUUUAGAUGCCAUUCCGGAACGUCGGGCCCACGUGCAUUCUGGCCCACGUGCAUUCUCUAAGGCACUAAUUCGCCAAAGUGACGCAUCAGAUCAUCGAGCCACGUGCCCUUUUAGAUGCUAAACUCUAUCACCGAGCCACGUGCAUUCUCUCAGGCGACCUUUUCGCCAAGAUGACAUAUUCAACCACUGAACUCACGUGUAUUCUCCAGGUGAUAUUCCAAUUCACCGAGCCCACGUAUUUUCUUUCAGGUGAUAACCAAUACCCAACGCUUUCUCAAUCAAAUAAUUAACAAUCAACUCAAUAUGAAUAACUCCUAAAAAUUCAUAAUUAAAUCAAUUCCAAUCAAUUUAGGGUAAAUCCCUAAAAUAUCACAAUUUAUUAAAUUCCAUGCAACGUAGAGCUCAAUUAAAUAAAUGGACUGCGCCACGUCAAUCAGCACAAAAUUUCGGUCGUCGUUCAUCUCAGCCUUAAUUUCCGAAAAAUAAUUAAUUAAUUAAUUAAUUUCGAAAAUUAAAUAAUUAAUAUUAAAAAUUCAAUUUAGCUCAAAAUAAUGCUCGAUUAAAUAAACGGACUUCACCACGGUCAUCAGCAUAAUUUUCCGGUCACUGGUUAUCCCAGUUGAAUUUCCGGAAAAAUAAAUAAUUAAUUAAUUAAUUUCGAAAAUUAAUAAUUAAUUACUAAAAAUCCAAUUUAUGCUCGAAUUGCCUAAUUGAAGCCCGCUAAGGGUCGGGAAAAAUCCCGAGAUACAUUCAAUAAAUAGUAGACUAUCUCUACUUGCUAAAUGCACAAUCAAAAAGUCUAACAUGCAUCACGAUUGUCUAACAAUCACUAAUCUAUUCUAAUCUAACCACCUAAUUGCAUUUAAUUAAACCUAAACAACCCCUAAACAUAAUUAGAAAACUAAGCAGGGAUUAGUGAGAUUACUCACUUGAUUAAAGAUUUGAUCGGAUCAAAUCGACGAGCACGCGACAAGGCUCGAUUCUCUCCAAAGCGAUUCCGGCAACCGGGGUCGAGACCGCUCAGAAACGGACCACGGGAUCUUCAAACCCUUGCUGCAAACUGAAGAAAUAGGCUGCUGAAAUGGGUUGCCUUCUUCCACUCAAACGGACCUCUUAGAAUUGAACCGGUGUAGGCGUGGGUUGGGCCGAGCUACUGAAAACAGAAAGGCCGAAGUUGCUGCCGAAGGGGCCACGACUUCCACGUUGGAGAGGAGUCCCACAUGCUGCAGGGCUGACUGCCAAAGUGGGGGCGUCCGCGACUUCUGUGGAGGGGCAGACUGAGCACGAAAAGGGACAAACAACCGCACAACCGAAAGAAGCAGCAUCGUCGAUUCUGGUAGACCACGCUUCGACUGAUUAAGGAAAGAGACGGCACGUGCAGAUGGGAGAAGUCAUGCGAGGGAAGUGGACAGCAACCGCACAAAAGGAGAGAAGACUCCUUCGGUCUUGAUGAGGGAGACGACGAACAGGGCAGAAACCGAAUGGGACGUUUGUCCACGUCACCAAGAGAAAGAGAGAGAGAUAUAUUUACUUAAGGGAUAAGCAAAGAUCGGUCAAACGGGGAAAUUGAAUUCUGCAGGGAGAGACAGUCGGUGGGGCAUGAACCGAGAGAGAGAGAGAGGAUGUGCGGAUGGUGUUCACGCACAAGAAAAAAGUAAAAAGAACGUGCGUGGAAGGGGAAAAGGAGAGAGAAUAAAUGUGCGGGUGAGACGGGGGCAACGUCGGCUAGAGGGGCACACGCCAAAAGGGAAAAAAAAAAAGAAAUAGAGAGAGGAAAAAGAAUUAAAUAUUCUUGCAUGAGCUUCGGAUGAUCAGGAAGCAUGUACGAUGGAGAAGAGGUGUAGAUGGCCGAGAGUGUCCAAGGGAAAAGGAACCAAAAUGUUGAAUAAAACACUUUAUACUCACCUUCAAUUAACAUUAUUUAUUGGUCAUCCUAGGCCAAAUUCUUCAUCAAUUGCACAUUUGAAAUCUAAUUGAAGGCGGUCCUUUAAUCCCACGAAUUUUCUUCAAAUCUGACUUUUAUCUCGAUUUUCUCGGCAUUCAAUAUUAUGAACAAACAAAUCCGUUUUAGAUCCAAUUCGAAUCCAGAAAAAAGCCCAAACAACUUUCAUUCAUCGAUUCGUCUACACCAGAUGUCAAAUAUCUCUUCGAAUUGGCCAAUCUGUAUUUCCGUUCAUUUUCCGAAUCGUCCAUCUUGAUUUCCCGACAAAAUCUUGAACUCUUCAAAAUUUCCUCAAAAGGUGAGUCGUUGUUCUUAGAAUGACCCAUGACACAACAGGACUUUCAAAUUUCUGAAAUCGAAUUCAAUCGUGGUUAUUUUCAAUCAAACACGCUUUUAGUGUGACCUUACCUACCGGGUAGCUUUUAGGAAUUUUUGGUGCAAUUGACCCAUGGUCGAUUUUUUUCGAACCACAAUGAACCCAUUCGACACAUUGGCGACUUUCGAUGGUCGUGAAAAUCUCAAGGUUUCAAAUACGGACACAGGGUACCCAAAACGACAGAAAAUCGGUUUAGUGCCGAUCGAUGAGAAUUUUACAAUCAUGUGGCAUCACCCAUACUUGAUCACACAUCUCAGUCGAAUCGACCUAUCUUCGGUCUCUGAUCAAUUUUGACAAUGCCAUAAUGACCCUUGCAGACUAGCACGAUCGAACAAUCGAUUCUUGGUCUAAUUCUCAAGUCUAUUGCGUUUAAAAUCCCUGAAUGGCUACACUAGCUAGGCCAGUUAUCUCAUGAGUGGCCAACUCAGAAAAAAAACACUAUAGUCACGUUGACGAAAGGCCCAUCUUAUCCAAUCGAAAUCAAGACCUGAAAUUCAGGAUGUCACAGGACUUGCUGGCCAAGCUUAAGAUACACCCCGUGUUCCAUGUGAGUAUGCUGAAAUCUUUCCAUGCGGAUGAGAACGAUCCGGAUCGACGCGAAUCACAACGAGCGCCCCUUGGAGCAAAAACCUCCUAUGAUCGGGAUGUUGAGUGCAUCAUGGUGGACCAAAUCAUACAGAAGAUAUAUUGUGCACCAAGGAAGGAGUACCUCGUCCGAUGGAAGGGCCUUCCCGAGAGUGAAGCGAGUUAGGAACCCUCCGAGGGCCUAUGGUAGUUCAAAAAACACAUCAAUGCCUUCCAUGCCACAGACGCGAUGAGGGUAUCGCUCGAUUAGGUGGGGGAGAAUGACGUGGCCCACGGACAAAGCAUGUCCCAAGACCGUUCGGGCCAUGUCACGCACGAAGGGCUGCCCAUGAACAGCCCACGACCGAUCCACGAUCAGCGCACGACUAGCUCGUGCACGACCGGUGAGUAAUGUUCGGCCAGCCCACGUGCAACCUGCAAUCGCUCACCUGCUCUAGUGUCAGGCAACCCUGUGGCCCUGAUCUUGCUUUUGACACACGCCCAUGGGCUUUCCCAAGGGCUAUGGUCUUUGAGUGGCCUGCUGUGUAGUUUGAAUACCACCGUUGGAUCGGAGGGAUGAUCAACGGCUGAGAUACGACCCAAACUUAUAUAAAUAGGGAUUCCUCCCCCUCAUUGUAUUCAGCUCAUUCAUAGUGAAAAACACUUGCUCGUUUGUGCAGCCGACCUUUGUGUUGUGCAUGUGCGUGAGAAGGCUAACUUGGGAUCACAAAUCCUAAGGCUGCAUGGUAUUUGAUUGAUUGAAAUCGACCGACCCAUGACACUAGACUAUAAGAAGAUGUUCAAUAUCAUCCUUUACUUAAUUGAUGAAGCAGAACCCAUUGAUGUGGCCUUUAACAUGCUAAGUUUGAAUGGUGGACAAGAAAAAAAGUUGUGCCUGGAUUUUUCUACAUAUCAAGUAUUCACAUUAUAUAGGGAAAGAUGAUCAGCAUAAGAUAUUUAUUUCAAGACAACUCAAACCUGAGGCACUCUAAAAGACGCCAAUUACUUUUCUUCCUUCCUCAUCCUUUACGAUGCUCUCAUCAACUCUUUGGUUAUAGGGUCUCUAGUCCCUCGAAAAGCUGUUAAAGGAUAAGAAGAAAAGUGAAAGAAUUUUCAUUCUAAAACACAAUUUCUCAUUCCAAAACACCAGUAAUUUCAUACCCAUCACACUAGAUAGAUUGAAGAUCCUGAUCCUCCGACUAUUCAGCAGUUCUAGCAGUGGAGCAUUGCUUUCAUCAAAGUAAAAACCAAAAUGAUAAUUCACAUUGCUCCUUAAAUAACUUACCAAUUGUUUUUCCAUUCCAAUUUCACCUAACCACAAUGUGAUCUCUACACCCACAAUGCCAGCUCCUUUACGACAAAUAUGAGCAUGGUGGUAUGAGCAAGCUCAUAACCAUCGAUCCCUUUCUCUCUUUGGAGAACUCUUCGAUCUGAAGUGCCUUAACAAGGUAGAAUUCUCCGGCUUGUGAAACCUCAUAUUCAAUUUGGUCAAAUUCAACGUCUUCACCUACAUGCACAUAUUUAGGUGGUGCACUCUCCACGACUCCAAGAGCUACAACGUCAUCGGCAUCAACCUCAACCCAUCAAAUCAUUUCUGUUUAUGAGGCUCCAAGCACAUUGCGCCAGAAGUUUGAUUACGAGGAAGAAGAUGAAACGUUUAUGUCAAGGAAGAGGUUCAUUUGAUUCCCUAUAUUUUUUUUCCCAAAUAAAGAAUAAAAGUAAAUGGAUUAAAAAAUGAAACUCAUAAUUACAUGUUCUUGUAGCGUGCCAACUCAUCAUUUUAAAAGUCCUAUGUUACAUAUCAUAUUUCAUGUCAUCAAAUAAUGUCUAAUUCGUUUUUUGAUCAAAUAGAAAAUUUACAUAACAUCUUCUAAUAAUUCAAGAAUCACAUUGAAAGAAUUAAAAGAGUUCAAAGAUGAAAUUGCAUGUCGAACUGAACUUUAUGGGCUAUUUGUGUUAGUAUCCUAAAACUCAUCAUUUUUAAUAGUACGAAUAAAAGUUAAACCAGAAAGAAUAUAAACUGCUAAAAGUUUUUUUUUCCUUGAAAAGAAGUCUAUCCGCACAUGUCUAAGUUUAUUUACAUAUGGAUAUCAUAAGAUCUUCCACGAUGUAAUGAAAAUUCUUUACCAUAUUUUUUCAACAAUUCAUCAAAUCAUCUAAACAUGAUAAAUGCGAUUGCCAUACUCGCUUUAAAAAUACUAUUCACCCCCGUAGAAAAUCAAAUAUCUAAUAAUUUAAGAUUGUCAAAUGUUUUUUCCCGGUUCUCAAUAUCUUGUGUUUGUACCCUUUCUCUUUCUCAACAAAACCAUAGCUUAAAGCAAAAUCAUUAUAUAUAAUACUAUGAAAAACUCUAAACUAGUACACAUGAAAUAAAUUUACCUUAAACUGAUUUUUUGACUACCAAAAACCUCAAACAAAUAUGUCUGUGAUAAAUUUAUCCUCCGUUAAUUUCCAUUAAAUUUUACUGUCAAAUUGCCGAGUUUAACGACACGUGACAGUUAACGAGUAUAUCAAUUUGAGGUUUUACCAGUUUGUGAUUUUUGUGGUAUUAAUCCAAUUUAACGGGAACUAAUGGAGAAUAAAUUUAUUACAAAUGUACUAGUUUUGAGAUUUUUUAUGAUCAAAAAAUUAAUUUAUGAUAAAUUUGUUACAAGUAUACAAAUUUAAGAUUUUUCGUGAUAUUAAUUCUAUAUAAUAUAUAUAGAUAUAUAAAUAUAUAUCCACUGGCUGAGAAAGUCCUGUGCUAGUGAGUCAAAAAAGUCUACGCCAAGUCAAAAUAGGCAAGUGGUAUUUUUCUUUCUUGUGCCACUCCAAUUUGAUAUCACUGAGUAGGAAAUCUUGAUUUCUAAAGCGCAAAACUGGACGUCCACAAAAUCCAACUUUUGGACUAUUCUAUAAUUAUAGGCUUAAACUCAAGACUUAUUAUAAUGAAUGAUUCUUGAACUUUGUAAUUUAUUGUUGCUCUCCGUCUGUUCUCUGAUAUCUUGUUGUUUUCCCUUUAUUAAGCCUUAGCGGUAUGUUUUCUUCUAGGCUUUGCUGCCAUUCUUUCUCUGAUUUGAUACUGCGGCUUGCAAUAUGGAUGUGCUCUUCCACUUUGCUUUGUUUUAAGGAAUGCAAGCUAAGUUACUUACCCAAACAAAAAGAAACGGAAGCCGAGCUAGUUGUUGAGGGAUUUUUCCGGAGAGCAUGUUUUAAUAAAAGGUGUGGAGAUUCCAGCAUAGUCAUUAGCUCUGCUAAGGAAGGUGGGAUCGGACCGGUGAAAAUUUUUGUUUGAAAGGAUAAGCAUAUGAAUGAAGUGGCUUCAAAUCCCAAAUUUAUGUGGGUAUCCAUUUCUCGAACUUCUUAUUGGAUAGAUCAAUUUCCGUAGGGGCGUAUUGAAUUUUUGAGUAUUCCCUUUCCGUCCCAUUAUUAUUACACGUCUCACCCUUUCCCAAUCCAGGGAAGAAAUUUCUUGCUGAAUAUCCAUGAACUCAUAUUGAUCAACAAUAAAUUCAUUAGUAACAACUUGGAUGAUAGCUCGCCAUUGAAACCAUUGUUGGAAAGGUCUGUGAUUUGCAAAUUCGUGAAGUUAAAUUGGCCCUGAUAAUUAGUUCCUAUCAGACCAUGGAACUUACUAGAAUGCAAGUCAGUAAAUUUUAGCUUAGUCAAAUCUGAUAGCCAAAAGGGUAAGUGAUCACCAUUUGAUUGUUACCAAGAUUCACUAUCCUAGCACUCUACAACUGACCAAAGAUCUAGGAACAGACCCUUUGCAAUCAAUUCUUCCUAUGGUCUACCAUUCUCAAUGCAGAACCAUCUGUAUAACUAUGAAAAAAUAUGCCCUCAAGCUCAUUUUUCCCAGGAUUCAAAUCUAGCAAAGACUCGGUAUUUGCUAAACAUGAAGAAGCGUGCCGUUUAGACUAUUGUUGGACAAAUCAAGCAUGGUGACAAAAAGAUGGAAUUUGGACAUAUGUUGGAAAAACUUUAUAAAGUCAUAUAUAGGCAACAAUAAAAUAUAUUUGGGCAUAUGUUGAAAGAAAAAUUGGGCAGAUAGAGUAGAAAUCGGAGCUUGAAUUCUACCGCCGGGCUUGACCAUUAAUUUCCGGUCAUAUUAUAUUCGUUUCACAUCUUUGGAUAGAAUAAAGAAAAUCAAACUUGAGAGAGACUCGCCCCCAAUUCUCUUAGGAAAGAAGUCAAUAGAUUGAUCAUUAACGGCAUUUACUACGGUUUUCAAAAGAAGUAACAGGACAAGGGUCAAUGAUAUUCAUACGAGUUACUUUUUCCUCUCUUUAUCUUAAGGUCAAGAUUCAAACCAUGGAUCCCUUGUGCUUUUUUCUUUUUUGGUAAAAAUAAUUCCAUUUAUUAUAAAAAUGAUACAUAAUAGAAGAUCUCAAAAGUCAUAAUAACAAGAUAAGCCCAUAAAAUUCCAAAACAAACCAAAAAUCAGAAAUCAAUGCAUAUCAUUAGAGCAUGGUUGGCACAAAUAAUCACAGGCUCAUGGUUUGUUAUUACAUCCAAGUGAAAGGAUCGGUGGUCAAUCACAAAAUUACACAAUGUCAUUAGUAAUAAACACAUGCCAAGAUCUCCAUUUAUAGUUACAACUUUGCCUUUCGAUAGUGUGCACCUAGAUUCGACGAUGUGCACCUAGAUUCAUCAUCCCCAACGCCAUCACUGUAUAAAAACAAAACAUGUGGAAGAAGAUCAUAUUUGACACUUGUCAGAGCAAGUUUUGUAGCCAAUGCGAAGCACCAUAACUUAAAUAAGUAUAGAUUUGACACUAAAACCAUUGUGAACACCAUUAAAAGUGGAGGUGGAGUACUUAUUCAUUAAAACUCCCGAAUAUAAUAUCGGGAGAACAAAGCUCUCAAAUCUAAAACUAAAUUUGGGAGAGUAAGGAAAGAAAAAAAAUAAAAAAGCAACUAGGAGAGGAGGGAGAGAUCUAGGUCAAAUCCCUCCCUUCCAUUAGUGUAAGAGACGAAGAAAGGUAGGGAGGGAGGGGGGAGGGGGUUGGGAGAGGAAAACACGGUAGUGUCAAUUUUGAUCUCUUCUGCUUUAAAGAGGGAAAACUGAUGGUUAGAAUAUAUCUAUUAUUGAUAGAUUGGAAGCCCAACAAAGAGCAAAGUUGAAGCUUUGCAUUGAGUAGCACUUCUGUUUGAGGGGUUUCUAGUUGAGUUGGUGAGAGAUUGUGUUCGGUAUAUAAACUUCGUGAAGCUAAACAUUCUUCAAAAUAUUGGCAAGAACCGAUAAUAUCUACAAGUAACCAAAUCAAGUAAUGCCAAACCUUGAAAUCCUCAUUUUCUAGUUGAUGGUGAAUAUCUCACCUAUGCAUGCGAUGCUAACCCGGUAGGUGAAGUACCAAAAUGCGCACAUGCUAUUAGUGAAGACAAUGUCCAGCUCCAAGCAGGAAUUUAAAAAAAGACGAGAUUAGUAAUGAGUGGAUUCAAGACAAAACUAUAGUGAUGUCAAUCUGGGAUGAGACCGAGACUGAUGUGAUGUAUGGAACGAUGAUUGUAGAUGAUCUAAUGAGAAGAUAUUGACUGCUCUAUGAUGGGCAAUGAGGAAAAGAGAAGUAAAAUAUAAAAGGUGGAUACAUAUUUUAUGACAAAUGUUGAGUUUGUAAAUAUUUUCAAGACUCCAUACUAGAAGAGGGUAAAAAAAUUUAACCUUCAGAACUUUCAUUUGCCAUUGUUGAGAGACACUAGACAGAGUACGAAAAUCAAAGAAAAAAUAUAACAUAAAUUUUUCUUUGACUAGACAAAUCUCUAAAGCAAGUACUCACUUAAUUUCGAAGGUGAAAUAAUUUCUCUUAUUUUGAAGUAACUUAUCAACAAAUCAAAUUCUAAUUGGCAUAAGAUUUGCUAAAAGAGUGACGUGUUGACUGUAUGGAAAGAAAAAUUAGCAUAUUCAUAUGACAUGAACAAUGUAGCCUCAAAAAGCUAGAGAUACCAUAAAAUCAACAAUCACAAAAUGCAUUGAGUUUUAGAGAGUAUUGGUUGUAUAUCCACGUUGCCAAAACUUAAAAAAUAAUAGAAUUGCACCAUAAUUAGAAAUGUCAACUAUUUAUGUAUGUGGAAUACUAACUCUAUUGGUAGCUGUUGACACCUAACUUUUGGCGAUCUGAUCAUUUAUUUAUUGUAUAGAAAAUUAGGGGUUAAUUUUAUCCCUAUAAAAAUUAAUUAAUUGCAUACCAUAUAGAUUUAGGUGCAUUUAUUUUUAAUUUGCAUUUUUUUGCAUUUUAUUUAUUUGACCAGUGGCAGAUGAGUUCAAAUUAGUUGGACUAAGCCCAUGAAGCGAGCAAGUUGGCCCAAGCCCCUUUUUUUAUGAUCGGAAAUUAUCUCGUGAGAAAAUGGAAAUUUGAAAUUUUUCGAGAUAUGUUGGAUUUUUUUAGAAUAUCUUCGGAUAAGGCAGGUAUGACAAAAAAAAAUAUUGCGAGCUCAUCUUUGUGAGAUUUCAAAAAAUCCCAUUGCAAUUUUGAAAAAUCGAUGGAGAAUAUUCAUUUUUGUAAAGGGAUAUUACGUUCGAGAGAUUAUAGACGAUUUUCACAAAGAUUACAUUUUCUUUUGUCUAUAAAAGGGUCGUACACUGAGAGAGAAAGGAGGCCACAUAUUAAAUAUACGGCCACAUUGAGGCGCUUCUCUAGGUUUUUUGGGUUGAAAAUUGAAGACAAAAGAAAAAUUGCUUUCUUCGUUUUUUUAGGGUUCUUGGAGGGGGACUUUCCGGUUCGUUCGAAGGAAUCAACACAAAAAAAGAGAGAGGAAAAGCUUGCUUUUUCUUGGGGGUUCUUUUUAGGGAAAGAGGGAAAAGUCAGCGAAAAACAGAAGAGGUGCAGGGAGAGAGAGACAAGUGAGAAACGUGCAGCAGGUUGUAGGAAGGGAAAAAAAAUGAAAACAAAAGCAAAAAAAAAAGAAACUGUUCUUCGUCUUCGGGGGCUUUUCUACUGCUGUGGCUGAAACCCAGCGCCGGACGCCGCCCGUGUCCGGCAACCCGCCUCUUGCAGCGCCUUUAGCCGAGCGUCUACAGCCCUCGCCGACCACUGCCACUUCGCCAGCCGUCCGCGACUGCCCAGUGCUGGCUCACGCCUUCCUCCCUGCCCGAGCACUAAAGUUCGCUCGUCACUGCGGUCACCGUCUCCGCCCGCUGAAGCUUUGCCAGUCCAACGAAGCCACUGUCUUGUUGCGCCGCGACGCCAUUGCUCCGCGUCACUGUUCUUGCUCGAGCCACUGACCAUCACCGACGUUCGCUCCCUUUCUAGUCCAGCAGCGAAGUCGCCCCCAAUCCGCGACACCAACACUCGCGCCGCCCCCUUUGCCGAGCUCCUCGCCGCUCUCGUGAGCGCCCAUGCCCUCUGCCAAACUGUCACUGCACCAGCACCGCCGCUCGACUCCUCGCAACGCCUACGUCUGUACCUCCAAAGCCCAGCAAAUCGGCUCCGAGCCUUCCCCAGAGUCCGACCUGAGCUGGAUCGUAGCUCCUUCCACUCCGACGACAAUGUUGUUGUCCUUACGUUUUCCGUGCUUGCAUCCCACCGCCAACGCCGCUCCGACCAGCAACCUGCCAGUGAUCCGAGAUUCCCUCUGCUCGAGUCCGUGCACAGCUGCACUGCUGUCAAGCUGCCUGCCGUCCGAACACCACCACCACUGCUACUUUAUUCUAAUAUGUUCUACAUCAAGACAGACGUCUUAGCGUGCUCGCUGCUCCUUCCACCGACGAAUCAAGUUGCUGUUGUCGCUGUCACUGUGGAUCCGUUGUCGAGCCAAGGGGUUAGUUUCUCUGUUUUGUAGGUUUGAUUUCACAAAUUCCUCGGGCGAGCUACAACUCCUUGAGCCUCCCACUAUUGCUGCCUUGCCUCGAGAUCAGGAGCCGAGCACUACCCUCGCCAUCGACCCUUGGGCCGUGACCCUCGAUAUCUCCGUGAGCCACCGUCGGUCAUCCGUCAAGUCAAUUCCAUUGAGUUCAAAUUUGGUAAUAUUAUUUAUGGAAUUAGGUAAUUAUCUUAUCUAAAUUGGAUUUGGAUGUUUUAUUGCCUAAUACAUGCUUUUCAAUAACUUACGUGCAUAUUCGAAUGAUAAGCGUAUUUUCAAUUAGGGUUUAUUGCCUAAUUCGCAACUGCACACCGAUUCUUUAUUCCAUCUAUAAGGCUUUAGACGGAAUAAUUAAUAACGCGGGAGUAAAAUUGAUAUCUUGAUUUUUAAGGCUUAAGAUCAAUUUAUCGAUUUUAUUUAGCGAAAUAAUCAAGUUUGAAUCUGAAUUCGAAUGAUGGAUGACAUCUUUGAUGAUCAUGGAUGAUUUGGUGUUUAUCUUUUAAUUAUUUUGUUUAUCCUAAAAAUACAAAAAAAAAUUGAUUUGCAUUCCGUGUAGAUUAGAUUUGAUUUUCUAGAUAAAGUUGCAUGAUAGAAUAGUGUUUUGUUUUUUUAAAUGCAUGCGGUAACUAGGUUAGAUAAUUUUUUUGGAUUGGAUUGCACAAUGAGAUAAUUUUCUAAAUUAAGGUAGGAUUCAAAUUAGUCUAUUCCUAACUUAAAAUAGAUAAUAUCUCACUUUAAUUAUAUUUUUAUUUUUAGUAAAUUUAAUUACGAAUUUUCAUAAAAAAAUACAAAAAAAAAAAAUCAUGCCCAUGUCAUCUAGAAUUAGGUUCAUGAAAUGCACGUCAUUUAGUGAUUGUUGCUAGGUCCAUUUGAUUAGAAAUUGCAUGUCAUUAGAAUUAGGUCAUUUGAUUAAUUUAGAUUGCACAUUUAGUUAUUGGACAAUUUUCAUUUCGAAUUUCAUGAAAAAGGAAAAAAGGAAAACUUAGAGUCAAGGCAUUCUUUGCACGUCAUUGCAUACUAGGGUAAUAUUACAUGUUUAAUUUUAUUUUCUACUUAGCUAUAGUUUUAGAUAAUUUUCUUUAGGAUAGACUGCAUGCUUAUUAUUUUAUUUAUGUCAUAUAGCUUGAGUCAUAUUGCCUUGCCAUAUCACUUCAUGUUAGGUUAGAAACAUGCAUUGCAUAUAGCAUGAUUCUCAUUAAAUAAGAGAAAACAAAAAUUAAAUGAUUGCGUGUUAAUUAAAAAUUAUAUCUAGGACUGUCGAUGUGAAUUCUGAUCUAACAUUGUAACUUUACUCCCCACACAUUAUGCAAUGAAAGGACUCUAAACUUAGUUGUUUUUUUCCUCUUGUCUAGUGACAUAAUAAUUUUAGCUAGGACAAUAAGAGAUAAACUCAAUACACAUAUUGCAUUACAAAUUCCAAAUUAAAUUAAUAGAUAAACAAAUGCAUUUUGAAUUGCCUCUUGCUUUAACUUUGCCUUCAUUACCUCCAUUAUGCUAUUCCACACAAAAACCAAACUUUAGCCCCUCCCAUUUUACACCGCCGAAAGAACGUCUCUCUCUUUUAUGCUAAGUACAAUAUUCAACAAGAUCCUGCAAUUACAUUAGUAACAGAAUCUUUAAUGCCAAUGUGACAAAAAACGGCUUUUAUCAAAAUGUCUCUAAAUAUAAAUCACAGUCAAGCCUAGCCUUUUCCCAUAUUAACUGACUUUAGUAACUUAAAUAGAGAUCAUGGUGUCUUUACUCUAUGCACUUCUUACUCAUUCAUCCUUCUCAUUUCGAUUCAUACUUCACUUGCUAAGCCACCAUGCCAUAUGGAUGAGAGCUCUGCCUCGACGGAAUUCAACCAAUUUUCAGAACCUACAGAACAAAUUUUCAAUGUGUUUAUGCGAAGGUUUAUCGAGGUCACAUGAAGAUUGCUACUCAUGGGAUAGUGUAGAGUGCCACAAUGACAUUACAACUUGACAAUACUUUACAAACUUCCAUGCUUAAAAUAUAUAAAUAUUUAUGACUUCUUAAAGAUGUUAUUUCAAGUAUCACAGCAUUGCACGGGCUAAAAUGCUACUGUGUUAUACAAUAGGAGUGAAGAACGGAAAUAAAAUUCUUACAUAGAAAUUAACAUUUGAAGUGAUAAUAAUCUAACAAAGGAAAAAGAUGAAAAAGAAUGAUGAAUGCCUAUACACAUGAGAUGAAGCUUUUCUUCUCCUUUUCUUUCGAGGAAAACCAAAACAACAUUAAACAAAACAAAUCAAGCUACAUUGUCUGUCUGAUAUAAGUGUGCUCCAACCCCUUUAAAAACAUUUGGAACAUAGGAUAAAUAACAAGUUGCAAAUGUUGUUCCAUUCCAAGUAGGGGUAAAGCAACCGGCCAACCAGGCUUGUGAGAUUCUUUGCGGCCAUUAAGCUAUAAAGCCCAUUCAAAGAGGACUAAAACAAUUUGAAUGAGUUGUUAGUCUUUCAAUUUAGUCUCAGUCCAACUCACUAAUUCUUAUAGAGAAGAAUGAAUUGACUAGCACUGCCUUAGUACUCCCUUUUCCAUGACAAUGACAUACGUCGUAGAUAAUUAACUCAUAGAUGCAUGGAACUCACAUGUAUGGACUAAGUAAUAAAAUAAUUCAACACUAUGGUGGAUAACCCGAAGAUGGAAACUGUUUAUACCAAAUGUUCAUUUUUAACUGUUGAGUUAAUCUCAUUGGAUCAUGCCUCGAUACUUGGUAUUUGUUUAUCCUAUGUGUAAAAUAAGUGAUUCCACUCUUUGAUUGCAAAUUGGUUCCUUCCUCAUAAGAAACCACGAAAGUUUAAGAAAAUAAAAGGUGUAUCAAAAUGAUUAAUGAUAUUAAAAGCAAUGAAUGGAAUAAUCACGGAAAUACUUUGGAAAUUUUGAGGCACUUGAUGUACCUAUUGAUCAGAAUGCGUGCCGUGUAAGUGAAGUCGACAUUGCAUUUCAUCAUUGAGUCUGCAUUCAGCAUAAGACGUCAACCUUACCUUGGCUCGAAAGUCGUCUCCCAAGCCUUCCACUAAGUUGAGAAUCUGAGACAGCCACUUCAACUUGCAAGUCACGCAUAUCUUGUCAACGUAAUCUUGCACAAGAUUUGCUAGAACCUUAGUUGUGCACGUAUAUCUAAGGGUUAAAACAAAAGGUAUGGUAUAAUAAUAUUUUUGUACCUGACUUCUUAAUCUAAGUUUCGGCAUUGCAACUUGACUUUUGAGUUCAACCGACAAACCAUAGAAAAAAAUCUUCUAUGUAACAUUUUAUUUCUUAUUUUUAUUUUUUCGUAAUUUGGCAGUGAAGUAUCAUACAUAUUUUUCUAGACGAUCUUGAGGAUGCACUUCCUAAUAUCAAUUUGGUACGAUUGAGAUUUUACUCCUAGGGUGCUCCCAAUAAAACUUGAAUUCAAGAUCGAAAGGAGAAGAGAAAAUUUCUGGCAAAAUUUUUCCAACACCUUGGUGGUUUUGUGUAGCAAUUUCAAGUUUACCAACUAGAUUGAAAAUAAUACAAAGAUCAAAUACGUAUUGUAUUGAAUAAGGAUAAUGCGUGACUAGGACAAUCAUAUGUAAAGCUGUUAGCUUUUUGAAAAAACCUAUAAAAUGACUUUUGUUUGUCAAUCUAAAAGUGGUAAAAGUCUUUGUGCAGGUCUCUCAAUUUUGGUCUAUUUGUGGAAAAGGAAAUGGGAUGCCAUUUUAAUGGACCAACCAUGCAAUCAUGAUUGCACAUGAGCCAUCAAUCACAGCAUGAGAAUUCGACUUGAAAUUUCCACCUUGUGGAUGUGUGACCAUUUCUUUCUCUUUUUGCAAUAAUAAUAAUAAUGAUGAUGAUGCCUCAAUAUGCUUAUACAUAUUCGACAUUAUUUUAUUAUUAUUAUUUUAUUUAAGGAAAGGUAGUGAGAGGCAAUAUGUUGAGCAUUUUGUGAUUAGCCCAAGAGUAACAUAGGAAUGCUCUUGAUAAACCCAUCUCCUAAUAAUAAGAUCCUUUAGUAUAUGAUAUCAUGGUUGGUACCGUGUAUGCACGUACGGCUAAGGAGCGCCAAAAUUCCUAUUCACAAAAAUUGCCUAGUAGAAAAGCAGUGGCAUUGCAAUCUCUUCUUGAUAUCUAAUGUACGCACUCUAAUAAAAAAGCACAAAGAGAACAACAUAAUCAUGUCAACCUCAAUGCCGCACAUGCUUUCUACGUGGGUCAUUUUCAUUGCGGUGUUCCAAUUUCAUGCUCGCUUUGCUAAGCUAGCAUGCCAUGUUGGAGAGAGCUUAGUCUUGAUGCUACUCAAGAGGCAGAUCAGGACCAACACAAUUGAUUGCAUCGUUGGCCUCAACCUUAGAAGCAAUUGGCUCUCUAGUAAGGGUGAUUAGUUGCUAGUCUGGUCUGGUUCCAAGGUGAAACGAGAACUAAAUCGAGAGAACCGGUUCCCAAAAUUGGGAAUCAGGGACCAGACUGUUUGGUCCUAGGAUCGGGAACUGGACCUAACCGUCGGUUCUGGUCCGGUCCUAUCCAACAAAACUGGUCUUCCACCUUCUUCUUCUUCUUUUUUUCACUAAAGAGUGACCAUACUUUGAACCGGUUGAUCCAGUUCGGCUCUUGGCAGUCCAAAAGAACCGAUCGGACUUGUUCCCACAUGCAAAAAAUUCAAACUCCACUUGUGUGAGCAUUGAUCAUAUUUCAUGUAUUUCAUGCUCAAUCCUAAUCAAAAAGGCCGUGAAUGAUAUGGCUAAAGGUCAUGCUUGGUUUGGGUUUUAUAGACAAUCUCUCUUUUACUCUUUGAGUAUUUGCUUGAUGUGGGACUCUUGGAAUACCUUGUCUCUUCCAGGUGAGGAGAGAGAGAGAGAGAGAGAGAGAGAGAGAGGAAUGAGAGUGUGGCUCUUGGAGUCUUAGUCCCACAUCAAGUAGAAGAAAAAACUAACAAGUGGGCUUAUUUACGUAGAGAGGAACAAGAAAAGUUUUGUUGGUCUCUUGGGCACAUGUAAAGUUGCUACCUCCAUUACAAUAGCGAUUGCAAUGAGGUGUGUGUGUGUGUGUGUGUGUGUGUGUGUGAGCAUCGAUCACAUUUCAUGUAUUUCAUGCUCAAUCUUACUCAAAAAGGCCGUGAAUGAUAUGGCUAAAGGUCAUGCUUGGUUUGGGCUUUAUAAACAAUCUCUCUUAUACUCUUUGAGUAUUUGCUUGAUGUGGGACUUGUUGACACAUAAAUUUUGACUAAUCAUUUUGUAAUUAAUUGCAUAAAAAAUUUUAGGGAUUAAUUUUUAAUCCCUUGAAAAAAAAAUAGUAAAAUUGCAUUUCAUGUAGUCGCAUUUGCAUCGGUACCAAAGGACAACAAGAAGCAGGGGUUCACAAUCGAUUACAUGCACAAGAGGAUGGUCUCUCUUUCGCUGGUCUGAACAAGCAUAAGAGAGAAAGUCAAAAAAUGAGGAAAGAAGUUCUUGCACGUCCAUUGUCUCUCCCUCAUUAAUGCAUGCACAUGCAUGCACAAAUUUGGCAGACGUGAAGACUCAAGAGAAAACCUCAAAGAAGUAAAAGGAGCUCAUAAUAUAUUAUAAAAUAGGAUUAAUACCUUGAAAAACCCCAAACUUGUACACUUGUGACAAAUUUACCAAAAACUAUUUUUUUACCAUAAAAAAUCCCAAACUGGUACACAUUUGACAAAUUUACCCCAACUAGAUAUAAAAAACCCUAAACUUGUAUAUUUAUGACAAAUUUACCCCAAACUAGUUUAUUCGACCGCAAAAAACCCCAAAUUAGUAAAUUUGUGACUAAUAUACCCUCCACUAAAUUAGAUUAAUACCACAAAAAAAAUCACAAAAAUUGUAAACUAUGACAAACAUAGUGUAAAAUCCUAAAUUGGUAUACCGGUCAAUUAUCACGUGUCAUUUAACUUUAUACUUUAAUAAGAAAAUUUAACUAAAAUUAAUAAAGGGUAAAUUUGUCAAAGGUAUACCAGUUUUGGGUUUUUAGUGGUAAAAAAAAUAAUUUGGGGUAGAUUUAUCAUAGAUAUAUAUCAGUUUAGGGUUUUUUAAGGUAUUAAAAUAUGCUCUAUUAAGUGUGGGUUGUCAGUUUUGGUGAAGCAACGAGAAAUUUGCUUAAGAAAGAAGCAAGUAAGAAGCAAGAAAAGUCAAAAGUUGUGGCAAUCCUAUGGAGGGGAGGGACAAGUAGCCGCAAUGCAUGCACAUGCACGCACGAAAUGGGAGACGUGAAAAUUCUACAGAUGCCUGCAAGAAGAUGGGCUAACAUUUUUAUAAUAUUUUCCUUGCUGGAGUGGAGAUCGAAAGAAAGGUCUGGAGAAGAAAGAAAGCAAAGUUCAACUUGGAUUUUGGAAAAGAUGCGACUGGAUCUUUUCACACUAAAGUCAGCUAUCUUCAAGAGGCGGUGGAACGCCUAUAAAUAAGACCACAAGAGGCCACACGGACAUGGGCAGGAGGGGAGCUGAACGAAAAAAAAAAUCAUUUGAGAGGUUUGUCAGGGGAGAAAAAAAAUCAUUUGCGGAGCACAUAGAGAAACACACGAGUUGAGAGGGGAGCAAAACGAAAAUUUCAUAGUGAGGGGCUUCUCCUUCGCUCCAAAAGAAGAGAGAUAGGGUGCGUUUGGGAACCACUUCCCAAAGCCCCUUGGGAGUCCAAAGCCCUUUGGGCAAAAAAAAUGGUGUUUGGGAAAAAACUUUAGAAGGGACUUGGGCUGAAUGCUAGCAUUUUUAAGGUUGAAAGCCCAAGGCAGGUAGGGGGCUACCUUGGGCUUUCCAGCAUUUUCGGCAUGCUGGAGAUUCAUUAAAGGAAAUUUUUUUUUUCUUUUGGAAACCUAAUUUUCUUCAUCGCCGCUUGCCGUCUCACUUCUCUCGUCCGAAAGCCAAGUUCUCUCUCCCCGAUCUUCUCCACCGCUCUCAACUCCACAAUCGCCAACCCCGACCGUCGCCGUUGGAACCAGCCACCACCGUCUUCGUCGAAGCCCAACCACCAUCGUCGCCGUCGGAGCGACGUUCUCUCAUCUGAAGCCCUUCUCUCUCCCCGAUCUUCUCCACCGCUCCUUUUCAACUCCACGACCACCAACCCCGACCGUCGCCGUCGGAACCAGCCACCACUGUCUCCGUCGAAGCCCAGCCACCAUCGUCGCCAUCGGAGCCCCGGCCACCACCUUCGCCAGCCACCCAAUGCCGGAAUCUCUUUUUUGCUUCGGUGAGUUCUCGAUUCCAUUUUCUUUCGUGCCUAGUUGAGUUCCGGUUUUGGGUUUCUGGCGUCGACAUUUUGAAGUUGGGUUUAGGGUUUUUGGCGUGUUCUCUGCUUAUUAGUCAUUAGUCGCAGUUGAAGGAUUACCCAUUUUCUUUCUUCUUUCUUCGAAGUGUUGUGUGCAUGUUCGGUGCUCGUGGUUAGAUCUGUGCGCGAUUUGAUGUGCAAAUGAGUUGUUUUUGGUGGGACGGGAGCUGAUGAGCUGCGCUAGUUUGAGUUUUGACCGGAUCUUUCCUUGAGGGUUUCGUUUCCCUUGAGUCAAGUGGCUUCGGUUCGGUUUCUCUGUUUCUUUAUCAAUUUCUUUUCUCUUUCUUCGUUAUGUGCUUCUUGUUGGAGCAUGCAUGAGAUCGAGCGAUGUGGCAAUGAUGUUCUGCCUUCUAAACUUCUUCUUCUUCUUCUUCUCUCAAGCUAUGAGAGAAAUUGUACUGGUGAAUCGAGGGGAUUUGUUUGGGGAUCUCUCUGUCACUGGUGGUCAUUGAGGAAAGAGGGUUCAUAAGCAUGUUGGGUACCUGAAUUAUGUGUAGAUUUAGCUGAUUUGGGUUACCGAUAGCUUAAAAAGAUUUUGAUCAAAAUCGGCUUCUGUUGAACAGAGUAGUGCACAGGGGUUGCGUUCUGAUGGUUGGUUGUAAAGCAAGUCGGUUCUAGUUGAAGAGAUGGUUAAUGGCUUUGUCUGUGGAUGGUGGUGCAUGGUGGCUGCAUAUAGCUUGUGGUUAUGCACGGGUUACUUUUAAUUUAAAGCUUGAAUGUGUAGAUUAUGAAAUUAGACAUCGGUUUACUUAAUGAUGCAUGCUACAUGCUGCUGCAUAUUUUUAGUAUGAUGCCAUACUGUCAAUUUCAGAUGUUAAAUAUUUGAACAAAAUUACGUUAGAGACAAAUAGGGUUGAAAAUUAGUAUAAUAUAGUGAUAUUGACUCUCUAUGUGCAGUCAUAGUUCUGUGCUAUAACCUAUAAGUUCUCAUCUGAGUACACCAUGACGAUGUCUCCUUUGAUUAGACUUUCUCUUGAAGAAGAAUUGGUUGACUCUUAUUCUGUUUUUCUCCUUUGAUGUGCAGACUUUUCCCCCUUAGUGUAAUUUCUUCAUCUCGAGGAGAGACAGAAGUGUGCGAGUUUCUAGAAGUCCUCAGUUUACCGAGGAAGGAGGCUGCGGGCAUGCGUUGGGAGUGUGAAAGACCAUGUUGAGAUAGCUAGAGUGGUAAGUUAUGGGCUUAAUAAACCAUAGGUUUAAUGCAAGUAGGCUUGAGUGUUGAAGUUGAGCUGGGUUUGAUUUAUUUUAGGUUUUUUCUAAGCUGGGCUACGAACAAUUUUGAAGGAAAAGAGGUUUUUGUAUGGGCCGGGUUUAUUUUAGUGAAAUUGGUGAACAUGAUUGACGUUGACAUGCUUAACUGUUUCAGCUACUGAGUUAGGAACACGUUUUAUUCUGAUUGUUUUUGUGUGUUUCAAUUUCCAUAGCAGGAUAUAUACUCUUUGUUCAUAUUCUUUCACCGAAGUGCACCCCUCUCUCUUCGCUCAAAAGGUGUCGAUUGUCCCACUUUGAAUCCAGGUUCUUUUACUUCUAUUUCUUAUGUUUUUGUUCAUUUUCCCCACUUACAUAUCCAGCUUGGUGUGCUCUUUCAUGGGUUUAUAUGAAUUGCAUUUUAAUUUAUUUGUAGUGUCCCUUACUUUGUGAUUAUAGUUAACAUCAUCUCUUUUCAUUUUUCAAACGUAUUCAUUUUAUUGAAAGAUGGCAAGUUCAUCAAAGGAAAAAGCAUAUUGGAGUCCUGAAGAUAUAGAAACUUUUUGUCGAUUAUGCAUUGAACAAAUUGAAAAAGGCAAUCGUCCUGCGAGCAACAAAAGGGAUGGAUGGACGGAUAUAAUUAACAAGUUUGAGGAGCUGAGGGGAAAAAGGUAUGACAAAAAUAAAAUGAAGAGUAAGUGGGAUAAUUUAAAGGAAGAGUGGAAAAAAUGGAAGCAAUUGGUUCAAAAGGAAACGGGAUUAGGAUGGGAUCCAAGGAAGAAAACCAUUGACGCGAGUGAUGAAUGGUGGGAGAGAAAAAUUCAGGUGUUUAUCUAAUCUUUUAUUACUUUUUGUUUUGUAAGUUUAACUUUUAUAAUAUAACUUCUAAAAAUAUUUUAUUAUAACAGGCCAAUCCUUAGCUUAGAGCAUUUCGAACGAAAGGCAUACAUCCAGAUAUUGAAGCUUUGUUGGAUCAAAUGUUCCAGGGUAUAGUUGCUACUGGAAGUGUUACCUGGAAUCCUGCACAAGGUUUAUGCAAUAAUGAGAAUGUUGAGACCGCUGAUAUUGGUGAUUGUGUAGGAUCUACUGAUGAUACUUUAGAGGGUGAUGUAGGUGAAACAAAUGCUCAACCAAGUCAAAGUAAGAGCAAUAAAAGGACAGUAGAAAGUUCAACGAAGCAAGCUCGAGGAAAGAGAGGAAAAAAAUUGACCGGACCUAAUAAGUUAGCAUCACAAAUUGACAGACUUUGUUCAACUGUUGAGAGUAGGAGCAAUGCAACAUCGAUUGCAAAGGAGUUUGAUCCUUACAAAGAAAUUGUGCAAACAUUGAAAGCCAUACCUGAGAUUAAGCAAGACAGAAAGUUGUUCUUUUUUGCACUCUCUCAUUUUGCUGAAAAGAAAGACAAUAGGUAGAUUUUUAUGAACUUGGAUGAAGAUGAAGAAAAAGUUGAGUGGCUGAAGUAUAAGUUGGAAGAGCAUGAUAGUCGCCAUUAGGAUAUUAGUUAUUUCUUUGAGCUCUUUUAUAUUAAUCUAUGGUUGUAAUGAGAGAUUUAUUUUCAGUUGCUAAAUUGCACUACUUGUGAACUCUUCCUCUGAUUAUGUUUUAAUGUGAGACACGUGUUUUUAGUUUAUGUUAUUUUGAUUUGGUGGAAUUUGCAUAUAUAUUGUGGAAAAUAAUUGUUCCAUUGAUGGAUGAUUAUUCAACACUUUUCUUACUGUUUUAUUACUUUAAACAGAUAUGGAUGAUUCUCCUAAAAGAGAAAUCUAUGAGAAAGAGGAGGAGGAAUUCAAUCAACUUGUGGAAAUUACUCAAGCCACAAUCGCUUAUCAAGCAAUAUACAGUCAGAAAAAACCUUGUAGGACAUCAUCAUAUACAGGAUAUGCAUGGUUAGAAGAGUUGAUGGGCGAAGAUGCUAAUCCGAUAAGGUGUUAUCAAAUGUUUAGGAUGAAUAAGAUUGUAUUUAAUAAUUUAAUGCAUGAUUUAGUAACACGUUAUGGUCUUAAAGGAACUAGAAAUAUUGAUGUUAGAGAAAUGCUUGGAAUAUUUCUUCAUAUUUUAGGACAUGGUAUAGGUAACAGGUUAACACAAGAGCGUUUUCAACGCUCUGGGGAAACUAUAAGCAGGUACUUUGGCUUAGUAUUAGACAAAGUAUGUGAAAUGGGAAAAGAUUUGAUCCAACCAGCUAAUUGGCAAUUUAGGGAUGUUCCAGAGAAGAUAAAAAAUAAUGGAAGAUUUUAUCCAUAUUUUAAGGUAUGUUUUGAUUAUUCAACAGAAAGAAAGAACUAAAUGCAAAUUUUGAUUAUAUAAUAAUAUUUGCAUUUUUGUUUUAGGAUUGUAUUGGAGCUAUUGAUGGCACUCAUAUCCCAGCGGUGUUACCUGUAAAAGAUCAUAUUCGUUUUAUUGGUCGAAAAGGUAUAACGACUCAAAAUGUCUUAGCGGUGUGUAAUUUUAAUAUGGAAUUCACUUAUGUUUGGGCUGGUUAGGAGGGCCAAGCCCAUGAUACUCGUAUUUUCUAUGAAGCUUUAGGGAGACAUGAUAUGCAAUUUCCUCAUCCUCCUCCAGGUUUGUUAAUUAAUGGUUUUUGUAUAUUAUUAUGUAUAAAUAUGGUGUAUGUUGAUCAAAUUUAUAUUAUAUUUUUGCAGGUAAAUAUUAUUUAGUAGAUGCUGAGAUAGCUAGUAUAAACACCUAGAGGGGGGUGAAUAGGCGCACAAACAAUUUGUCGAAAUACGGAAGCGAUUCUUAGCAAACGAUAGAAAGGAAAUUCUCUCUUGAUUAACAAAAUGAAGUACGAUCGAGGUAGAGAGAGAGAGAGAGAGAAUUGAACACAGGAUUUAUAGUGGUUCGGCUUAUUCCAAGCCUACGUCCACUCUUCCGCACUGACAGCCCACCGGCUGGAUUUCACUAUGAUCAAAAGAGAAGUUAUAGCACAGCUUUGCCUUGAUUCCACAGUGUAGAUGUUCUACCACACCUUCUCAAGGUUUCUCACAAAUAUAGACUCUCUUUUGUAUACAAGUAUUCGCUCAAAGGAAUUGUCUAAACAAAAAGGAGCUUCAGACUUUGGAAUUCUUCUAUCGCGCACACCUCGAAAAACUAAGAACGUCUUCCUUAUAUACUCCUUUAUGCCAUCAUACCCGUUGGCACUUACCAAAGGAAUUCCUCCAAUCUACCCGUUGGACGGAAUCAAUUAGGAAGAUUGUUCGAGCUAUUAAAGGAACGUGUUGAUAGCCCAUCAAUCCUGUUCGCCCAUACAAUCAGGAUCUCGGUUUCCAUAAGUAAAACCUUCCAAUAAUAUUUAGACAAUCAUCGAAUCUUCAAUCAUUGAAUCAAUCUUGAUCAAUCAAAGGAUUCUGUUAUGUCUUCUCCAGCCACGAGAUCUUCUCCAGAUGAUAAGGUUAAAUCCUGAAUAAAACAUCCAGUUCUGGAUAAUCUUUCUUCAACGGAUUAGAGACUGUCAAUGAGGAUAGACUUUGAGUCUUGAGUCUGGCUGACCGGAAGUCUUCAGACUUUAAACAACAGAGUCUGCAGACCUUCAGACUAGACUGAUGGAAACGUUUUGUCAACUUCAAAACACUUCACGAAGAUUUCUCCAACAAUCUCCCCCUUUUUGAUGGUGACAAAACCUUCCUGCAGAUUUGGAUAACUUUGACCUGCAAAACAUUUCUCAAACACAUAUGCAUAUCUUAUAGAGAUAAAUGGCUAAAAGAAUAACACUAGGAUCUGCAACCACAGAAAAUAGGUUAGUCUAGUAUAUAAUAAAGCCAUCCAUAAGAUAUCAAUACUUGUUAAUAGAAGCAGUCAAGUCCAAGUCUAGUUCAGUUCUCAUCCAGACACAAAACAAAGUCAAAGUCUGUCAAAUAGAGUUUUAAACAACAACACAAACAGUUAAAAUUUUAAUGAUUGAAAGUUUGAUCAAAUCUUGCAUCUCUCCCCCUUUUUGUCAUCAUUAAAAAGGAUGAGAUGAAGUCAAGAUUGCUUGGGAACGCGGACAAGCUGGAAAUCUUCCAUAGACUGAACGAUGCCUUCCAGCCUUUUAAAGUCUUCCUUCAGCUGUGCAACCUCCUCACUCUUGGCAUUGGCCUGAUUCUGAAUAGAGAGGGCUUGCAUCUUAUCAUUCAAUGAACAGGAAGAAGGUUGACUUUCAUUCUUCAAACUUUGAACUUCGCAUCCCAAGGCAUAAAUUUGACCUCGCAUUUCCAAGAGAAUAUCCAAGAUUCUGCGAAAAUCUGCUCCAUUAUCAGUCUGAGUACUUGCUUCGGCUCGAUCUGAUGGAGUAAAAGCAGACGAUGGUGGAUCAGCAUAAUCUCGCAGGUUUGGCGAUGAAGCUUCAUGACCUUCCUCUGGAAAUUGAGAUGCAUAAACAUCCUCUGGGUCUGCAAGCGAGCGACUGACUCCUUCACUUGCAUCAGGAUAUGAAGACGUCACUCAUUUUUCCUGAUCUCCCCCUGUUUACAUGCCUACAGGUGGAGAAGAGAUUUCCUCAGGUUCUCCUUCUUCUCUUCUUUCUUCUUCAGGUCUUUCUUCCUCUGCUUCUUGCUUUGCUUCUCUUUCUUCUUCUUCCUUCUCCUCUGCUUCUUUCGUCAUUUGUUCCAAUUCUUUCUGAGGAACAGGACGACUUAAAUUCUUCAAAGCCAUUGCAGAGAUGGUGAUGUCUUCGUCAUCAUCUUCAUCCUCAACGAGGAGAGCUCUUCUUCUCUUUGAUGGAGCAGCCAUGGGCUCCUUCCCUUUUCUCUUAGCAGCAGAAGAGAGUUGAUGAGAUUUGGCAGGAGUCUUCUCCUUGAAUUUCUCCAAUUCCUUGCUCAGUUCCUUCAGACGCAUUUUGGUCACCAUUUUCAGUCCUACCACCAUAUGAUCGCAUGAUCGAACACAAAAGAUUUGCGGAGGCUGAAUAUUCAGAUGUCUGAAUAACUUUGUAACAAGGCUUAGGUAAGGGAGUUAACCUCUAUCCUUCAUCACUGCUCUAUACAUGUGAAACAUAAUAGUAUGAGGGAGAGAAAACUUCUUUCCACAGAGGAUGGCAUACAUCAACUUUGCCUCAGAGCUUGAAACAUCAGUUUUGGAAGUUGAUUCGGUCGAAGGCAAUUAAUCACAAUCUUGUGAAGCAAGAUGUUGAAUGCAUUCAUCCUUGAGUAGGUAAUCUUCUCAUCUGUUCUCCUGUCCUUCACCAGUUCAAGUGUGGCCCGAGCAAUGGAAACUUUGAUUGGUUGAUAUCUACCUCUCUCAACUUCUAACACAUCUGCCAGCAUAUUCAUAUCCACAACAUAGUCUUGAUCUUUAACGCUGAAUGAGAAUCUAUUUGCAUCCAAAAAGCUAAGAUUUGAAUAGAAAUAUGCAGUCAAUUCAGCAUAAGCCUCAGUUGAGUCAGAGCAGAACUUUUCAAGUUGAAGAUAACUGAACUUUUCCCUCAAGUUCACUUUCACAGCAUCCAGAAACUCAAAAUCCACACUCCUAGGGUUUAUUACCCCACGCUUCAGCAAUUUCGAGUACAGAUCAUUUUGUUCAUUUGAUCUGAACAAAUCUCCCCUUUUUCCUUGAAUUUUAGCCGCAAUACCCAUUUUCGAUUGAAACAGACUGAACAGAUUGUCAUCGUCAUUCCCAUCUACAGGAUUCGGCCCCCAGUCACAAGGAUCACUUGGGAUAUUCGCAAGGGUUUCCUCAGCCACCCCUUUACGAGCGAUUCCCAAACUUUCCAUUUUUCGCAGAAAGAUAUAUUCGUUCUUAUAUCCUUUGUCUUUAAGAAAAUCAUCAACAUAGUUCAAAGGAGUAUGAAUUCCUUUUAAGGCACGAUAUAGCUUGUAAAUAAAAGCGGGCUUUUGAACUCUUACGAGGUCUGCAUCCUCGAUGAUUUCUUCCUGAUGCUGAUGAACAACGCCUUGAGGACUAGAUGGUGGAGAAUGACGCUGCUGAGAAUGUUGUGGGCUCGAUUGCUGUUCUGGAUUUACUUCUUCCUCAGUAAGAUCGAAGUGCGUAGGCCCCUCACUCAUUCGUUGUGGUCCCCUGUUUGCGAUUCUCGAAGACUUCCUUGAAGAUGACAUCUUUCUCAGUUUUUGGAUGAUUUCCUUGCUUGACUUUCCCAAGAAAGAUGACAACUUUUUGAAGAUUAAACAAAGAAGACAAACGGGAAUGGAGGAUCGAUGCUUUCUAGGGUUUUUGAGAGUAAAAUGAAGAGGAAUCGACAGUGCACGAUCGGUUAAAAAGAGAAAUAAACGAAUCAUCACAAAGGAAAUAAAAAGAUACCUUUUCAAAAUAACUAUCUUUUUCCGCAAAAAUAGCUAUUUCAAAAUAACUUCCUUUUGAAAAUGAAACGAUGCAAUAUUUUCGUUAAUAUAGCAACAAUUUUAAACACAGUCUGACGAUCGUACCUUUUCAAGAUAAGAUUGGAGAGAGAAAGACUUACAGUCUGAUGGUCGAGCCAAGACUGUAGAUAAAGUCUUGUAAGUCUGAGUCUGAAAGUCUUUAGACUUUGAUAUCCUCAUACCUCAAAAUGUUGAGUCUGGAACGGAUAGACUCAAAUUGAUUUUUCUCCAAAGGCUUUGUGAAUAUAUCCGCCAGUUGAUUCUUUGAGUCAACAAACUGAAUUGAAAUCUCUCCAUUUUGAACAUGGUCUCUAAUAAAGUGAUGUCGAAUCUCUAUAUACUUUGCUCUUGAAUGGAGAAUUGGAUUUUUGGUGAGGUUGAUAGCGCUGGUGUUGUCACAAUUAAUCUCCGUGCAUGAGUCUUCAAUUUCAAAGUCUCUUAGCUAUUGUUUUCUCCAUAGAAUUUGCGAACAGCAGCUUCCAAGAGCUACAUAUUCUGCUUCUGUUGUUGAAAGAGACACAGUGCUUUGUUUCCUUGAAAACCAAGACACUGUCCUGCUUCCAAGCAACUGGCAAGUUCCUGAAGUGCUCUUUCUAUCAACUCCGCAACCAGCCAAAUCUGCGUCUGAAUAUCCCAGAAGAUUAAAGUCUCCCUUCUUCGGAUACCAAAGACCGAUGCUUGAUGAUGAAGCAACGUAUUUAAUGAUGCGUUUCGCAGCACUGAGAUGAGAUUCUCUAGGAUCUGAUUGAAACCUAGCACAGAUGCAAACACUCAACAAAAUGUCAGGUCUAGAGGCAGUAAGAUAAAGAAGUGAUCCAAUAAUGUUCCUGUACAGCUUUUGAUCAACUUUCUUCCCUUCUUCAUCUUUGUCUAUCUUUAAAGAACUUGACAUUGGUAUGUCGGUCUUUUUGCACUUUUCCAGUCCAAACCUUUUGACAAGAUCAUUAACAUAUUUUUCUUGAUAAAUAAAAGUUCCUUCCUUCAAUUGUUUUACUUGAAGACCAAGAAAGAAUGUUAACUCUCCCAUCAUACUCAUUUCAAACUCAUCCUGCAUAGACUUUGAAAAUUUCUUGCACAGACUUUCAUUAGAGGAUCCAAAAAUAAUAUCAUCCACAUAUAUUUGAACAAGUAAGAAACUUUUGUUUUCCUUCUUGAUAAAUAAAGUCGUAUCUACUUUACCUUUGACAAAACCAUUUUGUAUUAAGAACUUACUUAAUCUGUCGUACCAAGCCCGAGGUGCUUGCUUUAAACCAUACAAAGCCUUUUUCAGUCUGAAGACUGAGUCUGGCUUCUUUGGGUCUUCAAACCCUGGUGGUUGUUCCACAUAAACUUCCUCAUGGAUAAAUCCAUUUAGGAAGGCGCUUUUGACGUCCAUUUGGAAUAACCUGAAAUUCUUAUAACAAGCAAACGCAAGUAACAGUCGAAUAGUUUCUAACCUUGCCACUGGAGCGUAAGUCUCAUCAUAGUCUAUUCCUUCUUCUUGCGUAUAUCCCUUGGCCACGAGUCUUGCUUUAUUUCGUACGACUUUUCCUUUCUCGUUCAUCUUGUUUCUGAACACCCAUUUAGCUCCAAUAACAGUUUUACCUUUUGGUUUGGAUGUCAAUUCCCAAACAUCAUUAAUGCUGAACUGUCUGAGCUCUUCUUGCAUAGCUUCAAUCCAGCUUUCAUCAGAUAAAGCUUCUUCUAUGCUCUUUGGUUCAAUUUCAGAAACGAGUGCCACAGCACUAGACUCUUCUCGCCUUUUGGAUCUGGUGCGAAUUCCUUCAUUAAUUUCGCCAAUUAUAAGAUCUUUGGGAUGACUGGACUUAUGCUUCCAGUUACUUGUUGAUUUGUCUGGUUGAUGAUCUCUUUCUUUAUUUGGAUCUUCACUAACAACCUGAUGCUGGUUUUCCAGAGUCUGAGAUGCUUUUUGAGUUGUAGACUUUGGAGGGUCUGGAGCAGGUUCAGACUCUUCUUGACUUGAUUCAUCUUGCGUUGAGUCUUGAAAUUUGACAUUCAUUGACUCCUCCACAGACUGGCUCUUCUUGUUAUAAACUCUGUAGGCUUUGCUUGAUGUAGAAUAUCCAAGGAAGAUACCUUCAUCUGAUCUUUCUUCAAACUUACCAACUCGAUCUUUUGCAUUUUUCAAUAUAAAACAUUUACAACCAAAUACAUGAAAGUAUGAAACAAUAGGCUUCUUUUCUUUGAAUAACUCAUAAGGGGUUUUUUGAAGAAUAGGUCUUAAGAAGACUCUAUUGAUGAUAUAGGAUGUUGUUGAAAUAGCUUCAGCCCAAAAUCGAGAAGAAAUUUUACUUUCAAUUAAAAGAGUUCUAGCCAUUUCUUGAAGAGAUCUGUUCUUUCUUUCCACAACUCCAUUUUGCUGAGGAGUAUAUGGAGAGGAGAACACAUGCUUAAAGCCAGAUUCAUCACAGAAUUUUGUAAAAUCUUGAUUUUCAAAUUCACCUCCGUGAUCUGUUCUUAUACUAGAGAUAACACAUCCUUUUUCAUUUUGAACCUUUUUAGCAAAUUUUUCAAAAUACGAAAAGGUUUCGGACUUACUUGCAAGGAAAUAUACCCAAGUAAAACGGGAGUAAUCAUCAACAAUUACUAGGCAAUAUUUCUUACCCCCAAUACUCUGAGUUCUGGUUGGUCCGAAGAGAUCCAUAUGCAGCAACUGUAGUACAUGAUUAGUAGAGACAUGAUUUAUUGGCUUAAAUGAAUUUCUUACCUGCUUUCCCAGAAUACAUGGAGUGCAUGAAUUAGUCUUUUGGUAUGGCAAUUUGGGUAGACCUCGAACUAGCUGCUUUGAUGAGAUUUUGGCUAAUUGCUUCAUGUUGACAUGACCAAGCUUUUUGUGCCAUAAGCUUGCUUCGUCUUGAAUUGAGAUAAGACAUUGCGAUUCAUUUGGUUUCACAUCCAGAAGAUAGAUAUUUCCAUGUCUUCGACCCAUGAAAGACUGAGUAGAGUCUUUACUGAUUCCAGAACAUGUUCCUUCUUGAAAGAAGAUCUUGAAACUAGUAUCACACAAUUGACUAAUGCUGAGAAGAUUGUAAUUGAGUCCUUCCACUAAGGAAACAUUACUUAUUGUGAGAGUUCCGAUUUUCACGGUUCCAAAUCCCACAAUACUUCCUUUGCUGUUUCCUCCAAAUGAAACUUUUUCACCAUUUACUUGAGCAAGCUUUAUAAAGCAAUUUGAGUCUCCUGUCAUGUGUCUUGAGCAUCCGCUGUCAAGAUACCACUUUACCUGUUUCUUGACGGAGACCUGCAUUUAAAAUAAAGUCUCAAGCUUUCUUUGGUACCCAAAUUUUCUUGGGUCCUUUGGUGUUAGUAAUAUAAACAGUAUUAGCCCAUACUUUCUUAACAAGUUUCCAUACCAUAGGACACUCUUUUUCAAAGUGAUCCGGACUGUUGCACUUUGAACAUCUGAGAGCAUUUCUUCCUACAGGUUUUACAAAAACUUUCUUGAAGUGAUUUUUGUAAGCCUCUUUCGAGGGUCUUUUCUUAAUUCUUUCUUUUACUUUAGGAAAAUCAAUCAAGGGAAUUGUUUCUGCUGACAUACCUAGACCAGACUUAUUGAAGUAAGGUCUUUGAGCUGAAAGAAUUUUUUCAAGUUUCUCAGACCCUAUUGAAAAUUUCUUUGAAAUAUUUGAUAAGUCUGUUUUUAAAAGACCAUUUUCUUUCAAAAGAUUAUCUUCAUUUUCUUUAAGAGUGGAAGCAGUCAAGUCUAGACUUUUAACUCUUUCUACUAAAACAUUUUCCUUUUGUUUUAGAGCUGAGUUUUCCUUUUUCAGUUCGGAAAUUCUUUUGAGAGAAGUCUUAGGACUAAAACACAGUUCAUCAAUGUAUUUGGAAACUUUGACAGGAAUUUUGAAAUUACUUGCCUCAAAUUCACUGUCUGAGUCUGAUCCAGAGUCUGAUCCAGAGUCUGAGUCUGAUUGUGCCAUCAGACAUAGAUUGGCAUAUUCAUUAUCACUUUCUUCACACUCAGUAUCACUCCAGGUUUCGGCUUUGAGAGCUUUUCGAAAUUUUUCAGCUUUUCCUCUCUUCUUCUUCAGAAGAGGACAGUUGGGUCUGAUGUGUCCCUUCUUCUUGCAUUCAAAGCAGACUACAUCUUUAUUUGGUUCCUCAUCAUCAACAGACUUGGUUUGCUAUCUUUGAAAGCUUUGUUUCUUUGAGUUGAACCUUCUUCCUUUUCUAUUCAGUUUUCUGAAUCUUCUUAUCAUGAGAGCAAGCUCCUCAUCGUCCAUAUCAUCUUCAGAAUCUGUAUCAUCAGAAUCAUCAUUUGAUUUUAAUGCAAUGGAUUUCUUACCUUUUGGAUCUUCAUCUUCAUUGAUCCUUUCCACUUCAUAAGACUGAAGAGUUCCAAUCAGCUCGUCGACAGAUAGUGGCAUAAUUCUUUGCGUCUCUCUUAUCGAAGUCUUUAUGUGAUUCCAAUCCUUGGAGAGUCCACGCAGUAGCUUGUUUACCUUCAUAAGAUCAGAAAUUGGUUGACCUUGAUUUUCAAGACCAUUCACAAUAUCUUCACUCGAUCUGUUCCUUCAUAGGUGAUAUGUAAUAUGUCCCAGACUUCCUUUGCUAUAACACAAGAAGAUAUUCUAUUAUAUUCAGUUGGUCUGUUCCUUCAUAGGUGAUAUGUAAUAUGUCCCAGACUUCCUUUGCUAUAACACAAGAAGAUAUUCUAUUAUAUUCAGUUGGUGACAAAGCACAAUAUAAAGAGUAAAUUGUUUUUGCAUCGAGUGCUUGUCUCUUGUUUAUCUCUUCCUGAGUUAUUCCGCUGGUCUCAACAGUUUCUUUCCCUCUUUCAGAGACUGAUGCAGCUGUAGGAGUAAUUCCUUUUUCUACAACGUCCCAUUCCAGAGGAUCCUUUGAUCGUAGGAAAGCUUUCAUCUUGUUUUUUCAGAUGUUGUAAUCCUUUCCAUCAAAGUAGGGUGGUUUGGUAUUGCUUUGCCCUUCCAUCAGCCCUGGUGCUAGCAUACUAGCCAUGGAUCUUUAACUCUGAAGUAAAACACUUCAAACAAAGUGAGUACAUGAGCUCUGAUACCAAUUGAGAUAGCUAGUAUAAACACCUAGAGGGGGGGUGAAUAGGCGCACAAACAAUUUGUCGAAAUACGGAAGCGAUUCUUAGCAAACGAUAGAAAGGAAAUUCUCUCUUGAUUAACAAAAUGAAGUACGAUCGAGGUAGAGAGAGAGAGAGAGAGAAUUGAACACAGGAUUUAUAGUGGUUCGGCUUAUUCCAAGCCUACGUCCACUCUUCCGCACUGACAGCCCACCGGCUGGAUUUCACUGUGAUCGAAAGAGAAGUUACAGCACAGCUUUGCCUUGAUUCCACAGUGUAGAUGUUCUACCACACCUUCUCAAGGUUUCUCACAAAUAUAGACUCUCUUUUGUAUACAAGUAUUCGCUCAAAGGAAUUGUCUAAACAAAAAGGAGCUUCAGACUUUGGAAUUCUUCUAUCGCGCACACCUCGAACAACUAAGAACGUCUUCCUUAUAUACUCCUUUAUGCCAUCAUACCCGUUGGCACUUACCAAAGGAAUUCCUCCAAUCUACCCGUUGGACGGAAUCAAUUAGGAAGAUUGUUCGAGCUAUUAAAGGAACGUGUUGAUAGCCCAUCAAUCCUGUUCGCCCAUACAAUCAGGAUCUCGGUUUCCAUAAGUAAAACCUUCCAAUAAUAUUUAGACAAUCAUCGAAUCUUCAAUCAUUGAAUCAAUCUUGAUCAAUCAAAGGAUUCUGUUAUGUCUUCUCCAGCCACGAGAUCUUCUCCAGAUGAUAAGGUUAAAUCCUGAACAAAACAUCCAGUUCUGGAUAACCUUUCUUCAACGGAUUAGAAACUGUCAAUGAGGAUAGACUUUGAGUCUUGAGUCUGGCUGACCGGAAGUCUUCAGACUUUAAACAACAGAGUCUGCAGACCUUCAGACUAGACUGAUGGAAACGUUUUGUCAACUUCAAAACACUUCACGAAGAUUUCUCCAACAGAUGCUGGAUAUCCAAAUUCGACGGGUUAUUUGGGACCAUACAAAGAAGUUAGAUAUCAUUUGCCAGAAUUUCAACAAGGUCCCAUCCCUACAAGCUAUCAAGAGGUAUUCAAUCGUGCUUAUUCCUCGCUGCGAUCGGAAAUUGAGCGAGCUUUUGGUGUGUUGAAGAAGAAGUGGAAGAUCCUAAAGUAUAUGCCAAAUUUCCCCGUUGAAAAGCAAGUAAAAGUUGUUAUAGCAGCAAUGACUUUGCAUAAUUACAUACGACGAAACACCGCCAAUGAUAAACAUUUUGCAAGAGCAGAUUUGGAUUCCAAUUAUGGAUAUUCAGUUGACAUUCAUAAUACAAAUGAGGAGGCCGGUACCUCAGAUGACAAUUUAUUUUCUGACACGACGCGUUUACGUGAUCAAAUAGCAAUGAGUUUAGUAAAUACUUGAGGAGGAUGUUUGUAAUUUUCAAUGAAGACUUAUUUCUUUCUUUGAUGCAUAUGUAAUCAUGUUUAUUAUAAUGAAAUUACUAUUUCUUUUUGUUAAUAUAUCUCUUUUAUAUAUACAUCUCAGUGCAAAAAUAAAAAAAUAAAAAAAAGUCAUUGAAUUUGUUAAUAUAUAUAUAUAUCUUAGUGCAAAAUAUAUAAACAAAAAGUCAUUGAAUUUGUUAAUAUAUUUCUUUUAUAUAUACAUCUCAGUGCAAAUAUAUAAAAAAAAAUAGUCAUUGAAUUUGUUAAUGUAUCUCUUUUAUAUAUACAUCUCAGUGCAAAAAUAUAUAAUAAAAAAAUCACUAUUUUUGUUUUCAAUUUUAAAAAAUAAAAAAUGAAAGCUUAAAUUAAUUGCGCUAAAGGACUUCCAACAAUUUGAUAUGUGUUUACCAAACAACAUUUUUCCAAAGUUGCUUCUCAAGGUGCUUUUCAAUUAUAGUUUACCAAACAGUUUUUGCAUUUCACCCAAGGCCUUUAGACCAAAGGCCUUUGCAUUUCCUUAAAGGCUUUUCCCAAAAGCAGUUCCCAAACGCACCCAUAGAGAGUCUGUCAGAGAGGAAAAAAGGCCAGACGAGAGAGAAAAAUCUAUUCAAGAGGCCAAAGAACACAAGAAAAAAAUCCAUGAAAAAGGCCCGGCCGAGAAAAUAUUGGGUGCGCCCGGUGCUCCACGUCACCGUGCGCCCGCCUAACAAGGAUGCGCCACGUGGCUCCACCUGGAGCCGGGUCCCGCUUUUGUUUUUAGCCGAAUAUUUGCCUUCUCCCUCUCUCUUCAUUAAUGGCCGCGUCCUUCUCCCGCCCUUCGCAUUUGAAGUGCCCUUUCUCUUCUGUCUUCUCCCGCACGAAGUCUCUCUCUCAAAAAUCGCUCGAUCGCAUCCGGCACGACGCCUCCACGGCCUCCGGUAUGACGCCUCCACUGUCCUCGAGACACUCCCUCAGGCUGCACAAAGAGGCGCCAUUUUGAAAAAAAAUUCAGUCAAAGCCAAGGAGCAACCAGUGGAAGUGGGAGGUGAGCGGCUUCGAGCCGCGGAAGUAGUCGUCGACCUCCGCCUGCUUCGACUCCGACGACUAGCACCAACUCCUCCAUUGUCCUCGAGACACUCCCUCAGGCUGCACAAAGUGGCGCCAUUUUGAAAAAAUUUCAGUCGGAGCCGAGGAGCAACCGGUGGAAGUGGGAGGUGAGCGGCUUCAAGCCGCGGAAGUAGUCGUCGACCUCCGCCUCCUUCGACGCCGACGACCAGCACCGGCCGAGCGCCCCCUCGUCCGGCGGUACUCGAUCUCCGCCGCCGCCGCCGCCUCCUCGCCGCCCUCGCAGCUCCUGCUGGCCUCCAAGGUCCAGCAGCUUGCGGACAAUGUCCAGGUUUUUCCAAAACGCUCCGAUCGUCUCGCGCUCUGUUUUGGCUCCCGAUUGAGUUGGGGGAUUUGCCUGUUUCGAAUUGUUGCUUCUUGCUUCGGUCGAUUCCUUUUCUGUUGCCGAGCUCUGAGAAGAGCGAUUUCCGAAUGCAGCUUGCGAGGCAGGAUUACUUGGAGCUGAGAUAAGAGGCGAGCGAACUGAAGGAGUAUUCCAACGCGAAGCUCGAUCGAGUCACGCGCUACCUCGGCGUUCUCGACGACAAGACGCGGAAACUACGUGAGGCGGUGCAGCGUCUGUUGUGCCUUGACGCACGUUUGCUUUCUCAUUUCGGUUUUUGACAGGUUCUGUGCUUUGUGUCAGAUCAAGUCGCCCUUGAAGGUGAGGCUAGGAUAGCACCGCUCGAAGAGGAAGUUGUUCAAUGAGUUGUUGACAUCCAAAGGUCAGUCUUUGGUUUCUUAAUUGAGUUCUCCCACUUUCCACGUGAAGCACGUGGAGCGGAAGUACUUGGAUACAUGAGCCGAUAAUUCAGAAUAUUUCUAGUUUGAAUUGCAAUUCAUUUUCGGGAUGAUGUUCCUGUCAGAUGGAUGGGUAGAGAUAGCUUGCUUGUAUGGCAAUUUUGCAGUGUGUAGUAGGAGGACAAAACUUUAGUUUAACGAGUAAGAUCAAGUUGGAAUAUGACUAAUAGAGUUUUAGCGAUGGCGUGCAGAUUAGCUUGAGAUAACAGCUGUCAGUUUGUGAUGCAUUUUUCUGAUCAUCGUUAGUCUGAAAAAUUGAGCUGUUUGUUAGUUCAGGACCCUCAGAGAUUCGUUAUUCUGUAAACGGAGACUAGAUAUCAAGAACGGAAAUGAUUUUUUACUCUGUGUAUCUUCUUCCUCCUCCGUUAGGAUCAGUCUGAUACUUUGAUUGAUGGUUACAUAGAAAUUGAAUCUCUUGAAUUAAACUAAUAGAAGAACUCCCAAGAAAUAUGAUUUUCAGACAAGAGUCCAGUCACCUGUGAUAUAAUUUCCAUUUGGACUCCUUUCACAUCAUCAAUUCACCAUUGAUUGCCCAAUCACUAGAUUUAAUAGUGUUUAAACUUCAUGCUACGUUUCUGUCCUAAAGGAAUGCCUGUCAGUUACAUUUUAUGGCAGAUCUAAUGGACAAGAAUAUGUCAUGCGGACAUUGCAUUUUUAUGUUAAUUCUUUUUGGCGUGUACGUGACUCUUUUGCAAAAGAUGUGAGAGUAAUGGAGUUAGCCAGUCAGUAGUAUACUCAAUUGGAAAUUCUUUGUGCUUGCUAUUGAACAAAUUAUGAACGUAUCUCUCUUACUUCUCUGUAGUCGUAACUGCCACCAUACAUUUGUGGGAGGCAAUGGUGAUGCCUAACACCUCAUACUUUAUGAUUCUGUGGACGAACCAGUUGUGUGGAGGGAUUGCACUUUGUUUUGAAUAAGAAUCUUAUCUUGAUAUUGGGUGAUGAUGAUAGAACUUCCACCUCUGGAAUUGCUCCUGUGCAAAGAUGAAGGAGAUGUCGAAUAGUUGAACGAUAAUUCGUCUCUUUGACUAUUCGGCAUACAACAAUAGGAGCACAUGAUUGAUGCCUGAAAGGAGUUCCAUCUUUGCUUCUCCUUCUUUGUACGGCAGCUCUGUUUCGACACUCUUAGUUUACAGAUUUCAUGAAAAUUGUGAACAUAACUCCAUAUAGUUUAAAGCAUUUGGGCUUGAUGGGUCUAUUUGUUGGCCCAUCCUCAAUGGACCUCAUUUUAGUUAGAAAACAAGAGGAGAGUUGUCUUUCGGCAAAGUUGCUAAAUAGUGAGGAUGUUGAGCUCCAGCAGCCUUUGCUCGGCCACCAUUUCCCUCCCUCUCUCUCUCUCUCUCCCUCUCUCUCUCUGUGUUGUUGUCACCAAGUCUCUUGUUCCUUUUAAGCCCAGCCUUAGUAAAAGUGAGUACCGGCACUGGGUGGACAGGCUAUCCACCCUUAAGUGGUAUUGCCAGCCAUUCCGGAGGAGCAGUUGAUUCAGCAUUUUCUAGUCUUUAGGAGUGAUAUGUAGCUUGAGCAAAGAUUGGAUUAGUCUACAUUGCGAUAUGUCUAGGCUUCAGUAAAGUACUUGCCCGUUUGAUCUUUCAAUAUAAAUGUCAAUACCCAUGCGUGCUUCUUGAGUAUCUGCAAUGGAAUUAUUGGGUGUAGUUUGUAGUUGUCAUUUAUAUAUUUAUGGUGGUUGCUUGUAGGCCAUUUCUUCAUGGUUCCAUGGAUUCUGGACUAUAACUACAAGUAUCAAAAUUGUGAGCUAUUCUAUUGAGAACUCAUGGCUCAAUGCUCUUGCCUAUUGUGCGUUUGACUAUCUUUACCUGGGACUAUUUUCUUUGGUUUUUGGUAUUUUGUGAUGGAUUCAUGAUCAUCAUCAACAUAGUUUCCGUGUUUGCCUCUUUCAUUAGUUUGAUGGGAAGGAUUAAUAAUUGCUGUUUCCUUUUGAUAACAGUUGUUUUUCUAAAGUUAAGUUUUGCUUACUAGGAGGUCUUUCCAUAUUACAGAAAUGUCCCUAAUUGCCUUCUUGUGCAAUAUGCAGAGUAAUUAUGAUAGAAAAGAAUCACCUUUUCUGGCGAAAGAAUUACUUAGAAUUUAUACAAAGGAGAAAAGUUGGAGGGAGCAACUCUGGAAAAAUGGCAUUGUAAAAUCAUCUCCAAUGCCACUACGGACACAUCCUGAAUGCGUGGGGACUGAGGAGGUACUCAACUCUGGAGAAAAGGGUACUCAAUAUGAUGCUAGUUGAUGAAUUUGUUUUGUUUUUUUUUUGUAGGAUCCUAAGUGCAUUAUAUGUCAGCAAUAUCUUUAUCUUUCUGCAGUUGUAGGUGAUUGUAGGCCAUCUGCUUUUGUUUGUCUUGAGGUAUGUGGAAACUGUGUUCUGGUUUAUUAUCGUGUCAAAUUAGUUGAUUUGUAGUGCAAAUACAAGCCUAGUACAUGUGCCAUACUGCAAUGUCAAAAACAUUUGCCCCUGAAGGGAAAUCUUGAACUCAUGGAACUUGGAUUAUUCCACCUAGCCAGGCACAAUGAGUGAAAGCAUUCAUGACAAGGGCCUCUGUCAUAAUGAAAUACAUCCUUAGAGUCAUAAUGUUAAAAAGCGUAUGAUAAGAUUGAAUUUUCAAGGAAAAAUCUGAUUAUAUCAAUAGUUCUGGUUCUAAUUUUGAUUUGUCACAUUAUUGCUGGUGACAUAUACUUUGCUGUCUUUGAUCUGACAUGGCACCAUAAAUAACAUCUUCUUUGGUUGGGUUCAUAUUCAAAGAAAUGGAUCACCCAAUCGUAUGAAGUGUUUCUUCAUCAUCAUUUUUGGGCUUAAAGCCAGAAUUGGUAAUUUUCAAUCUCAUCAUCAGACCCCUUUUGUGCAGCACUGGCAACACAUCUGUGAAUGCAAACCGAGCAAACAUUGCCUCCUUUACCAUCAUACAUUAGCAGAGUUAAGUGACUUGCUGCUGACUGUCGAUAAUUACAAUGGUGAGGAGCCUCAAAGGAGUAAGGUGCUCCAGCAAAGAUCUUUCUCCAGCGAAACAAGUUCUUCAGCAAAAAAGGUAUUGUCAGAUACAAGACUUGCUUAGUCAAUUAACAAAGAGACUGGAUGACGUAUCAAAUAAAGCAUGUAGAAAACAAAUUGCAGCAAUUAAAACAACUUCAGCCUUGGUGUUCAUUCUAUAAAUUUAUGACUGGAUGAGGUGUCAAUCUUAAGCAAGGUGGAUCAUCUCAUUUUUAUACUUACUAGGUAUUAUAUGAUCUUUGGUUUAUGGAAGAGUUUAGCUGAAGUUGGUUUUAUUGCUUUGGUCUUAGUUGCCAAUGUUUUUUACUGGUUGACUGGCAAACUAUGUACAUGCUAGGAAAUUCUUUUCUACCAAGGUCACUGCAUAAUUUUUUGGUGUUGGAAUAAAUGUCAAUGAAGAACAAAGUGAAAUUUAGUGGUGUUUAGUGAGGUUUGAAAUCUGUGCUAAUCUCCUCUUGUUCUUUAAUAUUGUGUUGGAGUUGAUUGUCCUUGUCAAGAUUGUUAUUUUAGUUUGCCUUUUGUUCUUCAGCAAGAGAGAAUGUUCUUCUGGAUUAUAAGUUCUUGUCGGUAAAAGGUGGCCAUACUACUUUGGCUCAUCUUGCGGAUCAAUGGCUGUUGCAGUCAACCGAUGCUCUUAAAAAUGCUUUCUCAAAGGAUAUUUAUCAAAAACUGUUGAGAGAAGCUGAACAAUUUGGGCUCUACUAAUGCUUUGGAGAGGGCAGAUUUAGAAUAUGUCACUGAAUUGUUGAGUUUUGAUACCAUGCUGUGUAACGAGCCUGGACAUCUUAAAUUGAAGGUUCUGAAGAAGAUUGUGAAGUUGUGGCAUUUGAUAUACCUGCAUUCUGUCUAGUCGAGUGACUUACAGUAAUUUGCUUAAAAUCUGUACAGGAGUAUGCUGAAGAGGCAAAGAAGUUGGCCGGAGAGAUUGAAUCUACUCUUUCGUCAUCUUCAAAGGUAUAUAACGUGAAUUUAUUUGACCUUUUGAUUGAGAUAAGAGUUAAUUUUGUCCACUUCUCUUUACAUAAUUUAUAUUGUCAUUAUUUAUGUACUUUUGUUCCACUUAUUGGAGUUGGAAAACCUUUACGAUAGAAGCUGUCGCUUAGGAAUCCUUGUCAAAGGAAGCGAGAAACUGGCACAGAAAAUUUCUUCGAUGGAGGUAAUUCUCUAUCAGGAUUGAUUUUGUGGGUCAAGAUACAUUAAGCCAUAUCCCUACAGUUACCUAAAUUGUCUCUUUUACGUGGUGAGAAAAAUGUCAUAGGUUUGGUCUCUACUCAUCUAGAAGACCUAUUUGUUUCUUGUUCUACAGUUUAUUGUUACCCUUGCUGGUUUGUCUAGAUUAAAAAGCCAUUUCUCUUAAUCUGGUUUCUGCAUGGUUCUUCGAUUAACAACUGUUAAUUUUGUUCUCUUUUUUCCACCCAAGUGGUUGAAGUUGAAUUGGGUUUUGUCAAUGUUUGUUGCUUGAAGUCGAUAAAUUGAAGGUUCUUGCUAACACCUAAAUCUCUAGUCUCACAUCCAUACAUGUUUUAUGAGUGCAUUGUUUCUGUCGAACUGAGAACAUGACCUCCAUCCCACAGGAGUUAGUUUCAGAAUCCAAGCUACUCAUUGUUAUCAUCAUCACUAGCAUCAUUUGUCACAGCCACACUUGAGUUAUAUGAUGAAAUUUCAGCCACUGUUGCCUUCAAGUUCUUCUUUGUUAUUCUCAUAGUAUUUUCAUCUUGGGCUCCCAAACUCAUCACUUGAAAAGCAUUUUGCAUUAAAUCGGAAAACCGAUUAGAUGUAGAUGGACCAGGUGCUAUUUCAUGAGAUUCAUCAUUCACAUACCCUUGCUUCGCACCUUUAGUCCAUCUUUUCAAUAUAUAGGAAGAUGGAAUAGCUGAAACUGAUAUGUUUCCAUUCAAAAUGUGCAAAGCAUGACGACAUAACCACCCUUUCGAUUCAAAUGAUUUGCAUUCACAGGAGACUUAAAAGUCGGUGGGAUUAAAUCUAACAACAUGUUCGCCUCGAAUCCCAUCACACUUAAGAGUAUAUUCAUAAAUGAACCCAUCGAAAGUGGUACCUGAAAUUCUUUUAGAGACAAUUUGAAGAAAUUCUUCAUUAAACCUUCUAAAAAUAGCACGAGUAUACACCGAAGCAGCAUGCGUCAAUAUCCCGUUAUACGAAACCUGCAAUCUGGGCGUCCCACGAGAACUAUAAUCAUCUUGCCUUUAAAUUUCUCUCAUUUCAACUGUUCUUCAUAAUGUUGAACGAAUCGUAUAAGGGUCGAUGUCGUACUAGAUAAUUGUUGGAAUACAUUGUUAGUACUCUCACUCCUUUGACUUGAUCUUAUACCACAAGAAAAAAUAUCACGACCAAAAGCAGAACUUCAUUGAUGUCUCAAGUCGUAUAACCUUUGAAGCCAACUGUUAUUCUCAGUACUCCACUCCUCUUCCAUUUUUCUCCAAGUAGUUUCAAAUUCAUCAUCUAAUUUGCAUUUAUGCAUAAGUUUUGAGAAAUAUUUAUCCUUAAAUCUUGGCUUCUGGUAAAGAUGUGGAAUAUUUUUAUUGGCAUUUUUUCCAAUGUGCUAAGUGCAUAAGUGGUGUUGAGUAUUCGAAAACACUAUUCGAAUAGCUUUUGCCAUGACAUGGUCUUGAUCAGUGAAAAUAGUUUUUGGAGCCUUAUUUCCCAUAGACUUCAGAAACACCUCAAAUAACCAGAUAAAUGAAUUUACAGUCUCAUCCAACAAAAAGGCACAACCAAAUAAAAUGUUCUUUCAAUGAUGAUUAGCUCCAACAAAAGGUGCACAUAUCAAGUUAUACCUAUUAGUACGAUAUGUGCUAUCAAAAACCAUCACAUCACCAAAACAAUCAUAAUCAAAUUUGGAUAAGUUGUCUCUCCAAAACAAAUUGGUCAAUCUACCAUCUUGAUCUACCUGUUGUGAAUAGAAAAAACAUUGGAUUUUGCAUUUGCAUGCAAUGAAAAUGAUUCAGAAGACUUUGACAAUCUUUCCCAUCUAUAAAAUUUAAUCUUUCACUUUGUAAAAAAUUUUGACAAUCACGUAAGAUGAAACCCAAGUUUUGGCUUCCUCCUGUUUCAUUUGCCAAAAACUUAUAUGCCAUCGUCUCCCCAAUGCCAGCUUUCGCCAUGUCAAUUAAAACAUCCUUGCAAGUGUCAGAAAUCAUUCUUCCACAUCUUAUCAAGUGCCUUUGAUGUUCUGGUAUAAAUUCAUGAUUAUGCUUGGGAACAUAGUCUAUGACUUCAUAAGCGCCAUUCUCAAUUUUAAAUCUAAUAAAUGCAGGACAACCAUAUCUAACAUCAAGUCUUUCAUAUUUUCUUUCUUGAUCGGAUGAGUUGAUAGAAUAUCCUUCACAAUUACACACAAAAGUGCGUCGAGUUAUUUCUCUUUUAUCAUUUUUUCUAAUCUUAUGCUUCCUCACUCCAAAUCCUUUACCUAUAGCAUAUGCCACAUAUUUAUGAUAUGCUUCAAGUUCACUUGCAAAAACCAUUCCUAUCGUAAACUCAAAGUCUUUUUCCAAAUCAUGAAUAACAUGUGCUAGAUCAGUAGUUUCAUGCUGCAAACAAAGAACAAAAAAUGAUUAACGCAAUACUUUUACAAGUAAAAUAACAUCCCAUCCAUUUUUUUUUUUUUUGAAAAAGCAAAUAUCUUUUACAUAGUAUGACUUCAAAAUUACCUCUGAUUCAGUCAUCGAAUAACCUUACACGUCCGGAUUAAUUGACUAACACGAGCAAACCUUUGCCAGUUGGAAUUCUUGCCGAAUUGAAGAGAGAUUGAACUUUGAAAUUCAGUGUUGAGAUAGCCAAACUCAUGCAAUUACCCACCAAUAAUUUGAAAAAAAAAAAAAAAACUCCACAAAAAUAGUAGAAACGGCAAAAAGAUAAGCAGAAAAAGUCUAAAAUUUAGGAAGUUUUUUGAGAUAUUCAUGAUCCAUCAUAACAUGUUAAACAUGGUAAACAAAGUUUUGAGAAGGUCAUUCCAAAUGAAGAUAUUAUAACAAAAGAAAAACAAAGAAUUUAAUUGUAGACCUAUAAAUACAUGUCAACCCAACAAGAUUCUACUAAUUUAAAAUUUGGAUAGAUUAGAAAACCUCCCCCUAUUAAGAGCAACUGAAAAUUUCAUACCUAAAUUUUUUUUCUUAUGGUCCACUUGUUUAAUCUAGGAGGAAAUGAUUAUGUGGUGUAAAUGUAAUCACAAACAAUAGAAUGUUUUUUACUUUGCUAUAGACAUUUCCAAUUUUCUAAGAUUAAACGAAAAUUUCACAAUACAUUCUAAGUAAUCAAUUUGUGCUAAAAAGGCACACAACAAGCUUAGUUUGGACUUCAUUGAUACCUAACAAUUCACAAGAUGCACUAAAUGAUACAACAUGGAACCAACAUCAUUUAAGAAAAAAAAAACAGCAAAUGAAGCAAACUAGUUUGGGAGUGAUUAUGGCACAAAAAAAAUAAAGAAAAAUGAAAGCACCAACCUGAAUGUCAAUCACAAUGAGCUUAAAAUGGAAUUGCUCAACCUCCACAAUAUUCCAACAACUAAUUACAAGCCCAUCUUAAUCUGCAUUGCAAACCAAACAAUAUUAAAAUCCAUAGACACUCAAAAUAUGAAACUCUAAUGAAACAAUACUAUAAAAGCAUUUGAAUAAAGGGAAUAAGAUAAAAUAUAAAAAAACAAACAUUAAUGUUCAAACAUAUUGUUCUCUUAGCUAACAUAUAGUCAAGUUGUUCAACAACAUCAAGAUCUGUCAAAGCUGAAAAUCAUUCACAACGGCGGCCGCAAUGUUGUCACUACUCACUUUGAGUUCUUUAACAUCUUAUAGCAGCAUGGAAAUGUAUCAUGUGAUCAUUUUCAUUUUUGUCCAAGAAAUGAGCGACAAUAAGCAGUUCGGAGAAUAUGAUCUGUUUCUUUCUUUUCCAUUGAUAACUUUUUUUGGUUGUAUUUUACUUAGCUGAAAAACACCAUAGGCAUUCUAAGAAAAGUCCAAUCUUUCUUUAUUCAAUAGUAAAUGGUUGUUUAUAUAAGAAUGUUAAGAUACAAUUGUAAGCCCAAGCUUUUUUUUUUUUUUUUUUACAAUUCUUCUUAAUAUCAAACUUUUUUUUUAUCUAUUUUUCUGUUUGCACCACCCAAGAUGUGAAAGUGUCAUGACACAUUAGUGAUGUACAAGGUUUUGCCCUAGCUAUCUAACAUGUCUUGGCUCUUGAGGUGCAGAUGUAAUCAAGCUAAAAAUGCAUCGCAAUACAUGAUAGAAAAUGUUACAAGUUUUUUUUUUUUUUAAUGAACCACACGCACAAUUGUGUAAACUUAACUACCUGCCUUGCAGCUCGGAGGUGACUGGUGGGCUUUCGGGUGUCUGCACUUGUUGAACAAUGCAAGGUGAAGACGAUUACAACUUGGGACCUAGCCAAGACCUGCAGGGCUCUUGGGAGAAAGUGGCAAUGGUGGAGAUGGCCGAGCUCGGACGCGCCCAGUGAGCUUUUGGGUGUUGGCGAUCACCGAGGAGGCACAGGUGGAGAAGGUUAGAGCUUGGGAUGCAGUUACGAAAGACGGGGCUCUUCGGAGCGAGUACCUCUUGGUGGUGACAGCGGAGGCAAGCACUAGGAUUGCAUGGAAUUCCUAAUUCUCAAAAGAGUUAUAUAGAAACCAUCCCCAACCAUCUCACUGAAAUCUUUAGUGCUUUUGGAGAGUGACUCCUGUUACGAAAAAGUCCAUCAGAUCCAAUGAAGCAUUUUGUGGUACUUCAUAUGUUGAUGCACACGAAAGCAUAGUAAAAGGAUGAUUUUCGAAAGUAGUCCUACGCGUGCUUUCGCUUCUGCUUUUCCUACAUAUGCACAGAUUAAUCUUAUACCCCAACAAGUUUUAUAUGCAGAAGUCACAAAAGUUACUGAGGAAAGUUGUGUCUCAGCUUCACUCAAGAAGAACCCAACCUUUUUCUAGUACCAAAAAGAAAAACCCGUCAUUUUUUUCGAAGGAUUCAACAACUUACAGUCAGGGAGGUUCGGGCCGAGCGGACAGCGGAAGGCUGCCAUUUUCCAUGUAAUCGAGCUUGGAGGCAAGCAGCGGGCUUUUGAGUGUCCACGCUCGCCGAAGAGGCCAAGGCGGAGAUGGUCGGACCCAACCACGAUCGGCGGGGUUCUUGGGAGCGAGUGGCUCUUGACAGCAACGACAGAGGCGGCCAAGCUUGAAGGCGAUCGACUGGAUUUUGAGCGUACACAAUCGUCGAAGAGGCUGAGGCAGAAAUGGUGUGGCACCCCUCGACGGCCCCCGAUCUGAUUAGGGUCGCCACAGUUCGCUUACCAUUCACUUUUCCUAAUAACAUGUCACUCUGAUACCAUUUCAAUUGCAGCGGGUUCAUACAACCAUGGGGGUUUACAGUUUUCUUUUUUCUUUUUUUCGAUAGGUCCCUUGCGCAAUUCAUAUACGGAAGCACAUCUAACAAACUCCCUUCCCUAUAUUCAUAAAACGAUACACACCUACUAAACAUCUUAUAUAAGUUAAAACCGAACACGUUUAUUUACAUAAAGCAGAUGGACAUCUUUAGUCAGUACAUCGAAAUGCCAAUGUUUCUACACUCGGCUAUACUUCAAAAGAUGACCGACAUCUUCUCCCACAAUCGUAUGCUUAAGGUCCAUCAACCAGUGUCGGCGUCCAAAGGUUCCCUCCUUUGCUAUCCUUCUCCUCGCGGUCAUAUCCAACCGCUCAAACCAUCUACUAAUCUGAAAUGUUGGUCCCCAAAAGGGGUGAGUACAACCACUCAGCAAGUAAAUGACCAAUAAACCACUCAAUGCAUCAUACAAAUCAUACAUGCAUUUCAGGUAUCACUUACCUUGAAGCCAUGCGUAUAUCAUCCUGCAUUAUCACCGCAAUCAUAACACAUACAUGUGUAUCAUCAUGUCAUACUCAUAUACGGAAGCACAUCUAACAAACUCCCUUCCCUAUAUUCAGAAAACGAUGUACACCUACUAAACAUCUUAUAUAAGUUAAAACCGAACACGUUUAUUUACAUAAAGCAGAUGGACAUCUUUAGUCAGUACAUUGAAAUGCCAAUGUUUCUACACUCGGCUAUACUUCAAAAGAUGACCGACAUCUCCUCCCACAAUCGUAUGCUUAAGGUCCAUCAACCAAUGUCGGCGUCCAAAGGUUCCCUCCUUUGCUAUCCUUCUCCUCGCGGUCAUAUCCAACCGCUCAAACCAUCUACUAAUCUGAAAUGUUGGUCCUCAAAAGGGGUGAGUACAACCACUCAGCAGGUAAAGGACCAAUAAACCACUCAAUGCAUCAUACAAAUCAUACAUGCAUUUCAGGUAUCACUUACUUUGAAGCCAUGCGUAUAUCAUCAUGCAUUAUCACCGCAAUCAUAACACAUACAUGUGUAUCAUCAUGUUAUACUCAUAUAGUCGUCAUCAUGACAUUAUUAUAUUACACACAUGUCAUCAUCAUCAUAUACGUGAUAUCAUCAUACCAUACAUGCCAUCAUCAUCAUAUCAUACACAUGUCAUCAUCAUCAUCAUGACAUCAUCACAUCACACAUGUCAUUAUGCCAUAUCAUAUAUCAUCAUCAUCAUCAUCGUGGCCUCAUCACAUCACGCAUGUCAUCAUUAUCAUGGGUGAUCAUCAUUAUUUCACAUCACAUAUUAUCAUCAUCAUCAUGCAUAUCAUCAUGCAUAUCAUAUCAUGGGUGAUCAUCAUUAUUUCACAUCACAUAUCAUCAUCAUCAUCGUCAUGCAUAUCAUCAUGCAUAUCAUCAUUAUCAUGGGCGAUCAUCAUUAUUUCACAUCACAUAUCAUCAUCAUCAUCAUCAUGCAUAUCAUCAUGCAUAUCAUAUCAUGGUUUAAUUUCCACUUUUAGCUUUCAAUUUGAUCACCACAUCACCCAUUCCUCAAAUCAUCAAUUUCAUCAUCCCCUCGGGCAAAGACCUCCGAGGCUUCCGGCAUUCAGCCAUCCCAGGCCACCGGGCAUCCGGCCCCCCACAUUCCGGGCAUCUCGCAUCCCAACUGGCAUCACGAGGCAUUCCCUUCGGGCAAAGACCUCCGACAGGGCUUCCGGCAUUUACACUCCCUGGCCGGGCAUCCCACACCCCAAUCCUGGCUUCGCGAGGCAUUCCCUUCGGGCAAAAACCUCCGACAGGGCUUCCGGAAUUAUGUACCGACAUACCACCAGGCCUCCCCUGGAAUUACGUACCAUAUACCACCGGGCAUCCCGACACUCCCGGGGAAUCUCCGGAAUUACACCAUUAGGCCACCGGGCAUCAUCAUCCACCACAACAAUCUCCUCAUUUAACAUUAUCCAUGUUUACCGAUUUCAAACUUAAUUUAGCAUGGCAUAUGGCGUGACAUCCAACAAGUCAUACUUGGCAUGGAAUUCACACAUGCAUCUCAAAUUCAAUGUCAUGCAUACAUCAAGACCUCACCAUACGUGCAACAUGGUAUAAUUAUUUAUUUAAAUAAAAUAAAUGGAAUUUAUGGCCAAUAAAAUAAUCCAUUUUUCACGCCCUUUUUCAUUUAUUUAAAUUCCAGCUUUUUGUUAUUUUCAAAAUAUUAAAUUUAAUAUCUAUAAAUUCCCAAAAACUAAGGCAAGUCAUAAACUAGCCAAUAGGAUAAUAAUUUCAUGCAAAAUGUAUGGCCAAAUAGAAUUUCACACAAAUUCGCAAUUCUCACAAAAUGGCAUGUCAUUUUCGGUAAAAUCAGAAUGCACAGUUUCUGAAGAAAUUCGAUUAAAAUAUCCAUAUGACCUCCAAAAAUUACGAAAUUUUACUGAGUUAUAGCCAAGACAUUUUCGUACAUCUUUCUUGAAGACUUCCAAGCCAGAUUCUUUUUAGAUUAUUUUAUACAGUCUCACGAAGCUUCUGGAUCCCUUACCGCAUCGUCCAGUGUAUGCUUCUCCGAAAUACUGAGAUUUCACCUACCUAUUCUCUUUCGCUUCCUCUGAAAUUUGGAUACGUUAUACAAAAUAUGUCCUCUAAAAGUUUCAUGAAGAGAUCCAAGUCAAAUAACCAUAGUAUAGUCGUCAUUUAGGUCCAUGAAGUCUCGGGUGUCCCAAAAUACAUCUCCAGAAUCACCGUCUUCAAGAUCUAGUCGAUUUAUUAGGCUAUACUUGUUCAUUUCACUUCAAAUUUGAGUAUGUUAUAUUUUAAGAUGUCCCCUACAACUUUCAUGAAGAAAUCGAAGAAAUAUUCUUAGCACAAAUCAACAUGCAACCACAAAUUCAUCAAGAUGUCAGUGAAAUCGUUCCAGAUCUGAGGUCUCCGUAUAAUGAGAGUUUAACCCCUUAAAUCUCCAUAAUUUUCCACCAAAUUUUAGUAUGUUUUAGUUAAAGAUGUUAGCUACAACUUUCAUGAAGAGAUCAAAGUCAAAAUCAAAUUCAAAACAUGCAUGCAAGCUCUCACAAGAUUCUGGGUCGAGCAGUUCACACGAAAACAGCAAACAUUCUCAAGAACAAACCUCAUGUACUUCGAUUUCUAACCUCUAAACAUCCAAAAUUCAACCACACAUGCAAGGCACACAUGCAAGGGGUGGAAAUCAGUCCCAACUUUCCUCUAAGACCGAGCAAAUACGAGCACACGGACGGCACACCGGCGACGGACGAACGGACCUCCUCCCCCGCGCGGCUUCUCCCUUUCUCUCUCGGUUCCUCACUCUCUCUCGGCAACUCUCUCCCUUUGGCCGAAUCCUCCCCCAGCCACUCUCUCUCUCUCCUUCUCUCUCUCUCUUUUGGAUGCUUAUAUAUUUGCAUGCACCCCCUCUUUGCAUGGGGGACACUUGUCCCUAAGAAGGAGACAAGUGUCUCCCUUGCCGAAGACACUUGGAAGCCAUGCGGCUACCCCUCCAUGCGACAAUGGGCCGGGCUUAUGGCCCACUUUAGGCCCAUCUCACUUGGGCCUAAAGCCCAAACUUAAAUGGUCCAAGUUUAUUUUAUUCUAUUUUAUUUAUAAUAUAUCUUAAUCAUCAUUUAAAUAAUAUCUAAUUGCAUAAAUAAUAAGGCCAUUAAACUUAUAGUCACAAAUCCAUAAAUUCCAAUUUAUGAUGCACAUGGCCAAUGAUAGAAUUUUCUUUCCUAUCACAUAAUUAUCCCUUAAAAGCUUGGCCAUAUAUCUUAUUGCAAAUUAUGGAUUAAAUGGCCAUAACUUGAUGGUACUUCCAUCACCUAUUCAUAGAAUUUAAUGUAGCUAGAGGUCAUUAUGAAUUUUGGGAUGCCACAAAUGGUCAAAGCUUGGGACACAACCACGGUCGGCAAGGCUCUUCGGAGCGAGUGGCUUCUGGCAACGACGGCGGAGGCAGCCGAGCUCGGAGGUGACCAACGAGCUUUUGCGUGUCCGCGCUCACCUUAGAGGGCGAGGCGAAGAUGGUUAGAGUUUGGGACCCAGCCACGACUGGAAGGGUUCUUCGGAGCGGGUGGCUCCCGACGGCAACGGUUAAGGCGGCCAAGCUUGGAGGCGACUGGCAAAGGUGACCGAGCUCGGAGGUGACUAGUUGGCUUUUGGUGUACGCGAUCGUCAAAGAGGCCGAGGCAAAAAUGGUCAGAGCUCGGGAUACAACCACGACUGGCGAGGUUCUUCGGAGUGAGUGUCUCCUGGCGGCGAUGGCGGAGGCGGCCGAGUUCGGAGGCAACCGGUGGGCUUGGGUGUCCGUGCUCGCCGAAGAGGCCGAGGCAGAGAUGGCCAGAGUUCGGGACCCAGUCACGAUUGGCGGGGUUCUUGGGAGUGAGUGGCUCUUGACGGCGACGGUAGAGACCUUGGAGGCAACCGGCGAGCGUUUGGUUGAGAGAGAUGGCGUUGCAGCUUUCGUGGAGAAAAAUGCAGAGACAAAUUUUUGAAAGAGAACGGGAGGGGAAGGGACGCACGCUUGCGUGCAAAUGUGAGAAAACGACGCGAGAAAAUAUUGGGUGGGUUUAACCUUCCACGUAGGCGAAAUGUAUCACCAUACAGAAUUUGACACGUGGCAAUUUUGGGCCCACCUGUCAGCGCCCACUCUCCCCCAUUAACUCCGUCUCUCUCCCGUUUACCCUCUCUCCUCCCCUCCGUUUCUGCCCACAAUUGUUUCUCCCCCUCUUCUCUCUCCACUUCUCUUUUCUUUUUUCUUGCAUCUGCCAUGGGUCGAGCUCGAGUCGGCUCAUGGCCGCUUCAGGUUAAGGAGGGACGGCGCGCUGCUGGAUGGAGACUGCGUUGAGCUUCGGUUGCGGUGAGAUAACUUGAGGCCGAGCUCGAAACUCGAGCGCUAACCAAAGCUCCGAGUUUGAGGUCGAGCAAGUGUUGUCCAUGGCUAGCCACAGUGGCCGCCACUGUCUUGACGAUCGUCUUGCUUGAGGAAGAUGACGAGUCUGGCGGCAGCGCUUGGAGCGAGUCUAUUACAGAAGGAGGAGGAGAGCCGGGGGGCGGCGGACGACGUGAAGGAUGCCUGGGAGAGGAGGGCGCGGACGCGGGCUGCUUCAGGGUGGGGAUGCGCUCCACGCCGGAGCGGUGGUUGGCGACGCACCAGGACUGGAUGAGGCGGCGGAGGGUGUGGUUGGGGAUGAGGGCAGAGUCGAGGAGCGGGGCACGAGUGACGGGGCAAGUAGUGUUGCCGGCGGCAAUCCAGGGCUCGAUGCUGGACCGGUCGUAGGUCUACCCCGUCGACACCGUCACCGGGUCCUGCAUCAGCUCCAGCAAGAUGGGGCACCGAAAGUGGUGCGGGAUCUAGAUGCCCACCAUGUCCAACGGCUCAAGCUCAGCCCCCACACAUUUUUCUCUCUCUAGGAACGGCACAAAAAAGCUCCCUUUUGUUCGUUACUGCGCUCCCUCUCUCUCUCUCUCUCUCUCUCUCUCUCUCUCUCUCUCUCUCUCUCUCUCUCUCUCUCUCUCUCUCUCUCUCUCUCUAGAAUGUGGGCACUGGAUGAAGUGAAGGAUCGACCCUUGCAGAGCGCGCAGAUGGGCACUGGCGAAAUUCCUUCUCCGUUCGUGAGAGGACGCUGGUUUCUUCCUUAUACAAAAUCGGGAGCAGAAGAGAGAGAAAGAGGGAAGAGAGAGAAAGAGGGAGGGAAAGGACAAUCGACAUCCUUUCUCCGAACAAACAGCUAGUUUUCGUGGGCAGAAACGGAGGGUAGGACAGAGAGGGUAAACGGGAGAGAGACGGAGUUAAUGGGGGAGAGUGGGCGCUGACAGGUGGGCCCAAAAUUGCCACGUGUCGAAUUCUGUAUGGUGAUACAUUUCGCCUACGUGGAAGGUUAAACCCACCUCGGAGAAGGCAAAUAUUCGGCUAAAAACAAAAGCAGGACUCGGCUCCAGGUGGAGCCACGUGGCGCAUCCUUAUUGGCUGGCGCACGGUGACGUGGAGCGCCGGGCGCACCCAAUAUUUUCUCGGCCCGCUGAGAGACAUACAGACGAGUGAAAAAAAAAAAAAGAUUAAGAGAGAUAGAGUCUGUCAGAGAAAAACAAAAAAUGAAGUCAGAGAGAGGAGUUGAACAGAAAAAGAAAAAGGUACACUGAAAAUAGAGAGAGAGAGAGAGAGAGGGAGAGUGGACAUGAGAGGUGAGAGAAAAGAAAAGCAAAAAAAAAAAGAGGAGAAAGAAUAGUUACUGUUCUUCUUCUUCGCGAGGCUUCUGCCACCGUCCCUGCUGUUGCCGGCGCCCUUGCUCCCGCACCGACCUGCCACGACCCGACGCUGCUCCUGCUCCGCCCGAGCGCCACCCAGCUGAAGCCCAGCAUGUUGGACGCAAAUUGCGCAACCCCAAGAUCUCCAUAACCAGAACAAGAACAUGCAUAAUUGAGUAGAAAGAUUAACGCACCUGUUUUGGGAUCCAUCGAACAUAAAGCGGAAGCAUAAAAAGGAUUACCCACAUAUAUCAAGGGGAUCCACGCAUCAAGUCCUUCUCCUCUAUUACCUUCCGUAUCACUAGCUCAAUGAGGCGGCCCCCCUCACGUUUAGCGUUAGGUAAACGCCCCUUAGGUGAGGAUACAUGUGAGAAUUAGGGUUAGAGGAGAUACUUGAGCACUAUUUAUAGAGUUUCCAACCAAUCCCCCUCAUUACGAGUCAGGCUCAACUCGGCCCACACUAGCUAGCCCAUAUUAGACUAAUUAAGAAACCUUCUAUCUCUCUUUAGACCAACCUUGUUUUACGGUAACCGUAAAAACAGUAAAUUACAAUAGCAAUUAAUUUAGUCCACAUUAGAAAAACUCUUACAUUCUCCCACUUGGACUAUAUUAAUUGAAAUCGUACCGUAUGUGCGCACAUUUGGUCUAGAGAUAAUUCUUAAUAGUCAAUCCUAUCCCAUAAAGUCUUAAACACCGAAUCAUGGCGGUAACUGCAUGUAUACACACAGAGCCUUCCAUGGUCACAAAUGUUCUCAACUUUAUUGAUAUGGAUUCAAUAUGGUAGUGUGUCAAAUGGAUAACAUUUCUCAUAGAGAGAUCCCAUUUGUCAGUCACCAUCCUCUUACCUUAGGUCUCACAAAAACUUGUGCCACUAGAGAAUGCUUUAUGGUUCCAAUGAACCCACAUAUGUCUUGUCCUUAUGGUUAACCUUUCUUUAUGUAUCACAAGACAUAUGCACAAGGCUAAUAACCGGAUGCCCGGAUGCCCCUAGCCUUCACUCAAGGUUUAUACAAUCCCUUGAGACUUUAUCAAUAUGUAUUCAACAUAAUAACAAUACAUUCAAAAAUAUUUUAUUGAAUGCAAAAGUUGAUACAUAUCAAACCGUUACAAAGUGUAAUGAACACAGAUGAAAUAUUUAUCAGAGUAAAGCCAAAAUAGCUCCCACUAAACAACAGUAUCCGAAGAUACUCCUAAGCCCAUGCUAAUGACAUGUCACUCAAAUACACAUGGGCGUAGGCCUUUAGUUAGUGGAUAUGUAAUCACAUCAUCUGUGAAAAUAUAUUAUAUUAUAAGUCCCUUUCUGUACCGUUUCUUUAUGGUAAAAAAUAUUUGACCACCAUAUAUUUAGACCCCCUGAGACCUCUGUAGUAAAUAAAUAAUACUACAAAUUUGUUAUCUCAAUACAACCGUAUGGGUCUAUCCAUAAAGUUAAAACAAUCAACUCCUUUCAUGAGGUUCUGGAGCCUAAAAGCCCAAGUAACAGCCUAAAAGAAUGUUACUAACACUGCUUACCUAGUAGAAGAUGACAUAAAACUUUAUUUACUGCACUUACUGCUAACAUAAAUAUGUAUUCUGUUAUUGAUUGCAUGUCAUCAGAACAGCCAGCAAAGUUUACAUCUAAAUACCCUACUAACUGCAAGAAUUGAACAUGUCUAUAAAUUAGCAUAUAAUCUCUUGUCUUCUUUAAGUACCUUAAAACCUUCUUGGCAGCAACCCAGUGAUCGUGUCUUGGAUUUGAUCGAUAUCUGCCUAGAAGUCCCGUCGCAAAGACAACAUUUAGUCUAGUGCAAAUUCGAGCAUACAUUAUACUUUUAAGUGCACUGACACAAGGUAUACCAUUUAAUUAGAUUUUCUCAAUAUCUAAAUAAGGACAAUGUGAUAGAUUUAGUCCAUCACCCUUAACAACAGGAGCGAUUCUUAGCUUGCAAUGAUGUAUAUUGAAUAUUUCCAAUAUACAAUCAGCAAAUGUCCUCCGAGAAAAUUUAAUAUAAUAUGGCAAAAACAAUCCUUACAGACCUCAGUACAAAUGAUAUAAGAUGUCUCAAGGUCACAACUUGUAAGCAAAACAUCAUGUACAUAAAGUAUGAGAAAAAAUAAAUUUCCUCCCACUGACCUUGCAGUAUAUUGAAUUACUUUGUUCUCAAUUGAACAAAAUAAUAACACUAUGAAACUUUAAUAAUAUUGUUUAGAAACUUGCUUAAGACCAUGAAUUAGAACUUUUCAGUCUACAUACAAGUUUACUAAAAUCUGCUGCAAAAUCAUCCAGUUGCACUAUAUAUAUUUUGUAUCUAUUUGGCGUAACUCCAUAUCAAAAUAAAUUAUUAAUGCCACAUUCACUCUGAAAGAAUAUUUAAAAAUACUAAAAGAAAUAUUUAUUUCUUCACUAUAAACAAUCCACCCCUCUUUCAGAGUGAAAACUUUAGUUACAAAUUUGGCUUUAAAUUCCACAAUCUUUCUUUGAAAUUCUUUUAAUUUUGUACGCCAAUUUGCAACUAAUGAACUUGUAAUCUUUAGGCAAGUAAGUUAGUUUCCAAACACUAUGAUGUUUCAUAGAUUGUAUAUCGCUUUUUAUGGCAUCUCAUCACAUACUUGAUUUAGAAUAAGAAACGACAUUUAUAAAUAUGUCAUUACAUCAACCAUAUAGUGGAUAUUGUAAUCAUGCUUUCACAAAUAGACUAUAUAGUCUGAUGGUAUACUUGAUCGUCUUUCCUUAACAAAUCUCCUUAAUAAAGCUGCAACCACUUCAUUCUGCACUUGAGAGAUUUAAUAAAUUUCAUUAUAAACUAUAUCAAUAAUAGUAUCUUGAACCUCAACAAGUUUAGUCUAUGGUACAGGAGAUUCCAUAAUUAUCUGUAUAGGUAAAGACAAAAACAUAAUAACCUCCAUCAUACUAUUAUCUUUAAUAAUCUGAGAGCAGCUAUCCUCUACAAUUACGUCAAUAUUUAGAAACUUUAGAGUAUGUGAUUUCAUAAUUCUUGUACCUUCUUUAGGGUCAUAAAAUCAAUACCCUUUUGAACAAUCUAGGUAAGAUACCAAAUAAUUUCGAGUGAAUCUUUUGUCAAGAUUUUCAGGCAUAGUAAUUAAGUUACCACCUCAGAAUCUACCAAGUAUUUGACAAAUGACCCUUUAAGUUAUUUCGCAUUGUCAUACUUGCCAAAAUACUCAUAGCCACUAUUAAACCUGACAACCUUUUAAUCAUAUACAAUAUGUAUAUGUCAUUAAGACUUAAACACAAUCUUUGCAAAUGUGUCCUAAUUUCAAUAUCAGACAAGAUAUAAUUUCAAGCAACUAAGGCUUCCAUCAUCUUAUAGCAGUGCAAUCUGCAAGCAAACCUCUUUUCAAGUGUUCUCAUGGACAGUAAACAAAUUCUAUUGCUCUUUUCUCAAGCAGCAAAUCAUAUGUCCAUAACUUAAAAUUUGAAGCCUCUUUUCAAGUGUUCUCAUGGACAGUAAACAAAUUCUAUUGUUGUUUUCUCAAGCAGUAAAUCAUAUGUCCAUAACUUAAAAUUUGAAGCAGUAAAAACUUCAAUAAUAAUGAAGUUAUUAAUUACAUAAAAGGUGACUGAAAAUCAAGCAAUGUAUAUAAUUAGCAUCAUGUGAGCACUACGUAACUUGACAUACAAGUACACAUCCAGAGAGUUACAUGCAUAAUCAUAUAAUCACAUUUGGGCAGAAUACAUGACAUGCAGUUGUACACUCCCCACAUGAUAGAGAUUAUGAGAAUAUGUUCCAAUUCUUUGUGAAUUCAUCACCUUUGGGCAUAUGAAUCACUAGAAUCAGUCACUCCUUCACCACACUAUCAUGUAUCCCUCCAUGAACUAAUACACAAUCACCUCCUUUGGGAGUAUGAUUACGCAUUAGACUAGGAGACAUCCCAAUCAUCAUACGAGACCGAAAUUUCUCAAACCCAAUCAAGCGUGCCACUUUGGCGGUCACUACUCAAUUGAAUCAUUGAAAUUCUCUCAUACCAGGGAUAUAAACUUUACUCCUCACAUACACCAUAUAUAUGUGUGUGUGUGUGUGUGUGUGUGUGUGUGUGUGUGUGUGUGUGUGUGUGUGUGUGUGAUUUUAACUUUAGUGAUAGGGGCAUCAUAUCACCAAAAUCACAUAUCAUGCUAAUUACAUUGCUUUAUAAAAAAUUAAUCAUAUAUAUAGCGAACCUGAAAGACAGAUUCCAAUGAGAUCAUUGAUCAUAGUAACACAAGAAACUUCUCAUAACAGAGAAUAAAAUAUCUCUUAUGCACCCCAAUUACAUAUUACCAGAAUAACAUAAAAAGAAUGCUGAUCUAUAAUAUCUCUCACAAAUUAACAUCAAUAGUAAUACAGGGUACACCAAAUCGACAAGCUUGACAGCUGAUCCAUUAUCACUCAUGAGUUCAUAAGGCAAAAAUGACUCCAAGGCCAACAACUGAUUAAUCAAUUUUAGGUAACAAAUAUCAUUACUUCAACCAAUGGCCUAUUAAUUGAGUCAAACCAGAGAACCAAAUAUCUAAAAUUUAACAGUAGAUACUAUUGCUCUGCAUAAAUAUUGUCAUACUCCUUAACCAUAAAAAAUAUUCAACUUGAUAGACAUUAACAAGUGACCAGAUGAGUUCAUGUACAAUAUGCAGUAACUUAAUUGACAUGCAUUACACACAUUCAGCAGAUGUGUUAAUCAGUACAUCAGUUUGGUCACGAGUCUUAAGUCGUCUAUCAUUCAAAGAUUACCAGUGUGUAAAGGAGUAUACUUGAGUAACAAAAGUUUCAUAAUCUUUAUUGUUUCUCAUCAGCUCAAUACAUAGCUCAAAUACAAUCUUAUACGAAUUGUAUCUCAUUAAGCCAGCUUCAAUUCACAAUAAAGUUUGAUUUUUAUUGAUGAAUCACACCUUUUUAUUAUGUGAUAACAUUCUAGUAACCCAUCACCUGUAUUUCCAAAAUCACAGAAAAUACAAGAAAAAUACGCAAAAAUACACUAAAAAUACACGUAUUUAGGAUUCCAUAUGAAAUUUCACAUCAAUAAAAUCACCAAACAUAUAAAAUAAAUAUACCACAAGAUAGGAAAUCACCAUACAAGUCCAACGCCGCCAACCACGCGCCAAAAUAAGCCCCCACGCGCCCGCACGCGCCGCCUGAGUGGGCCUCACACACGGCGCGCGUUCGACGCCCAGGCGGCACGUGGCCGCGCAUGGGGGCGCGUGCGACAUCCCCCGGCGACGCGCUGCCGACCCUCUUGCUUGUCUCGUCUCCCCCAAUCCAAAUUUGUGAUUUAAUUUAAUUUUUAUUGAACAAAAAGCCUCGAAAAUCACAAAUUAGAGCAAGAUCAGUACCAAUUAGGGCUAAUCCAUACAAAUUAGGGUAGAUCUGUACAAAUUAUGGUAAAUUCGUACAAAUUAGGGCAAAACCAAUUGCGUUCGAGUUCUAGGGUUAUGGUUGCUCUGAUACCACAUGUUGGACGCAAAUUGCGCAACCCCAAGAUCUCCAUAACUAGAACACGAACAUGCAUAAUUGAGUAGAAAGAUUAACGCACCUGUUUUGGGAUCCAUAGAACAUAAUGCGGAAGCAUAAAAAGGAUUACCCACAUAUAUCAAGGGGAUCCACGCAUCAAGUCCUUCUCCUUUAUUGCCCUCCGUAUCACUGGCUCAAUGAGGCGGCCCCCCUCACAUUUAGCGUUAGGUAAACGCCCCUUAGGUGAGGAUACAUGUGAGAAUUAGGGUUAGAGGAGAGACUUGAGCACUAUUUAUAGAGUUUUCAGCCAGUCCCCCUCAUUACGAGCCAGGCUCAACUCGGCCCACACUAGGCAGCCCAUAUUAGACUAAUUAAGAAACCUUCUAUCUCUCUUUAGACCAACCUUGUUUUACAGUAACCGUAAAAACAAUAAAUUACAAUAUCAAUUAAUUUAGUCCACAUUAGAAAACUCUUACACAGCAGCCCGCGCCUGCACUGCUCUUCGCCCGAACACCAGCAGCACCGUCUCGGACACCUGCAACCAGCAGCCGCCUCUACUCGUCUCCACCACCGCAGCAACCGUUGCAGUAGCCCGCCUGAACGCCGUCGCUGCUGCUGCCCGUGCCGCUGCCUCUUAGUCAGCCAAGCACCACCAGCCACAACGCCCCCUCUGUCCUAAGCUCGCUGACUGGACACCAGCCUACUCGCUGCUCCGCCAAGUCCACCAGCUCUCCCUCAUGAGUUGCUGCGCCUGAGUUGCCUCUACAAAGCCCACGACGAGAUUGACCAGGAGCUGCUGUUGCGUUCCUACCGCCCCUAUUCUCACUCUGUGUCCGAACCGAGUCGGUUCCACAAGCUUUAUUGCAGGAUCUUUGGUCACGAGCCCUCAGCCAAGCCGACACCCGCGCCAUCGCUGCUGCCAUCGCCGCGCCACCAUUGCUGCCGUCGCCCAGAUCUGAGCCGACCCCGACGCCUGCAACCCGCGCCUCCGCACCUCUGACGGCCAGUCGCCGUGCCUCCGCCUGCUGCCCUCCGUGCUGACCACCGCUGCUCCCGCUCCGCCAUGCAGCAGCCCUCGUCGGACACCACACCUCCGCCGGUCCGCCCUCCCCGGAGCUCCGCCACCGCGCCUCUGCUCGCCCGUCACAGCUCCUGCCACCGCUGCUGCCCGUGUCCCACACCGGCAACGCCGCCCGCCUGCACUGCCCUGACGACGAAUUUCAGCCCCACGAGCCAUCUUCAGAGCCCUCGUGAUCCUAUUGCAACCGUAACGUUCCUCCGAGUCGAGCUGUCGUUCCCCAACGUGAGCCACAUCCAUACGGCCUGUUAAGCCAUACGCGGAAUCCCCAGCAAUAAUAGCGAGCUGCUAUCCAAGCUCGAGCCUGAUCAUUCUAAACUGAGAAGUUGCAGUACCGGCGAAUCACCGUUCUUCUGAAGUCCACCGACUAAGAGGAGGGGGGCACAUAAAGAGCAAAUAAAAAAAAAAGGAACAAAAAGACCACUUUCUUUUUCUUUGCAAGACAUUUACGUUGACUGGUGAAGUCUGGCAGCUAGGCUUUCAACGAGGACUUUCCUUCCUCGUGAAUUUUGUGUUGCAGGUCAUCCCUUGUCUUUUGGAGAAAGAUGUUUCCAGCUCGAACCAAACACUGCAGCUUAUCCCAAGCCACCCGUAGAGCCUCUGGCGAGCAACUGAAUCACAGGUCCCCAAGCUUCGGGACCAUGUAAUCGUUGCCGUUCGUGAGUCCCUUGUUGCUGGUCCCGUUUUGGAAACAAAUCAUCUAAACUAGGACUGUUGAUGUGAGUUCUGAUCUAAUAUUGCAGACGCUUUCGUUGUUAUGAGAUAAGUCCUGCAAUUUAUGUAGUGCUUUAUUUGAGUGUCAAAUUGGUGGUUUGCGCACCCGCAUAAUCACCUCACAUGUUAGGGAAGUAAAUUAAAAUUAAUUUAAGUUGCUUGUAAAAUAUUUUUUUGAAAUAAAAGAGAAAAUGUACCAAAAUGGCGUUAGAGAAAUCUAGUAUAAUCAAGUCCCCGAACUCAUUUAAUCUUUGGUUCGUAGGAGUGAAGUAAUUCUCCCAUUACUUUAUUUGGGUUUCUAAUCGACCUACCAAAAAUAGAUUAGUGGCGACUCCAUGAUAAAAAUCAUUUGCAUAUUAAAAAUUUAGACCCUAAGUUGCAAAUUGGUAUGGGCUUGGGAGAGCUCGAGCUAAGUCUAGGCUUAGAAAUCCAUUAGCCGAACCCUUAAGUGGUCCAACCCGCUUCAGGGAGGUCGCGACAAGACUCUUGGAAUACCUUGUCUAUUGCAAGUGAGGGGAGCCAGAAAGAGAGAGAGAGAGAGAGAGAGAGAGAGAGAGAGUGAGUGAGGAAUGAGAGUGUGUCUCUUGGAGUCUUAGUCUCAUGUCAGCUAGAAGAAGAAACUAACAAGUGGGCUUCUUAUUUAAGUAGAGAGGAACAUAAAAAGUUUUGUUGGUCUCUUGGGCACAUCUAAAGUUGCUAUCUCCAUUACAAUAGCGAUUGCAAUGAGGUAUGUGUGCGCACGCGUGCGGGUGCGUGUGUGCGCGUGCAUGUAAUAAUCAGUCUGGUCGGUCUGGUUCUCAUCUUGGAAUCGCGAACUGGACCGCUGCCCAUGGGAACCGUCCAAAACGACUGUCGGGUGGUUCCCAAUUCAAAUUGUUCCUGUUGCACACCCCUACUCUCUAAUACCAUAACUUAGAACACCGGGGGCUUGGUUUUAUUGGUUGAUCAAGGGCAUUUUCAUCAUUUUUUUCUUAUUUUCUUUCAUUUUUCAUUUUUCCUUUUUCUUUUUUUUUCAAGAAAAACUUUUAAAAAAAAAAGACAAAGGCUAAAAUUGGAAAAAAAAAUACAGGAAGUAGAGUUGCCAGCCCUCCCUCGCCUUUAGUCGCUUCCUCAUCCCCGGUAGGGCAUACGCCAUGGCUAGUGGGGUCACCAAUGCCUUGGUGAGGGUUGGCAACCCUUGUUGACCAGAGGCACGAGCUUGCCAAGAAAGAGUCGCAACCCUCUCCCAAAUUGAGUGAGUCAGCCCUCCCCUUAGUCUGGGCGAUAGGGUUGCCUUUUUUUUUUCUUUUUUCUUUUUUCAAAUUUGUGUUUUCUCUUUUUUUUUAAAUUUUUAAUCUUUUUUUAGUUUAUCUUUUUUAUGGCAAGAAUAGAAAAAGGAAAAAAAUAAGGAAAAAAAUAAGCAAACAUAGAGGACAGAAAUGCCCUAGAACUGCCAGUGAGGUUAGGUUUUUCUUUGAAACUAAUAUGGUUUUUUUAGAUCUUUAUUUGAGAAAAUAAGAGUACUUCAAACUCCAAACAAUGUUCACUUUAGGAUCAUAUUUGCGAAAGUGAGGGUAUUUCGAAUUCCUUUAGAAUUUUCCCUUAUUUCAAUUAGUUCCUUUCUGUCUUUUGAAGGAGGUGAAAAUAUAGGAGGGCCAUUUUGGCACAAAUUCUCGUGUCAACUAAACAUCUUGUAAUGACCCAAUUUUGUGUGGACUUGGCUGCAAAGGCAAUUUUUUUCCACAUCUUGCUGUGACGUAAUCCAGCAACCACUUUAGUUCAAAAUUAUCAAAAUUGGUAUCGAAGGUUAAAUUUGACUAAAAAAAUUAUGAAAAUUAAAGGAUCUGGAUAGAGAUGUUAAAGUUUAAUCGCUCUACUAAAAAAGUACGUAUAUUAAGGGAAGAAAAGUAGAAUCACCUUUAACGCGUACACUGCUCAUUUUGAAACUGCAAGCAAGUUUUCUAGUCAACCUUUCUUCUUUCUUGUCUCUCUUUUUUUUCCCCUUUAAAAGGAGGAGAUAAAGCUUUCUAGAAAAAACUUUCUACUAGUUCUUUCAAUUGGUUCCACGAACCUUUAUGUCAUUUGAAGGUGGAAAAUAAAGAUGCGCACUUUGGCAUUUUAUAUAAGUUUCGUGUGGACUGAAUUAUUACACUCAACCUAAAUAUUUGUGAAGGAAAGAAAUUUUGGCACUAACUCGACCCUAGUAUCUUCACGUAACCCCUUGGGUGUUAUCUUUUGAUAUUACUCGGUUCUCCUGUGCGGGUGUCUGGCUCCCGGAUUCCCUGGCGCCCUUUGAGUCCGGUGGCUGUUUCUGGUGGUUGUGUCGUGUCUUGUGUUGUGUUGUUGUUUGCUGCGUUUUUCUUUCCUUGCCUCUUGAGGCUUUUGCGCGGUUCCCUUCCACUCUUUUGCACGCAAUGAGAGUGUAAGUUUUGGUGCCGCUUGUGUACAUUUGUCCUUUGUCUUUCAAUAUAUUCUUACCUUACCAAAAAAAAAAAAAAAGAGCAAGUCUUCUUUUCCCACUUCGUACUCUCAAACUGUUCGACGGACAUGUCAGCUCAAAUUUAUUAGGAUCGGUGGCAGGGGCUAUUCUUGAUUAGAUUAAUCGAAAGUUCAAGACCUUAACCCAAAAAAAGCACAUAAAUUAAGAGACGAAAAGUCAAAUUUUCCGUCAAAGAGAUAGUGGAUUCACACUGCUCGUCUUGGAAUUCCAGGCAAGUUUUCAAAUCAAUUAUUUUUUUCCUUUCCUUUCUUUUUUCCCUAGUAUAACGUGAAGCCAACGUUUACUAGCCAAAGUUUCGCAGGGAUGGAGUAGCACAUUACUUUACAAUUUUCAUUAAUUUAUGUUCUAUGACAUGCCCUUCAUUAAGCAUGGAGAGGCCCGUGACAUGCUCUUUACAAAUCGAUAGGUCAUGGAAAAAUUUGUUCAUGACCACACUAGCCAUGCCAUAUAGGACGGCCGACGUCCACAUGAGUGAUAUUCGGCUAAAAUUAACCAGAUGAAUUUAAUUGGCAAAUUGUGAAAAACGUUUAGAACUCAAUUAACAUGAGUUUAAAAAUUCACGACCGAAUUAGAAAAAAGUAUAAUAAGUUUAGGACUUUUCAAACCAUUUUUCCCUAUAUCAAUAAAUAACAUGAAAUGGCAUAAUAUUCUUUUCAAGAAAUUGUCGAACUUUUUAUAACAAGAACUUGACCUGUCGCAUUUGAAUUUUCCAAUUCAUUUGUUUAUGAGAUUAUCCUAUAUCGUUAUGACAUAUCAGAGUCAUAUGAAUUUUCCCAUAAUUUUGUAAGGGAUGAUUCAAUAAAAACGUAUUCCAACAUCACAAAAUUCUAUAGAAAAAAAGAACCUUUCCAAUGAUUUGAAAUAAAGUUAAAGAGUUCAUAUGUGUAGGUUUUUAAACAUUCAGACUGAUCAAUAUUAAAUAAUAGUUAUAUUUUUAAAAAAUUAAGCACAAAGGUCCUACUUCUAAACACAAGUUUGUGAGUUAGUUUCAAUCUAUCACUAUUGUCGUUAAUUUAGUACAAACUUUAAUAAAUUACAAACUUGUCUCUCCUCUUUUGCCAUAUUUUUCGUCAUUUCUUAUUAAAUGAACCGGCAGAAAUAUAAUCCUUUUUUCUCAUCAUUCUAAUAACCAACCUUGCCCUGCACUUCACAGGGUGAGACGAGGAUGGAGAUGGGGACUUCCCCGGCCCCUGCUCAUUCAAAUUCUAUAAAUUGGAUUUUAUGUUCAAUUCAAGAAAGUUUUGUUAAAAUCGUUGAUUUUUUAGAUUUCAUAUUUAUGUUUAUACUCAUAAACUAAAUCACUUUUUAAAUUAUAUGCUCCUUAAGCGAAGAAUUUUACAUUUAACUUAAGAUGAUCUCUAUGAAAAUAUCUUUCAUGUAGGAUACCAUAUUAGUUUGAAAAAAAAAAUAGUUUCAAAAGCUCUUGGUAACUCACUUAAAUUGCAAGCUAAUGUCUGGAAGAGCACAAGAAGUGGCAAUUCCUUGGUGACUAGAACACAAAUACAAAAUUUCCAAGAAAAGCAUGAACUUGAUACAAUUACACUCAAAAUUGACAUGUUUUCAUUCAUUUUAAAUAAGAAACAAUUUGUAAUCAAUCACAUCAUAACAUUGGUCUUCGGAUACAAAAUGACAUAAAUAACCGACACGAAUAUUUUGACACAACAUGGAUUGCUAAUGCUAUGUUAUGAAAGUUCGACCGGAUAUACAUUCAAAUGAACAAAAGCAAGGCCCUUUAUACCUGUGAACAAAGAGAACCUUUACUCCAAUUUCCAUGGUUUCCAUGGACAACCAAUUUUUUUACGUCGUCCACCAUGUCUAUUAAUUGGCUGUUCAAUAGUAUCUACUCAUCUCAAUUAUGUUCUGUAUAUUACAACAGAACAUUCAUUCAUUGCUAAUGCAUAUAUGGACAGACAUAGGUUAGAAUCUUCAGAAGAACUAUAAUUUUCACAAGCAAGAAAACAACAUCUCCAUAUUACUAUGCAUGUAUAACUUUUCUCAACAAGCUACUUAAAAGAUAGGGCAUUAAAUAUCUAGCUGCAUAUUUUCUUGUCUGCAAGGGCUUUCCUCACCUUUUUCCAUCCUUUUGCCAUUUUCUUGGAGUAGCACAAGAACCACAUACUCUUCUCAUCAAUGAUCAAGUUCUCUAUCACAACACCAACCAAAAACCCGACUCCGGCACCAACCAGCACGAUUCUCCAAUCCAAGUUGAAGAGACACUCUUCUUCAUUAUCCACUUUGAAAUAUGAUGGUGGUGGUGGAGCGUUCUCACCAUUUGUGCAUUUAUUUGGCAAUGGACUUCCACACAAACCAUCAUUCAUCGCAAAUGAACUACUCCCGAACGUAUCAAAUUGCGUUGCACGUGGUAUUGGUCCUGAUAGACGAUUGUGAGAGACAUUGAAAACCGAAAGAAAUGUGAGGCGGGCUAGUUGUUGAGGAAUCUCUCCCACAAGAUUGUUCUGAGAAAGAUCCAGUGAUUCGAGCACUGUCAGGUUGGCCAAGGAAGGAGGGAUGCUACCAUUGAAGAGGUUGUUUGAAAGGUUGAGCAUGCGAAGUGAUUUUAGAUCUCCAAUGAGUUCAGGAAUGAACCCUUCAAACUCGUUGUUGGAGAGGUCAACUGCCAUGAAGACAUCUGGAAUCUUUGCAUAUUCCCUUUCCGUGCCCUUACUCAUUAAUUUCAUUGCAUAAAAAAUACUUAUGCUGAAUAAAACAUUUGGAUCCAUUUUAUAAACAUCCAAAUAUUCCAACGCAUCUUGACCAACCAUGACCUUCAUGGCAUGGCAACUCUUCAACAAGUUGGAAGGAAAUUCGCCAUUGAAGCCGUUGUUGGAAAUGUCCAGGAUGUGUAAACGGGUGAAGUUGAGCUCGCUUAGACUAGAUUCUAUGGGACCAUGAAAAUUAUUGGACCGCAAGCCAAUUACUUCUAGGUAGGCUAGUUUCGAUAGCCAAAAUGGGAAUGUAUCAUUAAUUUGGUUGUCACCAAGAUUCAAAUACUCCAGCAAACUGCAAUUUCCUAAAGAUCUCGGAACAAUCCCACUUAGUCGGUUUUCUCUGAAGUCAAUCAUCCUCAAUGCACAAUCAUCUAAGAAAAUGUGAGGAAUCAUGCCAUUGAAUUUAUUUCUCGCAAGGUUCAAUGAAAUCAAAGGAUGAAUACUUCCCAAACAAGGAGGAAGUGUGCCAUUUAGAGAAUUGUUGGACAAAUCGAGCAUGGUAAGAGAGCUCACUUCACAUAUGGAUGUUGGAACUUCCCCAUAUAGGAAAUUGUUGGAGAUGUUGUAUACCAUGACCGAGGGAGGUGGGACAAGGAGGGUUGUUUUUAGCAAGUUAGAACUAAUGUCGAGAUAGUUCAAGUUCGGUGAAGGAAGAUCGGUCUGGUUUUUCAAGAAGCUGGUUAAUAGAUUGUGAGAAAGAUCUAUAUACAUGAGAGAUUCUUUGCUAUUGUUCCACAUCCAUCUAGGAAUAAUCCCUUGAAUUCUGUUGUGUGAUAAGUCUAACCACGACAAUUCGCUUAAGUAGCCUAUAAACCGUGGGAACUCAGUCAAGUUGCAUGAAUCCAAGUAUAAGUAGGUGAGCUUCGAUGUAGUGGCAUUGAUGAAUGACUUGGUGAAAGAUAUGUUGCUGUUGGACAAAUAUAAGGUUGUCAAGUUCUUGAGUGUGAAUAGAUCAUUCACAUCAAGAAUGCCAUUGAGAUUAAGCGAGCUAAGAUAAAGCCCUUGAAGAUCCUUCAGAUUCCGCAAUGUGCCCAAAAUAUCACCGUGCAAGUCGUUGCCAGAAAGGUCGAGAUAAAUCAAUGAAGAUGGAAAUCCAUUGCUUAACUGAUUUCCUCGAAUUCUGUUGUGUGAUAAGUCUAACCACAACAAUUCGCUUAAGUAGCCUAUAAACCGUGGGAACUCAGUCAAGUUGCAUGAAUCCAAGUAUAGGUAGGUGAGCUUCGAUGUAGUGGCAUUGAUGAAUGACUUGGUGAAAGAUAUGUUGUUGUUGGACAAAUAUAAGGUUGUCAAGUUCUUGAGCGUGAAUAAAUCAUUCACAUUGAGAACGCCAUUGAGAUUAAGCGACCUCAAAUAAAGCCUUUGAAGAUCCUUCAGAUUCCGCAAUGCGCCCAAAAUAUCACCGUGCAAGUCGUUGUCAGAAAGGUCGAGAUAAGUCAACUGCUUCAGGUUCUCAAAUGAAGAUGGAAAUCCACCGCUUAACCGAUUACCUACCAAACAAAAAGAAGAAAAAAAAAAGACACAAGACAAAGGAGCGUUAGUUACCCCAUCAAUUUCAAGUUCCUUUUUCUCUUUGGCUAAAUAAUCUCCUCGCCUAAAAAUAUUAGGUCCAAGACAUUAUGCACUAGCCCACUCAGACAAAUAGGCAUUGGAGGGGCCCACCGUCAAAAAUUGGAAAGUCUCUCUCCCUCUCCUCCUCUCUGCACCGAUCUUUCGAGCUCCACUACUGCUCGCUCCCUCCUGGACCACCGCAACGGCCACGGGAAAAACCAGAGACGGGGACUUGCUCCUCCACCUCGAGGCCUACCUCGACAAUGCUCUCAAGAUCUCCAGGUAAGCCACAAAGAUCAUCAUAUCCUCCUCCCUCCUUCCCCAAACCCUACCCCUCCAUCGCCACCUUAGGAGCAUCGAGUCCAGCGUCGGCCUGAGCCGAAAAAGCCUUCCGGCUGGGCUAGUUGUCGAGGAUGUGAACGCUCUCUGGGCCUCACACCUCAACUCUAGGCAGGACCUAAUCCUCUCCCUCAUCGCCUAUGGCGGUGAGGGGACAUACCACAUCGUCGAGUAGUUCAUCUGAUUGGCAAAAUCGGUUUUCAUCGAUGGCCACCACUCCCGUGUUCGAUCAUUGCGUAGGCCGAGUUCUUUGGGUAUAGUGGGAGCGUCAAUCUGAAAAUUAGGGAUUUGAGGAGGUUGCGGGAGGACGAGAUGCACAUCGAUUCGACCAUCAAGAUCACGACGUCCAGGGGGAUUAAUUGAGGAAGUUUUUCUUUUUUUUCUUUCGGUCAAAAAAUUGAGGAAGUUGAGGGAGAAGAAGUUGAUGAAGAAGCCAUUCGUGGUUCAGGACCUGGGUGAACUUGUCGAGCUAGAAGGCCUUCCGGCUCAGGCCCUUACCAGAAUCGAAGCUCUUGAGGCGGCGAUGGUAGUUUUGCUCGUGGCUGUCGUAGCGGGGGUUUUGGUCGUGGUCGGGGUGGGAGCAACCAGCAAUGGAGCUUGAAAGAUCAGGUUCCAUGGAGUUGUAGAUGGAGGAGGAAAGAGAUCCGUCCGAAUUGGUAAAGAGAGACUUAUGAUGGUAGGCCCCACAAUGCCACUUGUCGUCCAUUGAGUGGGUUAGUGCAUAGAUGACAUGACGUCACAAUUACGCUUAAUAUAAUCAAAAAGAAACUUUUACCUGAAAUGUCCAAGACGGUGAGUUUUGUUAAGUUGACCACCCUCUCUAAAGAAUCACCGCUCAAGUUAUUGUUAUAGAGCCAUAGAAUCGAUAGCUGGGUAAGAUUAGCGAAGGAAACAGGGAUUUGACCUUGCAAGUUAUUUUCAGAAAGGUCUAGUUCAGUGAGAUGAGAAAGAUUACCCAUUGAAGAGGGAAGCAAUCCUGAAAAAUAGCAACCCGAGGCUAAUAACUCAUUCAAGAGACUAAGAUUUCCAAUUGAAGUGGGUAUUUCUCCCAAUAAGUUGGUCCAGUAAAGGUAUAAGGAUUUUAAUGGAGAACCCCAAUGCAGUUUGGGAAAAAACACAGAAAGGUUGGAAUUGCCAGCAACAGAAAGGACUUCCAAGUUUGGCAACUGAAAAAUGCUGACCGGAAAGUUUCCACUCAAUCGACAAUAUUUUAGCCUGAGCAAUGUCAAGGAAGAGAAAUUCGCUAGCAUAGGUAGGAAAGGUGAUGACAAGCUUACCGAAGAAAGAUCAAGUUCUUUUAGCCCGGUCAAGUUAUGAAUGAAGCCGCCCAUGUUGGCAGAACCCCAAUGCAUUUUGGGAAAAAACAUAGAAAGGUUGGAAUUGCCAGCAACGGAAAGGACUUCCAAGUUUGGCAGCUGAAAAAUGCUGACUGGAAAGUUUCCACUCAAUCGACAAUAUUUUAGCCUGAGCAAUGUCAAGGAAGAGAAAUUCGCUAGCAUAGGUAGAAAAGGUGAUGACAAGCUUACCGAAGAAAGAUCAAGUUCUUUUAGCCCUGUCAAGUUAUGAACGAAGCCGCCCAUGUUGGCCAAGCCACCCAUGUUGGCCAUACGAAGUGAAAUAGUCGAAGAGGACAAAUCAAGAGAAACUAACUUGGAGAGUUGCCAGAUAUCGCGAGGGAUUUCACCAGAAAAGUCGGAGGCUGAGAGAUUAAGGUAUUGUAACUUUGAAAGAUUGCCGAAGCCAUAUGGAAUUGAGGAGAACUUGAAGCUGUUGAAAGCGAGAUUGAGCGACUCCACAUGAGCGAGUUGAAAGAGAGUGGUGUUGGGACUCAUGGUGCCUGAGAGACAACUGCUACUGAGGUCGAGGGCGAUCACUCGACUGGUGACUUCAUCACAUUUGACACCGUCCCACGAACAACAAUCUCCACUUCCAUCCAGUGACCAGGAAUGAACUUUUGGAUUAACGCAUCGCUGGUCUGUCACGUUGGUUCUAAAACUUCUCUUGAAUUCCAUCAAGGCAGAGCUCUCGUCCGCAUGACAAAGUACCUCAGCAAACCUAGUACAAAAGAGAGAAAGCAAGAAUAUCCAAGUAAGCAGCAGAUAUAAUGAUAAGGCUGCCAUAUUUUCUGCUUUUGUUUCUGUUCUUUUGGUUACUGAAGUGAGUUUUCGAGGGAGAGUGCGACGUAGUAGGUUUUUAUAGGCAGCAACAAUUGGUUCUAGCAAUGGAAAUUUCUUGCUACUUGGCCAUUCAAAGUGCUUGACCUCAGAACUUUAAAUGAUUUACGUAUGCCUUCUGUAUGGGUUUGAAACCCGCAGGAUCUUAGACGUAUAAACAUUUCUUUUAUUAUAUAGGGCACAAGCGCAGUGGCUUGGCAUUCUCCUUUUAUCCAUAUUUCUCUGUCAUACUUUUAAUAUAGAAUCCAUCCGUUUCUUUUGGUGACAUAUUGGAAAUUGGCAGCAAGCUCCCAUGUAAAUUGUUCAUGUCGUUUGACUUGACUCAUAGCUUCAUGGCUAAAUUUCAAGUACAGAUGUUGUUCAUAGUUGUUUAUUCAACAACAUGGGUUGCUUGUGCAGACUUCCAUCAAUAGGCCAUUUAUAGGUGGGCUCAUGUGUCUCUCUAAUUUUAAACUCACCUAUACAUCUGUUUUAAGUGUGAAAUGAGAAACACCCAAUUUAACAUAAAAGUAUCGAAAAAAAUAUCAACACAAGUAGAACAUAAAAAGAUGAAAAAUCAAAUUAUAUUAUUGACAUAGAUGGAUGUGCACUCAGAAUAGUCAAAUAAAGACUUUGAAAUAAUUGGGUACUGCACCUUUAUUAGAUAAAAGCAGGGCAUGGAAGAAAAAAAAAAGUCGUAUGUGCGCAUGUGCACGAAUGAACAGAAACAGAGAGAGUUAUGUACGUGUGCGUGUAUGUGAACAAAAUAUAUUUGAGCCAUGAUUAAAUUUCUUAACAACCUAAUGUAUUUUUGCUAUCUAUAAUCCAUAUUUUUUUUAAUGAACUUUUCUGCAAAAAGGUUGACUUAGUUUUAUUUUUAUGCUGCAUUAGUGUUAUCUUUGUUCAUCUUUUCAUUUCGUAAACCUUUCUAUUUGAUUCAAAUUUAUAAAAAAGAGCAGAUACGGCUCUAGAAGGGGGCAACAUGAAGACAUUGAUUUUAUGGAAAAAACUUAAGUCGUACACCUCAUUCAAGACUGCAACACUAAACUGAGGGCUACGAAGAGGGUAAAAACUUGCUAUUCUUCAAGCUUUCAUUAGCCAUUAUUAAGAGACAUUAGACAGCGAAAGAAAUCACAGUAAAAACAGUACAUUAAGUUCUUCUUUGACCAGACAAAACUCAAAAGCAAGCGUCCACAUAAUUUCCGAGGGUGAAAUAAUUUCUCUUGUUUUGAGGUAACUUCUAUCUACAAUUCAUGUUCUAAUUGGUUCUGGCAAUGGAAUUAUCUUACUACUUGGCCAUUCAUAUUUCAUAGUGCUUGACCCCAAUACUUUAAACUGAUUUUAGGUGUGCCUUAUGUAUGGGUUUGAAGACUGCAGGAUGUUAGGCGCAUGAACAUUUCUUUCAUUAUAUAGGGCCCGAGAGCAGCAGGGGCUUGGCAUUCUCUUUUUUAUUUAUAUUUCAUACUUUAUUAAAAGUAUUCAUUCUUUUCUUUCAGCGACGUAUUGGAAAUUGGCGACAAGCUUCCAUGUAAUUGUUCCUGUCCUUUGAUUUGACUCAUAACUUCAAGAGUAAAUUUCAAGUACAGAAGUUGUUCAUAGUUGUUUGUUCAUCCAUAUGGGUAGCCUGUGCGUACUUCCAUCUAUAAGCCCAUUUGUGGACUCAUGUCUCUCUAACUUUUAUCUUUGCUUGGAUGGACGUUCACCGAUAAACUCACUUGUACAUCUAUCCCCUCCCUACACUUACCACCCAAAAAAAAAAAAAAACGAUUUUGUUUUGGGAUUCAUCAAGUUUAACACUGAUUUUCUCGGUCAUGGUUUCAUUUUUAAUUUUUAAGUAGUGAUGUUUCUCUCUUAAUUAUAUCAUGUGUGCUUACACGUGUCUUAACACAAUUUGUGUAAAUGCUAGGUAAUAAAUGUAAAUCAAUUUAGAAUUUUUAUAAUUUUGCAUAAUAGCACCAUUGGUUCUUAACAAUAACUUGACCGAAAAAUAUCAAUAAAUAUUAUCUCAAUCAUUAAUUAAGUGAAUCUUACUAUAGGGCUGAUGUGAUCCACGAUGGGGAUGACUUUGAUCUACUAAUGCAAAGGCCGGACGAUACUUUCUCGGAAAUGACGCGAAGACUCCAAAGUCCAAUCAAAGAUGAGGCAUCAUAUGUCAAAAAAACUAUAAUUGAAAAUUCAUGUGGAAACUGAAAAUUUUAUCAUGCCGUGCUCGCCAUUCAUUGCCAUAUUAUUGGUACGGUCCCCUUCCCAUUUCUUUUUCACAUAGAAAAGAAAAGAAAAAGACAAACUUAACAAACCUCAAGGAAGAAUUUUCCUCCUUACGACAAACCAGUCAUACCAACCUAACCACUGGCGUUGGGAUAACACUUCCCCAUCAAGUGUUAAGCUGCCCAAAGACGCAGGUUCUUUUUUAGGUUCUUUGAACCUUCAGUCAACGAAAUCAAUUUUACGUCCCAUUAUUUAGUGAUCGAGAAUGUCUUAAAGGAGGAUUCUAGCCUUCUGGCAUUUACCCAAGUCAAGAAGAAUUUUCGAACAUUAGUUGAUGGAUCUCCAGGCGAAUUUGGCCACCUGAGAAGACUAGAGCACUUAGACCUGUCCCUCAACAAAUUGAAGGGGGUCAUUCCUAGAUGAAUGAACAACAUUAGCGAAACAAAAGGCCUUUCUCAUUACAUAAUUUGUGCCACCACCAUUGAACCUUCAAUUAUUCGUUGUGUCUCCAAAUAAGUAAAGCUGAAAAAAUUACCCAGUGAUGUAUUAGGAAAUGAGCCUGAGAAAUGACAUCUACUAACUAAUAACUUAUUCAAGAGGCCAAGGUUUCCCCAAAGAUAAUAGUUCCAGGAGACUACCCCGAUGUAUUUUCGGAAUAAACCAAAAAGGAAAACACAAGAGACUAGUAUGCUACCUCGUGUCCCAAAGAGACAAUGAUUUUUUCAGGAAAUUACAUCAAUUACAAUUAAUUCACAUUGACACAACCCUUAGAUUAGCAAAAAAAAAAAAAAACCCUUAGAUUAGGUCGGAGGAUGACUUAAAAAAGAAGUGUUUUCUUUAUUGCCAUCUACGCCUUGUACGUGGUGGCAAAAAUUUUGACCGUGGCAUUUCCAUAAGGGAAACCAUCUACAUCAUUUCCAUGGUGGUUUGUUUGUGUAGGCUCAUUAUUUUCCACAUCAUACUCUUAAAUCAUUUGAUUGCCACAAUAGAUCAAGCUUAUCUGGUGCCGGACUUAAUUAAAAUUUUAUACAAAUUGGAAUUGAUUAAUUAAAUUAAAAGCUCAAGAACUUGAUUAAAAAAAGGGUGAAUUAACAGAGGAAAAGUACAACUUUACAGCUGGCAUAUGGUGGACCAAAACCACGCUGCGCUGCUCAUUCUAGAAGUCCGAGCAAGUUUUCUAAUCAAAAGUCCUUUUUUGUUUUUUUGUCCUUCUCUUUUUACCUCCCGUACGACGGGAGAAGAUAAAAAGCUUCCUAGACAAAACUUUCUUUUGAAUUUUUUAAACUGUUUCCUUCGUGUCUUUUGAACCAGGUGGAGGAAACGCGUUUUAGUAUUAUGUGUAGUUUCACGCGGAUCAAAUAAUUACAUUCAAACUAAAUAUCCUGUUUUAAAAUAUUUUGGGAUUCAUCAAGUUUAAGGCUAAUUAUCUUAUCCAUAGUUUGAUUUUGAUUUUUGAGUAGUGAAGUUUCUUUCUUAAUUAUAUCUUGUGUGCUAUGAUGCGUCUAACACAAUUUGUGUGAAGGCCAAGUAAUAAAUUUAAACCCUUCUAGAUUUUUCAUAAUCUUGCAUAAUAGCAUGAUUGGUUGUUAGAAAUAACUUAACCAAAAAAUGUAGAUAAUUAUCAUUUCAGCCAUUAAUCAAGUGGAUUCUACUAUAGUACUUACGUGAUCAAUAAGAAGAUGAGCUCGAUCUACUAGUCCAAAGAGCAUACGAUAUUUUCUCAAAAAUGACAGGGAGAGGCAUCAUCUGUCAAAUGCUUUAAUUGAAAAUGCACAUGGAAAGUGUAAAUUUUCUCAGGUUGUGCUUCACCAUUCAUCAUUUGACCUUCACGUUAAUAAAUUAAUCAUUUUUAUGUUAUUUAAAAGACGAACUAUAUGAAAAAAAGUAAACUACUAUUUUUUCAUGAUAAUCAACAUAAAAGGCAGGAAUUAGUUAUCUGUUCAACUUUUCAUGACUUCGUUGUUUUUUUUUUUUUUAGUGUAAAAUGAGAAAGAACCACGUUUAACAAACAAAAUAUAAAAAGAAAUAAACACAAUAAAAGAAAAGGCAAAAGAUAAAAUGAUAUUAUUGAAAUAGAUGGAUAUGCAAUCCGAUCAUCAAAUAAAGACAUUGAAAUGAGUAAGUGCUGCUCCUUUAUUAGAUAAAAAGAAAGCAUGGAAGAAAAUAAAAUGGUAUACCAGGCGUAUGAAUGAGAGUGAAACAGAGACAGUAAUCUAGUAUUAAAAUAAUUAGAUUUUUAAUUCAAAAGAGAGAUGAAUGAGGUAAUGUGAACGAGUGUCUUUAAUUUAGUUUAACUUAAAUGUGAAAAAUUGUAUUAUAUCAUAUGAAUUAAACGUCACGGGGCAGAGUGUUUUCUUUUCUUGUGACAAUAGAGGACAUUUUUAGUAUAAAAAAUUGUAGUUAAGUGCACAUUUAGUAAUUUUUUUAUAUUAUAAGAAAUUAUAAAUAAAUAAAUCAAAUCUUAAAUUGAAUGUGAAAGACACUAUUCAUUUAGAAGUAUUUUAAAAGACACAUUAUUUAAAUGAAUAGUCACGUUUUAUGAAAACACAACUCAUAUAAUGGACGAGAUAGGUCUUGUUUAGUAACUAUUAUCCGGUCAUUACUUGAAAAUCAGGACACUUCCCCACCCAGUGUUGAGUUGCCCGAGGACACCGGUUUAAUUGAAUCUUCAGUCAAUGAAAUCAAGUGCAAUUUGUCAUAGCUAGAUCCGUCAUGUCGUUUAGUGAUCAAAAAGUCUUAAAGGACGACUCUAGCUUUCUGGCAUUUACCCAAGUCAUUAAGAAUAUUUGAACAUGAAUCGAUGGAUCUCAAGGCGAAAUUUGCCGCAAAAGGCUGUCCUCGUUUUUGUCAAAGUAUCACUGAACUUGGGAUGUGUGAUUUGGUUCGUUUUUGCAUUUGACUUACAUUUUCAAAUGAAAAAUACAGCCCGCUAGAAUUCCAGCUGAAGAAAAGAAAUGGCCCGCAGAACUUGUUGGGGCAACAUGACAAAACUCAAGAAAUGCAUGGAAAACUAUGAUGCAUCAUCGCAAUUUUUGGAGAGUAAUGCUCUUGUUAGUGAUUGACUAGAUCAAAUAUAGUGUUAGAGUAAUGCAGGAGCCACCUGCUCUUCUUGUCAACGAUGAAAUUGCCAAGCACAACACCGAUAGAGAAUCCAAUUCCAAUGCCUAACAGCAUAGUUCUCCAGUCCAAGUUGAACGGAUAUUGUUGUCAUUAUCUUCUCCGAGCGAUGAUGAUGGUAAUGCUAACAGUAAGUUUUCACCAUUUGUGCAUUUAUUUGGCGGAGGUGUUCCACACAAUCUCAUCAUGGCAAAUGAAUUGAUCUCAAAUAUGUCGAAUUGGGUUCCCCGUGGUUUCAGUCUUGAGAGUCGAUUGUGAGACACUAGAAGACGAAGGAAAUGUCAAUAGGGGGAGGAUGGAAUCUUGUUUAAUGGCUCCGGUGACUGUGUCAUUCAUCCCGUGUCUAUGUGAAAUUGCAUUGUCCAUAGAAUAUGAUUUUUGGAAAAGACAAUUUCAGGAAAAAAAAAAAAAAAAGAAUGAUUUUCUAGCGUUUUUUUUUUUUUUGGUUGAAAAUAAGUUGAAAAAAUUAGUUUUGUCGUAUUUGAUAAUAAGUAUGUCCACUAAAGGUAGCUUGUAUCCUUAAAGACGAUAUACCAUGAAUAACGAGCUAGAAUCAACAUCUCUUUCUUAUUAUUCUGUAACACAUCAAAAUAAGAAGAAUUACAAAGAAAUUAGGAAAACAACUAUGAAAUCAAAUUUGUAAAAUAUUAUAUAUGAAAAAAGAAGAAGAUGAUUUUCGUAUUCUUUUCACUUGGACGCACAGCAAGAGAGAAAGGAAAGUGAUUAAUUUCUUACUGGAAGGGGAAAUAGUCUUCUCCAAACUAAGUUUGAUGGAUGGAAAAAGUUUUCAUCGAUCGGAUAGACUUUACACGUUGGACUGGAUGAAAAAAUGAUCUCAUGUGGAUGAUAAAUGUGCUCUUUUGGCUUGGAAACUAAAUCGAGACAACCAUUUAUUCUUUGCUUGUCAAUAUAGCAAGCAGGUUUAGGACGCCGUUUUGAAGCUAGGUGGUAUUUCUCGUGCCAUUGACUCCUGGAACUUUGCAUUUGACUGGGUUAUGAAGGAAUUGCGAAGGAGAUGUAUAAGCAAGAUUGCAAUCAAUGAGACUGGCAUGGAGUGCUUCUUGUACUAUAUUCUAGCCGGCUACGAACAAUGUAAACUUCUUGUACUAUAUUAUGCUGAAAGAGUACGUGUUGAUUGUAUGUGUUGAUUGUAUGGAAAGAAACAUUAAAAGAGUAUGUGUUGAUUGUAUGGCAAGAAACAUUAGCAUAAUUACAUGACAUGAACAUUGCGGCCUCAAAAAGCUAGAGAUACCAUAAAAUUAACAAUCACAAAAUGAAUUGAGUUUUAGAGAGUAUUAGUUAUACAACCAUGCUGCCAAAACUAAAAAAAAAAUAAUAGAAUUCCGCCAUCAUUAGAAAUGUCAUCUAUUUAUGUAUGUGAAAUUCUAACUCCACUAGUAGCUCACUCUGUAAUUAGAAAUCAAAUUGUAGCUUUACUCCCCAUACAUUCUGCAAUAAAAGGACUCUAAACUAGUUAUGUUGUUCUUUCCCUCUCAUCUAGUACAUAAAAAUUUUAGCUAGGAAAAUAUGAGUAUAACAAAUAUUGUAUACAAAUUUAGGAUGAUAAAGAGAUAAACAGCUGCAUUUUGAAUUACCUCUUGCUUUAACUUUGCCUUCGCUACCUACUUUCCACUAUACCACACAAAAACCAAACUUUUAGUCCAUCCCUAGGACAUUGCCAAAAGAACCUCUCUCUCUCUCUCUCUCUCUCUCUCUCUCUCUCUCUCUCUCUCUCUCUCUCUCUCUCUCUCUCUCUCUCUCUCUCUCUCUCUCUCUCUCUCUCCUGCUAAGUACAAUAUUCAAUAAGAUCCUGCAAUUACAUUAGUAGCAGAAUCUUUAAUGCUAAGGUGACAAAAAAUGGUUUUUUUUUUUUCAAACUGCCUAUGAACAUAAAUCACAAUUAGGCUCAACCUUUUCCCAUAUUAACCAACUGCAGUAACAAUGACAUAGAUCAUGGCAUCUUUACUCUAUACACUUCUUACUCGGUUGUCCUUCUCAUGAUGACUCAUACUUCACUUACUAAGCCACCAUGCCAUCAGGAUGAGAGCUCUACCUUGAAUAAGCGAAGUUUUCAGAAUUGACAGAACAUAUUUCAAUGUGUUCAUGUGAGGGUUUAUCAUGGUCACAUGGAUAUUGCCGCUCAUGGGAUGGCAUAGAGUGCCACAAUGCCAUUACAAUUGUAUUGCGGCAUUAUACACAAGAGGAAAAUCCUUUUUUCUCCUCAUCUUUCAAGGAAUAAUAGAAUUACAUUAAACAAAACAAAUCAAGUUACAAGCGACCGGCCCCAUUAAGCCAUAAAAUGAGUCCAAUAUCAAGGUGGAUGACCAUGACCCUCAAUGGAAUUAUGUAUUCCUGGGUUAAACUCAUGGAAUCAUGCCUUGAUACUUGGUCUUUAUUUAAGCUAUGAGUGAAUCAUGUGAUUCAACUUCUUCAAUUGCAUAAAUUCCUCCCCCUUAACAAACCAUUGAAGGGUAAGAAAAUAAAAGGAGUAUCUCCAACCGUUAACGAUAACAUAAGCAAUAAAAUUAAUAAUCAUAGAAUUACUACGGAAAAUUUAAGGCACUGGCCGCACCUAUGAUCAAAAUCCUUGCCGUGUAAGUGAAGUUGAUGUUUGCAUUUCAUUGACUUCGCAUUCGACGUAAGUCGUCAACCGCACCUUGACUCGAAAGUCAUCUCCCAAGUCUUCCUCUAGUUGAGAAUCUGGGGCGGACGCAUCGAUUUGCACGCCAUGCACGUCUUUUUCAACGUAAUCUUGCACAAAAGUACUAGUACCCUACUUGUUUGUGUAUAUCUAUUGGUUAAAAACAGAAGUUAAGGUUUAGCAAUUUUUUUUUGUACCUCACCUCCUAAUCUAAGUUUCGGCUUUGCAGCUUGAAUUUUGAGUUCUACCUACAAAACCCACAACGAUCCCUUCUACGUAACAUUCUUUUUUUGUAAUUUAGCGGUGAAGUGGUAUCCAAAGCUGCUUUCGUGCACUUCAAUUAGUUCAUUUUCUUAGGAGAUCUUAAGGACGCACUCCAUCAUAUCGACCUAAUGGAAUUGGGAUUUUAUUUCUAGAGUGCUACAAAUAAGGCUUGAACUCAAGUCUAUAAGGAAAGUAGAAAACAUUUGACCAUAUGAACCGACAUCUUGGCGGUUUUGUGUAGCAAUUACAACUGUACCAACUAAAUAGAAGAUAAGACAAAUAUCAAAUACGUAUUGUAUUCAAUAAUUUUAUGGAUCAUGCGUGAUUAGUACAAUCGUAUGUUAAAACAUCAGCUUUUUGAAAGAAAAAAAAAACUGUAGGAUGACUCUUGCUUGUCAAUUCAAAGUGACAAAAGUCUUUUUGCGGGUCUUUCAAUUUUGGCCUAUUUGUGGAAAAAUAAAUGAGAUGCCAUUUUAAUGGACCAACCAUGCAAUCAUGAUUGCACCCGAACUGUCGAUCACGGCAUGAGAGCUCGACUUGGAAUUUCUACCUUGUGGAUGUGUGACCAUUUAUUUCCUUUUUUUUUUUUUUUGCAAAAACAAAUAAAAAGGCCCCAGUUUGCUUAUGAACAUCGACAUCAUUUUCAACAAAGAAAGGCAGUGAGAGGCAAUAUGUUGAGUAUUUUCAUAUUAGCCCAAGAAUAACAUCCCAUGGCAGACUUCGGAAUUCUAUUGAUGAACUCAUCUCCCAACACUAUCGUAUGGCAGGACAUUCAUAGUAUAUUUGAUCUUAAUUGUCACAUUGUCAACCCUCAAUCUCUCGUGUGUAUUAUUGAUAUCUUUUAUUAGAAGAUGCUGUGCUGGCGAAAUAGUGAACCAUCGACAAAUCUGCGGCUAGACCAAUUAAAUGUGUCUCAUUUAGUUUACACACAAAAUGCCUAGAAUUUUAAUUUGUUAUGUUUGGUGAUAUCUCGAGUGAGCUUUCGUGCACAUAGUAAAUUGACCGCUAUGACAUGAUCAAAAAUAGGCCAUCUGCACUAAAUCUUAGAACUCAUCAAGGACUACCUACGUCUUGUUAUUUUUAGCCUUAUAAUUAAAUUGGUCAAAUUGUAAAGUUUAUGACUAUAUUGACUAUUGUACAAUAAAAUUAUGAUUUUUUGACCCAAUUUUCUCCAUUAAAUUGACUGUUGCACAAUAAAUUUAUGAUUUUUUGAUCCAAUUUUCUCCACAGAAUUAUUCCACAAUGUAAUUUCUCCAAGAAAGCUAAAAUUUAACAAUCUCAAAUACUCUUUUUUGGCUUUUCCAUCAUCAUAUAUCUAUUAGCACGUGUCAGUGCGUAUCAGAUAAUCAUAAUCAUCGAACACCUUUCAAUCUUCCACGUCCUUCCUUCACCAAUUCACUAAUCCAUUAUCAUCAUCAAGAAUUGAACUAACCAAUUCAAGUUGUAUCUCUCGGAACUCUAUUCAAAGCGUCAUGUGUGAUAGUUUUAGAUAUUGCGCUUAGAUGGAUUCUUGGAGUAUCAUGCUCCAUCUAUUGAAAAAUAUUUAUUUACGCAUCAUCAAAAUCAAUACAUAUAUUCGACUUAUUUUGGGAUAUAUGAAGGGCUAUCUCCCUAAUCCCGAGCAUUUUCACUGUCCAAACCUCUAAGUUUUUUAUGUAAUGUUACCCAAAAGGUGUUCAAUAAGAUUUGGAAUAGAGGAAUAAAUAACAAACCAUAGAUACAUAUAAGAUUCAUUGUCAAGCGAUGUGAGAUAAUGAAAGUCCAAUCCAAAAACUCAAGUCAUUAAUUAGAGAGAGACUGCAUUUAUAUAAAUAGCAUAUAAGACUUGUUAUCAAUCGAUGCGGGAUAAUUUUUCGACAUGUUGCUCCUUUCCAAGCAAGGCCAAAGCAUCCGUGCAACCAUCUACUUCUCUAAAAACGUGCUCGAUUUGUAUUACUGCCGCUCCAUGAGCAAGUUCCUGCAUUCAAUCAAAAGAGGUUCUAUCAGUAAUUUAUGCUCGUGAAUGCAUGUAAUUGCAUGAAUAGCAGACGUGGCGUCCAUUUCAAUGUGUAAAUGAGUAACAUUAUUGGCUACUUCUAAUCUGAGGCCAUCUCUUAGCGCCAUAUCUCUGCCAUGAUGUGUUCAUCAUCCAUCAGAGCUUCUAUAGCGCCUGAGAGAUUCUUGCUCGUUUGUGAUUCAUGGUAAUCACGGAUAUUUUGUCUUUAAUUUUAUACAAAACUAGGUGACAAUAUUUAAAAUCUGAAGAUAUUUUCAAAUCAAUGAUAAUGUCUUUUUUUUUUCUUGAUUCGAGGACUAGAAAUAUUCCUAGGAACUAGAGAAUGACUCAUGUUGAUCAAUCUAAAAGAUAGGCGUAAGUCUUUACUUCGGUCUCUCAAUUUUGGUCUUUUUCGUAGAAAAAAUACGAGAUGUCAUUUUAGUGGACCAACGAUGCAACUAAGAUUGCACAUGAGCCAUCAAUCAUGGCAUGCACAAGAAUUCGAAGAAUUUGUACCUUGUGGAUGCAUGGCUAUUUUUGGUCAUUUUGAAAAAAAAGAAUGCCUAUCUCCUCAUAACUCUCAACAUCACUUAGGAAAAAAUAAAAUAAGCAGGGAGACUUAGGCAAAAUGUUGAAGUUGCAAAUCAUCUAUGGCAAGACAUACAUACAUGGUAUCGUUGAUCUUAAUGAUUAUUAGAGAGUACCUUGGUCUCUCAUGUAAAUGGCUUGAUUCGUUUAUAAGAAGUUAUGGAAACAGUGGCCCAUCCAAGAGUUAAGCGGCCAAAUCUCCUAUUACUUACACUCAAAAUAUCUAAAGUUUUCAGCUGUUUGUAUUAGAUUAUCUCUCGAGUUAGAUAUCGCAUACAAAUUAAUUUGUUCCCACAGUAGAUCUUAAUGAUCACUUAGAGAGUAUCUCGGUCUCUCAUGUGAAUGGCUUGAUUCAUUUAUAAGAAGUUACGAGAACAGUGACCCAUUAGUGAGUUAAGCGGCCAUAUCUCUUGAUAUUUAUGCCCAAAAUAUCUAAAGUUUUCAGCUAUUUGUAUUAGAUUAUCUCUCUAGUUAGAUAUCACAUGCAGAUUAAACUUUUCUCAUUGAUCUGAUUGGAAGUAGGUUACUCACACUGAAAUAAGGGCAAACCGUCAGAAAUCCAAAAGUAGUGGAAGUCUUCUCGCAGGUCUCUCAAUUUUGGCAUUUUUGUGGAUAAAAUAAAAAAUGAGAUGCCAUUUUAAUGAACCAACUGCAAUGAUGGUUACACAUGAACGAUUGAUCACGGCAUGAUGUGUGACCAUUUUUUCUCCCUUUUUGACAAAAAAUAACGCCUCAGUUUCGUUGCAGUUAUUAACAUUAUUAUAGAAAAAAAAAAAAAAGGCAGCGAGAGGCAAUGUCUUGAGCAUUUUCUCAUUAGUCCAACGGAAACAUCCCACGGCAGACUAAGGAAUUCUCUUGAUAACCCAUCUCCUAUACUAUUGUAUAUCCAAUCUAAACCAUCCAAUUUUUUAUUUUUUAUUUUUUAUUUUUUAAAUUCAUACCUAUUCACAAUCCACAGCUGGCUUUCUCAGACGGUGAAAAAUUUUGUGCAUGAAUCAAGAAGUCUAGAGUCUAGACUAAUGAAAGAGAGGUAUCAAAUCUUCAUUAUGUCGAAAGUGCAAAAUAUCUAUGGCAAGACAGACGCAGCAACAGCAUACUUAAUCUUUGUUGUCACUUUGUCUACACCUGGGCUCUCAUGGGGAUUGUUGAUUUGUUUUAUAAGAACAUGUUGUUGAAACAGUGACCCAUCAACAAAUCAGUGGCUAGACCGAUUAGAUAUGUCUCAUUUAAUUCACUUUUGAAGUAUCUAGAUUUUUUUUUUUUUAAUUUGUUUGUGUUAGGUAAUAUCUCGAGUCAGUUUUCCUUCGCAGAUUAAAUUUACCUCUUUGAUGUAAUUAAAAGUAGGUCAUCAAAGUAAAAACUUGGAAAACAUCAAGAAUUACUUCCUUGGGGGUUCGACCUAAGAAGUAGCACCGAAAUGGAAAAAAAAUAAAGAAAGAAGACAAAACCGCCUGUGUUGUGUUAUUUUAAUACUAACACUACUUGUCAUCACCUUAAUUGAUUUCUCAUUGUGGAACAGGAAAGAUUAAAGGGCUUUAACUCUGACUCUGACCUCUUUUAUAUAUGUGAAGAUGAUAUGGUAAAUCCAAAGAAAAACAAUGAGGACCAAAAUUGCUAUUCACAAAAUUUGCUAAUUAUAAAAGCAAUGGCAUUGCUCUAAUAGAAAACAUACAAGAGAAUAAUAUUAUUAUGCCAUCCUCAGUACCGCCUAUGCUUUCUACUUUGGUCAUUUUGAUCGCGAUGUUUCACUUUUCAUACACACUUUACUAAGCCAAAAUGUCAUGUCGAAGAGAGCGUAGCCUUGGUGCUAUUCAAAGAGGCAUUUGAGAACCAAUAGAGCAGAUUCUAGUUGUGUUUAUUUGAAGCUCGAAUCGAGGUCAUCGACACUAGGUGAUGGAGACUAUUGCUUAUGGAAUAGUGUAGACCGAGACAAAUUCACUAGUCGCAUCACCUGCUUUGACCUCAGUAGCAAGUUGCCUCUCAAAUACCUUGACUUCUGACAAUGGACCUUUUAAUCAAUCCACACGGAAUCGCUCAAUCUUGCUUACCACAACUUCAAUCUCUACCCAAUGCCAUAGGGCAAGGCGAAUAUGGGGUCAUUAUGUCAUUAUGGCACACUUUAGUCCAUAAAUAAUCACACAUGAGAGAAAUAAAUAAAAAACUCACAUCAGCAUUUUUCAUUAGCUAAAUUGGAUGAGGUUGAUGAAAGGAUUUGAAUGCACCAAUAUGAAAUAAGACUUGAUUGUAUUUUUGAGAGUUUUAAAUUUUAAUUGUACUCUCAAGAUAAUUCUUUGGACUUCUUUUCCGACUUCCCAUGCACUUAAUUCUUUUUUGCGGCAUCUAGCUAUCCGUAUUAUAUUGCUUGAUGGAAUGAAAGUUACAUGUUUUCCACCGUUUCGUCAUAUCAUUGAAACAUGUUAAUGUUGUGAAAUACUGAGUGCCAUUGAUAAGAGAGUAAUAAUUCAUCAACAUCUGACAUAUGCAAGCACUGUGGUGCUAAUGCACUUCGUUUUCCUCGUCUCUUUCAUCCAGGGCGUGGAGUCCGCAAAGAUGGUCUGUACAUGCCAAAAAUGCAACGCAAUUAUGUAUAAGACUUUGACAUGUAAACCCGGAUUAGGUGAUACCUGGGGGGACCGUGAAUACAUAAAUAAAAGCUAGAGGUAUGAGGCCAAAUCUUCAAAAGAAGUCGUUGCUAGAUGAACUCAUCUAUAGGCCACUGUCAGUGAUCCCAACGUGUUCGUCGAAUCAAAGUUCCAGUCUUCACGUUGUAAGACUAUAUUUUAAGCAAGUUCCCCUCCAAAAAAGGGAAAAAGAAGAAGAUGAUGCAAGAGCCUUGAUAUGUGAUUGAGUGGUCAAACACGGGGUAAGCAUGGAGCAAAUGUCGCAUUCAUUUUAUAGUGUCUCUUACUCAAAAUAACUUUAGAGGUCAAGGCUUCGUUAGUGUAAAGUCUUACUCAAUGUGCAAUCGAUAAAGCAGUUUGCGGAUAUUGCAGACCUUGGUGGCUAGUGGUGCCCCCAACACUCAUGUUCGAAAAUUCCCUAAUUACAGGUAAAAAAAUUCCUAAAAAAUUAUAGAUAAUGAUCUCUCGGUUAAAUUUGUUUUUCUAUCUAGUUUGCCUAACUUCAAAUUCUUGGUCCACCACUAGUUUACUACUAUUUGAAGAAAUGAGCUUAAUCGGAAUGUUUGGACAAAAUAUGUUACUCGAAAGGAAGAUGAACCUUUGAGAAGUUAUGAAGCGGACUAAAAUAUGCAUGUAUCAAAUUGCAUCUAAACCACUAAAGAUAGUAGACUCUAUAUAGAUUCCUCACAUCUAACCGUUCAGAUUUAAUAAAUUCAUAAACUGAAUUCACCGAAUAAUUUUGAGGAAUGUUUAGGUCAUUCCUGUACCGUCUAAAUGUGGUUUGGACAAUAUUGUAUGAAGACAAAUGAUUUAAUUUGACCAUUUCGUCAUAUCAAAAGAUCAAGUAUUACUUCUAGAAUAACGAUUUCAAUAUCAAUCCACAUCUCAAGACUUUGGCCGUGCAAAGCGCGGGUCUAUAGACAAAAUUAAGUGCCUAUGUCUUUUCAGAUGUGUCUAGUGCAUGAAUCGCCCAAGCAGAAUGAAAUUCCGACGCUCGAAUUGCUUAUCGUUGCCUACAAAAGCUUCUCCACUGAAAACGAAAUCUACCAAAAAGCAGUAAGAACAAAACAAAAAUAUGGCCCCCUCAUUAUUCUCCCUGUUUUGUACUAUGAUCGUUUUCCUCCCUACAUUUCCAACUUCCGUCGCUAAUUAUCUUGUCUGGCAUUGACUCCUCAUUAAAGGGUCAAUUACUCAUCAAAUAUAAAAUAUAUUAGAUUAUUGUUUUUUUUUGUUGUAAAUAUAAUUCCCAUAAUAUGAUCAAAAUCCUUGCCGUGCAAGAUGUUUGCAUUUCAUCAACUUCGCGUUCACCGUAAGUCGUCAACCCCACCUUGACUUGAAAGUCGCCUCCCAAGUCUUUCUUUGGUUGAGAAUCUGGGGCGGACGCAUCGAUUUGCACGCCACGCACGUCUUUUUCAAUGUAAUCUUGAACAAAAAUACCAGUACCCUAUUUGUUUGUGUAUAUCUAUUGGUCAAAAACAGAAGUUAAGGUUUAGCAAUUUUUUUUUGUACCUCACCUCCUAAUCUAAGUUUCGGCUUUGCAGCUUGACUUUUGAGUUCUACCUACAAAACCCACAACGAUCCCUUCUACGUAACAUUCUUUUUUUGUAAUUUAGUGGUGAAGUGGUAUCCAAAGCUGCUUUCGUGCACUUCAAUUAGUUCAUUUUCUUGGGAGAUCUUAAGGACACACUCCAUCAUAUCGACCUAAUAGAAGGGAUUUUAUUUCUAGAGUGCUGCCAAUAAGGCUUGAACUCAAGUCUAUAAGUUAAGUAGAAAACUUCUGACAAUCUAAACCGACACCUUGGUGGUUUUGUGUAGCAAUUACAACUGUACCAACUAAAUAGAAGAUAUGACAAAAAUCAAAUACGUAUUGUAUUCAAUAAUUUUAUGGAUCAUGCGUGAUUAGUACAAUCAUAUGUUAAAACAUUAGCUUUUUGAAAGAAAAAAAAAACUGUAGAAUGACUCUUGCUUAUCAAUUCAAAGUGACAAAAGUCUUUUUGUGGGUCUUUCAAUUUUGGCCUAUUUGUGGAAAAAUAAAUGAGAUUCCAUUUUAAUGGACCAGCCAUGCAAUCAUGAUUGCACCCAAACCAUCAAUCACAACAUGAGAGCUCGCUUUAGAAUUUCUACCUUGUGGAUGUGUGACCAUUUAUUUCCUUUUUUUUUUUUUUUUGCAAAAACAAAUAAAAAUGCCCUAGUUUGCUUAUGAACAUCAACAUCAUUUUCAAAAAAGAAAGGCAGAGAGAGGCACUAUGUUGAGUAUUUUCAGAUUAGCCCAAGAGUAACGUCCCAUGGCGGACUUAUGAAUUCUAUUGAUGAACCCAUCUCCCAACACUAUUGUAUGGCAGGACAUUCACAGUAUACUUGAUCUUAAUUGUCACAUUGUCAACCCUUAGUCUCUCACGUGUAUUAUUGAUAUCCUUUAUUAGAAGAUACUGUGCUGGCGAAACAAUGAAUCAUCGACAAAUCUGCGGCUAGACCAAUUAAAUGUGUCUCAUUUAAUUUACACUCAAAAUGCUUAGAAUUUUCAUUUGUUAUGUUUGGUGAUAUCUCAAGUGAGCUUUCGUGCGCAUAGUAAAUUGACCACUUUGACAUGAUAAAAAAAAAAAUAGGCCACCAGCACUAAAUCUUAUAACUCAUCAAGGACUACCUACGUCUUGUUAUUUUUAGCCUUAUAAUUAGAUUGAUCAAAUUGUAAAGUUUAGGACUAUAUUGACUACUAUACAAUAACUUUAUGAUUUUUUGACCCAAUUUUCUCCACUAAAUUGACUGUUGUACAAUAAAUUUAUGAUUUUUUAAUCCAAUUUUCUCCACAGAAUUAUUCCACGAUGUAAUUUCUCCAAGAAAGCUAAAAUUUGACAAUCUCAAAUACUCUUUUGUCGCUUUUCCAUCAUCAUAUAUCUAUGAGCACAUGUCAAUGCAUUUCAGAUAAUCAUAAACAUUGAACACCAUUCAAUCUUCCACGUCCUUCCUUCACCAAUUCACUAAUCCAUUAUCACAUCAUCAAGAAUUGAACUAACCAAUUCAAGUUGUAUCUCUCGGAACUCUACUCAAAGCGUCAUGUGUGAUAGUUUUAGAUAUUACGCUUAGAUGGAUUCUUGGAGUAUCAUGCUCCAUCUAUUGAAAAAUAUUCAUUUAUGCAUCACCAAAAUCAAUACGUAUAUUCUACUUAUUUUGGGAUAUAUGAAGGGCUAUCUCCCUAAUCCCGAGCAUUUUCACUGUCCAAACCUCUUAAGUUUUUUAUGGAAUGUUACCCAAAAGGUGUUCAAUAAGAUUUGGAAUAGAGGAAUAAAUAACAAACCAUAGAUACAUAUAAGAUUCAUUGUCAAGCGAUGUGAGAUAAUGAAAGUCCAAUCCAAAAACUCAAGUCAUUAAUUAGAGAGAGAUCGCAUUUAUAUAAAGAGCAAUGACAUUGCUCUAAUAGAAAACAUACAAGAGAAUAAUAUUAUUAUGCCACCCUCAGUACUGCCUAUACUUUCUACUUGGGUCAUUUUGAUCGUGAUGUUUCACUUUUCAUACUCACUUUGCUAAGCCAAAAUUUCAUGUCAAAGAAAGCUUAGCCUUGGUGCUAUUCAAAGGGGCAUUUUAGAACCAACAUAGCAUAUUCUUCUUGUGUUUAUCUGAAGCUCGAAUCGAGGUCAUCGACGAUAGGUAAUGGAGACUGUUGCUUAUGGGACGGUGUGGACUAAGAUGAAUUCACCGGUCACAUCACUUGCUUCGGUCACAUCACUUUCUUUGACCUCAGUAGUAAGUUAACUUCUGACAUGGACUUCUUAAUCGUUCCGCAUGGAAUUGCUUAAUCUUGCUUACCACAACUUCAAUCCCUACCCAACGCCGUAGGGCAAGGGGAAAAUGGGGUCGUUAUGUCAUUAUUGCACACUUUAGUCAACAUAAAUAAUCAACAUGAGAGAAAUAAAUGAAAAAAUCACAUCAAUAUUUUUCAUUAUCUAAAUUGGAUGGAGUUGAUGAAAGGAUUUGAAUUCAUCAAUAUGAAAUAAGACUUCAUUGUACUUUUUGAGAGUUUUAAAUUUCAAUUGUACCCUCAAGAUAACUUUUUGGACUUCUUUUCAGACUUCCCAUACACUUAAUUCCUUUUUUUCAGCAUCUAGCUAUCUGUAUUAUAUUGCUUGAUAGAAUGAAAGUUACAUGUUUUCCACCGUUUCGUAAUAUCAUUGAAACAUGUUAAUGUUGUUAAAUACUGAGUACCAUUGAUAAGAGAGUAAGAAUUCAUCAACAUCUGACAUAUGCAAGCACUGUGGUGCUAAUGCACUUCGUUUUUCUCGUCUCUUUCAUCCAAAGCGUGGAGUCCACGGAGAUGGCCUAUACGUGCCAAAAACGCAACGCAAUUAUGCAAAAGACUUUGACAUGUCAACCCGGAUUAGGUGAUGCCUAGUGGGACUGCGAAUACGGAAAGAAAAGCUAGAGGGAUGAGACCAAAUCUUCAAAAGAAGUCAUUGCAAGAUGAACUCAUCUAUAGGCCACUAUCAGUGAUCCCAACGUGUUCGUCGAAUCAAAGUUCCAGUCUUCACGUUGUAAGACUAUAUUUUAAGCAAGUUCCCUCAAAAAAAGGGAAAAAGAAGAAGAUGAUGCAAGAGCCUUGAUAUGUGAUUGAGUGGUCCAACACGUGGUAAGCACGGAGCAGAUGUCGCAUUCGUUUUUGUCUCUUACUCAAAGUAACUUUAGAGGCCAAGGCUUCCUUGGUGUAAAGUCUUACUCAAUGUGCAAUCAAUAAAGCAGUUUGCAGAUAUCACAGACCUUGGUGGCCAGUGGUGGCCCCGACCCUAAUGUCCGAAAAUUCCCUAAUUAUAGGUAAAAAAUUCCCAAAAAAUUAUAUGGUGAAAUUUUUUUAUUUUUUUAUCUAGUUUGCCUAACCUCUAAUUCUUUGUCUGCCACUAGUUUACUACUGCUUGAAGAAAUAAGCUAAAUUGCAAUGUUCGGACAGAAUAUGUUACUUGAAAGGACGAUGAACUUUUGAGAAGUUAUGAAGCGGACUAAAACAUGCAUGUAUCAAGUUGCAUCUAAACCACUAAAGAUAGUAGACUCCAUACAGAACCCUCACAUCUAACAGUUCAGAUUUAAUAAAUUCAUAUACUGAAUUCACCAAAUAAUUUUGAGGAAUGUUUAGGUUAUUCCUGUACUAUCUAAACAUGGUUUGGGCAACAUUGUGUGCAGACAAAUGAUUUAGUAUCACCAUUUCGUCAUAUCAACAUAUCAAGUAUUACUUCUAGAAUAAUGAUUUCAAUAUCAAUCCAUAUCUCAAGAGUUUAGCCGUGCAAAGCACGGGUCCAUAGACAAAAUUUAGUGCCAGUGUCUUUUCAGAUGUGUAUAGGUGGAUGAAUCGCCCAAGCAGAAUGAAAAUUCAACGCUGGAAUUGCUUACCGUUGCCUACAAAAGCUUUUGCAUUGAAAACGAAAUCUACCAAAAAGCAUAAGAACAAAACAAAAAUAUGGCCCCCUCAUUAUUCUCCCUGUUUUGUACUAUGAUCGUUUUCCUCCGUGUUUCCUACUUCGGUCACUAAUUAUCUUGUAUAGCAUUGACUCCUCAUUAAAGGGCGAUUAAUCAUCAAAUGUAAAAUAUAUUUGACUUAUCCUCCCAUAAUUUGACACACGAGUAAAUCAACUAAACAAAUAUCUCGGGAAAAGCUAAAGUACAACAAUCUCAACUCUCAAAUGCUUUCUACGGCAGUCCAUCACCAUAUAUUUACGAGUACAUGUGACUGUUGUUUCACAUGCUCAUAAACGCCGAACACCCUUUAUCUUCCAAGUCGUUCCUUGACUUAGUUUUAGCCAUCUCAUAAUAAAUAAAUCGAUCGAUUCCAGUUCUUUUUUUCAUUUGGGCACCCCGGCCGACAGAUGUAAAGGGACAAUUGCCAGUUUCCCAUUACGAGACCGGGCCUGGGAUUCGAUUAGGCGGCCCAAUCGCGGGCUGAAGGCCCAUUACGUAGCGGGCCCAUUUCUCUCCGGAUUCCAGCCCCUCCCCUCGCCCAAGAAAGCACGUCGACCUUCGUCUUGGCGUCGCUUGCUCAUCGUGCUCGUGGCUCGUGCUGACGUGUAUUUUCUAGUAAAAAAGGAAAAAUGCGGGUCGAGUUUCCAGCAGAAUUCGAACCUGUCUCGAAGUUCACCUGAGCUUAGCGCAACACCUUCUCUUCCGCUCCCUCAAUUCCCCCCACCUUCUCUUCUUCUGUUCGAUCUUAUCCGUCUCUCUCGACGAUGGCAGCUUCCAGCUCCGGCGGUUCAAUCCUAGUGUCCGGCAAUGCUCAUAGAUCCCGCUUGCAUGAUGCGAUUUCUCCGAAUCUCUGUCUCCUCUCCCGUCCGUGUCAUUUCUCGCCUCUUGAAUUUCUCUUGCUUUGGGAUUUGCAGAGGCCGUUCAGCUCCGGUCCGGGUCACUUUUCAUUGAUGUUGUAUGGUGUAAUAUACUAAAUUAAGGACACUACAAAUGCUACAAUUUUUGUAUGGUGCUCACCUGAGUGUCAUUUUUCUUUUUUAAUCACUUGAGUGCCAUAAUUUUAGUACAACACUUACUUGUGAGCGGUUACUUUUUUUCCAAUCUCUUGAAUAUCAUAUAACUUUUUAAUUGAUCACUUAAAUGUCAUAAUUUUUUUUAAAUGUUUACCAAGUGUCAUGCCAUUUCGGAUUUUCGACAAUUGGGUAAACUUUUUUUAAAAGUUUUGGCUAGUGAUCGAUUGAAAGUUAUGGCACUUAAACUGAAUGUUUUUGUUAGAAAUAAUGACAAUGAAAAUAAAACGUUAGGGGACUCAAGUGAAAACAGUACAAAAAUUAUAACACUUGUAAUGUUCUUAAUUCCAAGUUUGUGAGUUUAGAUUCAAUAUAUCUCACUCUUGUCAUUAAAUAAUACUUAAAUUUCAAAAAACAAAAUUUGAAAGCAAAGGUCUUUUCUAAAAUCUUAUAGACCAUUGCCUAUUUUCUUAGUAAUUCCUACUUCUAAAUAUAUUUGGUGAGUUCAGAUUCAAUCUAGCUCACUCAUGUCAUUAAUCGAUAUGAAUAGUACCCUUUUGACUCUCCUCUUUUUACUUAUUUUUUCACCAUUCUUAUUAAAAAGAUCUAAAAACUGUUCUCUCCUCUCUUUAAGUCAGAAGUAAUCAUACUCUUUUGCUUGAGUCAAGCUUUUCAAGUCAUUAGUGCAUAGACCAAUAAAGAAACUUUGAAAGUGUGGAAAUAAAUGCAAACAUAAAUAAUGGGUUGAGUCCAUGUACUUCUCAAGUUAGGGCUUAAAAUAUAUCCACUCAGUCACAUAAAGCUUUUAUAUAUUUUGUUGACACAUGAACUUUAACUACCCCACUCAAUUCUUCGCCACAUUGAAAAUAAGAUGUUGACCCCAAUUCCAAAAUAAAAAUACUACUUGCAUAAUUCACAUUUACCAUUUAUUUAUGUCAUGAACCAUAUCCGAGUCACAUGGCUCUUAGAUGAGGUUAUCAUGAAUGGUUGCGCACCUGAACGAAGUGUUAUAGCCAACCAUAUAAAAAAAAUAAAAAAUUACUCUUAUGGAUUGUCCUUAGCCAAAUCAAUUUAACAUCAACAUCCAAGUCUUAAACAAGGACCAAGUCUUAAACGAUAAGAACAGAUGAAGACAAACCGCAAUAAAUUAGUGGGGCAACUUGCUAGUUUUCUUGUUAGAUGUAACAUCAAAGUCCCACAAAAUUCAAUUUUGAUCGGCCCGCAAUAAAACCGCUUCUAUGAUAGUUGAUUUCCAUUAACGCUUUGACUUACUUGAAUAGAUAUUUCCACUGCAAUUGCCGGUCAUGACUUUUAACAAAAGAACGGACAACACUGAUGGGCCUCAGCCUCCAAUUCCCAAAAUCCAGAUUUAAUUAGUAAAAUCCAUCAGCAAAUUAAGGGAAAAUUUCAAAUAAGGACCCAAAGUGAGCCUAUUUUCUCAAAUAAGGACUCAAAAUGGCUAACAAGUCUCAAAUAAAAACCUGAACUUGCCGACUGGCCAAAAUGUUCACUAGCCAAUGAGAGUGUGACAUUUCCGAUGGCCGGAAUAUGGGCAAUUUUGUCAAAAAAAAUAUAUAGAUAGAAAUUUACAAACCCUAAAAACCACCCUCCAAACUCUUCACGUUAUUUUUGACCUAAAAAGAAAAACUCUUCAUGUUCUCACUUUUUUCUUCUUUUGCUCUUGAUCUUCUCUGUUCUUUGUCCUCUCUCAGUUGGAGCAUGGAAAUAUUUUGUUAGUGAAACACAAAUUGAAACACAACAAGAAACCCCUACCUUCGUUUCUUCACAUCUUAUUCUUUUGUUUUCUGUCUCCGUUUCUUUCUAACGAAGAAGAAAAAUCUUGAGUAAAGCCACCUUUUUCAUUAUUGAGACACUCGUGUGUAACAUGAGGGCCUCGAUUCUUCAUUAUCUUUUCCUAGGUUUGCCAUACAUUUUGAGUCACACUCCCGUUCAACCGAGGUCAGUUUCGUUCAAAUUGAGAGAGAGAGAGAGAGAGAGAGAGAGAGAGAGAGAGGGGGGGGGGGAGGGAGGGAGGGCACGUACCUUUGGAACUCAUGAGAGAAUUUGGUUUCUCCAAAUGAGAGGGGACAGAGAAUGUAAAAGAUGAAGAGCGGAAGAAGAAGAACAUGAAGAGUUUGAGGGUUUUGUUUUUAGGGUUUGUUAAUUUCUAUCUAUAAUUUUUUGGGACAAAAUUGCCCAUAUUCCAGCCACUGGAAAUGUCACACGCUUGCCGGCUAGUGAACAUUUUGGCCGGCCGGUGGGUUCAAGUCCUUAUUUGAGACUUGUUAGUCACUUCGGGUCCUUAUUUGGAACAAUGAUCACUUCGAGUCCUUAUUUGAGAAAGUAGGUUCACUUUGGGUCUUUAUUUGAGAUUUUCCUGCAAAUUAAUAGAAAUAAUUUUUUUUCUUCAAAUUACUAAUAUGUCUUUGAUGUUGAUCUACCCAAAUAUCUUUGGGAGAUUUUCGUUUGAAAAAUGUUAGUACCCCUAAGGCACUCGUCAAUAGUCAUUAAUUGUGCUUUGAUAAUAUUAACAUUACGAUAUGUUCGUAAUGGAUGCAAUUGAAAUGCACACCCGAAACAUAGCUAAAUUAUAUUGCAGUCUUCGACACUAUCAACAUGAUAAACCUCACUAAAAAAUUUCCACAAAUUCCAUUCCCAACAGCAGUCUAAUAUCUGCAUGCCGAGAGACGUCAAAAGAAACAAAAUAAUUCGAACUCAGGAAAAAAAAUGUCAAAAUACAGAUGGAACUCUCAAAAACCAAGGUCGUCUGAAAAUUGACUGCGUUAAAUACUCAUUAAAAACAUGCUUUUAACCAAAAAAUGAACCGGCCUCACUACUUAUCUUCCUUCUCGGCAUCAGCGGCCUUUUUCAUCCUCGCGCCCAUGUGACGUUUGUUCAAGCGCUCCACUCGAAGCUUGGCAUAUGCGUUGAAUGAUUUCAUCUCAUCUGUGACCUCCACAAGUUCCACCGCUGGCUUCUCUCUUACAAUGGGCAGGUAAGUUCCUUGGACUUGAGUUGCAUUUGCAAGCUCUUCUGGAGUAGAAUCACCAGCCUGCAUGGAGAAGGAAGAUGAGAUGUUUUCAACAAGAACAAGGAUCGCACAAUAUUGAUAUGAAUUUUGUAAGUAGUCAAUUUACCUUGAAUUUCCGUGCGCGUCUUGGGAAGACAACUAGCUUCGCUUUGUAUGUCUUCAGCCUCUGCACAUUUGCAUGUAGACCUUCCAGUGACUGAUUGGCGAUGAUCAACUGCAAUUCCAAUUGUUGGAGCUAAUUUCUUCGGGAUACCUGCUGCCUGAGACGUGCAAAAUGCAAGUUAAGCACGAGGCUUGCACCGGAUGCUGAAAACUGUAAAAGGAUAUCCUUGAAGGAAAGAGCAAUCAGGGAAGGCGUUUUCGUUAUCAUAAAAAUACUAGCUAUAGUAAUUCCAAACCUUUGUGAAAAAAGCAUGUUUAGUAAAAAUGAAAACAUGCCAACUUAACAGACAGAAUAAGGAUGAAACAAUGAAAAGGCUAAAAAAAAAGCGCCACGUUCCAUUUAAAGAGCUAAAUGAAGCGAAGGACGCAAGUCUACGUGGAACCUGCCACUCCAAUAGCCGAAUGUGACUUUGACCACAGCUAGGAGUAAUAUACCAGUAAAACAACACGGGCAUUAACAAUGCUUCAUAUGCAAAAAUGUGGUGAAAAUAAUGCUGGCGGUCUGAGGGGACCUGCUGUUGGCCGUGGGAAAAUCUUCACAGCAUUCUUUUGCCGAGCUGGGCACAAAAUAAAGAGCAUCAGAAUGCUCUGAUAAUAAGAAUGGCAACCAAUGAUUUCACUUCGAUAGCUAGGUAAGUAGUUGAAUAACCUAGGCGCCUUCUAGCCUUUCUCGCAGGCUGGUUAAACCAGGUCUCGACGUAAUUUUGCCAGUGCUUUCUGAAGUGCCCAUUUGGCACAACAUUGUUAUGUUUAACCAUGACUUACCUAAAAAGAAAAAGAAAAAAAAAGACAAAGUUUUUAAGGUUGAGAUGGACCUGAGAUGUGGAUAUAUCUUAUCAGCAAAAGCUAUCAGACAGUCAAUACAUGACAGAUUGUGAUCCAAACACAUUAACGAAAAGUACAGCAAAUUUGUUAUACAACUUUAUAGUUGUAUAUACAGAAAUUAACAGCAAGAAGAAGACACUAAUGAGAUUAUACAACCUUAUAGUUGUAUAUACAGAAAUUAACAGCAAGAAGAAGAACAAAAAUAGUUAAAAGAUGUAUAUACAGAAAUUAACAGCAAGAAGAAGACACUAAUGAGAUUAUACAACCUUAGAGCUCGAGAGUGUUUGUUUUGUGGAAAAUGAUUAGUUUGAAAAUUAUUUUCUUAAAAAUGAUCGCUUGUAUUGCUAAUAAAAAAAAUAAACAAAAAAUAUUUUAUUAUUCACGAAAAUGUUUAGAUUUAAAUUGUUAUAGGUAAUGAAAAUAGUUUUCAUUGACUAAUUAUUUUAAGCGAUACAAGUAAUUAUGUUUAAGAAAAUCUUUUUCCAAAUCAUUAAUUUUUUGCUAGAAAAAAAUGGAGCCUUAAUUAUAGUUAAAUUUUGUGAGUGCUAACCAUAGAAUUAGAUGAAUCAACAUGGAAGGAAAAAAAAAAGAUGAAUAGAAGGUCUAGAAUAACGGAAGAUAUAUAAAGGCCUACUAGAGAAUGAAGCAAGAUGAAUAUGUUGAAAGAAAAAUUGAGCAAAUAGAGUGGAAAUUGGAGCUCAAAUUCUCCCGCCGGCUUGACCAUUAAUUCCGAUCAUGUUAUAUUCUUUUCACAUCUUUGCACAGAAGAAAGUGGAUCAAACUUGAGAGAGGAAAAAAAAAGUCAAUAGAUUAAUCACUAACAGCACUUACCAACAAGGUACAUCAAGAUUUGACUUUAGGGUUCAUAUUUGUUGACUUUGAUAAUGGACGAGUUUAUCAAGAUCGAGGGCUCUAUUGUCAAGUAACAUUUUUCUAGAUGAUCUUACUAACAGGAAAAGGGCCAGUGACCUUCCUACAAGUUAACUUUUUCAUCACUUUAUCUUAAGGGUCAAGAUUUGAACCAUGGAUCUCUUCUACUUUAAAGAGGAAAUAUAUAGUUAGGAUAUAUCCGAUGUUUAUAGAUGGAAUCCCAACAUAGAGUAAAGUUGAAGCUUUUCUUCUGUUUUAAGGGUUCCUAGUUGAGUUGGGGAGAUAUUGUGCUUUGAAUAUAAACUUCGUAAAGCUAAACAUUCUUAGGAACUAUGAGAAUCAAAGAUAUCCAAAAGUAAUGGAACUGAGCAAUUCCGAUUUAUUGAAAUCCUCAUUUUGCAGUUGAUGAUGAAUAUCUCAACUACAUGAAUGACACAAUGCAUGCAAUGAUAACAAGGUAGGUGAAGUACCAACAUGCGCACAUGAUGUUUGGGAAGAAAACGUCAAGUUCUAUGUAGGAAUUUUAGAAAAGACAAUUAAUAAUAAGUGUAUUCAAGAAACAGCUCUAGUGAUGUCAAUGGAGUCUAAGAUUGAGACUGUUAUGAUAUGUGGAAUGAUGACUGUAGACCACCUAAUGAGAAGAUACAGGUUUGUGAUGGGUUAACGAGGAAAAGAGGAGUAAAAAGGAAAAUAUAGACAUAGGUUUUAUGGAAAAAUCUUGAGUUUGUUCGUCUUAUUCAAGACUACAAUACUAAAUUGAGGUCUAGGAAGAGGGUAAAAACUUGUUAUCCUUCAAACUUUCGGUAGCAUUGUUGAGAUAUAUUAGACAGAAAGAAAUCAUAGCAAAAACAGAACUAAGUUUUUAUUUGACCGGACAUAACUCGAAAGCAAGCACCUAAAUACAUAAUUUUCGAAGGUGGAAUAAUUUUUCUUAUUUUGAGGUAACUUCUAUGUACAAUUCAUAUCCCAUAUGGCAUAACAUACGUUGAAAGGUUAGUGUUUCAAUUGUAUGAAUUUCUUUGAUCUGGACUCCCCUUGUUUCCAAAGAAAAAUUAACAAAUUCAUGUGAUACAACUAAUGUGGCCCCAAACAGCAAGAGAUACCAUAAAAUCAACAAUCACAAAAUGAGUUGAGUAAUAAAAAGUAUUAGUUGUACAUACAUACUGCCAAAACUCAUACAAACUAGACUUCCAAUAAUGAGAACGGUAAACUAUUUAAGAAUGUGAAAUACCACAUUUACUGGGAGCCUAAUCUGUAAUAAGAAAUCAAAUUGCAGCUUCACUCUCCACACGCUGUGCAAUAAAAGGACUCUAAACUAGUUUUGUUAUUAUUCUGCCCUCGUCUAGUUACAUAAAUUUUUUAGCUAGGACAAUAAAGAGAGACUCAAAAAACACAUAUUGCGUUACAGAUUUAGAAUGAUUAGGAGAUCAGCAGCAACAUAUUGAAUUGACUCUUGCUUUAACUGCCCCUUCACUACCUAAAAUGGAUGCUUCAUCAAAAAUAUAUUUAUAUAAGCUAAUCACUUCUAUGUAACAAUUUUUUUUUUUGGAAUUUAGCAAUGAAGGUGUAUUGGGCCAGCUUUCGCACGCCUCAAUUAAUUCACUUUUCUAGACGAUAUUAAGAGCACGCUCCUACAUAUCGACUGUUGCAUUUUGGAUUUUACUUGUAAAGUGCCUCCAGGAAGGCUUGAUACUCAAGACCACAAGGAGAGGAGAAACCUUUUAAACCAUCUAAAUCAGUUGUUUCUGUGUAGCAAGUACAAGCGCCCAAACUUAUUAAAAAAAUGAUAAUAUUAGACAAGAUAAAGUGAAUAUUAUAUUGAAUAAUUCUGUUGAUAAUGCAUGGUCUGCACAAUAUUAUGUUAAAACGUAUGGUUUUUCAAGAUCCAUGUGUCGAUCACGCUAUUUUCAGAUCUCCGAAUGAUAUCAAAAAAAUACAUCCCAAUGCCUCUUUUCACACAUGGCAUACGAUGUAAGUAUCGCGAACUUCCAUCGAAGCAACCGGCCAUUGCUAUCUAUAAAAGCUUCUCAAUGGCACUUUACCUAGCACGUAUUAACCAACUCCAGCAACGAACAAAAGUCAUGGAAUCCUUACUCUAUGCACUUCUUUUUCGGAUCAUCCUUCUCCUAAUGAUCCAUACUUCACUUGCUAAGCCACUAUGCCAUCCGGAUGAGAGCUCUGCCUUGAUGGAAUUCAAGCGAAGUUUUCGAAUCACCACAGCAGAAUUUCAAUGUGUUUGUCCAACGGUUGAAUCGUGGUUACCAAAUGGACAUGGAGAUUGUUGCUCAUGGGAUGGGGUUGAGUGCAACGAGGCCAGUGGUCACGUGACAGGCCUUGAUCUAAGUAGCAGUUGUCUCCUUGGUAACAUAACUUCCAACACCAGCCUCGUUCGCCUACUUCACUUGGAAUCACUCAAUCUCUCUUUCAACGACUUCAACUCUUCCUCAAUCCCAUACGGUUUUGGCAAUCUUUCCAGGUUACAGUACCUUAAUCUCUCUGGUUCAGAAUUUUCCGGGAAAGUCCCCUCAAAUAUCUCACAGCUCUCGAGAUUAACUUCUCUUGACUUGUCUUCUAAGUGGGCAUCUCUAGAGAUGCCUAGCAUAGAAAACUUUGUUCAAAACUUAACUAUGCUUAGAGAACUUGAUCUCUCUAUUAUAAGCAUGCCAUCACCAUUCCCCCAUAUACUUGCGAACUUCUCUUCUUUGAAGUCGCUUGUAUUGAGAAAUUGUGGAUAGCAUGGAGAAUUUCCAGUAAGCAUCUUUCAAUUACCAAAACUGGAAGUUCUCGACAUCAGUUACAAUGACAAUCUUUCUGGUUUUAUUCCUGAACAACGGUAAUCCCCUGAAAUCGUUGUCUCUUGGGGGCACGAUUUUCUCAAGUUCACUUCCCUCUACGUGGAAGUAAAUUUAUGGGUCAAAUCCCCGCUUCCUUCACUAAUCUCACCAAGCUAUCAUAUCUAGACCUCUCUAAAAAUAAUUUCACAUGUGGUAUUUCUCAUUGGCUUGUCGACUUGCCAAAACUCAACUAUUUGAACCUUUCAGGUAAUAUUCAAUUAGCAAGUUUUUUUUUUUUUUAAGAAAAAGAAAUGGAAACGACAUGAUUCGAUCGCUAGCUAUACUAACAAGUUUUGUCUCUCUACACUUGGCAGUUAAUCAGCUCAAUGGUGCACUUCCAUUUUCAUUUGAGAACCUAACAUAGUUGGUUUGACUUGACCUUUCAUUCAACAACUGGCAAGGUGAAAUUCCAAACUCCUUAUGGGAACUCGAGGAUCUUGAAUAUUUGGCACUUCGACACAAUAAUUUGAGUGGCACUAUGGAUUUAAACAAACUCAAGAACUUGACAACAUUGCUUUUGGACUUCAACAACAUAUCUUUUGUCAGCAACACUGAGGUCAAUGCUACUCUUCCAAAACUUUCGACCUUAAGUUUGGUUUCGUGCAACUUGCAUGAAUUCCCAAGGUUUUUAGGCUACCUAAAUGGAUUGGAGUGGGUAGAUCUGUCAAACAAUAAAAUCAAAGGGAGUAUUCCUACAUGGAUGUGGAAUGGUAGUAAGGAAACAUUGAUGAAUAUGGAUCUUUCUCACAAUUUUCUAACUGACUUUGGGAGCAGCCACAUAAAUCUGCCAAUGCCCCAAUUGACGUAUAUGGAUCUUUCUCACAAUCUACUCACUAGCUUUUUGAACAAGCAAAUCAAUCUAGCAUUGCCCAUGUUGACCUAUCUUGACAUUAGUUCUAACUUGCUCAAAACAACGCUUCCUAGUCCACCUCUGUUAGCAAUAUAUUACAAUAUCUCCAACAACAACCUCUUCGGAGAAAUUCAAUCAAUUUGUAGAGUCAGAUCCCUUGUCAUUCUUGAUUUGUCCAUCAACAGUCUGAAUGGCACAAUUCCUUCAUGUCUAGGAAAUAUUGAUUCUUUGACAAUUUUGAAUCUUGGGAGAAAUAAACUUGAGGGCAUGAUUCCUAACGGUUACCUAAAAGUUUGUGUGUUGAAGAUUAUUGACCUCACAAAUAAUCGAUUGCAAGGGCCUAUCCCAAGAUCUUUGAUAAACUGUCCAAUGCUAGAGUAUUUGAACCUUGGUUACAAUCAAAUUCAUGAUGGGUUCCCUUCAUGGCUAUCGAAAUUGACAAAGUUGAGAGCUAUUAUCUUGAAAUCCAAUAAGUUUUAUGGUCCAAUAGAAACAUAUCAAAGCCAGUUUAACUUUAGCAAUUUGCAUAUCAUGGACCUUUCCAACAAUGCUUUCAUUGGUGAACUUCCAUCUAAGUUGUUGCAGAGUUUCCACGCCAUGAAAGUGAUUGUUAGUCAAGACCAAUUGGAAUAUAUGAAUACUUCUCAAGGGCUCCCUCUGUCCUUGGAAACAUAUGAAAAAAUCAUGGACUAUGAUAUGAAAUUGAUGAGUAAAGGCACGGAGAAUACACAAAGGUUCCAUAUGCCCUUAAGGGAAUUGACCUCUCCAACAACAAAUUUGAAGGAUGCAUACCCGAUUUCAUUGGAGAUUUGAAGUCACUUGUUUUGCUUAACCUUUCCAACAACAUUCUCACUUGUUUCAUUCCGCCUUCCUUGGAAAAUUUGAGAGUUUUUGAAUCUCUAGAUCUUUCUCGAAAUAAGCUCUCAGGAGAGAUCCCACAACAGCUUGCCCAGCUUACAUUUCUUUCAUUUAUCGAUGUCUCUCAUAAUCAAUUGUUUGCACCAAUACCACGAGGGAGUCAGUUCAACACAUUCGGGGCCAGUUCAUUUGCCAUGAAUGAGGGGUUAUGUGGAAGUCCUUUGCCAAAAAAAUGCACAACAAUUGGGGAUGACAUACCAUUACCAACAUCAACACUAGGGGAAAAAAAUGGCGACAAGUCUCUGUUUGACUUGUAUUGGAAAGUUGUGCUAAUCGGUGCUGGAGUUGGCUUUUUGAUUGGUGUUGUGUUAGGGAACUUUAUCAUUGACGAGAAGAGUAGGUGGUUUUUGUACUACUCGCGGAUAAUGGCAAAAGGAUGGAAAACAUCAAGAAGGUGUUGAACAAUAAAGAGUUGCAAAUGCAAUUAGAUUACAUGACACGAAUUAGUAUUAAUCAUCAUGUAUCUAGUUUGUAUUAGACACAGGAAAAACACCAUCGAUGUAUAAAUAAAAUUUCACAUACGUAGUUUCAUCCAUCCUUGUUUUAAAGGGUCGUGACCAUUGGCUCUCUCCGAUCAAUGGUGUGCAAUGCUGCUUGUGUAAAAAAAAAUUAUCCCACUAGUGUAAUUACUUAAAAUAAUUAUAAUAUGAUUUUUAGGAAAGUAAAAUCUCACUUGUUUGAUUCAUGUUGAACGAGUGUUUUCCAUUAGUUAUUAUAUGUAAACGCUAUUUUCUUGUUCGUUAUGUUGCAUUAUUGAUUAUAUUAUAUGAUUUUUAGGAAAAUAAAAGUUCACUUGUUUGAUUAAUAUUGAACGAGUGUUUUCCAUUAGUUAUUAUAUUAAACGUUGUUUUCUUGUUCGUUAUUUAUCCUUCUAUCUGUUUUUCCUAAAAAUCAUAUUAUACAGUCAUAUAAUGCAACAUACAUUGGCAAUCCACGUUCUAAUGUAUGUUGUGUUUAUGUGCCAAGCAGUAUAUAUAUAUAUAUAUAUAUAUAUAUAUAUAUAUAUAUAUAUAUAUAUAUAUAUAUAUAUAUAUAUAUAUAUUUUUUUUUUUUUUUUUUUUUUUUUUGGGUCGGCUUCUUGGCUGUAACAUUAGCUACUUAUACAAUCUAAUUGUGGAAAGCUACUAAAUAUUGGAGCCCGUGGACAUGGUAGAGACAAGAAGAAAAAUAUGAACUCAUUUAUUUGCAAUUUAUUCAUUAAACAAUAAAAAGUGAUGGAUUGUUACUCUUAAACACCAAUUUAUUUGACGAAGAGAUUCCUUAACUUUUCACUUAGAAGAACGAAUGCUACAUUUGGCCGGCUUAGCCGCCGGUAAAAUAAAUAAAAAAUAAAAAUAACAAUUACAGAAAGGUGUGGAUGUGAUAAAAUAUGCUACCCAACAUACUAAUAAAAAUAAAAUAUGCUACCCAACAUACUAAUAAAAAUUAUACCAAAAAGAAAUUGACCUCCUAAUACAUGUUUUGUUUGAAAAGAUGCAAUGAAAAUCCCUUACUAUAUUUUUUAUCAAUUCAAAUUAUCCAAACAUGUUAAAUGGUUUUGCCGGACUCGCUUUCCAAACAUGUUAAAUGGUUUUGCCGGACUCGCUUUCAAAAUGCUAUUCAUUCCCACAGAAAACGAAAUAUGUGAUGAUUUAAGCUUGUUAAAUGCUUUUUCCCCUUGGUUCCAAAUUUCAAUUAUUGAAUUUAAUAAAAAGAACAUGUAAUUAUUUUAGUCAUAGAAACUUGGAUCCUCCUCAUUAAAUUGCCUAUUAACUAAUAAAAUAUCUAAAUAAAAGAAGACUAUUAAUUAAAUCACUUUUAAAUGAAGAUUGUAUAAUUUGUUUCAUUUAUUAAGAAACUCAAGUUUGACCCAAAAGUUCAGGUUCAUCUUUCUCGCGAGACUCUUCCCACUUCUCGAGAGGGAAGAAAGGUCUCUUCAAUUUCUACACGGUGAAAGGAAAUAACAAAAUCAAGGAGCGAAAUAAUAUUGGAUUAGGAAAAGCUGGCAAUUUCUCCAUAGACCAGAGAAAAAAAUUAAGGUUAAAAAACACACAAAUAUAAAGAAUUGAAAAAUGAUUUGUGAGGCUUUUUUUAAAUUUCUUUCCCGAGAAUCAAGAGAAACAUAUACGAAACUCAAAGAGACAAGAUAUCGAUGGAGGAUUUUUCUCUCACGAUAAUAUUUUAUUUUAUUUUUUUGCAAAUUUGACUAAUAAGAGAUUAUUGCAUUAAUUUUUAUACAAGAAAAUCAUAAAAUUAAAAAUAAAUAUUUAGUUGUACCAAUUAAUGGCGAAUUAUAUUUAAAUAUAUUUAAAAAAAAACUCGUCAAAAAUAGUAAAACAGAAGUAAAAUGAGUCAUAUAACCUAAGUUACAUCAAUGAUAAAAAAAAAAAAUGAGGAUGUGUUAAGACUCUUCAAAAUCCAAAGAAACCUUCAAAGUCAACCUCAAAAGCCACUCAAGUUGGUGGUGAUGUUGACAAAGUUGCCGAGUUAAAACACUCGCAAGACGUCCGAUAGGGCCAAUACAUGCGUGCAGAUCACAUAAAAAAUAAUCAUAUAUCGCUACAACUAGUUACAACCAAAUGAUGCAGGUUUUUCAGGAUCGGAAGGAUUUCACCUACCUGCAAAAACCUAUAAUGUAGACGUCCGUUUCAAGAAUUCAAAAUCUAAGAUUUAUUUUGUAGGCUCUCCACUUGAAACCCUCAAUAUCGCGCAAUUUUUUUAUACCGAAUAUUACCUUUUACUUUUAGUUUUUUAUCAAGUUAAAAAUUGGCUAUGAUUUUAUCGAAAACUAACACAUUAAACCCAAAGAUGGCCAGAAAAAAAGAAGUAAUAAAAACAUAAAGGAAUGAAUGUAUCUGGUUUUUUUUUUUUUACUUUUGGCAUGGUCAAUCUCUAUACGAAGGGGAAGGGAGGGCGCCUUUAAGGGAGGGAAGAGGAGAUAGAGUGGGGAUAGAAAUGGGGUUGGAGACUCUAGUUAGCUAAGGCUUCAUGUAUUUAAAUGUAAAAAAUUGAACAUGAGUUAGCAAAUUAAUAAUUACAAAUCACAAUAAUGAACUCGAAUCCUAAAAAUUUCAUUUUGAGUAUUUAAGUCUUAAAACUAGAUACAUUUGAGUCUUUUCAUUAAUUAUGUCAGUCUAAAAUGGACAGAAAAUGUCAAUAUGACUUGUGUCAAUUAUUUUUCCAAUCCUAAGCGUCCUUUGUUAAAAAAAAAAAUUGCAAUGUAACUUUUUCAUCCACUAAAGCCUAAAAGAGCUACACUAUGAGUAGUUUUAUGACGUAAAUGCAUGGAAUGAAAGUAUUAGGACCAAAGAGAACACUUGCAGUAAUUGCCCCAACAGUUAACUACAUUUUACGGAAUAAAAGGAGUACGCCGAAAUUUUUUGGAUCCUAUGACCUUUAUAAUCUAUGCUGAAACUUAUCCAAUCAUGCUAGUUCCCAUAUUCUCUUGUACUUCUCUAGUUGCAACUUGCAAUCGGUCAUUGCAGGCAUCUCAUGGUCCUGUCAAGCGAGCCUUGAAUUGCAUCAUGACUCAAUAUGAGAAUCCACAAUUGCGUCUUGCCCCUCAAAUUAGCAUACUAAUAUGAUGAGAUGAGAACCCAAGUGUGUUGAUUUUUAUUAUUCGUUGACAAGGAUAGGUUGGAACGAUCCUACUAAACUUAGAUGCAGCUUCCAUGAAACAAAAGACCAGUGAUUUCACCGGCAAUUGCAGUUGGUUCCUGAGUUCUUCCAACUGCUUAUAAUUUGAAUCUAUUCAAUUCCUGAUCGCCAACUUCUUGCAAUUCCUUCCUAGUGUGUUUGGAUAUAGAAAUUAGCAUAUUUAUAUGAUAACAAUGUGGCGUCAAGUUCAACAACUAGAGAUGCCAUAAAAUCAACAAUCACAACAUGAAUUGAGUAAUAGAAAGUAUUGGUUGUAUAUACUCACUGCCUAAACAAAUUAGACGUCCGCCAUAAUGAGAAAUGUAAACUAUUUAUGUAUGCCAAAUACUAGCUCCGCUGGUACCCACUGUAAUUAGAAAUCAAAUUGCAGCUUCACUCUCCAUACAUUCUGUAAUAAAAGGACUCUAAACUAGUUCUGUUGUUUCUUUCCCAGUCAUCUAGUCACGUGAUGAGAUAAGCUAGGACAAUGUAAGAGAGAUACUCAAUUCACAUCUCACAUCACAAAUUCAGGAUGAUUAAGAGAUCAACCACAGCAUUUUGAAUUGCCUCUUGCUUGAAUUUCCCCUUCACUACAUAUAUCCCGCUAUUCCACACAGAAUCAAACACUUGCUGAGCAAACGUUUCUCUCUUUUCUGCUAAUUACAAAUAUAUAACAAGAUCUUGCAGUUACAUUAGUAGCAGAUUCCUAUAUGGCAAGGUGACAAAAAAUGGCUUUUCCAAACUACCUAUAAAUAUAAAUGAGGGGAAGGCCCAGCCUUUUUCCAUAUUGUAAAGCAAGCCAACCAGUAAAAGAUACAUAUGCCACAAACAAACAAGCACGCUUUAAUCGGUUUGCACUAACUGUGCAAGGCAGGUUCCUGGUUGGAUGUGACCGAUGCCGAGAUUUGAUCUGUUGAAAAAGUCUGAUAAAACUCAUUGAUAUUAAGGAGGUUGAGAAACCAGUAACCACCCCAACAAUGGUUUCCCAUUUCCAAUAUUUAGCCCUGAUCUUGCCAGUUACCCAGGAUUUGAAAAUCUCCAAGAACCUGACAAUGCACAGGCCACGUUAAGUAAUAUAGAAACCACAAUGUAAGUAAGAGACAACAAAUGAAUAUGUACAGCGAAAUGUAAUUUAAGGGCAACUUUGAAAGGAGAUGGAAAUGCGGCAUUUGGAAGGUCACAUAAUGGUGAAUAUGAUCUUUUGUGAACCAGAAAAAAUUCAGAUGUUGUAUUCUAAAAGUUCAGUAACAGUUGAUCCGUAAGCAGAUGAGACAGUAAUCUCAAUUGCAUUUGGGCUUCAGAUAAAGAAGAAAUUACAGCACAAUCAGAUGUACAUGGUACAUGGCAAUGUUGGCCUGCAAUGAUUCUUGGGAGUUCUGUAUUAGUGACCAUUUAUUACAGCAUUAUGAUUAGCAGGCAACUCAAAUGAAAAACAGUCACUGGUCAAUUCAAACAGAGAAGAACAGUAUACUUCAAAAUAGUUGCACAGCUGGACUAAGACUGCAAAAGUGAACUAAUUUCAGACAUGCCAAGAUCCUUCAUAUUUUAGAAAGACACUGAACCAAACAGAAUGAAAUAGUGGCAAUUUGACCAUUAUAAACUACGUGAUUAAUGCAAGAUUUUAAAAGUCGGAUUGGACUGGCCAGUUCUACUGAUUGGCCAAGGUUAGAUAUCCAGUCCAGACCACCAAUCCAUGAGUGGUUGAAAUCAGAUUGAACCAAUGUUGACCUCAUUCAACUUAGGCAGCCCUUGCUUGGCAGUUUGCUGAGAGACCACAUUCCACUUUGUUACCAGAACAGACAAGAGACAUUUCAUGCUACACACAAGCCAAGGUAAUAAAUGCAAAUUGCAGUGCUGGACGUGGUUCAAACUACUGCUCAGUAGAUCAUGCAUUGCUUCCAACACUUUCAUCCACCAAGCCAAACUCCCAUGCGGUCAUAACUUAAAGUAUAAAAGAAUAUUAAGAUGGCAGUACCAAGAAACAUCUAAAUGACCAUGACACAAGCCAGUCAGGGUCUGGUUUAAAAUAGUGCAGUUAUUUUCAGCACACAGGAAGUGCCAACCCUUUUGCUGUAACAUUCCUAAUACACAAAAAGGAAAGGAGGCGCAGAAAAGGAAUCGAGUACUCACAAUAUAUAGUAUCUCCUCAUCAUCUCCAUUGCAGAUGGAUCUUUGGCUUGACAACUGAAGAAGUCAUCAUGAUAGAUGCUUACUUUGGAAUUGCUAGAUGCAUACCAGCAGUCAUAAGUAUUAUUCACCUAAAACCAGUGUGAGAAUAAGUAACGAAGUUGUGCAAUCAAAAAACACAUACAAAAGGAACCACAACAAUCCCAAUGAAAUAAACAUAAUAUCAGGAUGAUUACAAAAACCUACAUAUAAUGGUUUGAAUUUAGCUGAUAGCACAAAUGUUAAAAAGGUGCAUUUGUUACCUUAAAUUUAUCUUUGGUCAACCAAGCAACCCCAAAACCAGGUCUGCAAUCAGCAGGAAGGGCCUCGUUUGGGGCCUCUGCAAGUGCUAAUUGAGUCUGACCUGAUAAAUGAUCCUUAUAUUCUACCUGCAAUUGUAAGAAGGUGCAAAAUAGUAAUGUAAAUUCGGCAGUCAGUAAAUGUGGUAGCUUUCUUUUCCUAUAACUGCAAUUGCCAUUCUUUUACCUCUACCUGCAAUUGUAAGAAGGUGCAAAAUAGUAAUGUAAAUUCGGCAGUCAGUAAAUGUGGUAGCUUUCUUUUCCUAUGAUUUUAAUUGCCAUUCUUUUACCUCUUCUGAGUUAAACUAAGAUACUUAGCCUGAUAAAAACAUCUGUAAUCUCUAUCUAUCUAUGCAUGGAGCACAAUUGAUUAAUGACUACAGUAAAAGUUCAUAAACACUCAUAUGCACCAAUUCCCAGGAAUGCCUGAUUUGGAAGAAGCAUAACAAGGCACUUACUCAAGCUAAGAAGAGCCAACAAAUUGCUAUCAGAGUUAAUUCCAAACUAUACAAACCAAAACACCCAAAGUACAGACAUACACAACCCCAACAUAUGUUCAAUCUUAAAUGAACAUCAAAAGGAUCAGAUUAGAACUGAGUGACUGUUUGAAUAAGAAGACUGAACAAAUAGAAACAAACCAGCAAACUAUGUCUGAUGCUUUUGCCAAUUUUGUCAACUAUAUGUUUAGAUCAAGCUGACUUGGUUCAUUUUCACUAUGAUAACAAGUCUCUUUAUUAAAGUAAGAUUGGUGAAACUAGGCAAUUAGUAAAUUAAGUGUCUCUAGAAAUACUAUGGGAAACCGGAUUUAACAUCAAAUGAUUCAACAAUCCAUUCAAGGUACAAUUUAUCAAAUCUAAACACAAGGAGGGCAGUUGCCGAAGACAGGUUUAACCUAAUCAAACAGAUUUUACCACCCCCUUCUCCUCUUCCCACCUUCAUCCAAAUCAUAGAAGAGUUAAACUUUCAAUCUCUUUUUCAUUUUUAUCUAGAAUGAUUCUUUUAACUUUUAUUUAUCUCAAGUGCAGCAAGAAUACUCACUUCCAUGAACAUUUCUAAACAGGUUCAAACUUCAUUGUAUCCAAUGUAUCAACUAACAUGCAAAUGCCUUUUCAGCUUCACAACAGCUCAUAGUAUUCUUACAUUUGAACACUAUUUUUGCAGAAUCAAUACCAGCUCAUUCACAAGGUUCCCCUGUGACUUAAAGAAUGAUAUGGCAUUCAUAAAUAUAUCGGCACGUGACGUUGUUAAAUAAUUGACAAAAUGACAAUGAGCAUAGAGUGAAAUUACUAUAACUAUAUUUCCUUAAUUGACAUUCAUAGCUAAGAAAGACAGUAAAAGGUUGAUUAUGAUAAUAGCACAAAUGACUUAACAAGUAGUUCCUUCGACACAUGCUUGAUUCCUAAUUAGUUGAACCUCCAUAUAAUAAGUGAUGGAAACAUAAGAUUCAUUGCGCACUCAAAUGAAUGAAAAGAUAGCUUCUACUGGUCAUGCACAACAUUAUCCAAUCUAAAACUCAACUUGAAAUGGCAUGGGCACACAGGGGUGUGCAAGCUCCUGCACUCAUGCGCAACAGAGAUGAGUAAAUCCUAGAUAGUACUCUAUAGCAUUACAAAUGUAUGUCAAAUAUUACAGACAUUUUAUCAGGCAGCUGUAUAGACAAUAAGAUUUAGGCUAGAGAAAAAUAUGCAGAUAACUAUGAAAAUUCCGCAGUUCCAGACAAAACAAGGCAACAAUGGAAACACCGAAGCUGAGCCUCAUUGGCCACGAAAGAUAACAGGGAUAACUGAAACUCCCAACAGACAAGAAAUGCACACUAAAAAACGGUAAUUACUCCUCAGAAGACAUAGAAUCACCUUAAAAACUGAAGCCCAAUAGUAAUCAUAAUGGCACCGGAAUUUCCUUUUCUCGGACGAGCUGAAGACAAUCUUGGCGUUAUAAUUCAACAGCCCAAGCUCGCAAACUUUAGACGACCUUAUAUCCACACCUGCAAGAAAAAAUUCAAAACUCAGCAUACGACACUCGAGCGCACAACACGACCGACAGUACGAAAACGAAACUCGCUACGUUUCAUUGAUCAAACGAGUCAUCACAUACUACAUCCUGUCUAUUUAUCAUCAUUAGCUAGCAGCUGAAGUAGCACAAAACGGCCAAGACGGUAACAAUCCACAACUUAGCUCAGCCAACUCGAAUGGUGAAGACCCGAAAGCAUGAGCAAUCAUUCAACGGAACUUACUGCUGGAGACGAUUUUGCACUGAGCAGGCAGCGACAUAGGGCUGGGGAUCGCGAAGUUACUGACGAGGAGGGCGACGACGCCGAUCACGAACGACGAGGAGAAGAAGAAGACGACGGGGAAAAGAAGAGCCAGGAACAAUCGGAGCAGUACGGAGAGAUUCCCGCUCUCGCCCGUCGCCCCGCGAUGAGGCGGCGGCGAGGCCGUGUCGCCGGCGGAGGGAUCCAUAGCUCCCGACGCCUUAUCCGGACGGCCGAUAUCGCGACACUACGCGCGACGGAGAAGCAUGGGGCGAGGAAACCCCGAAGCCCUCUCUGCGUUGGGGCCGACAGAUUUCGGAGGUAGCGAUCGGAGGGAAAGUCUCCGGCCGCCGUGGAACCGAGGGUUUUCCAUUCAUUAUCCCAAUGAUACGUAAUAGAAGAAGAUCUCAAAAGUCAUAAUAACAAACAAGCCCAUAAAAUUCCAAAACAAUCCAAAAAUCUAAAAUCAAUGCGUAUCAUUAGAGCAUGGUUGGCAUAAAUAAUCACAAGCUCAUGGUCUGUUACCGCAUUCAAGCAAAAAGGAUCGGUGGUCUAUCAUAAAAUCACACAAUGUCAUUAGUAAUAAGCACAUGUCAAGAUCUGCAUUCAUAGUUACGACUUUGCUUUUCAACGGCAUACACCUAGAUUCAAUGGUGAACAUCUAGAUUCGGCAUCCCUACACCAUCACCAUAUAAAAACAAAACAUGUUAAAGAAGAUCAGAUUUGACACUUGUGGGAGCAAGUUUUGUAGCCAAUGCAAAGUGCUAUAAGUUAAAUAAGCAUAUAUUUGACAUCAAAACUGUUGUGAACACUAUUUAAACUGGAUGUGGAGUAUUUUAUUCAUUAAAAUUUUAAAAUCUAAAAUUAGAUCAAAGAAAAAAACUCCUAGAUAUAAUAUUAGGAGAGCAAAGCUUUCAAAUCUCAAACUAAAUUUGGGAGAGUAAGGAAAAGGGAAAAAAAAAUAACUAGGAUGGGAGGGAGAGAUCUAGGUCAGAUCCCUCCAUCCCAAGAAGUGGAAGAGAUGAAGAAAGGUUCAGAGUGGGUGGGAGGGAGGGAGGGAGGAGUUUGGGAGAGGAAAAGGCGUUGGUGUCAAUUUUGAUCUAUUCUACUUUAAAGAGAGAAAAUCAAUGGUUAGAAUAUAUCUACUGCUGAUAGAUUGAAAGCCUAAGAAAGAGCAAAGUCGAAGCUUUGCAUUGAGUAGUGCUUCUGUUUGAAGGGUUUCUAGUUGAGUUGGUAAGAGAUUGUAUUAUGAAAAUAUACUUUGUGAAGCUAAAUAUUUUUCGAAACAUAGGCAAGAACCGAUGAUAUCUAGAAGUAAUCAAAUAGAGCAAUGCCAAACCUUGAAAUACUCAUUUUCUAGUUGAUGGUGAAUAUCUCACAUAUGCAUGCAAUGUUAAUUAGGUAGCUGAAGUACCAAAAUGCGCAUAUGCUAUUAGUGAAGAAAAGAUGAGAUUAGUAAUGAGUGGAUUCAAGACAAAGUUAUAGUAAUGUCAAUCUGGGAUGAGAACAAGACUGUUAUGAUGUGUGGAGCAAUGAUUGUAGAUGAGCUAAUAAGAAGAUACUGACUGCUCUAUAAUAAGCCAACAAGGAAAAGAGGAGUAAAAUGGAAGAGGUGGACAUAAAUUUUAUGACAAAUGUUGAGUUUGUAGAUCUUUUCAAGACUCCAUACUAGAAGAGGGUAAAAAAUUGUUAUCCUUUAGAACUUUCAUUUGCCAUUGUUGAGAGAUAUUACAUAAAGUACAAAAACCACAGCAAAAAUAGAACAUAAAUUUUUAUUUGACCGGACAAAUCUCUAAAGCAAGCACUAACUUAAUUUCGAAGGUGAAAUAAUUUCUCUUAUUUUGAGGUCAUUUAUCAACAAAUCAAAUUUUAAUUGGCAUAAGGUAUGUUGAAAGAGUGACGUGUUGAUUGUAUGGAAAGAAAAAUUAGGAUAUUCAUAUGACAUGAACAAUGCAGCCUCAAAAAACUUGAGAUACCAUAGAAUCAACAAUCACAAAAUGAAUUGAGUUUUAGAGAGUAUUAGUUGUAUAUCCACAUUGCCAAAACUUAAAAAAUAAUAGAAUCCCACCAUAAAUAGAAAUAUCAACUAUUUAUGUAUGUGAAAUACUAACUCUACUGGUAGCCCACUCUGAAAUUAGAAAUCAAAUUGCAGCUUUACUCCCCACACAUUCCGCAAUGAAAGGACUCUAAACUUAGUUGUUCUUUUCCUCUCGUCUCGUUACAUAACAAUUUUAGCUAGGACAAUAAGAGGUAUACUCAAUACACAUAUUGCAUUACAAAUCCAGUAUGAUUAAUAGAUAAACAGCUGCAUUUUGAAUUGCCUCUUGCUUUAACUUCGCCUUCAUUACCUAGAUCACGCUAUUCCACACAAAAACCAAACUUUUGGCCCCUCCCAUUUUACUUUGCCAAAAGAACGUCUCUCUCUUUUAUGCUAAGUACAAUAUUCAACAAGAUCCUGCAAUUACAAUAGUAGCAAAAUCUUUAAUGCCAAGGUGACAAAAAACAGCUUUUUCCAAAGUGUCUCUAAGCAUAAAUUACAAUCAAGCCCGGCCUUUUCCCAUAUUAACCAACUAUGGUAACAAAAACAGAGAUCAUGGUGUCUUCACUCUAUGCACUUCUUACUCAUUCGUCCUUCUCAUUUCGAUUCAUACUUCACUUGCUAAGCCACCAUGCCAUCCGGAUGAGAGCUCUGCCUUGAUGGAAUUCAACCAAGUUUCAAAAUCUAUAGAACAUAUUUUCACUGUGUUUAUGCACAGGUUUAUCAGGGUCACAUGGAGAUUGCUGCUCAUGGGAUGGCGUAGAGUGUCACAAUGCCAUUACAAUUGGAUAAUACUUUACAAACUUCCAUGCUUAAAAUAUAUAAAUAUUCAUGACUUCUUAAAGAUGUUAUUUCAAGUAUCACGGCAUUGCAUGGGCUAAAAUGCUAGUGUUGUUAUACAAUAGGAGUGAAGAACAGAAAUAAGAUACUCACGUCGAAAUUAACAUUUGAAGUGAUAAUAAACUAAAAAAGGAAAAAAAAAGAAGAAGAAGAAGAAGAAGAAGAAAAAUGAUGAAUGCCUAUACACAGGAGAUGAAUCUUUUUUUCUCCCCUUCUUUUGGGGAAAAACAUAAUGACAUUAAACAAAACAAAUCAAGCUACAUUGUCUAAUAUAAGUGUGCUCCGAUGCCCUUAAAAACAUUUGGAACAUAGGAUAAAUAACAAAUUUCAAAUGUUGUUCCAUUCCAAGUAGGGCUAAAGUGACUAGCCAACCAGGCUUGUGAGAUUACUUGCGCCCAUUAAGCCAUAAAGCCUAUUCAAAGAGGACUAAAACGAUGUGAACGAGUUGUUAGUCUUUCAAUUUGGUCUUGGUCCAACUCACUCAUUCUUAUAGAGCAGAAUGAAUGAACUAGCAUUGCCUUAGUACUCCCUUUCCAUGACAAUGAUGUACAUUGUAGAUAGUUAAAUCGUAGAUGCAUGGAACUCUCAUGUACGAACUAAGUAAUAAAAUGAUUCAACACAUAGGUGGAUAACUAGAAGACAGAAAUUGUUUAUACCCAAUGUUCAUUCUUUAACUGUUGAGUUAAUCUCAUUGGAUCAUGCCUCGAUGCUUGGUAUUUGUUUGUGCUUUAUGUAAAUUAGGUGAUUCCACUUCUUUGAUUGUGAAUCGAUACCUUCCUCAUAAAAAACCAUUGAAGGUUAAGAAAAUAAAAGGUGUAUCACAAUGAUUAAUGAUAUUAUAAGCAAUGAACGGAAUAAUCACAGAAUUACUUUGGAAAAUUUGAGGCACUAGCUAUACCUAUUGAUCAGAAUGCGCCAUGUAAGUGAAGUCGACGUUGCAUUUCAUCAUUGAGUCCGCGUUCAGCAGAAGACGUCAACCUUACCUUCACUCAAAAGUCGUCUCUCAUGUCUUCCACUCAGUUGAGAACCUGAGAUGACUAGUUCAACUUGCAAGUCAUGCACAUCUUGUCCACGUAAUGUCACCCAAGAUUUGCUAGUAUCCUAUUUGUUCCAGUAUAUCCACGGGUUAAAACCAAAUGGUAGGUUAUAAUAAUUUUUAUGUAGCUGGCUUCUUAAUCAAAAUUUCGGCUUUGCAAAUUGACUUUUGAGUCAACCAACAAACCCCAUAAAAUCAACUUCUAUGUAACAUUUUUUUUUAAAAAAAAAAAUUAGCAAUGAACUAGUAUACAUAUUAGCUUUCGUGCAUCUCGAUAAGUUUAUUUUUCUAAGCGAUCUUGAGGAUGCUCUUCCUUAUAUCAAUUUGGUAUAAUCGGGAUUUUGCUCCUAGGAUGCUCCUAAUAAAACUUGAAUUCAAGAUCAUAAGGAGAAGAGAAAACUUCUAGCAAAAUUUUUCCAACACCUUGGUGGUUAUGUGUAGCAAUUUCAAGUUUACCAACUAGAUCAAAGUACGACAAAGACCAAAAACGUAUUGUACUGAAUAAGGAUAAUGCACUUAACCUUUUUAUAUGAAGCAUGUCGGUUUUUGUUUAUUCAUUUUUGAAAUAUUCGAUAAUUUCAUAAAUUCAUUUUAACUUAGGUUCCAUUGGUAUUCAUGGAAAAUAUAUAAUCUAGAAAAUAUUUUCUUAAAAAUGAUUACUUGUGUUAUUUACAAAACGAAUAAAUAAAAAUAUUUUCAUUGACCAAAAAUAUAUUUAGACAUAAAUUAUUGAUGAUGAUGAAACUAUUUUUCACAAACUAACAAUUUUUAAGCUAUAUAAGAGAUUAUUUUUACAAAAAAAAAAUUCAAAUAAUUCAUUUUACCCGAAAUAAAUGGAGCCUUAGAAUGGUCUCUCUCCUCUUUAAGUUGGAAGUAAUCAUACUCUUUUGCUUGAGUCAAGCUUCAACAUUAGUGAAUAGACCAAUAAAGAAACUUUGAAGGUGUGGAAAUAAAUGCAAACGUAAAUAAUGGGUCGAGUCCAUAGAUACUUCUCAAGUUAGGGCUAAAAAUAUAUCCACUUAGUCACAUAAAGCUUUUGAGUAUUUUGUUGACACCUGAAUUUUAACUACCCUAUUCAAUUCUUUGCCGCAUUGAAAAUAAGAUGUUGACCCCAAUUCCUAAAUAAAAAUUCUACUUGCAUAAUUCACAUUUACAUUUUAUUUAUUUCAUGAACCAUUGCCACAUUGAAAAGAAGAUGUUGACCCCGAUUCCUAAAUAAAAAUUCUACUUGCAUAAUUCACAUUUACAUUUUAUUUAUGUCAUAAACCAUAUCCGAGUCACAUAGCUCUUAGAGGAGGUUAUCAUGAAUGGUUGCGCACCUAAACGAAGUGUUAUAGCCGGCCAUGUAAAAAAAAAAAAAAACAUUACUCUUACAUAUUGUCCUUAGCCAAAUCAAUUUAACACCAACAUCCAAGUCUUAAACAAUGACCAAGCUUUAAGCGAUAACAACAAAUGAAGACAAACCGCAAUAAAUUAGUGGGGCAACUUGCUAGUUUUUUGGUUAGAUGUAACAUUAAAGUCCCACAAAAUUCAAUUUUGAUUGGCCCGCAAUAAAACCGCUUUUAUGAUAGUUGGCCAAAUCAAUGUUUGCGCAACUAACCUUGAGAAGUCAAUACUUGUCAUUAACUCUUCCCUCGAUCAAUGAAACCUUUUCAAGACAAGAACAGUUGAUUUCCAUUACUGCUUUGACUUACUUGAAUAGAUAUUUCCAUUGGCCGCCAGUGCAACUGCCAGUCAUCACUAUUAACAAAAGAACGGACAACACUGAUAGGUCUCAGCCUCCAAUUCCCAAAAUCCAGUUUUAAUUAGCAAAAUCCAUCAGCAAAAUAAUAGAAAGAAUUGUUUUUCUUCAAAUUACUAAUAUGUCUUUGAUGUUGAUCUACCCAAAUAUCUCUGGGAGAUUUUCGUUUGAAAAAUGUUAAAAGAGUACCCCUAAGGUACUCGUCAAUAGUCAUUAGUUGUGCUUCGGUAAUAUUAACAUUACAAUAUGUUCGUAAUGGAUGUGGUCAAAAUGCACACUCAAAGCCUAGCUAAAUUAUACUAUAGUCUUCAACACUAUCAAAGUGAUGAGCCUCACAAAAAAAUUUCCACAAAUUCCAUUUCCAACAGCAGUCUAAUAUCUGCAUGGGGAGAGACGUCAAGGGAAAAAAAUAAUUCGAACUCACGGGAAAAAAAAAAAGAAAAACAAGGUCGUCUGAAAAUUGACUGCGUUAACUAGUCAUUAAAAACAUGCUUUUAACCAAAAAAUGAACCGGCCUCACUACUUAUCUUCCUUCUCGGCCUCAGCGGCCUUUAACAUCCUCACGCCCACGUGACGUUUGUUCAUGCGCUCCACUCGCAGCUUUCAUAUGCGUUGAAUGAUUUCAUCUCAUCUGUGACCUCCACAAGUUCCACCGCUGGCUUCUCUCUUACAAUGGGCAGGUAAGUUCCUUGGACUUGAGUUGCAUUUGCAAGCUCUUCUGGAGUAGAAUUACCAGCCUGCAUGGAGAAGGAAGAUGAGAUGCUUUCAACGAGAAGAAGGAUCGCACAAUAUUGAUAUGAAUUUUGUAAGUAGUCAAUUAACCUUGAAUUUCCGUGCACAUUUCGGGAAGACGACUAGCUUCGCCCUGUAUGUCUUCAGCCUCUGCACAUUAGCAUGUAGACCUUCCAGUGACUGAUUCUUGCGGCGAUGAUCAACCGCAAUUCCAAUUGUUGGAGGUAAUUUCUUCGGGAUACCUGCUGCCUGAGACGUGCAAAAUGCAUGUUAAGCACGAGGCUUGCACCGGAUGCUGAAAACUGUAAAAGGAUAUCCUUGAAGGAAAGAGCAAUCAGGGAAAGGCGUUUUCGUUAUCAUAAAAAUACUAGCUCUAGUAAUUCCAAACCUUUGUGGAAAAAAGCAUGUUUAGUAAAAAUGAAAACAUGCCAACUUAACAGACAGAAUCUGGAUGAAACAGUGAAAAGGCUAAAAAAAGAAGUGCCACGUUCCAUUUAAAGAGCUAAAUGAAGCGAAGGACGCAAGUCUACUUGGAACCUGCCACUCCAAUAGCCAAAUGUGACUUUGACCACAGCUAGGAGUAAUAUACCAGUAACACAACACGGGCAUUAACAAUGCUUCAUAUGCAAAAAAGUGGUGAAAAUAAUGCUGGUGGUCUGAGGGGACCUGCUGUUGGCCGUGGGAAAAUCUUCACAGCCUUCUUUUGCUGAGCUGGGCACGAAAUAAAGAGCAUCAGAAUGCUCUGAUAAUAAGAAUGACAACCAAUGAUUUCACUUCGAUAGCUAGGUAAGUAGUUCAAUUACCUAGGCGUCUUCUAGCCUUUCUCGCAGGCUGGUUAAAACAGGUCUUGAUGUAAUUUUGCCAGUGCUUUCUGAAGUGCCCAUUUGGCACGACAUUGUUAUGUUUAACCAUGACUUACCUAAAAAGGAAAAUAAAGACAAAGCUUUUAAGGUUAAGAUGGCUCUGAGAUGUGGAUAUAUCUUAUCAGC
rnacentral:lncRNA from 1 species